AAGACUUACCCUUUUGACAUUUUAUAUCGAAUUAUAGAAGAUGAAAGGGACAUACAUGCAAUCGACUGACGCUUUAGUGAAUAUGCUGAAAAUAUGCUGAUGCUGUGGAGAUCGUAUGAGGACAGAGGAAAAAGAUAGAAAUGGAUAUAUAAUUAGACCUAGGUUUUUAUUAAAUGAGAUGGGGAACAUAGAGUGAGGGAAAAUCAAAAUUUUUGGCUGCAGUUCACAUUGGUGAUAUUUUGGAUUGACAAAGACUAACGACUUUUCUAUUUUUCUUUUCGGCCUGACUGGAUAGUUGGACAUGGACAAUACAGAAUCCACAGAAGGAUUGUUGGGACCGCUGAAAAUUAGCUAGAAGAAGCUGAGGAAGUAGUCUACGUAGUCAAAUACCAAACACAAAGAAAGAAAGAAAUGGAUAUCAUGGAUGCCUAGAGUUAUACUCCUAAUACCGUCACAGGUAUUUUUCUUUCCUCCUUUUUUUUUCUACGAUAAUUAGAGCAUUUCUCCUCCUCCUCCUCCUCCUCCCCCCACCCCACCACCAAAAAAUAAAAAAAUAAAUUAUUGCAAGUAACACUUCAAAUAUUAAUUUAUACAUUCUAAAGUAUAUAUUCAUGAAAUAACUUGAGUAUCAUACAUUAGUUCUCAAAAAAAAAAAAAAAAAAAAAAAAAAAUUACUGGAAGAGAAAAGUUUAAGAAAACAUAAAAAUAUUCAACUACUAUUUUAAAGAGAAAAUUUAAUUUUUACACUAUAAAUUUGAAGAGAACUUUUACAUGCAUCUUAUAUAAACUACCAUUUUUUGCUAAAAGGCUUAAAUUUGUCAAAAAUACCCCUUAGGUGCUUAACGUUCUGGUCAUAAUAUAAUUGGCAUCUUUUCUCAAACAUAAGGCCUGUGUGUGGGAACAAGAUUUAAUGUUAAUGAGCUUCGCCACCGACAUUUAGUUCCAGAAAUCAUUAUUUUAAUAGAGUGGGCUCAAUUUACAACUUUAAUUAAACUCUAACCAACUGCAUUGUGAAAUGAAUAUGUUUCUUUCGUGGUGAAUCCAAUGAGUUGGGAGUCAAACUUUGCUUCAUUGUGUAUAGAUGAAAUGUUAAGACUCCAUGUAACCUCAAACAUUUCCGCAAUNNNNNNNNNNNNNNNNNNNNNNNNNNNNNNNNNNNNNNNNNNNNNNNNNNNNNNNNNNNNNNNNNNNNNNNNNNNNNNNNNNNNNNNNNNNNNNNNNNNNUUCUUUCGUGGUGAAUCCAAUGAGUUGGAGUCAAACUUGCUUCAUUGUGUAUAGAUGAAAUGUUAAGACUCCAUGUAACUCAAACAUUUCCGCAAUGAGCGGGAGUUCUAAAUUUAAUAAUUGAAAUUGUCAGUGGAACCAGUGGACAAGAGUUGGUUUGUGGUUGACAAACUUAUCCGUUUGAUCUUUACUUGAACAGUUCCAGUGUGUGGAUGGGUACUGAUGAAGUGUGCGCAUUUAUUUUGAGAAGCCUGCUUGUUCGCAUAGAUUUUAACGACAUGAACAUUGUGGUAAGGUUAGAGAGUAAUGCGAAUGUAGGAGCUUAUAUUAGAAAUGACACAAACACGUAAAUAGAAGUAAUCUAUAUAUGAUAUUACUCAUGGACUACAAGCAAAGAAGUACAAUACAUGGAGUAAGUGAUGAAAUGAGCAUUCCUCACUACUACUGCUUGACUGAUGGAACAUGAUGCACGAGAUAGCAUAAGUAGUAGUAGGAAGCAGCUCUUAUUUGUGGCGUCGGUAUACAUCAUACUAGGUAGAUGGUUCAAUUGGCAUGGAUGGGUGGUGGAGCCUUGAAGUGCUUGUGAUGGGGAGCCCACGGCUUCUUCUCAGGAGUUGGUGGCUUCUUGUAUGGAGUUGAUGGAGGUGUUUCUACUGGAGGGUGGCCAGGGUAGUGACCCUGGGGUGGUGAAGGUUCUUUUGUCGGUGGUGGCCUCACUAUUAUUGGCGGUAGAGUUGGUGGCUUGGGCGUUGGCGGUGGUCUCACUACUCUUGGGGGUAGAGUUGGUGUCUUGUGUUUUGGUGGUGGAGGUGGCUUAACAGGAGUUGGUGGCUUGUAUUCUGGGGGUGGUUUCUCCACCGGAGGUGGCUUAUAAACUGGAGUUGGUGGCUUGUAUUCUGGGGGUGGCUUCUCCACUGGUGGUGGCCUGUAAACAGGGGUUGGUGGCUUAUAUUCUGGGGGAGGCUUCUCCACUGGAGGCGACUUAUAAACAGGGGUUGGUGGCUUGUAUUCCGGGGGUGGCUUCUCUACGGGAGGUGGCCUGUAAACAGGGGUUGGUGGCUUCUCCACCGGAGGUGGCUUAUAAACGGGGGUUGGUGGCUUGUAUUCUGGGGGUGGUUUCCCCAGUGGUGGAGACUUGUAAACAGGAAGAGGUGGUUUGUGCUCAUAUGGGGGUGGCUUGUGGUCAUUAGCAAGUGAGGGAGUGGUGAGGACCACCAAUCCAAGGAACAACACGAGUGAGCAAGCAGAAGACAUGUUUGGGCUCUGGUGAUGCACAAGUAGAAGAAAUGGGAACCAUUUAUAAUGCUUCGAGACCUUGGUUAGCACCAAAAUAUGUCAAAAUCUUGAUUACUUCAUUUCAUACAUAGAUUUAAAAUUAUUUCAAUCAACCAUGAUCCUUAAUUUUCUGGGUGGUCCAUAAAUGUAAUGGGGUCAAUUUGGGACCUAACAAGCUGAGAAGUUUGACAAUGCUGCAAGGCUUCAUCCGAAAGUCCGGGGAAGAAUAUUAGGAGUUACACUCCGUUUCCUUUUUUGGGUGCAUUUUUCUCCUUUAACAUUCUAUUCCCUUUUACAUUAGCAUUUGAUCUUAGCUCAUUUCAAGUACAAGUUUCUUGAACCCUAUACCAUUGUCAAAGUUGAGUAACCAUCUCUACUUUGCUCAAGAAACAUAAAAGACAAUGACAAUAAAGAAAAAGGAGAGAGACCAUACGUGACUUGGUUUAUAGGUGGCUUUGUGUUGACAUUUGAGUAUGGAAGCCGACAUGCAUCUUAGCUUCGAUUUUAAUUAAAUUUGUACAUUAGUGUCUGUGUCAUUCAUUUUGGUAUAAAAGGUCUCUUGAUUUCGUAAGUUUGGUAAGAACCGUUGAAAAUAGCAGUAGCAGCACAUGGUCCACUUUCUUUCACAAAAUAAUUUUAAAAGUUUAGAAGCAUAGGAGGUAACAUUAGUGGCCUUGUGGCUCAGCCACGAGUACUAUGUGGUGCUCGAGAAAUUGAGUUUAAUUUCCUUCCGAUAGUUCAUGAUAAGGUCCGUCACUGUCCUGAGACAGAUUGCGUUUUUUCUUUUUUCCUUUUUUAGUGUUUUAUUGACUAGCUAGGUGUGACUUUUCCUACUUUAAGGCACGAGGCAGAAAAGAAACUGGGAUUUAGUGCUUAAGAAGGCAAAUUUAAUUCGAUUUGGAUCUAAAAUUUGCCAGCAACAUGAGAUUUUCCAGCCUAUCGUUGCUCCACAUAUAGACAAGGCACUUGUAGAAGUGGCUUGUUUGUAGCCAUUCCCGAUAUUUGGACUCACUUGAUUCACCGGACACUUUGAUAAAAUUUAAUAUUUAUUAUUUAAUAAUUUAAAUUGAUUUAAAAUUAAAUUAUACCGAAGUUGUGAUUUAAAAAUUAUUAUUUAAUUCUUACUUUUAAAUAUGAAGAUUAUUUGAUAAAAAUAAUUUAAAAUUUAUUAUAAAUUAUCAAAUUAACAUAUUUAUCCUUAUAAAUUAUAAUUAAAACAGAAAAGGUCAAAUGAUUUGAGUAUCCAUAGAUGUGGUAAAAUAAUAAAAAAGAUUAUAAAAACAAUUAUGAUAAAUAAAGAUAAAAAGUAAAAUGAAUAUGUGAAUUUAAAGAAUAAAUUAAUUAUUUUUAUUUAUUACUUAAAAUUAUUUUUGACUUUAAAUUAUAUUAUUAAAUUAUUUUACCAAACAUACUUAAUUUAGUUAAUAAUUUAAAUUUAAUUUAAGUUAUUAAAUUGAUUCACCAAAUACCCACUUAAUCAAAGACUGAAGUAUACAUUAUUUGGCCAAAUGCAGCUAUUGAAAUUUAACUUUUUCCAAACUUAUUCAUUUUGUGGAAAUAUUUUUAGAAAUGAUUUUAAAAAUGCACUAUUCUGUGUGUUGAUUUUAUAUUUUGGCAUUAAUCCAACAUAGAAAACGGUUCUUAUUUUCGCUGUUAAAUAGGUACCAGAUCCUUAAUUAGUGCCGUGAAUCCGGCAGCUUCCAAUGAGUAAUUUGGACUUGGGUAUUGACAAUGUGUGGCCAUGCUUCUACUAUUUUAUUAUUCUUGAAACAUAUAUGAUAUAUUGGACUUUAUACAGGGAAAAAAAAAAAAAAAAGUCUUCACCAAAAAUGAUUCCUCCUAAAAAAUAGACUCCACAAACUAGGUUUAACAGGAAAAUGAUUCUAAUCUAGUAGUUUCCAGCCACAUGAGCAUUUACGUAACAAUAGUAUAGUUGAUAACGACUUUUAUUUUAUUUAUUUUUAAAUAGUUAAAGGGAUAAUUUUUGAGCUUAAAUUUUAUUUUUUUAUUUAGAAACAUUUUACUUUAUUUUUUAAUCAUAAUUCUAUUAUAUUAAUGUUUUAUUUUCUAUUUUUUAAUAUAUAAGGAGAUACUAAAUUUAUGUGAUUAUUUUUUAAAAAUUUAGUAUAUGAAAUUAAAUAAUUGGAUAUAUAUACAUAUAUCAUAUAAUGUUUUUUAAGUGUGAUUUUUGAACUUUUUAGUCAUUUUAUAAGUUUAAGCUUUUGAUUUUUUUUUUUAAACUUUGGUAUUUUUUAUUUUAUAUAAAACUAUUUUGAUUUAAUUUUAUUAAAAAAUAUUGGUAUUAUAAAUUAUUGUAUUAAUUAUUUUUUUAUAUUAUAAUGUAACUGGUAUAUACUAAAAAAUGUAUGCAAGUUCAAUUUAAGUUUCAAAUUAAAAAAUUUCAUUUAAAUAUUUAAUAACUUGUUCAUAAUAAAAAAUUAAACAACAUAAUACAAAUGAAAAGAAACAUAAAAGAAAAAGGAAAAAAUGGUCCUCUCUGUGUGUCACAUUACUAGGUCAUCCUCUUUUUCUAUGACCCUUACAAUAGAAUGGCAUAUUUGUCAAAUCUACUUAUGAAAGUUGGAAUGUUUCUACAUGUGUAGGGUCCAUUGGAACUAAUGGAGGAAAGGCUUAACGUCUAUGUAAAUCACAACGUUGCCUAGGUGGGCAUAGAUCUAGUUGUGUAACAUGAGAUGGUGUGAGAGUACAAUAUAUGCAUUGUAGUCUCUAUGGGAAGAGAGAUAGGUAAUGGUAGGGUGGUAGACGGUAGGGUGAUCUCUAAUAUAAUGACAUUUGAUGUGGUGGCUUCUAAGAGAGGAGAUAUAAGAGAUGGUAGAAUGACAUUUGGUGUAAUGGUCUCUAGUGCAAUGACAUGUGAUAUGGUGACCUAUAAAGAAGAGAUAUAGGUGAUGGUGAAGUGGUAUGUGGUGUAGUGACCUUUGAGAUAGAAAAUAGAGGUAAUGGUAGGUUGGCAGGUGGAGUGGUCUUUGGUGUAGUGACAUCAAUUAUAAAUGUCUCCAAGGGAGGAAAUAAAGGUGAUGGUAGGUAGUAAAUGUUGAGGUGGUCUUUGAUAUGUUAUGCUCUAAGAGAGAAGGUAUAGGUAAUGAUAAUAGGGAAUUUGACAUAGUGGUGUUGGAAAUAAAAAGUGAAAGUGACCGUAGAGGUGAAAGGGCAAGUGUAAAAGCCUCAAGUACGAAUGGAGUAAUUAAUGUGGAUGGUGCUAACAUAGUCUUAGGUGGAUACACAAAUAGUCAUAGUCAUCAACUAGCUUGCCCACCAUCUGUCUUUCUGCUAGUGAUAGGUUACAUCUUAAUAGUAAUGGCCAACAUAAGUGGUGUGGAUCCGAUUUUUUUACGUGUGUCCCCACUCAAUCGACAAGACUUAUUUUUUAUUAGUGAAAAAUUAAUUUUGGAAAAGUUGGAGUCACCACUUAUUUUAUUUUAUUUUAAAAAGGAAAGUAAAACAAGAAAGAGAACUCUAAAGAAGUGACUUCAUAGUUUUGGAAAAGUUAGUCUUAAAAAAUCCAAGUCUUGGUCCGGAGAUCAGGUUACUUAUUGGGAAGAUACCUCUAAGAGGUAAUACCCCUCUAAACCCUAAAGAAGUCUCUAAUGACUAAGUUGAGGAGAAUGUGGUAAUUAAUUAAUUGAUUGAGGGUACCUAGGUAGACUAAGGUGAUUUCAGAAUUAACAUACCAAGCUAGAAAGUCCAAUCAUGAUCAUAAAAGAGAGUCAAAGUAUGUACCUGAACUGCUUCUCAAACGCUAUCAUAAAACAUCAAAGUUAGUAUAGAAAUAUAACACAUAAUAUUUGUUUUAUCCAAGCAAAUAAAGCAUACAUCUAAGCACCCAAGAAUCACAUCAAGUAUGGAUAUAGUCAUCAAUAGCAUACGUGUCCAUAGAACUAUCGAAAGUAAAUGUGGAGGAGCGUAUCUGGACAACAUAGAUAACUUAUAAUGUGCUUCCACAAGACAUGGGGGUUAGAUAAAAGUUAUAAUAAUAAUUAGUAAAUGAAAGAAUUCUAGCAUGUUUGGUAUCUAAAUAACAUAGCAAAAAUGAACAAGAGUACACGAAAACAUCAAUUAUCACACGAGUCAUAUUGGCUAGUAUUUAAUCAAUAAACCAACAAUAAAUGACUAUAAACAUAUAAAAUGACAUAUUCAAAGAGACCCAAACAUAAAGAGCCUAGAACACAAGCUUACACUAAAUUUAGAAAACUAAAACAUGGAAUUUUAAAAGCAUAAAUUAGCAAACAAAUUGAUGGAAACUAAAUUUAGAUAACUUAAGAAUAUUUUUCUUAUCCUUCAAUUUAAAUCAGUAAGCCAACAAUAAAAAAUUAUAGAAACAUGGAAUAUCAAGAUCAAUGGGAUACCUAAACUAUAAUUUUUAAAAGAAAAUAAACUAAGCAUAAUAUCUACAAAGCAACUAAACUAACAUUUUUUUAAAAAUAAAUUAAACAUGACAUUAAUGGAGUAACCAAACUAAAUUAAAGUAAACUAAAAACAUUUAUGAAUUUUCAAACAUGGAAUCAGCUUUCUUAGUAAAUUAAAAUUAUUAAAAUAAAAUCUAAGCUUAAAAAUGAAUUAAAUACUAACUAAAGCAAAUCUAAAACCAAAUAUUUAACACAUAGGAUCAAUUAUAUUAACAAACUAAAAUUUUAUAAGAACACUUAAACCUAAAGUUGAAUUAAAAACUAACCAAUUUUUAAAACUAGAUCUUUAACCCAUAGGAUCAAUUAUAUUAACAAAUAAAUAAUAAAUAAUAAAUAAAUAAAACUCAAACCUAAAGAUGAACUAGAAAUGUACCAAAGUAAAUUCAAAACAAGAUCUUUAACACAUUAGAUCAAUUAUAUUGACUAACUAAAAAAAAAAAAAAAAAACACUCAAACCUGAAACGAUGUAUUAGAAACUAACCAAAGCAAAUUUAAAAUAGAGUCUUUAACACAUAGGAUCAAUUAUAAUCACUAACUUAAAUUACAAUUUUUGAAACAUGAACUAAUUAGUGUUGGAUUAAUUAAACUAAUUAACUAAAAAAAACUAUAAACUAGAAUACGGUGAAUCAAGAAUUCAAAUCAACAAACAUAAAAUAUGGGUACAAUGAAAUGAAAAUCUAUUAAACUAAUAAGACGGAAAUAUGACAAACUCAUGAACCCACAUUUUGAUCAACUAGGAAAUAGAAAUUAAUAGACCUGUAGCAUGGAUACAAUGAAAUGAGAUCAGUUAAAUUUAUUUGCCGAAAUUCUAAAAAACACAUACACUCAAAUAAGAUCUAAAUCUAAGACCAAGCAAAACUCAAACUUUCUCAAUCUAAUGCAAUGAAUCAAAACUAAAAUUAAAUAGAAAUCAAACCAUUUUUUUUUUAUCUAAUAUAAUAAAUCAAAGCUAAAACUAAACAAAAUCGAAUUUUCUUAAUUUAAUAUGAUGAGUCAAAGCUAAAAUUGAACAAAGUUCAAACCUUUAUAUAAUGGAUCAAAGUUAAAUCUAAAUGAAAUCCAUACUUCCACAAUUUGAUAUAACAAAUCAAAAAUAAAACUAGAUAAAAAAAAAGUCAAAGCCUUUCAACUUGACAUAGUGAAUCCAAACUGAAACGAAACAAAAUUUUAACUUUUCCAAUGAAACCCAAUAUAGAAAAAAUUAGCUUACCUUCUUUAGAAUAUAUGUAUGGGCCAUAAAGAAGUCACCUUGGUGCAUGUGUUCCUCACUUUGACGCCAAUGGACGACUUUCUAUGGUAGCAAAUGGAGAUCCUUUUUGGUGGUAACUUGCGUGUGGAAACCUAUGGUACAACCAAUGUCAUCUUUUAUUGUGCGUGUGGACCAAUUUCUUCUCGAGAACUCAUGUGUGUUGUGCUCAAAAUAUGUUGCCUGUGAGAAUCUAUUGGUAUACCCCACAUAUGGUUUCCUUGAGAGAAUCUGUGGUUGUGUGUGGGCGUUUUCUUCAUGACAGCAUGUGGAUGUUCCCAUCUAUGGUAGAUUGGUUGUGAUGCUUUAGUGCAUGGUCUCCAUAGGAAUAGUGUGUUAUGGAAAUUUGGUUUUUUUAUUGGUGCAUGUUGUCUAGACUUUCCCAUAUGCGUGGACUGUGUGUUCAUGCUUUUCUUUUCGGAUGGUCGCCUGUGUUAAUGUGUGGCGGUGUCUACAAUGAAAGAUACAACCCUUUCUCUCCUUCUGCGUGAUAGAAAAGUCAAUCCCCCAUGGUGCGACUAUGUUCCCUCGUCCUUUUUGAAAAAUUUUGGUGUUUUCCCCCCAAAAAAUCCCCUCCAAAAAUCUAAUUAUAAAUGUCUGCUUUGGCCUAAUGUGUGUGCUACUUUUUUUUUCCUUCUUUUUAUGGUUGUGCGUGCUUUUCUUGAUACGUGGCUUAUUUCUUAAGGAUAUGAUUCGCUCCCAAUUGGUGUCUCAGCUGAUUCAUGUCCUUUCAAUGGUCCCUGACAGUGGUGCCAUUUGAUUCGUGUCCAGCUGGUGUCCCUUGAUUGUGGUCCUCAGAAGGGAGUAAUCAAUAAAAUUUAUAACCUAUUACACCAUGUAUUAGGAUAGCCUUAGCUAGCAUAGCAUAGUGGCUCUAGGGUCGUUUAUUGGGAUGAGUUUUCACUUCACAAUUGAUAUUAAUUCAAGAGCUGAAUUGGUGCCUUUUCAUUUCAAGGUUAGCUUUAAAAGAAAACAUAAUCUUUGGUGGAAAAAGGUUUGGUUUUAAACUAACCAAAAAUAGUAACUGAUUUUACUUACAAAGAAAAGUGUUCUUUGGAGUUUAGAUCACUAGGCUCAGGUUCCUCAUACAAAAAGGAGAGUUCCGAUCAUUUGUUUCUUUUCCUCGCAUUAGAGAAUUAACAUAUAGUUAAUUCUCUAACCGGUGCGGUACAUAUGCUUCCCAUUAAUGGGUUCAAACACUAAAUACCUCUCACUGAUGCACCUUGCAAUGGCUCGUGCCUCUCACCUAGCAUUUAUCAUUCAAGGUGAUCUUUAACCUUGGAUUACCCAUCAAAAGCUCGCAAGAGAUAACUAAAGGAUGUCUCCUUAGAGUCCAAAAGCUUACCAAGUGUUGGUUAUUCUAGAAAAUCCUACCUUCAAACCACCUCCCAAAGGCUCGCAAGAGAUAAACAAGUGCAUCUCAAUGGAUGAAGAUCACUUGCCUUACCAAGUUUUGGCCCAGAUGAUUUAAUGACAUUUUAAGUUAACUAAAAAGAUAAAAACCAUUAACGGGUCACACUUUCUCUUCAUUAAAAACUAAAACAACAAAACUUCCAAUUUAUGCAUGAGGAAACUUACCUGGCUUUCUUCACUUCAAGAGAUGAAGAGCCUAGCCACUCAUCAUUUGAGGAAAAAUCCUCAGAGUUUGAUUUGCUAGAAAUAAAAAUAAUGAGAAAACAAAAAUAUAUAUAUGAAAAACAGAGCAAGUUCUCUGUAAUAUAUUUUUCUUCCUUAUACAAAAGGUUGUCUCUAAGAACAAGUUCCCGAGAUCUAUCUGAUUGUAAAUAAAAUUACAACUAUAUAUAAGAGGUUAUUCACCCCUUUGUUCUUUCUUAAAGACUAAGGAAUCCUAUGAUAGGUGGGUUACAAGGAGAGUUUGGGGAUUUAGACAUCAAAUAUCUAAAGCAAAAUAUCUCAAGAUGUUAGUCGGAAAUAUCAGGAAGCUUCAGGAGAACACCGCGACACUGUAUACUGAGAGAAAAACUCUCCGGGUAAGCUCUAUCAAAGGAUCCAGACAUGUCUGACUGGGAAAGUUGAAACGUCCUUCUCUCCCAUCCGGAUGUGAGAUAUCCGGAGAAAGUGAAAUGUCGGUCGGACAGAAUUCUUUCCCCGGGUGGAAUGAGUUGUGUUGCGCGUCGCAAGGGGGACCGUCUGCGUGUACAAGUUGUAGGGACCCCUCUCCCGGAUGACACCGAGCGCGUAAGGCUAUCCGGAUCAACUCCAUUCGGAUUCCCCAAGAGGACAUGUGGCGUGCUCCCCUAUCAGGACUCCCUUAGGGAGAAGCACACGACACUCGUGAACAUCAUACCCGGACGAUAGCAUGUCCUAUCCGGAUGUGUUGUCCGGAUCAUUGACUAAAGUGAGCAAGCCUUGCUACGUCAUUCGGACAGCUUGCCACAUACCAUGUUCCGUCGCCAUCUGAUGGUGUGUCCGAACGCCUUGUCCGGACAUCUUUUGCUCCUUGCAUUCCGGAUUUGCUUAUGACAAAGGACUUCAAAGCUUCGGUUCUUCAUGUUUCUGAGCUUUCCAUUGCUUUGCCAUGGAUUCCAAAGAACUCUCCUUAAUCACGGAUUGCUUUGGUGAUCAAAAAGUUAUCAAAACACAAAAACUUAACAUAGUUUGAUUAGAAUUGAUUGCAAGGGUUCUUAAUAUGUUAAUUGGGUUAAAAGGUGAUAACUACUACUCAAAAGUGUUUAUAAGAAUUAAUUACAAGCUAUGAAAUAACACUUUUUGAGUAGUAAUCAGGAUACAUCCUAGUUUUUCAUGGAAUUGAUAGUGGGUUGUUGUGCAUGAAUGCCACCAUUUCAACUAUGCUGUUGUUAUUUUUAAAAAAAAUAUGGAUUAUGCGCGAGUGGCAAUUCUCCACUAUGGAAAGUGGAUUGCUCCUUCAACCCAUGCAUGGCUACGUAUUCCUAUGUCUUUCUACUUGUGUUUGAUCCUCCAAAAAAAAUUUCGGUUUAGUGCUAGUAGAUUUUAAGUGGUGGAUCCCCAUUUUUUGAAAAUGAAGUGGCAGCCUCCCAUUUCAAGACAAAAUGGUAGCCUGCCUUUAAUCUUUGGAGAAAAAUCUGUGCAUGACCUUUUUUUUUCCCAAAAAAUCCGUGCAUGGUGUCCUUUAAUAUUUGGAGAAAAAUCUAUGUUGGAUCUUUUCUUUUCUAGAAACAUUUGUGUGGUCUUUUUUGUUAGCCCAAGGGUUCUUCUAAUCAAGUUUUGAUGAUAACAAACCAUGGUUAAGUGACUAAUUGGUUUAAUGAUUAAGAAUCUCAAACAUAAAAUCGAAAAUUCAUCAAAGGACCAAAUGGAUACAAGAUCGAGACGCUUGGAAGACUUGUAAUCAUAGGAAACUAAUGUAAGAUGAAUGCAUGAGUGCACUUAGGAUUUUCACACGUUUCAUGCAACUUAGAAAACCCAGUUUAUUCUUUAAAACUUCAUCCCAGUUUAUUCUUUUUAUGGUUGUGUGUGCUUUCCUUGAUACGUGGCUUAUUUAUUAAGGAUACAUCCCAGUUUUUCAUGGAAUUGACAGUGGGUUGUUGUGUGUGAAUGCCACCAUUUCAACUGUGCUGUUGUUAUUUAAAAAAAAAAAAAAUGGAUUGUGCGCGAGUGGCAAUUCUCCACUAUGGAAAGUGGAUUGCUCCUUCAACCCAUGCAUGGCUACGUAUUCCUAUGUCUUUCUGCUUGUGUGUGAUCCUCCAAAAAAAAUUUUGGUUUAGUGCUAGUAGAUUUUAAGUGGUGGAUCCCCUUUUUUUGAAAACUAAGUGGCAGCCUCCCAUUUCAAAACGAAGUGGUAGCCUGCCUUUAGUCUUUGGAGAAAAAUCUGUGCAUGACUUUUUUUUUCCCAAAAAAUCCAUGCAUGGUGUCCUUUAAUAUUUGGAGAAAAAUCUAUGUGGGAUCUUUUAUUUUCUAGAAAAAUUUGUGUGGUCUUUUUUGUUAGCCCAAGGGUUCUCCUAAUCAGGUUUUGAUGAUAACAAAUCAUGGUUAAGUGACUAAUUGGUUUAAUGAUUAAGAAUCUCAAACAUAAACUCGAAAAUUCAUCAAAUGACCAAAUGGAUACAAGAUCGAGACGCUUGGAAGACUUGUGAUCAUAGGAAACUAAUGUAAGAUGAAUGCAUGAGUGCACUUAGGAUUUUCACACGUUUCAUGCAAUUUAGAAAACCCAGUUUAUUCUUUAAAACUUCAAUUUCAUUAAAACCCGAGUUUUUAACUAAUGUACCUUAGGCAAAAUGUUUUAUAAUUGGCUUAAUAAUUCACCUAAAUACAUUUUCUAAGUGUUAGAAAAGAAAGGAAUUAAAAAAAGGUUUUCGGGGCAAAAAAGGCUCAACCGGUCGAGGCUAUGGUCAACCGGCUCAACCGGUUGAGGAACCAAUCGAUCGGUUGUGCUUGUCCGAUCGAAGACCAAUCGAGGGAUGCCAAAAAAUUUCUCUCUCUCCUAGUGGCCUUCUCUUCCCGGUCGAGGUUCGGUCUAGGCAACGGUAACAUGUCAAGCAUUAAAUGCUCCGACGACUAGUGAAUCGGUCGACCCCUAGCCCGAUCGGACGAGGUUGCCUUUUGCUGUUUUUGACUCCCGAGCUUAGAAACCUAUAAAUUGAGAGCUCCACUUCAUUUAUUGAUAAAAGAGAACACUUGCAUUCAAUAGUCUACCUACCUUUUCUUGAUCAAAAAGCUCUCAUUUCCUUCAUAGUGCAUUAAAUCAUCACUUGCAUAUCCUUUAGUGCACUAUUGUGUGUCAUCCUAGCUUUGUUUUGUAUUUGAGCUAUCCUUAAGCUAGGUUGAGGGAUUAUUUCUUAUAAAAAUCUGAGUGUUAAAGCCUUCAAGAGAUUUGAAUCUUGAAGAGAUUGUGUAAGAGCCCAUUGGAGCCGGAGUCCAAGUGUAAGAAGAUUGGAAGCUUGGUUGAAGCUUCAAGUUAGUGGAACCCUCACUCGGUUAGGAGGUUGAGGAGAGUGGACGUAGGUAAGGAAGUGUCGAACCAUUAUAAACCCGAGUUUGAAUUCUCUAACUCUAUCUCUUUAUUUUGCUUAUAUUGUGUUUGAAUUUGUUGUGAUUGAAAAGAUUUUAAAAACCUAAUUCACCCUCCCCCCUUUUGGGUUUUUUUUUCUUAAUUAAGCAUAACCUUUGUUUUCUAAUUUUCUUUUUAGGAAAAUCCAUGCGUGGUAUGUCCAAACUCUCCAAGUGGCAGUCUGCCUUCUUCUAAAAAAUUUGUUUCUAUUUCUUUAUUCGACUACCUUCCAUGUCUUCCUAAUGAGUGCUUGUGCUCAAUGGUCAAUCCCUGGUGGUUGCCUCCUUUUCCCAUAUAUACGUGUUGCAAAAUCAACAUCCCACUAUAUGUGGGUUGCCUCUAUGGCAAGUUCACAUUUCCCACAUGAAACCUAUGAGUUUCCACCAAAAAUUGCCAUGAAAAAGUCUUUAUAUGCAUCUCAUGCAAUAAAAAGUCAAGCCAAUACUCAUCUUAUCUCGAAAAAUAAGUAACCAAAAUCAAGAUCAUGCCUAAGUGAACUAUGCCAAAAGAAGUGUCCAAGUGACCUAUUAUGAAAAAAGUGCCUAAGUGACCUAAGGUGAAUGUGUGUAAGCUGGAAGGUGUCUAGGAUGUUUAGGACAAUGCCUAAGCCUAAAAUAGGGUUGCCAAGGGUCACAAUGGGGUUAGAUAAAUCUCUCAAUCAGAGUCUCCAAGGUGGCUCAUAAAAGAUAAGCUACACGAGUAAUGAUGGGCCACCAGGGAAUUAUUGUAAAGCACCAAACGAACACAUAAUAGGACAUGUGUUAGAAUGAAAAAAUGGAGGGUUUACAAGUGGUCUCAUGGAUGAGCUUGAUAAUUUAAAUGACUCACAUAAUGAACGUAUGUGAUGUUUCUCUCCAAUAACAAGCAAAACAUCACUAGCAAUAUGAUGAAUGUCUCCUAAAUCACUUGAAGUAGUCCUAGCAAAUCAAUUAGAAAAAUCACACAUAUUGCUCUAAUGUAAUAUUAUAUACAUCUGUCAAUGAAUGGGAGAACUAAUGACACAACCAUCAUGUUGAUAUCUCGAACCCUCUAAUCUCAUAUGUAGGUGGGAUCACACUUAGAAACUCAUAACACAGUAAUGACCAAUCUAAGUCAAAAUGUGUUGGUGAUCGGAGGCCCAUGAAUAUGAAGUUCUAGGAUGAUAAUGACAUCUUAUAAAGUAAUGAUCAUCUCCUUAAUAGAUAGGUGAAAUGUGUGUGUCUUAGGACACCAUCUCUCAACAAGACUUGUGAUCAAUCCCCAGUCUAGUGUAACAUGCCUAUUAUGACAUCCAUCGUAAAAUCUAGACUAGAUAAUAUAAGGACAAAUGUGAGGGUUCAUCUCCCUUUCCCACAUAAAUUUAAAAAAUUAUUAUUGACAAGUUAAGACCAAACUAAGUUGCAAAAUAUAAAUAAGUCCAUUAGAUAACAAAUUUAUGUUUUCUCAUUUUCUCAUUUUUAAAGAGAUAUUAUGUGCUUCCAUGUACAUACAUGCUAAAGUCAAUUAUACGAGACUUAUAUCCAUCUUGUAGAACCAAAUCGAACCUAUCUAAUAGAUCCAGAUUAGAAGUAUGUCCUCUAUACUCCAUAUUUAUAACACAUUUAUAAAGAUAAAUGCUAAAAAAAUGUUAAAGAUAUAAAUUUAAUGAACCAUACUUUAUGAUUUUAAUUCUCAAUUAUUGUUCAUAUUUAUAAGAGAAAAGUUAAAAAAAUUGAUAGAGUUUUCCCUCUAUCAUGGACAUUAUCCCAAAUAAAAAUAAAUUGAUUAUGCAAAUUACAUUAAUAUUUGUAACCAAAUGAUCAAUAACUAUCUUGUAUCAAUUUAGUAAAUAAAUUUAAGUAUAUCUUUUCAUUUAUGACUAACAAAUAACUCAUACUUGUCCAAUAAAAGCCACACCUAAUUUCUAAAAUUUUGUCUUCACCUCAAGUGAGUGUUACAUUGAGAAAGAAAAAAUAUGAAAGAAAAAAUGAACACCUUUUUCUUUUAAUAAAAAAAGGCCAUAACGAAACAUUAAAUCUCACUGUUACACCUAUCUUCAAUGGAAACAUGAGGAUGUGAAUGGUGGCGGUGAUAUUCUUUGCUUGAAGCUCAUAAACAAAUAUUCCUUACUAAGCCUAUGCCAUUUAGUAUUUCAAUAGUGGACCCCCCCCCCCCCCCCCCCCCCCUCCUUGCAUUUCAGAUUUAGCAAACUUAGAACCAAAUAACAAAGUGCAUUUGAACCCAUAAAGAAGUAAUGAGACUCUCCUAUAUUGGCAAUAGAAGAAAUUUUUGGAGGUAUAGGAGAUUCACGGAUGAAGAAGUUGGGCCCCAAUUGAGAUAAGACCCAAGAAAAGAUGGGGUAGAGAGGGAUGGUUGGAAAUUGUAAAGUAAGAUUUUCAAAAUGUAGUUGAUGACUAAGAUUUUGACAAUUUAAAAAAGGUUUAAAAAUGUAGUUAGCAAUCGGGGUUUUGUAACAUUUAAAAAAUAAAAUAAAAUCUCAGGCCACAUGGUAGCCCAUGUGAUUCAGAAGCUUGAGAAUUAUUUUAUAAGAAGACUUAAUUUGUGAUUUUUUUAUAACUAUAUUAUUUUUUUUCUUAACACACGAAAAAAAUUAUGAAAUAAGACAAUUUUCCUAAGAAAGCAUGUAAGUGACUCUUGGUUAUUUUAUUUAACUUCUUCUAGUUUGGAGAGGAUUAAUACCUUUGCUUUUACUCACUUGCUUGGAUAUGUACACGUUGUUCAUGUCACUUUUCAUUUAAUUUUCUGAUUAAGGGAAUUGGAACCGUACGUAACUGUCUUUAUUCCCUCUGAAACUUGGACUUGGAGUUGGACUUUCAAUCUCAUCAGUCGUGUUUCCAUAAAAAAGAAGAUGGAUUAACCAAUUUUCCUAUGCCUACUAAUCAUACACAAAACUCCACUUCCAAAUAAAAAGGAAUGGGAUAUCACUUGUUAAUAGUGGCUAAAGACUAUUAAUAACCAUGCAAAGAAAUGUCACAUUUUUUGUUCUACGCAAAUUUUAUUCAUCAACUACUAGAACCAUUUCAUACAAUAGUAGCUUUUCGAUCCUUUGAUAAAUGGACACUUGAUGUGAUAACACCAACUACACCUAUAUAUUCAAGCAAUCAUGCGUAUAUAAUAGUGGAUAUGGAUUACUUCUCUAAAUGGGCAAAAGUUUUGUCAUUCAAGGAAAGUGAACGAGGAAACACAAGUUUACUUUCAUCGGAACUAAUAUUAUAUAUUGAUAUGACUUCCCAUUAUUACUUACGAUGGAAUAUGCUUCCAUAAAAUGGCCUAGAUGAACAAACUAUCCAAGAAGUUUGGGAUCAAAUAAUAUAUAUAUAGUUCAUGUGUGAUUCUUUGGUUGACAACCUUGUUAAGGGGUGAGUGAAGCACUUUGGGCAUACCACAUACUACAUGCUAGACUUCCACCCAAGCUACCCUAUAUUCCUUAUGAACAAAGUAGAAGUUGUCAUCUCUCUUGAAUACCAAAUCCUUUCACCUAAUAAUGCUAUCUAAAAAGGUCUUAAAAAGGAUAAAAAUGCGCAUAUUUGAAUUUUUGAAUUAGGAGUGCUACUUAAAAAGAAGCUAGAUAUACAAUAAUAGAAUGUUAUCAAGCAUAUCUCUUCAAAGUUUUUGACCAAAAAAUAUAUGAUUUCUCAUUUUAGGUAGGAGACUUAGUACUCACUAUUCAAAAACCAAUUAUCAUUACUCAUAAAAACUAAUAGAAAGUUUGGGCCAAAGUAGGAUGGACCUUAUAUUAUGCAACAAUUAUGCCUAUAAAAUUGUUGCAAAAGAGGUUUUAGAAUCAAAUCAAUGAAUGAAAAAUUAUUAAAGCAUUACUAUGCUUGAAGGCUAGUCAUUUUCCCUUAAAGUGCAAUAUUAAGUUGCAUAGUACUAUGUGGAUCCGCAUUUUUCACAUGCGUUCCCACUCAUUGUCGAGACUCACUUUUUAGAAGUGAAAAAUUAGUUUUAUUAAAGUCGAAGUUGCCACUGGGGAUUUGAACCCUAACAAAAGGUUCAAUUUAAGGAUAAAAAUAUCGAUAAUCACAUAUAUAUAUAUUGGUACUUUGAUUUUAUGAAUAUAUUGAAGAAAUAUGGACAAAUAUUUUGACACAAAAUAUGUACAAAAUAAAAAUUAUAUAAAAAGUAAAAAUAAAUAUUUUAAAAUUAUUUUUUUAAAUAUAUAUAUAUAUAAUUUGACAUAUUUGAUAAUAAUAUAUAAGGGUCUCCAAAAAGCCCGUGGCCCGCUUUAGGCCCGGUCCGACCCGACAGGCUAAAGCCCGGCCCAAGCCCGCCGGGCCCAAGCUCGGCCCGAGCCCGUUUAUGGGUGGGCCGGGCCGCGAGCCCGUAGGCCUGCUCCUUUAAAAAAAAACUACAAAAAUAAAAAGUAUUAAAAAAAAUAUUCAUUUCAAAAUUUUAUUCAUUGAAUGUAUAAUUACAUUUGAAAAUGUGGGAAAAGUUUACAUCACUACAAAAUAAAUACAUCCCAACUAGGUUGGCACCUAUUUAUUUGUCAAUCAUCUGUAUUUUUCAACCACAAAAAAUAAAAAUAAAAAUAUAAUAUACAUUUAGUCAUUAUUUUCUGGCGGUGAUGGCGAACUAUCAUGCAUCCAUGAAGAUCUUGAUAAUUUUAAAGAUUCCAUAUCGGUAAGCAUCUUUGUUUCUCGAAUGGAAUCAUACAUCCUUUUAUCUGCUAUUUCCCAAUCUUUCACACAUAUCCCUGCUUUAAUAACAUCUGACGCUAAGUUGCAUCGUUUUUUACUAACUACUCUUCCACCUGCACUAAAAGCAGCUUCUGAUGCAACUGUACUCACAGGAACUGUUAGUACAUCACGAGCAAUUAUAGAAAGCACAGGAUAUUUGUGUUGAUGUGAUUUCCACCAUAUUAAAAUAUUAAAAUCUUCUUGAUCUUCAAAUGAAAUUAUAUCAGUAUUAAGAUAUUUAUCUAAAUCAGAUGUAUUAUUUGGAGAAUUAUUUGUUGUCUUUUUUCGACUUUUCAACAUUUCUAGAGCUCCUUUAUAAAAAGAUGAGGAGUUUGUAGAUGUAGGUGGUAAUUUAAUAGUAUUAAUAUCAUUACCAUAUUUUUCUUUAUAAUAGUUAUAUAAAUUAUAUAAUAAUGAAUUUAUUUCAUUUUUAAUUUCUUCAAUUUUUAUUUGGUCAUUAAAAUAAAUAAUUGUUAACCAUUCAUCCAAAGCUUCAAAUUUCAAUCUAGGGUCCACAAUUAAAGCAAUAUAAAAAAUUAAAGGUAUUUCUCCCCAAUAUUUUCUAAAUUUUUAUAUCAUUACAAAUAUUGUAUCAUUAAAUAUUUCAAAACUUAAAUAUUUUUGAAGUACAAUAAAAAUAUUAGUUAUUUGCGUAAUAACUCGAUUUGAAGUUGGAUAAUAUACACCACAAAAAAUGUUUGUUGAAGUAUCAAAAAUUUCAAAAAGAUCUCUUAAAACAUCCGCAAUAUGCCAAUCAUAAUCAUUUAAUGCAUAAAUAUCUGCUUCAUAAUCAUUGUUAAUUAAUUGUAUUUCAUAUAAUUCGACUACUUUUCUAUAUUUUGUAAUAUUUUCUAAAAGUUUAUAUGUGGAAUUCCAUCUAAUAGCCAUAUCCAAAUUUAUAUUUUUUCUUUUCAUAUUUAACAUUUUGCAACAAUCAAAAAAUAAUUCAUGUUUUGCUUGAAAACUAUUAAUACUAUAUGCAAUGCCUCUAAUUUUUUUCCAAUGUACUAUCAACAUUUUUUAAUCCAUCCUUUACAAUUAAAUUUAAAAUAUGUGCACAACAACGCACAUGAAAUAUUUUAGCAUGAUCUUCUUUUACUUGCCAAUAUCGUUUUAGUCUAUGUAUUGCUGCAUCAUUAUUAGCAGCAUUAUCUAAUGUUAUUGUCAAUAUUUUAUCACGAAUGCCUAAAUCUAUAAUUUCAUCAUUUAUUAAAGAUGCUAUAUUUUUACCACUAUGUGGAGUAUUUAUUAAUUUAAAUAAAAUUAUUCUUUUAUUUAAUUUCCAUUCAUUAUCAAUGUAGUGAACAAUUAUAUAUAAAAAACCAGUAUGAGUUAAAGAUGUCCAAAUGUCAGAUGUUAAACGAAUAUUUCCUUCAAAAUUUGCAAAAUUUUUUUUUAAAAUUUCUUUUUGUGUAUAAAUUUUUUUCAUAAUAUCUCUUUUAACUGUAUUUCCAGAUCAACCUUUAAAUUGAGGAUUAAUACCUCGUUGAAUUGUUCUUGCAAAAUCAUGAGUUUCCAUCAUGUUGAAAGGUUGUUCUGCUCUUAUUAUAUAAUCAAUCAUUUCUUCACAACAGUUAGAUUCAUCAUAAGAAAAUGUUUUUAAAUUUCCACUUUCAUUUUUACUUAAUUGCAUAUAAUUUCUAAUAUCUACAUUAUUUUUAGUUUUACAAUUUUCAUGAUGUCUUUUUAAAUGACUUGUAUCUGCAUUUGAGCCACCAGUAAGAAAUUUAUUACAAAUUUUACAUUUUGCUUUUAUUUUUUUUUUAUUAUUUUCUAAAAUUAUUUCUAUUCUAUCAAAAAAAUUCCAUAUAUUUAAAGUAAAUUUUUUGUUUGAUGAUAUUUCAUCACAUGGACUAGACGAAGAAGCACUUGUCAUAUUAUAAUUAUUGAUAAAAUAUUAUGCCAAAAAUAAUAAAGUAAUAAAUAUAAAAAAAAAUGUAACAAAAAAAAUAAAGUAGUAGGGGUGAAGUAUGUUACUCAAUUAGAGAACCUAUGCAGAAAUUCCUAGCAAAUUUGAACUCUUGGAGCCACCAAUGCUUGUUUUGCACCAUCAACAAUAUUGUAUAAUUUGAGGGAAAAAUAAAAGAAUUUAAAAUAUUGUAGAAUGUGAGAGAAAUAGAGAGAAUUUGAUGAAAAAAUGAAAAGGAAGAAAAUGUAUUUAUAGGAAGGUUAAAAAUAAUAAUAAUAAUAAUAAUAAUAAUAAUAAUAAUAAUAAUAAUAAUAAUAAUAAUAAUAAUUGGCCAUGUGACCGUUGGAGGCUUAGCUCCAACGGUCACAUGGGCUGGAGCUAGGCUCCAACAGUCACAUGACCGUUGGAGCCUUUAAUUUUUUUUUUUAAAAUAAUAUACUUUAUUUUUAUAUAUAUAUAACUAACUCAAUUAAUAAACAUAAAAAGAAUAUAGUUCAGUUGGUUAGAACCUUGAAGUUUAAACAUGAGGGGAGGGGUUUGAAUCCCUCCCUCUCCCUUAGGGGCUUUUUUAAAAGCCAUUUUGGCUUAUUUCAAAAAGCCUGUCGGCCCGACCCGCCCUGCAGCCCGCGGGCCUAGCAUUUUAGCAUGGCCUGGUCUGUUGACUAGUCAAAUGGCUCAUAGGCUCGGCCCGAACUGGGCCGCGGGCCUCUUAUUUACGGACCGGCCCGACCCGGCCCGCCCGUUGGAGACCCUUGAUAAUAUCUUCUAUAUUAAGUUACAUUAUAGUUUAUUUUACAAUAUUAUUAUGAUAAUAUGUCUAAUUUUAAAAUAUAUUUAAUAUUAAAAUUAUGAUCUAUUUUAAUUUAAAUGUAUUCAAUGAUAUCAAAUAAAUAAUAAUAUAUGUAUAAUUCUUUUAUUAUUUAUAUUUAUUAUUUUUAAUAAAUAUAUAGAUUAUAUAAAAAAGACCGGAUAUAUCUUUUCAAAUUUUGUAUCGCUCUCCAAGGAUAUUAGAUGUAUGGGAAUUUGUAUUGCUAUCUACGGAUACGUUGAUAUAUGGGUGAUUUAUCAGGAUAAUUAGAAAUUCUAAUUAUGUAAGCAGGUACGGAGUUCUGUGUCGGUGCGAUCUUGUCGACAACAGCUCCAAAUUGUGCAUCUUGCUCAUAGAGAGUAGCGGAAUGCACCAAUCGUAGGCUCAGAGUACCACUGAGUCGUCUGGCAGAGACCCAACUGAAGGUGCCUGUGUUGUUCCUGAUCUGAUCAGGCUUCAAACUACAAGGUGGAAUACUGGUUCCCCUAUAUCAGAAGCUGGAGAUACCCACCCCAUAUGCUCGUCUGGAUGUGCUCCUACCCUUUGAAGCCUUCUUCCGAGUCAAGUCCGAAUUGAUAAGGCUAGUGAGUUCCCAACCAACUGUACUCAGCAUGCUGCCAGGUGGAGACCCUCCAUAUUUGAUGGCUUCCUAAUAUUAAAAUGCUGACCACUGGUCUUCAUGUUCCACAGGCUUAAUUGUGUCCUUUGCUGAAAGAAUGGAUAGUGAUCCAUUUUAACACAUGAUUCACGCCGUCUUUGCCAUUCUUCAUGGUCUAGCCCUUUUAUAUAUAUGCUUCCUGAACUGUUGCUAUUAAUAAAAUGUGGUAUCUAUCCCGUACACCUUCCUGAUGGCCAGCGAAUGCAGAAGCUACAGAAACGGUUCCAUCUUUUGCUUCCGCCACUUUGGCAUCCUCCAUGAUGAGAUCGAAGGUGAAUAAUCAUAUUCUGGGGAUUUAUGUCCUGGAUAUUCUCAGUAAUGCCCAAUUUCCUGGUGCCGGCCUCAUUUCCAUGGGAACUGAUGGAUAACUUAAGGCUUCUACCAUCUGCGUGGUUCGCUUCUAACACAGGAAACUUCACGGCUAAAAGCAAGAUACCAAGAACAUCAAGGCUGUGACAAAAAUUAGUAUUUUUAACUUGUAGGAAUUUGAAAGGCAACCAACCAUCUAGCUCUGUUCUUAAAGCUCCCAUAGGAGGAUCAGAGGCUGGAUUGCUCAAGAUGAACUCAUCCAUUGUUGCACUUAAAAAGAAUUGGCAUGAAUUGUGGCCGCUCUAAUAGGUUCCCUAAACCAUCAUCCAAGUGGGCUUGCGGAAGGUAGCGAGUUUAAAACACCUAGGGCGAUGAACAGUGGACUGUGAUGCUCACAAAAGAGAAAAGGAAGAAUUCAAUAAUUCCUAAGAAUCCAUUUGCCUGUCAUCCAAAUUUUUAUAUUCUCUUCAGUCUGACGCGUUAUGCCAUAUAUUAAAAAUAGCGGCUUCUUCCAAGCCGAGACAGACUGUGCAAAGUUCGCAAGGCCAAUCAUCACCAUAAUCUGAAGUUGGCCUCCUCAAUCGCAGCUUGUAUCCGAAUGCUCACUUCACGGGAUGGAUUGUAAUGAAAACUAAUCUCAGUCCCAGCUAUGGCAGCAUCCUCACUUGACAGCAUUUUCUGCAUAUUCUAGAACAAAGCAAUAAACCCUCAAAGGCUCCUUCGGAUCAGAGUUAGAAGACUGUCCCUCAGGAACGUGAACACUAUGGUGGUUCUGAUAAGCAGUGAUAUUGCAUUAGAGCCUUUUGGAACAAGAGGAUCUUUUCAGGUGGAAACUGUAAACUGCUUCAUGUUGGGCUGCAACCUUUUCUUCAAGCAAUACUUUCUUUCUGUAUCACGACUUAUGUUGCUUCCGGAGCCAUCCCGUGUGGACUGCCCUUCAGUGAAAGAAUAUGUGUGUUGACAUGUUGGAUUGUAAUCUUUGUUCCACUCUAAUGGCUUUUGGUCCUCCUCUUUCUCUUUAUGACAGAGAACCAUUUAGUGAUCCAUCUCUAUAUUGUAGCAUUGCUGGUGCUUUGCAAUACUACACUCUCACCAAGCAUAACAUCUAUUUUUCCGUGACCAAAGUAUGUCGGUUUAUGCAUGCGCAAACUCUUAUUCAUUGGCAAGUUGUCAAGCGUAUCUCAUGAUUUCCCAAAGCCACAAGUUCUUAUGGUCUUUCUGUUCAAGCUUACAAUGAUCUAUCUUUUCUUGGUUAUACUGAUGUCGAUUGGGCUAGUUGCCCUGAUAACAAGCACAAUACUAGUGGGUACAACACUUUUCCUGGUCCUAAUCUCAUUUCAUGGGCAUUUUCAAAGCAGAAGGUUGUGUCUCACUCCAAUAACGAAUCUGAAUAUAGGGGACUCACUAAUUAAUGUUGUUGCCAAGGUCACUUGGAUUGAAUCUGUCUUACGUGAGUUGCGUGUUUCUCUACCCCAACCACCAAUUUUGUUGUGUGACAACAUUAGUGCUACACACUUGGACAAACCAUGUUGAAAUACACUAUCAUUUUAUCCAUGAAAGGCUUAUGCAUCACACACUCAAAAUUCAAUACACCUCUUCUAUAGACCAACUAGUCAAUGCUAUGACCAAAGCUCUUCCUUCAUCUCACUUGUACAAUCUUCAGUGCAAGCUGAUUGUUCUUCCCAAACCACUCAACUUGAGGGGAGAUGUUAAGCCAAUUUAAUAAAUUGAUUUCUUUUGGUUAAUUUGUUAGAAUCAUUUUUAUUAGAGGUUUGUUUGUACAAUUACAUCCAUUUAUCAGGAGAGUACACGUGUACAACUCCUCUUUUAAUCUCACCAUUGUAUAUAUAUGAUACACGACCUUACUCAGAAUUGCAUAACAUUUCCUCUGCUCAUUCCUUUUCUUCUUUGAAUUUUCCCUUACCUCACUGAUUUUGAUUUAUACCUGGUGUUUUCACCUUUGGUCUCUACCUUUCUAGCCAGUUUUCUAAUUAAUCCGUAUAUGGUAUACCUGUCAACUAAUGAGGAGAAAGAGAAAAGGGGAUUGCUGUUCCACCAGCUACAUAUAAUAAUUAAUUACAAUCAUGGUAAUGGAUCCUGAAAUCCAUCCUUUGUGGAUUUUGUACGGAAUAUUGUUGUUAUGUAUGUGGGCUCACUUAGAUGUAUAUUGCUAGCCUGUCUGGGAAAUGUGAUUGCAGGUCCAGAUUAUGAUGUUGAUAUUAGUGGGAUAAGCAAGAGAUGCAGUUAACACGUAUGUGAUGGACUUGAGUAACUUUUCCAUUUCAGUCCAUUUUUUAAGAUUAUGCUUAGUCUUAUUACAAGGAAAGACCAUAAGAAUCAUGAGUCAUUGGCAAGGUAAUAUCAUUCCCUCUUUACAGGCUUCUUCACCUUUUGGUUUUUUUAAUAUCCAUCAAGAUCUUUUAAUUGGAGGACAAUUACAAGUAUAUAUAUAUGUAUUAAAAGGGGAAAAUAUUAAAACAGGAAAUUUUAGGGAAAAUAUAAUAAUUAUUUCUUCCUUCUUUCCCAUAUAGAACUACACAAAAUAAAACUUUAAUAAUUUUUUCUUAUCUUUUUUAUUAUUAUUUUUUCUUAGAAACAUCCGUGGUCUCACAAGCUUGUAAUCCUAGAUUGUUAGGCUCCUUUAACAGUGCCCCAACAUCGUGGUCCAAUGACAAGCUUCCACGCCUUAAAAUCAGAAAAUGCCAUUAAACUUUAUCAGACAUUACAGUUCAAGACAAAGCUUUCAUUUGCUUAAUGUGAUAAUGAAAUUGUUAAUUUCAUUUCGUGGGCAUCUAAAUUUGGACGAGCAAGACCUCUGAAUUCCCUGUUUUUAUCACCAGCAGAGGAGAUAAAAUCUUAAUGGUGAGAAUCUCCACGUGAAAUUUAUGUGUACUGUCAACAUAUUUUUGUUUAUAUAGUCCAGUAGCUGCAGGAAGUCUAGAUUAUAUAGGUAGCAGUAGCACUAUUUAUAGCACUCGAUAUUCGCUGUAUGAAUACAUUAAACCUUGUUUUCAAUACGCAUCACAAGCAAGUACUAGAUACUACAAGGAGUGACAGUCGCAUCAACAUUUCUUGAUAAUAGCAGUGACUGAUUUAUACACAGAACAGUACUGUACACGUACCAGUCACCAGAGAUAGGAUCUUAUUCCUACAUACGACUCUUAUUGAUCGAAGUCACUCAGUUGGGGUAGCCUGGAGUUGGAGGUUUGUGUGGUGGCUUCUUCUUUGGAGGAGGCUUUAUCUUUGGAGGCAUCAUCUUUGGAGGCAUCUUGUGUGAGUCUUCUUCAGCAUUCUCUACAGGAGGAUGGCCAGGCUUAUGACCCUUAGGUGGUUUGCCAACUGGGAUUGGUGGCUUGUGUCCUGAGAGUGGCUCCUCUUCUUCGGGAGGUUUGCCAACUGACGUUGGUGGCCCGUGUCCUGGGGGUGGCUUGUGUUUUGGGGGUGGUUUCACUCCACCGGGAGGUUUACCAAUUGGUGUUGGUGGUUUGUGCUCAAUCGGUGGCCUCUCAACUGGGGGGCGCUUGGGGUAAUCAGCGAGUGAAGAAGUGGUGAGAACCACCACUCCAAGCAACAACACUAGCAAGUAUGUGGAAGACAUCUUUGAGUUUGGCUCAGAUGGUGUAGAACUAGAAUCCUGGGUGGCCUUUUAUAUUAGUUGGGCCCUAUGCCCGAACGACAAGUGUCAUGGUGACACAUAAAGUGAUGGGGUCGAUUUGGGCCUACCGGAUUUGAAAACUUGGACAAUUCGAGAAGCGUCUCCUGACUCCGGGUUGUAAAGUGAAAGAUUAGGUAUCGACCAUUGAAGUAUGAUCACAACUUUUGGCCUUUGGCUCUCUCUACUGCCGUAUAGCUUUUUUCCUUUGGAUAUUUUUCUUAGCUAGACACAAUUAUUGAGCAGUCUAAUCUCGAAAUGGGAUUAGUAUAGCUUUAAGCAAAUUUAUUAUAGUUAGUGGAGGACUUUUAAGAGUGCAGACGACAUUUAACACAUGCAUGCAGUAGUAUAGGGGACAUAACACUAUUCUUUUUCCAAAGAUUCACAUGAUUUUUAUAUUAUAGUAUUGGCACAUUGUAUGUAGCUGGUUUUGUGGUUAAAAUUCCAUAUGUAGACACUGGCGUUUCUCCAUUUCUCACAAUUGAUGUUUACCUCCACGAUUACUAGAUUAGAUAUACCAAACAAUAACACAUUGUAUAAUCUAUCCGCCCUUCAAAAUCUACUGUAUGAUGAAAUGUUUCAUGUGUGUGUGAAGUGUUAGAAAUGCACUAUAGGCAACAUCAUCUUCUUUUGUCUAGGCUUGGGCCUCAAAUUAUACUCCCAUGCCAUGAUAAAUUUUCAUGUGCAUUCUCUAAAGAAGAGUGUCUUGAAUGUGCCAAAUCAUUUUGAUUGAUUUUAUGAUGUUAAUUGCUCCGCAUAUGGAUGGGUAUGUGCUUUAUUUGCUUAUUCAAUCCACAAUUACCUUGAACUGAAGUCCUAUUGGAGCUCUAUUAUUUUAGCAACGUCCUGUCAAAUAGGCUGCUAACUUGGGGUGGUAUGGACCCAAUGAUCCAUCUUAAUCUUGGGUUGAUUUUGUCUGACUCUAUCUAUCUCAGAGAGAACCAGGAUCACCAGUGCUGGUCUGCUUAAAGAAGACUCAGUACUGGAUUAAUAUUGGUUUGGGUCAAUAGCUUAUAAUGCAUUGAAUGCAGAAUAAACAAGAUCAAUGAAACCCAAAACACACUGCCCACACAACUUCACUCUGGUGUCUGUUAUUCAUCAAUUCUAUUCCCACAUGAACUGGUUCAAGUUUAAGAAAAUGACAACGGAUCCACUGUAUUAACUUGGUUUUGCUUGGUUUUGAGCUAGUUGCCAAACCAGCCAUGAGUUUUACCUCUAAUGUCAAUGAACAAACCCCAAAUGAACAACUGCAACAGCUUAAAGAGAAGGAAUGGAGAUGAAAAUCCCUGUUUCUUCUCAUUCUGGGGACAAAUUAGAACAUAACUACAAAGGUUCUAUUAAUUGACUUACUCUACCAUGAAUUAUGGUUCUUUGGUUUUCCAAAUUUAAAUUGUACAUGAGAUUAUUUUUUUCCUUUAUAUAUAAACAUAUUAAGGUUUUCUUAUUUCGUGGGCAAAUGCGCUAAGGAUGAAAGUCAUUUCAUUUGGCUGCAACAGCAUCUUAUAAUCAACAUGCAUAAGCAGCAGUUUUAAUUGAUCGAUUGAACACCGACUCACAAGAAUAGAUAGAAUGGUACAAGACAGCUCUUAUUAAUUUAUACUCGUUACUCAUUUUAUGUAGCCCCAUUAAGAUGGCUGGCUGGACCACCGAGGUCUGGGGGUGGUGUUGCUUGUGUGAUGCAGCGGGCCGGGCAGACACUUCUCUAGUUGCUUCUAUUUGGAGUUAGAGGAUCAGUCUCUGCCAACCUUGAGGACUCUCUACCUCAGAGGGUCCAGGUGGUGGACUCUGGUGUCGGUAGCUUUGAACUCUCAGUAGACUAGUGUGUCUUAAUCAGUCACUGCCAGAGGCUGGCGUAGGCAGUGACGAUAAGGUGAGACAAAUUACCGAAUAGUCAAUAUCGACUGCACUUGACCAUUAUAGAUUUGUUCUGACAAAAGUGAGAAAAGGGAGAAAAUCGGAUGUUGACCUUUAUAGAAAAAGAUAAGAUUUACUGCAACACAGAGCACUGAUUUGUUACUUGGAAACCAAGUUAUGCUAUUAGCUAGCCUCCAUUAGCAGCAGGGUACCUUGCUGCCUGAUCCUAAUCUGAGUUCCCAAGGUUUCAAUCUUCGUUUGUUAACGCUUCAGGAUUUGGAUAUUUCAGCUUCGUUUCUCCAUUUAGCCAACGCUGCCUGGUUUGGAUUUCAAUCCUCAUCUGGAACAUUCUUUUUUCGGUCUGAUUCAGGAAGUGUUUGGUGAUAGUUGAUUAAAAUUAAACAGUACUAUCAUACAAAUAAAGCUGAUCUAAUUUUGGUGGGCAAUAUACCAACUCAUUUAUUCUUGAAAACACCAUGGGGAAUUGGAGGUCCAUCCGAAGUACUAUUUGAUGGGACUCACAAAAAGAACAGGUGCACAUUUAUGAGAUCCGUGGAAGAGAUAACUAUGACAGCUAUGCAUGUACAACAGAUUUAUGUCGAGUUCACCUCGUAGAUAUUUUGUUUUCAGUGUCGGUGGACCCCAAAAUGGAAAUCGGAAAUUAAGGUUAUAUUUAUUUUUUUAUUUAAUUUUAAAUAGAAUUUUAAUUUUUAAUAAUAUUAAGUAUUAAAUUAUUUUUUUAAGGGUAUUUUAUUUUUAUUAAGUAUUAAAAAGUAAAAAAAAUUAAUAUGUUGCUUUUUUAUUUUAAAAAAAUUAUAUAUUUUAAUUUUUUCUAUUUACUAAAAAGUUUAUAAUAAAUUAUAAAAAAAUAAAAAAAUAAAAAACUUAAAUUCUGAAAAUAAAUUAUUUUUAAUAAAAAAAUCCAAAAAAGCAAACACCACCUAAAUUUGAGAUGACUCAAAAUUUUAUAUUUUUUUUCACCUAAAUUAUAUUCAUAAAUUUAAAAUUAAAAAAUUAGGAAGUUGAAUUUUAUUUUGGAUAAUUGGAAACUACAAGAAAUCAAUAAAAAUAUUUGGAAAAAAAAGAAAAAGAAAAACUAUCUAUAUAUUCACCCCCUUCUAAGAAACAUAACUUUAGUUUUUAACUAUUUUUUAAAAUAAUUUUUGAAAAAUGUUAUAUAAUAUUUUAUAAAACAAAAAAUCUGUUUGACAAUUUGAUAUGUCUUUAACUUAUUUUUAAUAUUUAUAUAUAUAUAUUUUAAAAAUAAUUUUAUAUUUAGAACUUUAUCUUUAAUUAUUAUAUAUAUUUAUAUAAUUAUUUUUUUUAAAACAACUCUUAAAAAAUAAGUGAAAGUAAUUGAAAACAACUCAAAGAUAUUUGAUGAAAACACUCUAAUUUGUAUUUUUGAGAAUAAAAAAAUAAAUAAAUAAAUUUCUAGUUAUCAAAUGUAUUUUUUAAUUCUUUUAUUCUAAAAAAUAGAAAAUCGUUUUUGAAAAUAAUUAUUAAACAACAUUCUUAAAAAUUCACUCGUUACAAUCUAGAUUUAAUGCAAGAAUGAUUGAAGGAGUCCUCCAAUAGAACCCAAAGUUAUAAACAUGAACAAGAAGCCCUAGAAACACCAAAGAUCUCAUAUGGUAUAUAUAUGAGCUUGAUUGAGAACUGUUUUAAAUUCAGUUUUUUUUUUUUUUUUUUUUUUUUGUUUUCAAAGUCAAAACAAGUUUACUUUUAAUUUUUACUUCUUUUUUUUAAUUUUAUAAAUAACAGUUUUUUAAUAAUUUAUUUUGAAAACAUGAUUAUUUUUAAAACUUAUAAUGAAAAUAGGAAUUUUUUUUUUAAUAUCAUGGUUAUUUUCCCUUCUUUUAAGGAGGGCUAUUUUAAAAAUAAAUUUACAAAUAUGAAAAAUGAUUCAAACUAAAGCAGUACAAAUAAAAAACAUUUUUAAGAAAUAUUUAAAAAUAGAGAAAAUUAUUUGAGAACAUUUGAAGUCCUUAAAUAGACUUUUGUUUUAGAAAAGGCAAGAUAAUUAUUUUUGAAAAUUGUUUUCAUAAUGAUAUGCAAAAACCUACGUAAAAACCAUAAUUAUAAUCGGCCACAUAUCAAAUCUACUAAAUAUGAAAAGUAAGUACAUAAUUAUAUUUGACUUAGAUGCAAGGAGGAAAAUGUCGCGAUAUUAUCGCCGAAAUAUCGUGUGUCGAAGGGUAUCGACACGAUUUUUCUUGCAGAAAUAUCGGCCAGUCGAUUUUUCGGGAUAAAUCUCGAGAAAUCGGCAAUUUAUCGCGAUAUAUCGGCGAUUUUUCCUCGAUAUAUCUUCUGGUCAACGCGGGUCAACGGAGUCAACACGCUACAGUGAAAGUCAAAUGUGCUACAAUGUCCCCGCUACAAUCACCUCCCCAAACAAAUUGCCAAAUUGCUUCCGAGGGGAUUUGAACCAGCCUUCUUGCCAUUUGGGCUAACUCGCCCUUAUGAUAUAUAUUGCAUUAAACAUAUAUAUACUUAAAGUCCUUAUAUAAAGAAAAUGUUAAAAAAAUAUUUUAAAGAGCAAAUUAAUUAUAAUUAUUUUAUAAUUAAAAGCAAAAUUUUCUUUUAAUUAAUUACCAAAAAUAUAAAAAUUAUAUAAUUUUCUUCAUAAUGUUUUUAAUAUCAUUAAUAAUUAAUUAAAUAUUAAAAAAUUAUAUAUAUAUAUAUAUAUAUAUAUAUAUAUAUUAUAAUUUAUUUUAUAUUGUUUAAUACAAUUGAAUUAAAUGGAUCAUAUUUUAAUAUUAAUAUAUAUUUUAAAAUUAGACAUAUUGUAAUCAAAUAUCAUAAUAUUAUAUGUAAUUUAAUAAUAAAUGUACACUUAUAAAAUUCAUAUUUUUAUCGAUGCAUACAAUAUUAUUAUCAAAUAUGAUAAAUCAUGUUAUACAUAUAUCAAAAUUUUCAAUAAAAUAACUUUAAAAUGUCUAUUAUACUUCUAAUUAUAUUAUUAUGAGGUUUUCUUUACAUUUUCAUGAGUUUUAAACAAUUUUAAGCACCAAUAUUUUUUUCCAAAAUAUCCACCGAUAUAUCUCCGAUAUAUCCAAUAUAUCUCCGAUAUCUCCGAUAUAUCCGUAAAAUCGAAGUACCGAUAUAUCCGUGAUUACCGAUAUUUUCAUCAUUGCUUAGAUGCAACCUUCUUCCAAAUGACAUACUUUAGUCAAUACUUAUAUUUUUUCGUUUCACUUCUUUGAUACAACACCUCAUGGAUUUAUUGUUUAAUUUAUUUGUAAUUAUAAAACUAUUUUUCAUUUUUAAUAAGACUUGAAUUAAUUUAAUAAAUAUUAUAUAAUUUGAAUUUAUAAUUCUUUUUAUAAAAUCAAAGUAUAUUAAAAAAAAAACAAUUUAUCCGAAGAAAGUUUUUUAUUUUUUAUUUUUUAAAACCGAUUUUAAAAAUAACUAGCUAGACACCCUUAUUUUGAUAAAAUACGAAAUAAAAGUGUAAAAACAACAUGGCCAAAUAGGGGCUUAAAUUUUAUUUUUAAAACAUUUUUUUACACUAAAGUGCAUUUUAAAAACACCAUCAAAACCAACUACAAGUUAUGCUUCUUCCCGUAAUAGAAAUAUUUUAGGCCAAAAUAGAACCUCCCCAAAUAAAGACCCUAUACUAAACUCCUUUUCAUUUUAUUAAUACAAAAGUGGGGAAAAAAGGUCUAUGCUCACCUAAAAAACAUGAAUAUUGUGAAUUCACCAUUUCUAUAAGGAAGUUGAAAACUUCAAAAUUUUAUCAACAAAUUCUCUAAAAUCCUCAAAAUAUAUAGGGCCUGUUUCACAAAGUUUUUUAAAAUUUGUUUUUAUAAAUUGCUUUUAAAAUAUAGAAUAAAUAACAGUUUUUUAGAUUUUUUGAAAAAUAAGAGUGUUUGGUAAGAUGUUUUUUUUUUUUUUUUUUUUUUUAAGAAUUAAAUAAAAAAUAAAAAAAUUGUUUAGAUAAAAGAAUUUGUAUUGUUUUUAAAAACAAUGUCUUACUUUUAUGUUAUAAAAAUUUUAUUAAUUUAAUUUAUAAUAAUAUGAAAUGAAAUUCAAGUUAAGUCUUAUUAAAAAAUACAAAUUAAAUCUAUAAUUAUGCAUGAGUUAAAGAUAAAUAUAUAUUUUUUAAAACUAUAAAAUAAAUUUUCUAUUAUAGUGAAACAAAAAUUACUAUAAAAUAAAAAUAAUUUUAAUAUUCAUUUUUAAUACAAGUCAAAUAAGUACUUUAAUUAAUUUUUUUUAUCAUGAUUUCUUAUGUUUUUUUUUUUUUCUAGAAAUUAUUUUAAGUAAUAUAACUAAUUUUUUUUUUAAUGUUUUAUAAAAAUAAGGAUAUUUGGCAAGUUGUUUUUAUAAAAGGAUUUUAAAAAUAAAUGGAUUUUUUUUUUUUUUAAAAAAAGAACAAAAUGAUUUGUUUGAAUAAAUUGUUUUGAUUUUGUAAAAACAUUUUAAAUUCAAUUUAUAUAAUAUUAAUUAAUUAAAUUAAAUUGAAGUUUUAUUGAAAAUAAAAAUAAUUUUGUAAUUAAAAUUAGAUUAAAAAAUAUAUAGGUUUUAAUAAAUCGUAAAUAGUAAUAUUAUAAUAAAAUUAUAAAUUAUAUUUUUAACAUAAAAUAUACUAUUUAUUACAUAUUAAAAAAAAUAUUUUAUUAUAUUAAUAAUUUUAUGGUAUUAAUGAGUUUAUUAUUUAAGUUUUAAAUUAUUUUUAAAAAUUAAUAAAUUUGUUAACAAAUGCAAUGUACUAAAUGUGGUUUAAUUUGGAGUUAAUUUGUUUAGGGAAAAAAAUAAAAAAUAAAAAUCUUAUGUAAAAGAGAAAUAAUAGAGUGUGUGUGUUUUUUUUUAUUAUUUUUAAAAAUCAGUAAAAAGAACUUUUACUUAUUGCCUAAAAAUUAUUCUCUAUUUUAUUUUAUUUUUUAAAUCUAGAAAUAGAUAACAAUAAUAAAAAAAAUUAAAAAAGAAAAAUGUUUUUUAAAACUCAGACUUAUAAUUGCUUUUGUUUCUCAUUCGCACCCCUGGAUUCCUGGAUUCUAAACACAAAAUUAAGUUGAAUCGUCCAUCUAUCUUGUAAGCCAAGAAUUCACAUAGAAGAAAUAAUCGGAAUUUGAUUUGAUAUCAGAUUUAGAGUGGCUCACUACUCAUGCAUUGUCCCACAAUAGUAAUGCUUUGGGCCGAGAUAAACCCAUUUGUGGGCCCAAAUAAAACCCCUGGUUUGAAAACAUCGAUUUUACAGUGGCCCAAAAGAUUAUCUAUGAGGGGAAGAUAACUUGGAAGUCAAGCAAACACAUUUAUCGCUAACUUUUCUCUAAUUAUAAAAUUAUAACUUGGUCUUCUACACGUCUCACUUAAGAGGCGGAGCCACUUGGCACUACCUUUCCAUAUUGUAAAAGGAGAAGAAGCAGAAGGAGAAGAUUCUUAUGCCAUUCCACACACCAUGGCUAGUACUGCUAUGCUGCUUGGCCCGCCGGCUCUCCGCCAUCCUAAUUCUCCCGCCGGCACUGUCUUUGAAGAUGGGGUCAUUCUAACGGAUUCCCUGAUCGUCCGCACCAGUAAUCUGGAGCUUUCUGAAAAACCGCCACUGGAAUCCCUGGCGUAGUGCUCUGUCAGUGGGGAUAUUGCUAUGGAUUGUUUGGAUUCCCAAGCCCACAAUCUUCAUCUUCCCGGGAAACCGCCGAUGGGCUUAACGGAAAACAAGUCUCCGACCUUUUUGUCUUCCGGGAACCCGUGCUUGGACUUCUUCUUCCAUGUGGUUCCCGAUACGUCGUCUGAUGAUCUGAUCCGACGGUUUGAGUUGGCUUGGGAAUUCAAUCCGCUGACGACGUUAAAACUGAUAUGCAACUUGAGAGAGGUGAGAGGCACCGGAAAAUCUGACAAAGAGGGUUUCUACACGGCGGUUCUCUGGCUCCACGACCACCAUCCCAAAACCCUAGCCUGCAAUGCUAGGGUGUUGGCCAGCUUCGGUUAUUUCAAGGAUUUUCUCGAGAUUCUCUACCGGCUUCUGGAGGGCCCUAAAAUUCGAAGAAUCGAAAAGAAAGACUGGCUGGAUCGAAAAGGAAGGAAGAAAAAUUCCCGGAAAAGGAACUCAAUAUUCAAGCGAGAAAAUAGGCCUGGAGUUGAAUUUCCUGUAGAAGAGAAGGAUGUGGAGUAUAUGGUGGAAGAAUUUGUGGAUAAAGAAAAGGCUAGGGUACUGAGAAAGGAGAGAGAACUUGCUCUUGCCAAAAGAGCCCUGCACAAGUAUUCUACUGAUUCUAAUUAUCAGUUCUUACAUGAUCAGAUUUCAGAUUUAUUUGCUGAACUUCUGAAAUCUGAUAUUCAGUAUUUAAACUCCGGUGAGCUUUACAAGAUUAGUCUCGCAUCCAAAUGGUGUCCCACAAUUGAUUCUUCUUAUGAUAAAUCCACCUUGAUAUGUGAAAAUAUUGCUCGAAAGGUUUAUUCUCGCGAGGAAUAUAUAUCCAGAAUACCAAGGAAUUGAGGAGGCUCACUAUGUUAAUAGAGUCAGGGAUAGGUUGAGAAAACAAGUACUUGUUCCAUUACGUAAGGCCCUGGAGUUGCCAGAGGUUUUCAUGUGUUCGAACCAGUGGGGAUCACUUCCCUACAACCGUGUGGCUUCAGUGGCCAUGAAAUCAUACAAGAGCCUCUUCUCAAAACAUGAUACAGAGCGGUUUGGUGUGUAUCUUGAGAAAGUGCAAACUGGGAAGGCUAAGAUUGCAGCUGGUGCAUUACUUCCCCAUGAGAUUAUAGCUUCAUUGAAUGAGGAGGAUGGCGAGAAAGUUGCAGAGCUUCAGUGGGCGAGAAUGGUGGAAGAUUUAUCAAAGAAUGGGAGGCUCACAAAUUGCAGUGCGGUAUGUGACGUAUCAGGAAGUAUGAGUGGAACUCCAAUGAAGGUGUGUGUGGCUCUGGGGCUGUUAGUUUCAGAGCUCAGUGAAGAUCCAUGGAAAGGUAAUGUAAUUACUUUCAGUGCAAGUCCUGAGCUUCACAAGAUCCAAGGAGACAGCCUUGUAUCCAAGACUGAAUUUGUGAGGAUGAUGGAAUGGGGUGCGAACACUGAUUUUCAGAAAGUUUUUGACAGAAUCUUACAAGUAGCAGUGGAGGGAAAUCUGAGUGAAGAUCAAAUGAUAAAGAGGGUUUUCGUUUUCACUGAUAUGGAGUUUGAUGAAGCUUGUGGGAGGUAUAACUAUUGUGAAUAUGACUAUGAUAUGGAGGAAAUUGAUGAGAGUCAGAAGGCAUCUCAGAAGUGGGAGACAGAUUAUGAAGUGAUACAGCGGAAAUUCCAGGACAAAGGAUAUGGAAAAGUUCCGGAGAUAGUGUUUUGGAACCUUAGAAACUCAUCAGAGACUCCAGUGAUGGCCACAGAGAACGGGGUGGCCUUAGUAAGCGGGUUUUCGAAGAAUCUGUUAGACCUUGUUUUUGGAAGGAGGUGGAAUUCUGACCCCUCAGGAUGUGAUGGAAUUAGCCAUCUCUGGUGAAGAUUACAAGAAACUUGUUCUAUUUGAUUAAGAUAUCAAGAGAUUUAUCAAUAAUAAUAUGUUUUUUUUUUUCUAUGUGAAAUACAUGUAAUAUUAACUAUGGAGUUAUCAAAGUUCUGGAAAUUUAAUUAUUUCUUCUUUUCAAGUUUUGUUUGUCUUUGUUAGGAAUUCCCCUUGGGCGGACCCAGCUGGGGACUUGGAUUGAGGAAGUAAGGAGGCGAAAUUGUGUUCUUCUAUGGACAGAGAAAAAAGAUAAAAAUAAAAAAUAAAAAAGGAGGUUAUUUGCAUUUGGAUGUCAUGUGGUUUCAGGGUACAACUACAAGUUCGAAAUUGUACAUAAUGUGAAAAUUCCUGUGUGGAGAACAGCAUAAAUAUGUAUCUCAGUGUGUUUUGUUUGAGCUAAUUGGCAAAUUCGCUUUAAACAUGGUCACAUGGAUGCAUAUUUAUUUGUGAAAUGAUAGUAGUCGAUUACUUGGUCAGUAAGGUUUGUAUCUCUAACUCCAACAUCUUAUUGUAGUCUUUUAAAAUGUCAAAAGUUUAAUGCUAGCUUGAGAAAUUUUGGAAUGGAGACAUUCUAAACAAAGUUAAUAAUCCAUGAGACUUGGUAAAACCGAUCAGAUGAUGCUUACGUACAUGAAUGCCUUCUUUAAGCCGUAUCCUAUUUUCAUUGAAUGAGACGUGCCAUCUAGUUUUGUUCUUGUCUUGAUUGGAUCAUGAUCCCGGGAAUUGAUUACUGUUCUGAAUUUGCGAAUGUUCAAGGUAUUAGAGAAAGUUAAUAUUAUCGUUAAUUUACAUAUUAGUAUUUAUCUAGUUAUUAUAUAUUAGUUUGAAUUAUAAUAUAAUAUAGAAUUUGAAUCAAGUUUACUAUUAGUUUGAAUUACAAUAGGAAAUAAAGUUUGAAUUAUAGUAUAACUCAAAUAUAUUUGUAUAUAAAUAUCCAUCUUUAUCAAUGAGAAUAGUAAACCAUAUUUUUCUCUAUCUUCUUCUUUCUCUAUAUAUAUGGUAUCAAAGCCUCCAAAUCCUAAACCUAGUCUCAACUUAGAGCAAAUUUAGGGUGCAGGGUUUAGGCCCCGCCUCCCCCAACCCUUACCACAAAUGGUAGUGACCUUGUUAUGCCUAUGUAUUGUCAAUGCCUCAUUUUCUAUGGUCUUCAAUACAAUAUCUAGUUUCAAUGUCUCUUUCCUUACUAUCUCCAAUGCAAUAUAUUGAUUUCAAUAUCUCUUUACAACCAAGAGCUCCAAAUUUUCCUGGUUCAAAUCUACCAUAAUUUUUAUUCUCCUUUGCUUUUUACCAAUAUUAGUUCCCCUAAUUUAAUAUAUAUCUCUUUAUUACCUUCAACUCUACCUCUCUCUUUCUUUAAAAGCUUCCUCAAAGAUUUGAUUGCUUUCUUGCAUGUUUUGGGAAAACAAACAUGCUCAUAUUCUAUUACCUCUACUUGAGAUCUGCCUUAUACUCUACCUUCUUCUUUACCUCCUAUAUCAUCUACUACAUUAGCUUCAAAAACAUUAUUUAGUUUGAUGCUAAAUAAGGCUCCUAAUCCUACCCUUCCUUCAACUAACUUUCUUUUACAAGUCCCUCAAAGUUUUUUUUUUUUUUUUUUUGGAAAUUUGGCUUAGAAAGAUUUCAUUACUCUUACCUAAUCUUUCAACCAUCAAGUCGAAUCCACUUAUCUCUUGAAUCCAAGGAGACUACCCUCCACAAAAACAAGGAGAUUGACCCCCACAAUAACAAAGAGAUUGUCCUCCAUAGAAACAAAGAGAGCUUCCUUCAUGGAAGCCGAAUACAUCGCAAUCUAUUUUCUUUCUCUCAAGAUCAAAUCUCCAAUCGGAGCUCCAUCUUGUGGGGAUAUAUUAGAAAAAGUUAAUAUUAUCCUUAAUUUACAUAUUAGUAUUUAUCUAUAUUAUAUAUUGAAUUAGAAUAGAAUAUAGAAUUUGAAUUAAGUUUACUAUUAGUUUAAAUUACAAUAGGAAAUAGAGUUUGAAUUAUAGUAGAACUCAAAUAUAUUUAUAUAUAAAUAUCCAUCAUUAUCAAUGAGAAUAGUAUUCCAUAUUUUUCUCUUUCCCUGAGGCUUCAGAAUGUGAUCUUGAACAUUUGAUCUUUUGGAUUCUUCUUGUUUCGGUGGUUUAAUAUAAUGGAAUGUUUAAUUAUAGCCUACUUUAUCACCAUGGAUGUGCUCCUGCAGAUUUCUUGAGGGUGAUGGUUAUUUUGUCAUGUUUCUUGAAUGGUUUGCAUCAGCUGCCUGAGCUGUUGUUGCUGGUCACUUUUGCAACCAGGGAAAGAAUCAUGGCUUUGGAGAAGCCAGCUUCUGUUUUUGUUGCCCAGCUGUUAGUUCACUAAGAUUGGGGGUCCUAACAUGUAUGUAUAAUCAUAAGCAAGGAAAUUUUAUGUCUUACGCUAGAUAGGUACCAUGAUAUGAUGUUUGAUUGAUUUAUUAACUCUACCUGUUUCAAAAGGCAUCAACAUUAAUUUUACCCUUUUAACACAUUGGAUUGUUUGACCUUACGAGAUUUUCUAUUUCUGUACUAUUUGAACUGCAAUCGUUAUGGUCCUUAGGUCUCUAAACCUUCGUUUAAAAUAAAAGUAAGGAGCACACAUAGUAAAAGUUAAUUUUGGGUAACUUUUAAAACAAAGAGAAAAGUAAAAGUUGUUUUUGAGAAAAACAUAUAGAAAUUGAAAGAUUUUUUAUUUUGAGAAAAAAAAGUCAUAGAAAAGAAAUAAUAUCCCCAUAUAAGUAGAUAUGAUCUAUCCGAAGUGUAGCUACUCUCCUGGAUUUAUUCUAACAUUUUAAAAUUUUUCUCAAUGGGCAAAGGAAUAUCAAAUCAAGCUUGAGUAGGAUUAAUUUCUUAAUUUUUAAAAUAACUUAUAAUUAAAAUUUUUUGGUGUUUUCUUUUUUGGACAAUUUUUUAUGAAGACUCUGAAUCAUGCAAGAGAUAUGGUUAUUUUAAAAAAAAAAAUAAUUUAAAACUCAAAUACAUAAUCAAUGUCACAAAUUUAUAAACAAAAGGUUUUUAAAAAAUACUAUUAUUUCCCCUCUACACAUAAUUUUACUUUUCCGAUUUAUUUAUUUUUGUUGGAAAACAGUCUUCAAAUCAAGUAAAAUUAAUAUGUUAAAUUUGUUAAACAAAUAAAUUUUAAAAUACAAUUUGGAACUCAAAAAUCAAUUCAAGUAAUGCUAAAAUUCAAAAAAUCAAAUUUGGAAUAAAAUGACUUUGUAAAUUUUUUUACUAAACAAAUGAAUUUUAAAUCAAGUGAGAUUUAAUACAUUGGAUUUUUAUGAGAAUAGUAAUUUUAAAAAUUAAUUUGGAACUCAAAAAUAGACACAAUAAAUACCAAAAAUCAAUGAACCAAAAUUGGUUUGGAAUAACUCCAUAAUUUUUUAUUUAUUUAUAUAUUUAUUUUUUUGUGCACACGAAUUUCUUACUAAGCAUAUUGCUUCCAAAUUGAGAAAAAUUUACUAUUUAGAUUUUUUUAAUGAGUUUAAUGGUAUUUAAAAAUAAUUCAAAAAUUCGAAAAUUGACUAAUUUAAUAUUAUAAAUUCAUAAACCAAGACUAAUUCAAAAUGCAUUGGGGGCUAAGGGGGUUGAAAUUAAUGCUCCAUUUGGUUGUGGCCACCAAUUGGCAAUGGCCACCAAUCAACCAAUCAAGGUGGCUAAGGGGGUUGAAAAUAGGGACAAUGGGGUGGGUUUGGGACAGGACACUCAUAUCCCAUUCCCAUCCCAAUUACACAGUUAUUUCCCAUCCUUAUUCCAAACUUGUGUUGGGGCAAGUUGAUUUGUUCCCAUCUUUGUUAACGAAAUGACUAAUAACCUCAUCCUCUCCUUGUCUUAGAUGUACAUUUUCUCAAAUUUGGUCAGGUAUGAUUGAUUCAAGCCCUAACCUUAAUUGGUAAUGAGUGGAUACCACACCUAAUUGCAUUCUUCUUUCGUUGCAAAAUAAUGAGAUUAUAAUAAUCUAGCAAAUAAGAAAAAAUAGUAUGGAAGUUCAAAUUAACACCAUAACUAUCAAUAAUUUUAAGCUUAUAGAUGACUUAAAUGAUUGAAAACUAAUGCAAAAUACUAAAAAAAAAAAAAAUCAUCUAAAGAAUUCACAAGAGAAUAGAACGAACAAAACCAAAUAGGAACAUGGGUCAACAUUAGUUACAGAUUUUGAUCCCUUUCAAGGCCAAUCUUUGAACCAAGACUUCAUCAAAUCUACUACUUCAAAGGCUUUUGUGUUCUUCUUGAGUUGUACUCUGGAACAAAGACUUCGAGGUGAUGCUUUAGAUGAUUGCAUUACACAUAUUUAGGGUAGGGAGAUUGGAGAAGCUUGAAGAUGCCAACGAUGGGUACAAUUGAGUGGUCAAUAAGAACAAUGUGGCCUAUGACUAGUUUGAUGUCAUGGUAUAGGAGUUUUGGGCAUUGAGGUGAAAGCAAGAGCAACAUGGAAUUGAUUUCAAAGUCUUUCAAUUAGUGUAAAGGAGGAAGAAGAAGUGGUAUUGAUCCUAGAAAUAGUGUUUUAGGUGUUGCAUUAGAGGAAAAGAAAAAGAAAAAGAAGGAACCAUUGGAAUUAGUACGAGUGUGAAGAGAGAAGUGUAUACAUAAGGGGAAGUAAAAGCAAAGUUCUAAAAAUUUAUUUUUUUAUUGGUGGUGUAUGGUUGCAUGAUUAUCCCUAUAAAUAAUAGGAGUUUUUUGGUGUUCUACUAGUAGUUGAAGGAUAAUUUCAUAAGAUAAUAUUUAGAGCGGGGUGGGGUGAGUUGUGACAAAAUCCAUACCCGUCCCAAACAUUGGUUCAGGUUUUUAAAAUAUUUUCAAACUUAUCAUAUACCCAAUUUUAUAUUUCAUACUUGUCCUAAUAGAGACAGGUUAGUCAGGGUUACUUGAGUAGCCUACAAAACUAUCAUCCCUAGUUGAAAUGCUCUUUUUGGCAGUGGCAGCUAGAAGCUCGAUCGAUUGACCUACAAGACUAGUUGUCAUCAUUUUAAAAAGAGUUUUGGCUUUGGUUGUGAGUGCAAUUGAAUCUAAACUAACAUUUCCUUAAUGCAUCUACUUCAAUCCUAAACUUCUUACUUAAGCCUCAAUUGUUGUUAAGAUUUUGGAAAACCCAUUUCCUUAAAUUGUAAAUUUAAGAAAAAAAAAAUUAAAAGUGAGACAUUUCUUGAUUGAAUGUUGUUAAAGGUCCCUUGGAAUUAAGACUUGGUUGAAGCCUUGGAAGAUUAGCAGAACUCUCAACUUAUGUUUGAACCUUGAGGAGAGUGGACGUAGGCCAAAAUUUUGUCAAACCAUUAUACAAAUUGAGUUUGAAUUCUCAUUUCUUGAUUUCUUAUUUAUUUGCUUUUUCUUAUUAUUACUUGAAUUGUCAUUUGCAUUCAUUAAUGUUAAAAUUGGUUAUAAUUAGCCAACACUAAUUCUCUUUCCCCUUCCCUUAAUUUCUUGGGUGUAAACCUAGGUUGGAUUAACUAGAUUUUAUCAAAUCUAUUAAGAUGGUAAAAGAAUAAUUAUUCUUAACAUACAUAAGAUCAUCUUCAAUCAAAUGACUCAUUGGCUGAUAUGUUGAAUUUGCUUAUUACUUGCAACUCAAAAUUGUGUUCUAGUUGAUAUGUCAAGUCCUGAGUGUAUGGACAUUAAAUUUGUAGUACGUGAUGAGUAUUUAGAUGGUCCAAUUCCAAGAAAGUGAUUGAAAACUAGUUCAAGAAAGGUGCAAAAGGGAAUUGUUUUGGUAUUUUCGUUUUUAUUCUUGAAGGUGGCAGAGCUAAAAUUUGAGAAAUCAAGCAAAACAUACUGAAAUUACAUUGAAAGAAAGAAAAUGGGAGUUAAUGUCUUGCAGUACAUGAUAAGGACUUCAUGCAUGUAGUGUGACCCAUGUCUUGGACUGAUGCCACACUCACGGUUACACUUAUACCCUUAGUUCUCUCUUUACUACCUUAGCUAACCUAGAUCAGGUUAUGAGAUAGGCACCUCACCACACCAUUACUUGCCCAUUAAUUAGUGACAUUUUCAAGCAAUGAGGUAACAUGGUGACACCAAGAGGGUAUAUUCCUCACCCCCAACAAGCCUAGACCUGGUCUAAAAAAAAUGGAGAAAAAUGACGUGUUGUUAUGCAGAAAUAUAGCAACCAUGCCUUCCUCAUUACUUAGAUUCAGAAUGUGAAGGUGAAAUUGAGAAACAGAAACUCUUGAAACCAAAAUGAAAAUUGAUACUUUUACGAAGAAUUACAACAACAUUAGAGGAAGACUACAUUCUUCCUCUUUAUUCCUACAUUUCUACACUACUUCUACUCCACUCCAUAUUUCUACAUACAUCUUUAAUCAGUCUUCCCUCCUUUAUAUAGAGCCAUCUUCACACAAAUUCCGCAAGGUAGAAAAGAGGAAUGAAACUUGGAGCAAGGUUCGACUACUGGCUGUAGCUUGUCAAGGCUGAAAGUGAACUUUUUUUCUUGGCUUUUCUGGGCAUAGGUAGUAACUUGUAGGUUCCUUUUUGGAAUGAAAAUGGUACGGCUAGAACAUGUGGCACUCUCUUGUUGGAUGAUGUGUCAAGCAUGUGGCAGCCAUCUAGUGGAGAUUAUGUCAAUUUUGGGAUGGAGAGUUGGCAUCCAAUUGCAAAGAAAUAUGACAUCUACCAACAUGCAAUGUCAACCUAUGUAGAUCAUAUGAAGAUAGAGAGGAAAAAUAUAGAAAUGGAUAUAUAACUAGAACUAGCUUUUUAUUAAAUGAGACGGAGAGCCAACAAUGAAGGAAAAUCAAAAUUUUUGGCUCAUAUCAAAGAAUUCACAUUGUGUUACCCUAGGUUUUCUUAAAACUUACUUUUAUGAUAAUAAAAAAUCAUUAUUGUUUAAUCCUUUGUUUUAAACGCAUGUUUAGCAGGUUGUAAAAUGUAAAUAUCUUUCGAAAUUCAAAUAUGAAGAUAUGACAUCAUUUCAAGCAAUAUAGUCUCUAGGAAUUAAUGUAAAGCUAAAUUAAGGUGCAAUUAAGUUAGUUCAAUGCAUUAUUUUAAGAAACUUGACCUAUCAAAACCUUGUCUUACUUCAAAGCCUCUUUUUCUUUUCUUCCAACUAACAUUUUAAUAAGUGAUCGCAAAAGUACAAAAUUAGAUGAAAUCCAUUUCAAUGGUUAAAAUGAUCAAAUUCAAACUUUUUCUAAGUAUCUUUUAAAAGCAUCAAUAUUGAAAGACAAUUUUAUAUUUAGUCAAAGCUUGGACAGAGCCAAAAAGCACACAAAAAUUUAUAUUUUCUAGCUCUCUACCUUGGAUGGUCUCUUGAUCCUACUUGGAGAUGUGCAUAAAUAAAAGGAUUUGAAAAUGACAAUUGACUAAGUAUGUAGUCAAUCAAUUACUCAUUGAUUGACUAGUUGAUCAAUUAACUUUGCAACAUCAUAUGCAAUCCUAAUAGCUAGUCAUCUAAUCAACUAGGUAGUAAAUCAAUAGGCCAAAAAUAUGUUUAUAAUGACUAUUUUGUACAAAAACCACUUAUAUAGUUAAAUAUAAUGCAUUUCAUUUAUAAAUCUUCUAAUUCUUGAAUAACAAUCCUAUCAUCCUUUGAAAGUUUUUAUUACACCUUUUCUACAUUUGUUCUAAAACUUAUACAUCACCCUUAAUUGUACCAUGAGAACCUAGCAUUUUUUUUUUUUUUUUUGUAUUUCAUCAAAGUUAGCUCUUGUACUCAUUGUUGUAUUAUUUUUAUUGUAACUUAGAGAGCGAGUGUUUUCAAGUGAGUGAAAUUGACUUGUAAAUAUUGUAAAGAUUCAUUGAUAUGUAUCUCAAACUAGGUGUACAAGUUGAAACAUUUGCUAGUAGAUUUUCUCAAGAUUUAGAAUGAGCUUAAGGCUAUCGAAUUAGGUGGGGUUGCGCCAAACCAUAUCACAUCGUUGUUUGCACCUUUUUUUUCACUCUCUUUUACUUAGUUGCUCUAUAUAUAUUGUCUAGCAAUAUCCUAAAGGCUUGAUGGGCUAGGGAGCAUCCCUCUGAAUGAAAAAUUUUCAUUCAAUUCUUAGUUGUAUUACGCAUAUAUAAAAUGCCUCAUUGUUUUAAUGGUAUUCAGUCGUGGCACCACAGAUAUGGACAUCUAAAUUUUAAAAGUUUGAAACUUUUAGCUAAAGAAAAUAUGGUGCUUUGCCUUUUUGGAAAGCAUGUUGAUGAAAUCCAUGAGAAUUGUAUACUUGGAGAGCAACAUCGAGAUAACUUUUUUUUUUUCUUUUUUUAUAAUGCAUUGUUUGUCCAAAUUCCGUACAAAUUAGGCCACCACAUGUUCAUAAUUCUCCCUUCUUGAAUUUGAAAACUCGGACAAUUUGACAAUGCGACACCUAAGUCCGGUUUUUAAAUGCUAAAGUGAAAGGGCAGGUAUGGACCAUUGAAAUGUGAUAACAACUUUUGGCCUUUUCCUUUUCUCUGUAGCCAUGUUGUCUCUUUUUAAUUUCUUUUGCAUGAUUUUCUUACCUAAACAGAAUCAUAGACUUGUUUAAUCUCUAAGUGGGAUUUCAUCCACCUUAAGCUACUGUAUUAUAUCUCGGUGGAGGACAACCGACAUAGAGCACAUGCAAGUGGGUAUAUGGGACAUGAAAUAUCUUCUUAUAAAGCUUGUUUUGCAGUUAAAUUAAUUGGAUAAGUAGACACUGGCGUUUCUAAAUUUCCCACCUAAGAUAAUGACCUUAUCCUUGACUGCUAGAUACACAAACAAUUAUACCUUCAAAAUCUACUGUGAAGUGCUUCAUGUAUGUGUGAAGUAUUAGAAAUUUCUUUCUUGGCAACUUGUUUUUUUCUUUGCGGUCUACUGAUAGGUUUGACUAAAAUUAUAUUCCCUGUCCUGCUAAUUAAUUUUCACGUGCAUGCUCAAAAGAAGAGUAUGACCUUAGUGCACCAAAAUCACUUUCAAUAAUUUGUGAUAAGUUUUUUUGCAUGACAUUAACCUUAUUCAUUUAGAUAAUGUUUAGUUCUCAUAAAUAUUAAGAAAAUGAAAAUAAAUAUUAAGAAAAAUAUUCUUAUAUUUGAUUGUAUUAUGAAAAAUAUCAUAAAAAAUCAAAUAUAAUUAAAAUUAAUUAAUAAUUUAUAUAUUUUAAAAUUAUUUAAUUUUUAUAUUAAAGAUAUAAUAUAAAUGAAAUGAGUUUUAAGUAUUAUAUAAAAAUGAUUUAUUUAUUUAUUUAUAUAUAUAUAUAUAUAUAUAUUUAGUUUUUCUCUUUAUUUUAUUUUCCUUAUGUUUUCCUCACAUUUUCCGGAAUCAAAGAUAGGGAAAUCCACAAUUACCUUCAACUGAGUAGAUUCUAUUGUUUUAGCAAUGUUAGGCUGCUAACUUGUGGUGGUACGAACCAAAUGAUCCAUGUUAAUCUUGGCUUGAUUUAAUUUGGCUCUAUCUCAGAGAACUCAAGGAUCACGUCAACUCUGGUUUCUACUAUUCAGGUCCAUUCCCAGAUGAACUGGUUCAAAUUUGAGAAAAUGGUAACAGACCUUUAGUGAUAUUGGUUUGGAGCCAGUUGCCAAACCUGCCCUGAGCUUUACCACUAAUGUCAAGGGACAAAGCCAUUUGAACAAAAACAAUAGCUUCAAGAGACUGAAUCGUGGAUGAAAUCUGAUCCACAUUUCUUCUCAUUUUGGGAAAAAAUGAGGACUUAACCACAAAGAUUCUACUGCCUCAUAGUGCUUUUCCUGAUCUAAGGUUGGCUCGUUUCCCAAAUUGUGAGGUGCACGUGCCACUCUCACGCUCAGGAGUGUAUCCACGUGGUGGACAUAAGAUGGUGGCUUAAUAUCUGGUGUCGGUGGCUUUACUUUACUAGGAGAGUAGUGUGUCUUCAUCUCAUUCACUGCCAGAGGGUGGCGUAAGCAGUGACGCUAAGGUGGGGCACAGUCAAUAUCAUUUGCAUUUGACCAUUAUAAUUUUCUCCCGGCUUUAAAGUAACCUUAUCGUGAUAAUGGAUUACUAGCACUAGUUCAGAUGACAGUCAUGUUAAAUUCGGACCAUGUUUGUGUCACAUUAUCAGCAACCAUGUGCUUGUGGUUCAUGCUAUCUGCAACUAAACUUGAUAUAUAACCAGGUGAACUUCAAUCUAAAUUCUGGAAGUACUCAUGUGAUAGAUGGUGCCUGUCUGCAGUGAGUGUAUCUAUAAGAGGGAAGGCUUGGCAAAUGUUCAGUUUUCUGGGAAUUCAACAGGGAUCUAAAAUAGAUUGUUUUCUUUGCUGAUUUCAAUGGUUGAAAUUUGAGAAGAUUGUGUCCACAUAACACAACUAUUACUGGUCCUUCUGUUGCAAUUUAUCCUCUAAGGCUCUAACAUGUCUUCCAAUUCCCACUUCCCACUUCCCUGUUACUCCAGGAAAGCUGUUUCUGUCAUUGUGAAGAAGAAAAGAGACUGUACAUAUCGAUGCUUUUAAGUGGACUGGAGAAUUCAUAUCAGGUGGUCUGCAGCCAUACAUGCCACUUUGUGAAGGUUGGAACAGUCAAUCACUAGGCUAUAUUAGUGGGGCCCAGCCACUUCAAUCAAGGACAAGUCUUCAUACUUAAAGUCAAAUUCUGCCUUUAGUCUCAUUAUAAAUUGCUGUUUAAAUAUCAAGCAAACAUUUGUUUAAUGCGAUUAAGACAGCACUAACUCAAUACUUGUUCUAUUUUUGGAUGCAAAUGCUUGAUAGUUUCAUCAUUGGAGGGGAUAAAGGUGCAUUCAUGAUUAUGAAUACUUGUAGUUAUAUUUUCAUUCUCUUUUUUCUCAAUGGGACUUGUUGGCACAAUUUUGCUGUUCAGAAACCUACCUCUCCAUGGAAAAUCAGUUGUGAUUGAUAUUACUGGAUAUAUUCAAGAAAGCUAAAUGUAGAUAGCACAAAAUAUUAUCGACAUAAAUAGCAUUAACAGCGUACGUAUGUCUCAAUGCUCAUCAGCUAUAAGCAAGGGGCAAACACUUACUAUGAGCAACUUACGUCAAAAUUCCGGAAUAGGACAUAGAAGUGACAGGUCAGUAAAUAUAGAACACUGCAUAUGAGUCACAAGAAAGGAAAUUACGGGUACAUAGCAGCUCUUAUUUUACAUCCUACUCAUACUGAUCAAAGUCACUCAGUUGGGAUGGGUGGGAGUGGGAGGUUUGUGGGGUGGCUUGUGCGGAGGAGUUGGCAGCUUCUUUCCAGGACCUGGUUGCUUCUCUGCUGGAGUUGAAGGAGGCUUAAUCUUCCGAGGUGGCUUGUAUGAGUCUUCAGCAUUCUCAGCAGGAGGGUGACCAGGGUUGUGACCACAAUGUGGUGGCUUCUCUCCCUUAGGUGGUUUGCCAACUGGGGUUGGUGGCUUGUGUUCCGGAAGUGGCUUCUCUUUGUGUUCAGGAGGUGGCUUCUCCACUGGAGGCUUGUGUUCAGGAGGUGGCUUCUCCACCGGAGGCUUGUGUUCAGGAGGUGGCUUCUCCACCGGAGGCUUGUGUUCAGGAGGUGGCUUCUCCACCGGAGGCUUAUGCUCUGGUGGUGGCUUCUCCACCGGAGGCUUAUGCUCUGGUGGUGGCUUCUCCACCGGAGGCUUAUGCAAUGGUGGUGGCUUCUCCACCGGAGGCUUGUGUUCAGGAGGUGGCUUCUCUACCGGAGGCUUAUGCUCUGGUGGUGGCUUCUCCACCGGAGGCUUAUGCUCUGGUGGUGGCUUCUCCACCGGAGGCUUGUGUUCAGGAGGUGGCUUCUCCACCGGAGGCUUGUGUUCAGGAGGUGGCUUCUCCACCGGAGGCUUGUGCUCUGGUGGUGGCUUCUCCACCGGAGGCUUAUGCUCUGGUGGUGGCUUCUCCACCGGAGGCUUGUGUUCAGGAGGUGGCUUCUCCACCGGAGGCUUAUGCUCUGGUGGUGGCUUCUCCACCGGAGGCUUGUGUUCAGGAGGUGGCUUCUCCACCGGAGGCUUAUGCUCUGGUGGUGGCUUCUCCACAGGAGGCUUGUGUUCAGGAGGUGGCUUCUCCACCGGAGGCUUAUGCUCUGGUGGUGGCUUCUCGAAUGGGGGAUGCGUAGGGUAAUCAGCUAGUGAGGGGGCGGUGAGAACCACCAGGCCAAGCAACACUACUAGCAAGUAUGUAGGAGACAUCUUUGGGUUUGGGCUCAGAUGGUGCAAAACUAGGAGAAUUGGCUAGCCUUUUAUAGCGGAUCGUACCCAAUAAUGAAAUGACACGUGUCAUUAUGACCCAUGUGUCAUGUGGUCGAUUUGGGUCCUACAGUGUUGAAAACUUCGACAUCCACUUUUUUGGCCUUUUGCUUUCUCUACAGUCGCCUUGCUUUUUCCCUCUUUUCUUUUGUUUUCCUCCUGCCCCAUUCUAUCAACUAAUCACAAUUAUGUAGUUGUUUAAUUCUUAAAUGAGAUAUUAUCCGUCAAUCAUAUUAUCUUUUAUCAAGAGAGAACGGAGUGAAAAGUGGCAAUCCAAAGAAAGAAGAUCCAUAAUGCAGCUGUAAUUUUAUCGUUUACUUUUAUCUCUAGGACCACUGCAUUUUUGUUGAGAGGUGCAAUAAUACACGUCUUUAUCUGCCAUUCAAUGUUUACAGUAAAGAGAGGGCACAAAACUCUUCACUGCUCUGCAUGUGCCCCAAAAAUGCAAUUGGACAAAUUAUGAUUUGCAUGCUAAAAAGAGGCAAAUGAGGUUAAUUAGCACCAAAAUUAUUUUGUUUUCUGGACACCCCGGGGCCCUUUGGUUGGUUUGGGGGUCAGAAAAUGAACAUCAUAGGGGGUUUUUCCCUAAUGUGCAUUUGCAUUUGUAUCUGAUGGCUUUAACUCGCCUUGUUACUACAAAGAAAUUGUCACAGAUAGGAACUUAUUCCAGGCUGAGUAUCUCCGCAUGGACCCUAUAAAAGAAGACAAGUCAUAAUGAACAUCUAACCUUUGUUCAAUUUGAUUCAAUGCCCCUAUUGUGUCCAUCUCACAAAUCUGAAUUAUUAUAUCCAUUGAAUACAUAAAUUAAUGAAGAAAAUAUGAAACCCAAGAUACAUCUCUGCACAACCUCAACCCUGGUUGCUAUGUUUCACUUCUAUUCACAUGAGGAUAUUGAUUACGGAAUAAGGAAACCUAGCAAGGGUUUACUCGGCUCUGGUUUGAUGCUAAUUGCCAAACUUGCAACAAGCCCUGAGUUUGACACCUAAUCGAUGGGCGAAUUAAAAGUCUCCUCCAAACAUAUAUUCCACAGCUUGAAGCUCACAGAAGAUGCUAUACAGGCAGGGAAAAACCUUCAGAGUUAGCUACCAAAGAUAAUUAUCAAGGAGAUAUCACCAAGAGAAUUCCAUGGAGUCUGAAUCAAAGACAAAUUGCUCGCUCGUGGGGGUUCUUACUUAAUUUCUUUUGGGUAUAACUCACUGAGGGCACUGGCUUUGUUAUUUGCAUUUCGCAUUUAGAGUUCUGUUCUGGAAGGUUUGUUCUGGAAACAUAUAAAAGGAGCAUCAUUUUGUUCUAGGGUAACCCAUAGUUGUGAGUGGGUCCAUUUGCAUGCUACUUAGUUGAAAAGUUGGACAAUUUGCUCCGACGCCUACCUCCUGGAUUCCAUGCUCGGAUAAAGCAAGAAUAAUAAAAUAUUUAUAAUUUACAAAUGGGGGAAAGAAAAAAAUGUCAACAACAAACUAGGAAAAAAGAGUAGUAAAAUUUAUGCCACAUGCUAUUGAUAGAAGGGGCAUGUAUUAGAUCCAUCACCAUUUGGUAAGAUUUUAGUAUUAUAUUUUUCAAGGUUCAUUAUUUGAGGGUGUGUUCUUCAUCUCUGUUGCAUUGCUUCUUACUAGGCCCACUGAGGUGGGUUCUUCACCUUUUGUAUAUUCUCUGCACUAGAUCAAUGAGAAAGGGGGAAUUUUGGUGAAUUUGCAGCCGUUGGAUGAUUGAUUCUAGGCUCAGUCCACCAAUGAUGCUCUCUUCACUCUUUCUCAUCUAGUGUCAUUCACAACUAUGUUUUGAUUCAUAUUUGUACUAUCAAAGAUAUCUCAUUAUUCUAGCUCAUUAGGUAGAGUUCCUAAUCUUCCUCCUUUUUGGUCUAUGGACAGUAUUGGCUUCAUAUUAAGAUCAUGUUUCAAUAAUUGCACAUUAAUGAAUGGAUCAUGACCCACAUAAACAGAGUCAGGGUUGAGUCAGUGAACCCUAAAAUUUCACAAUUCUAAAUUUGGGUUCUUUAACAAUGCAGGGUCAAGGACGCGUGGUGAUGAAGGAAAGCUGGUAAGCUCAGUGUUACUUCAAUUCCUGCCAUGUAGGAUGGUGAGGAGAUAUUCACUAUGCAAUUAAUAAUAGACAAUAUUCACUAUGCAAUAAUAAAGCAUAAAUUAAGUUGAAUGAAAAGCAUUUUCUUUGCAAGGAGUUGAUUUUGGUUUCAUAGUUUGUUCAACUGCUAUUUUGGAUAGGAAAGUGUGAGGAGAAGAAAAUAAAAAAUAAAAAUAAAACAAAAAAUAAAAAAUAGAUUUUAUAAAUUCAUUUAAUUUAUUUUUUUUUUAUAAAAAUUAACUAAUUUAAAAUAUAUGUAAAUUUCUAAUUAAUUUAAUUACAUUUUUUUUUUCAGUUUUUCAUAAUAAACCAAAUAUUAGAAAAUUAUUUUUAUUAAGACACCCAAGAUGAGGUAAUAUGCAAUGAAAACAUGAAUUAUAUUAAAAUUCAAAACAAAUUAAGAGAAAUCGGAAAAUAUACAUAGAUAUCUAAACAAAGAAAUUUAAAGAGAAGGAACCACAAACUUUAUUUACAUAAUUUGAAAAUAAAAAACAUAAAACAUACUUAUAGUAAGGAGAAAUUGAAUAUCUUACAAUGGAAGAAGGGAGAAAAGCUUUGAAGAAAGCUUUUGCUUGGAAGCUUACAUGGUGAGAGGUAGAGAAAGGAGAGAGAGAGAAGAAAAUGAAAAAUGAGAAGUGGAGAAAAUUGGAAGUUUUGUGUGCUUACAACUGAGGAUAGAGCCUCCUUAAAUAGCAAAAAAUGGAAUAUUAAAUAGUACCAAUCAGGAGACAAAAUAUUGUUUGCUUUUGAAACCCGUGCAUGAAUAGUAAUCCCGUGAGUGAAUAGUGAAUAAUAAAAGUGAAUAGUAAAAGUCACUUUCUACUAUAGCACUUUAGACUUUUUCAUCGAGAAUCUUACUUUCGGCUGAGUGAUGAUAGCUGAUAGGUUGCUUUGGAUUGUGGAGUCAUAUGUUUGAUGUUUUCGGUGCUGAAACCGCUUAGUUGGAGAAUAAUCUCGUCAGUAGAGCAUCAUGAGAAGCUUGAAUGGAGAGAGCUUAAUGAUGCCAUAUGAUUGGAAGGAAUCCUAUUUUAAUUUCCUUAUUGGAGGGAGAAUACCCUCACAAUCAUCUUCAUUAUCUUGAAGGUAGUUUGAUAUAGAGUCAUCUGACUCAGCAUAAGAGUCCUCUUGGGAGAAGCUUGAACUGCUUUUGUCAAGGAUUUUCUGAAAUUCUUGAGGGGUUUUUGCUAUUGCUAACAUGGUUUGGAGUUGCUGUUUCUUAAGAAGAAACUGUGCAAUAUCAUAAGAUGAUGAAGCUUGUGUAGGAUGCUUUAGGAAAUAUUGCUUUAUUGCUUGUAGUGAGGUAUCAUUUUUCAAGGCAUCCCACCACUUAGACUUGAAAGUCCUUCCAAGGGUUGGAAAGGCUGCUGAUUCAUCUGCUAUAAUGAUAUAAUCCCACUGGACUAUCCAGGCAAGGCCAAAUUCACUAAAAAAGAAUAAUAAUUGGGGAAAACUGAAAGUUCUCUAGGGAUAACAAAAGAACUUUGGAAUAGCUCAAAGCCAUCCAAAAUGGGUUUUGGGAGAAUUUUAAUAGUUGGACCAAAAUAUGUCCACCAAUUGUGGAACCAAAAUGGAAAAGAGGGGAGUUGAUGCUUAGAUGGGAAAUAGAACAUCCCUGAAUGAUGGAAGUCCUUGUUCUGGAUCAGAAAAGCAUUGAACCAUACUCUUUGGUAGUCUCAAUAAUUGAAAAUUUUAGGUUUUGAAGGCUUAGAAAAUUCUCUUGAAAAAUUAGGAUUCCCACCCCACUGCUUAACUGUAAGGAUUUUAUAAAUAUGGUAAGUGGAGAAUGCCAAAUCCAAAUUGCUGAAUUUAUCAGCAUUGUGCUUGAUUUUAACAGAGCCGGUUUCCAUAAGGAUUGCUUCAUAAAAUUCUCUUGUUUUUAAAAGAUCACCAAAGGGAUAAUGAAAAUUUUCAUGAAAAGCUUUUGCUGCAAUAUCUCUAGGGUUUUUAGAGAAAAACUCUUUUUCAAUAACCAAAAGAGGUUGAUUUAAAUCUUUUUGCCAAUAUCUUGCUUUUGCUGAAAGAGGUGUGGGGUUGGCUACCACCACAAUUUGCUUAUUUGAAAAAGAAGAGCUUGAUGCUAAUUCAUUUUGAGAGGGAUUAGCUUUAGUAACCUGCUUAAAGGUCUGAGACACAGUAAUAGUUGGAUACUGAGUAGCCUUGACUGGUUUAGAAGGAUUCGAAGGAUCAUAGUACAAGGACAAAAUCUUAUUAGGCAUAUGGUCAGAAGAAUGAAGCCUUGCUUCUUCUUCUAGCUCAACUUGUUGGCUCCAAAGUAUUUUAUGGGGAGAAGGUUCUUUGCUGGUUUUAGAAGACUAGGAUUCUGGAAGUUUAGGAGCUUGGGUAUUCUUUUUAGGGGCCAUGGUUUCGUGAAUCCUGUAAAAUUCACAAGUUAAGAAAUCAGGGCUCGAAGAAUGUUCUCCUUUAAUAUACUCAAUUUGUAAAUUAAAAUUGCUUAAAAUAGCUUGAUAUAUAGCAAAAAUAUGCUUAGAAGUUAUAUUCUUAACAUCCUUUUGUAAAACUAAUUUUGCAAAUUUACAAUCAACUCUUAAUAAAAACUUUUGAUUCAAAAGAUCAUCUUGAAAUUUUGAAAUGCAUAAAACAACGCUUAAAGUCUCUUUUUUAAUGAUGUUAUGAAUGAGUUGGGUAGUAUUCCAGGUUCUUGAAGUAUACCUAACUAACAUCUCAAGGUUACCAACACUUUGCUUAAGAAUCCCACCAUAACCUAUGUCUGAGGUAUCGAUCCCAACAAACUCAAAGGUUUCUGGAUUGAUAGAGCCUAAACAUGGUAGGGUCUUGACUUUGGACUUAACAUCAAUAAUGAAAACAAUGGUGAAAACAGAAAACUGGUUAAAGUUUUCAUCCAUUAUAUUCUGGAAUUCUGAGGUGCAUUCUUAAGAUCAAAGGGCAUUAUGAACCAUUCAUAAUGUCCAAGAGAUACCACAAAGGUGGUCUUAUUUGGAAUAGGACACCUAAUCCAACUUAAUGUAUCAUUAAGAGGCAUGUAGUUGACGACUAGUCUAGGUGUUCCUUUUUCUGAUUCAACUUGUUCCUGAACAUAGAAGGUUGAACAACUCCAAAGGGACUUAGACUUCCUUAUCAACUUUUUAUCAAGAAGAUCCCAAAUCUCCUUAUCACAAUAGCUUAACAAACCCUUGUUCAUCUGGAUAGGUCUUGAUUUAGUGGGAAUAUUCUUGUCACUAAAGUCUAGUUCAUAAGGUAAUUCUACCUCAUGUUGUUUCCUAUGCCAAAAUGCAUUAGGAAUGUUAGAGCAAACUUCUUCAACAAUCAGAUUAAUUUCUUGCUCAUGACUUUCCUUAGCUUGAAUCACCUGAUCCCUUAAGGUGUUUAUAUUUUUCUUAUUAGGUGGUUGGCAAAUUCAAAAAUAAUUUCCUUAUCUAAGAGCUUUGUUCUUAUACUUUGGUCAUCUACCCACAUGGGAUAGAUGGAGCUUAAAAAGGGGAUUCCAAGGAGAGCUUUCUCCUUAAGAUCCUUAACUAGAAUGAAGGUUUGCUUGAUGCAAAUGCCUUGGUUAUUUAUGUGAGCAUCUGACAGCUUAUACUCAAUGUCAAGCCUUUUACCAUUAGCUCCAAAGAGAGAUUCUUUGGUUUUCUUACAAAACUUAAUAGGACCUAGACCUUCUUGUAGGCAAUUCAAAGCUGUUCCUGAAUCAAUCAAAGCAACAAUAUCAAUGACAAAUUUACUCUUAAUUACUAUAGUAAGGGAGACUUUCCACCUCUGGAAAAUAACCCUACUAACAGUAUUUAAGUAUCCAUCCGUCUUUUCAUCAUUAGCAUGUGAAGAUUCUAGAACCUCUUCAAGGUUUUCCUAGUUAUCAACAAGAUUUUCUAUAACAAUCCUAUUUAUUUGUUCUUGGAGAUCUGAAAAACCUAAGCUUGUGUAUUGUCUUAAAUCUUUAAUUUCCUUCUUAUACUGUCUUACUUCUUCUUGAAGAUCCUUAAUGGUUACGUCUUUGGUAGACUACUGGUUAAAUCUUCCUAAGAUUUCAUUUAAGUUAUAAGAAUUUACUGUCUUCUUAAUCUCUUGCUUAUCGACAAAUUUCUUAAAAACUUCAUAAAGAUCUUGUUUAGUUUUUUCAUCUUCAACUUUCCUUAAAACAUCUAGGACAAGUUCUUGAUCUUGGCUUAUGACAUUUAUAGUCUUAGGUUGGCAAUCACAAUUAUCCUUAAUGUAUUCUUCUUGGUCACUAGAAGUUUGGCUUGAGAUUUCCUCACCACUACUAUCUAGUUGGUUAAUACCAUUUUCAUUAUCUGAAUCAAUCCUUGAUUCAGACUCUGUGGAAUUUAACAUUACUUUACAAAGCAUAUCUUUUAAGUCUUCUGUGACAUUUAAGUUAUUAAUUUUCUGCUUAACCCUACAAUCUUUCUUAUAGUGGCCUAUCUUACCACACUUAAAACAAACUGGCUUAGAUUGUGAAGGAGCUUCUAGCUUUUUAUGGGCUUCUUUGUUCAUCAUUCUUUGGAUGUGCCUUUGUUUCUUAGUUUCAUUCAUCCUAUAGUUGCCAUGAGUUCCUCUCUUGUUGUGAUAGGACUUUUCCUUACUAGGCUUUGUACUUACUUGUUUCUUACGUUGCUUAGAGGGGGGCUUAGUUUCUUUUUGGUUGAAUCCAAACUAGCUACAAAAUGAACCAAACUCAUUCUUGUAGAUCCUUUGUUCAUUUUUCAUCUGUUGCUUAAGCUUAAAGUCAUUGCACAGUUUAAUUGCUUCUGAUGUGACAAUGCUUAUAAUUUCUCCAUAAGAAAGCUUAUCAUAAGGGAUUUGUCCAUUAAACUGUUCCCUUAUCUUAAUCCUAAUCCUCUCAGAGAAAAGUCUAGGUAGUCCUAAGAUGAAUUUUUCUUUCCAAAAAGACUGGUUAUAGUUUGAUCUUAGUAUGACUUUGGUUAGGAAAACUUCUCUAUACCAUCUAAAGUCAUGAAGCUUGGGACACUUAAGGUUGGUUAAGAGAUCUACAAUCUUAUCCUUAAUCUUUGCAGGAUCUCCAAUGAAGUGCUUUGAAAUUGAAUAGAUUAGAGUAGCCACUACAUCCUCUAUAUCUUGUCCAUCUUCAUCCUUAACCACUUCAUUUUCCUCAUUAAUCCUAUAGGCUUUUAGGAUACCAUUUCUAUCCUCAAAGGUGAGAUAAUUAUCCCACCAACCCUAAAGUUGACCUGUAAACCCAACAACAAUUGUUUGAGCUACAGCAUGGCCUGACAAUCUAUUGUUUAACUUAUAGGUUGUACUAACCAUGGUCAUUUCUUGAAGCUUAGUGAGUAUGUUGUACUCAAUCAUACCAUCUAUGUUCCAUUCAUAGAUAGUGUCACUAGUGUAGGAAGCUUGAGUAUGCUGGUUUCUUUCCUCAUACUACAUAUCAGGAAAAGUUGGUCUAGGGUAGUAAUUCCUAGUUCUUGGUUGUUGAUAAUCCUCAUAACUGUUUGGUUAGGAGGUUCCUUAAAAAUCUUAAUUAGUUCAUCAGCCUCUGCUUCAGAACUAAUUUCUCCUUUAACCAUAUUGAUUCUCUUGUGAGAUGGUUGAGGUGUCUCAGAGACAACAAGGCUAUCCUUAACCUUUUGGCUUAUCCUAUCAAUGAGGGCUUGAUCAAUAUGGAGAUUCUCUAGGAAUUUCUUAGAGAAUUCAAAAGGCUUAAAUAAAGACUUAUUAUCUUUCUUAACAAACGUAGUCUUAAUGUAGUCUUGUGUUUCAAUGAUAUCCUCAAACUUGUUGAGUUGAUCGCCUGUAGUCUUAAGAAACAUGUUAGUGUAGUUGUUUUGUUCCAUGAUUCUUCUAACGUCAACAACACUAUCAAUUCCUUUAUUCUUUGGCCUAGUCUUAAAAGGUGAAGCUUUGACUAUGGUUCAAUUAAUGUUCUUUUAUAUCUUAGCUUCUAGAGGGUGGAUGGAUUCUAUGAUAGUAUCGUCACUAGUUUUCCAUAUCUUAGUUUUUUUGGAUGUGUCAUUGACACGCUUACUAGGGUAAUCUAGAUAUUCCUCUUGUUUGAAGAGUUCAAACCAGAUCCAAUACUUAAUGUUCUUCUUUUCUUGUCUUAAGUAUGUGUAGAAUUCUUCUUGGUAGAGGGUUCUAAUGUCUUUAAGGACCUUGCUAAAGAACCAAACUCUCCUUUUCUUAUUGACUUCAGAAUAGAAGUCUUUCCUUAAGAGGUCCUUGUUGAUUCAAAGUCUUCGUUAAUUAGGCUUACAGUGUUAAUCAACUGAGAAUAAGUAGGAGACAUAUCAGGAGAUUCGUCCUGAUGUGAUUCUUGAGUAAACUCAUUUUCCUCCAUGUAAAAGGGUUUGGCCACGUUGGUGUGACUUCUAACACCUGUUAGCUUAAUAUUCUUAGGAUUUGCUGAACUAGAUCCUUCCUCUAUCCUAGUGGUUCUUAUUGGGAUAGAUGAACUUGAAGCUCUAGAGGGCUCAUAAUAUGAAAUUCUAAGGCUGCUAGAAUGAUGAAAAGAGUUGGAGAAAAUUAGAUCUCGUUCUCCAUCAGGAUAUUGAACAAUCUGUUCAAUUCUUUCAGAUCUUUGCUCUAUGGCUGGGACAACAUUAGCAAAAUGCCAAUUUUCUGGAAACUCAACCUCAUUCCACUUGAUUUUCAUGGGGACUAUGAAAUUAGACUUGUUUAUCAUAUCUAAGUGGAAGAUAGUGGUUUCACCCUUGGGACUGGUGCACAAUGCUCCAAAUCCAACGCUUAUGGUCAUGCUCUUAUAGGCAAAUCUGGUGAUGAUGGAAACAUGAUUGUUUCCUUGCUUGAACUUAAAGUCAUGGGUCUUAACAUGAAGGACAACUGAAUCUAAGAUGUUGACAUCUCUUAGUCUAACUGUGAAGUUAGGGAAACACUGGAAAUAAACAGGACCAUCAUUUAAUCCUGCUUGGGUAGCUCCAAUAAUAGAAUCUCGGUAAUCAAGAUGUCUAUUAUCUCUUAAACACAUGACAAUAAAGGUGUUUAGACCUAGUCUUGUCAAGGGCUUAGCUGCAACUUGAAUCAUGCCAAAGUGUAUGAAGUUGUAGUCUCGCUUAUGCUUAUCAAUGGACUUACUAUCCAAGAGUCUUAUGACUUGAUCGUCGUGUUCUAAACUUACUGACAUUUCAGGGGUUUUAAUGGUGUAAUCUGUAAAGAACUUAAAGGUUCCUUUCUUAUAAAUUUCUUGAUUAGGUACCUUGGGUAACUUCCAAUCAUCUAAAUCAUCUUGGAUCUUAGGAUAAUUGAUCUCUUCAUUGUUUACUCUUGAGAAUUUGUGGAUUUCCUAGACAUGGUUCUGAAAAUCAAACUCAUUUUAAGGUUUUAAUCUAGAGCCUAAUAGCAGAUUAACAGACCUAGUGAGUAAUCACCCCAACCCUUUUCCAACCUUAACAAACGCCUAUCUCCAGCUAACAAUGGGCUCAACUCGGCAAGGAUCGCACUCAGGCACACUACUAUCUUUCCUAGGAUAGAUCAAAACACCCAAAACAAACCCGACUUCCUUUUCCUAGGAUAUAUAUAGUAUUUUGGGUUUGAGUAGGAGUUCAUGUUUUGUAUGUAAUUGUAGUCUACGUUGGACUAGGUUGUUUGCUCCUAAUUGAAAUAGGAAUGGUUGGUGUCACAUCUCAUUCAUUUUCUCAUCUAUUUCCAUGUUUAGAUAACUCAAGUAAUCAUAGGAAUGAAAUUAAGAAUGAUUUGAGGGAAAUGAAAUCUCACUUGUAAGUGGGAUCUCAAUUCAUCAUUAAUAGAAGGUAUUUUGAUUACAUAGUGCAAGUUAUUUUUAAAAACACUUUUCAAAAAUUGAAAAACCAAAAACUCUCUUGGAUAAGUUGUUUUUAAAAAGAAUUUUUGUAUUUUUAUUUUGUAAAAAAAAAAAAUAGUAAUUCAAUUUAUAUAAUAUAAAUAGACUUUAAUUUUAUUAAAAAUAAAAAUAAUUUUUUAAUUACAAAUAAAUUAAAAAAUAAAUAUUUGUAAUAAAAUAUGAAUAGUAAUAUUAUAAUAAAAUCAUAAAUAAAUUAAAAAUAUUUUUAAAAACAAAUAAGUUUAAUUUUUUUGAGGUACAAAUGAGCCAAAUUUUUCAUUAGGUACACAACCAACAAUUUUUAUUGGAAACAUUCCUCAAAAAAGAAUUCGUUUCCCAUAUAGCAAAGAUAUUUAUUAUUUAGUAUCUAACCAUCCGUAGUAAUCAUAUCAAUUCUACUAAGUUAUUUAAUAAUUCAUUUAUAUAUAGUACUCAAUUAUGAAUUUUUUUAUUUGAUGUAUAAUUAAUUAAUCAAUGUUUUGAAUUUUGAAUUAUUCUUAAAAUUUAAAACAUUAAUUAUGUCUAUUACUUUUUAUAGUCAUUAUAUAUAUAUAUAUAUAUAUAUAUAGAGAGAGAGAGAGAGAGAGAGAGAGAGAGCUUAAAUUUAUCUUUAAAAAUUAUUAAAUUUAUUAAUAAAUUCAAUACAAAGACUCAUUUGAUUUGAAAUUCAUUUCUUUAGUGAAAAUUUUGAAACUAAAUAGUACUUUGUUUUACUUUGUUUUUAAAUCAUACUCACAAAUAAGUUUUUAUCAUUUAGCCAAAAAAUCUCAAAGAUGUUUCUAAUUUUAUUUAUUUAUUUAUUUGUAAAUGAAAAUAAAAAAUUAGUUUAAACUAAAUAUGCGGAUAUUAUUGUUAAUUUAUUUCAUUUUUUAUUUCCAUUGUUAUUUAACAUUGAAACGGAAACAAAUAAUCAUUCCAAUCUUACAUUCUUAUAUGCAUCUAAACACAAGAAUUGAAAUCACCAAAUUCAUAUUCAAGGCAAAAUAGAAAUGGAAAAAAAAUAUUCAUUUUCAUUCCUCAUUCUCAUGUGCUAAACAUGACAUUAGUUCUACUACCUAUUUCACCAUUCUUCUUGAUAAAUUUGGUAUAUGCAAUAUUGAUCUAAGUGUGAGGUGAAUAAGAAUGAUGAUGGGAUGGGCUUGGAAAUAAGGGCAAAGUUUCUAGGUGCUAUCUAGAGGGGCAACGCGACUUUUUCAAAUUUCGAAUAUUUGUUCUCAACAUAAAGCAAAACUUUACUCACACAAUAGAUAAGACUCUGUUUGUUUUCUUCAUCCACGACUAUAUAAUGUAUAGCUCUUACUCAAGGGAUGAGCUACUUACUAUUAAGGAUUGGGUAAGAUAUUGCCUAAUGGCCAAGAAGGCAUGUCAAAAAAUAAAUCUAAUCACCAUAAAAAAUAAUAGGGGAAAAUUAAUAUAUUAUGAAUGAUGACUUUACUAUUUCUCUAUAUACAUAAUUAUAUAUUUUGAAUUUUCUCACUAGGUAAUGAGAUUCUAAAUCAACUGAAACAUAAUUAAUAAUUUAUAUUUUUAAUGAAUCUUUUAAUUUUUAAAAAUAAUUUAAAAUUUUAAAAAACAAUUCAAUUAAUUACAUAUUAAAUCAAAACAUUUCAAAAUAUUGUGUUUGUAGAUGAGUACUAAAUGCUUGCAUAUAAUAAUAAUAAUAAAAAAAUUGACUCAUUUAGAUGUUAAAAAAGUUAAAUGUUUUUCAUUAUUCAUUUUAAGUAAAAUAUUAUUGACAUUAUUAUUAUAAAAUUAUUAUUAUUCAUUUUUAACAAAAAACAAAAUAAGUUAUUCUUUUACCAAGAUGUCAAUAUCUAUAUUUUUCUAACAUAUAUUAAAAUAGUAUACUUUUCUUUUAUUAAAAAUAAUAAUUAUUAUUAUAUUAUUAUUCAAGUUUUAUUAAAAAAAUUUAUCUUUUAAUUCAUUUGUAAUUACAAAAUAAUUUUAUUUUAUUAAGAAUUUAAUUUAAUUACGCUUUUUUUUUUUAUAAAAAAAACAGUUAUGCUUUUACCAAGAUGUUAAUAUUCAUAUUUUUCUAGCUAACAUAAAUAGAAUAGUACACUUUUUCAUAUAAAAAAAUAAUUUAUGAUUUUAUUAUAAUGUUACUAUUCACAUUUUACUAAAAAUAUUUAUUUAUUUUAUUUAUUUUUAAUUAUAAAAUAAUUUUAUUUUCAAGAAUUUAAUUUUAAAAAAAUAGAAAUCAUUUAUUCUUUUACCAAGAUGUUAAUAAACAUAUUUUUCUAACAUAUACUAAAAUAAAAAAGUUUACUUGUUCAUUAAAAAAUAUAAUUUAUGUUUUUAUUAUAAUACUACUAUCUAUGUUCUACUAAAAAUAUUUAUUUAUAAUUAAAAAAUAAUUUCAUUUUUAAUAAGACUUGAACUAAAUUAAAUUUAUAAUUUUUUUUUAAAAUAAAAUAGAAAAUUAUUUUUUAAAAACAACUUAUUGAAAGAAAUUUUUUAUUCUUUACUUUUAAGAACUGUUUUUAAAAGCAACCUAUAAACCCCUUUGGGUCUGUUUGGCUAUGUUUCAUGCAACUUGUUUUUAAAAAUUGUUUUUUAUUCUUUAAUUUAAUUUUUUUUAAGUUAAAGAAUAAAAAACAACUUUCUAGUGUUUUAUAAAAAUGAGAGCUUUUGACAAGUUGUUUUUAAAAACCAUUUUUAAAAAUAAAAAAUAAAAAACUUAUUUAGAUAAAUUGUUAUAUAUAUAUAUAUAUAUAUAUUUGUAAAAACAUUUUAAAUUCAAUUUAUAUAAUAUAAAUUUAAUUUAAUUUAAGUCUUAUUAAAAAAAAAUUGUUUGGAUAAGUUUUUUUUUUUAAAUAGUUUAUUAUUUUUGUUUUGUAAAAACAUUGCAAAUUCAAUUUAUAUAAUAUAAAUUAAUUUAAUUCAAGUCUUAUUAAAACCAAAAUAAUUUUAUAAUUACAAAUAAAUUUAAAAAUAAUUUUUUUAGUAAAACAUGAAUAAUAAAAUUAUAAAUUAUAUUAUUGUGGACCCUGCAUUUAUGCUCAUGCGCUUCCACUUGUUGGCGAACUCAUUUUUUAUUUGAAAAUGAUUUAUUUUUUUAGAAAAUGACUUAGAGUCGCCACUUAUUUUUGUUUUAUUUUUAAAGGGCAAGCAAAAUAAGAAAGAAAACCCUAAGUGUGACUCCUUAUUCGAAAAAGGUAGUCUGUGUAAAACCGGAUCAGGGUUCAGGGAUCAGGUUACUUAUUGGGAAGGUAUGACAAUGACCGUAGCACUCCUCUAAGUCCUUAAAAACGGGCCUCUACUAAAAAAAAUAAAGUAAUCAUGGCAAUCAGUAAGGAAAUCACUGGAUACCCAGAACAAUUAUGCACAUGUGAGAAUUAAAACAUGCAUAAGAAUGGACAAAGUGAGAGUGGGUGCGUACCUUGACAACGAACCACAAUGCGUUAUCAAGAAAUGGGGUUAGUGCACGAUCAAUGAACAUAAAACACGUCACACAUGUCACUAAGCAGAGUGAGAAAUCAUCAGAUAUUACAAUUCAAUCAAAUUUAUUUUUAGAAGAAACAUCUGUUGAUGUAGAGCCCCUACCAAAGCCUAAUUUAUUUUUGCAUGAAUCAAUUUCAUAAAUUCAAUCGCUUGGAAUUACAGAAUUAAAUUCAUGCUUAUUUUAAAACAUCUUUUUAAAAUCAUGGAAGAUGUGAAAAUGGUUUUCCAAAGAGAAAAUGACAACUGAUUUUAUUGAAAAUGGGAUUUUGGGGACCUAAACGUUAAAGAGGGAUUAGGAAUUGAAAAUUAAAUCAUUUGAAAAUUGAAUUUUUCAAAAAUCAGUUUUGAAAGCAUGCAUGCAAGUAUGGACUGUGAAAGUGGGCCUAGGGAGGGUGGCCAUGCAAAAUGAGGUCAUACACGUGGGCCUUGGGUACAAUUGGGACUACUUUGCUGGUGCCAGUGGUGCUUGCAGCUGUCAUCCAUGAUUUCUUCAUUGGGAUCAAUUUCCAUUCUUACUGCCAAACAUUCCAUAACAAUUGACCAAACUAGUAACCCUGACCUUGCAUGAAAAUGAACGUUACCUAGAAACUCACUGCCAGUGAGAUUCAUUGCUCUUUCAAAAGGUCUCAUUUUCUUUCUCAUCCAAUUGCUUUAAGGAGCAUUCUAGCGUCACGAUUGGUGACUGCGCAUCAUCUAGAGCCUUCUUUCUUCUCAGAAUCAGGUUUGCGUGCAGAGGCCUGUGCUUGUUCAAGGUUGACCUAAAUUCAUCUAGGUUUAGAACCGACCAGUUGAGCUUGGGGAGCAACGACAAGAAUAUCAGUCACUUGCGAAGAGAAAACUCGAGAUCUUUCAAGUAAUGCCUGACAUAGAUUCCUCCAACCUGUGGCCAAUAUCUCAUUCCUUGUUGGCCAGACGCCUAUUAGGGCGUAUCUCAAUCAAUAAUAUGAUUUUUCGUUUGUUCACAAUAAAGACCGGAAGCCAUGGUUGUGAUUUAUGCAGUACAGAAGAAGUUGCCAUGGCUGGUAUCCUUACAAAUUCUGGUGUUUCUGCUAUCUGUUCAAGUGCAAAACACAACAGCUUUAUCAAGUUUGUCCCUAACAACUGAUAUUGAGCCCUCUGGAGGAAACCUUGAUAAAUUCAUAAUCACUUUUGACUCAUGCAUGGGCUGCCCAUCAAAUUUUCCUAGCAACGAGACGACUGCUGUCAUCUACUGCAAAGAGAAUUUCUUCUCGCAAAGACAAGAGGAGUUUAAGAAUACACACUAUUCUGCCAUUUCAUUUCCUCUUUCUCCACAACCAACAUAAACCAUAGUGUCUACAUUAGAGUACUUAGAAAGAGCUUAACUGAUGACCGUUUUUCCACAACCAAAUGCCCCAGGUAUGGCACAAAUUUCACCGAAAACAGAAGGGAAAAGGGCAUCAAGAACACGCUGUCCUGUAAGUAGUGGGGUAUCAGGACUACUCUAGGGAAGUUAUUUCUGUCAUUUUGAAAAAGAAAAAUUAAAGAAUGUACACAUGCUUUCAAGUGGACUGGAGCAUUCUACAUAUCAGGUGGUCUGUAGCCACAUGUGCCACUUUGUGGAAGUUGGAACAGUCGAUCACUAGGCUAUUUAGUGUGGCCAAGCCACGUUAAUCAAGGACAAGUCUUCAUACUUAAAAGUCAAAUGGUGCCUUUAGUCUCAUUACACAUGGCUAUUUAAAGAUGAACUAAUCUUUAGUGUAAUGUGAUUAAGACAGUACUAACUGAUCAAUAUUUUUUCUAAUUUUGGAUGCAAAUGCUUGCUGGCUUCAUCAUUGGAUGGGAUAAAGGUGCAUUCAUGACUCUGAAUACUUGCAGUAAUACUUGCAGUAAUACUUCAUUCUCUUUUUUCUCGAUGAGACUUCUUGGCACAAUUUUGCUUCUCAGCAACCUACCUCUCCAUGGAAAAUGAGUUGCGAUUGAUGGUACUGGAUAUUUUCUAGGAAGCUAAAUAUAGAUAUAUAGCACUCAAUGUCAACGAUAUAUAUAGCAUUAACAGUAUAUGUCUCAAUGCUCAUCAGCUACAAGCAAGGGACAAACACUUACAAUGAAUAACUCACGUCAACAUUCCUAAACAGGACAUAGAAGUGACAGAUCUAUAUAUAGAACACUGCAUAUGAGUCACAAGAAAAGAUAAUACGGGUGCAUAGCAGCUCUUAUAUUACAUAUUACUCAUACCGUUCAAAUUCACUCAGUUGGGAUGGGUGGGAGAAGGAGGCCUCUGGGGUGGCUUGUGCGUGUGAGAAGUGGAAGAAAGUUGAAUGGAAUGAAACUGAAAAACAGGGUAGAAUAGAGGUUUCUUGAAUCUUCUGAAAUCUUUAUUUUUCUGAGAUUUAUUCUCUGUUUUUGUGAGUCGUGACUCUACAUAUAUACAUGUAUUUAAAGUUAGUUAUGCCUUAUAACUAAUUAUCUAACAGUACCAAAACUAAUCAUCUAGUUGCAUGUUUCUAAUUAAUGCUAUUUAGUUACAACUAUAUAUGGCUUAACAUCCUCUCUCAAACUCAAAAGUCUAGCUAGAACAGUGAGUUUGCUUCAUAGAUUGAGAAAUUGUUGAAUAGGUAAGGCUUUGGUAAGAGCAUUAGCAAUCUGGUCAUAAGAAGGAAUGUGUUGAACCACCAAAGUCUUAUUGAGCACCUUUUCCUGAACAAAAUGGCAAUCUAGUUCCACAUGCUUAACUCGAGAAUGAAAAUAGGAUUGGCAGCAAGAAAGGUGGCUGAAAGAUUGUCAUAGAACAAAACAAAAUAGGAGAAUAAGAAGAUGAGAUAGAAAACUCCUGAAGAAGAUGUUGAAUCCAUUGAAGUUCAAAAGCAACAUUUGCUAAGGCCCUAUACUCAGCUUCAUUGCUGGAACGAGACACAACUUUCUGCUUACUGGAGUUCCAGGAGACUAGAUUAGAGCUAAAAAAGAUGCAAUGACCACUUGUACUUCGACGAUCAUCAGGGCAACCAACCCAAUCAACAUCAGCAUAAGCAGUAAGUUGAAAAUCAGGAGAAGAAUAAAAGGAAAGACCAAAGGAAGUAGUGCCCUUAAGAUAAUGCAACAAUCGUUUAACAACUUGCCAAUGAAGAUCAGUUGGUUAUUGCAUGAAUUGGCAAAGUUUAUUGAUAGAGAAAGAGAUGUCAGGCCUUGUAAUGGUACAAUAUUGCAGGGCUUCAACAAUGUUGCGAUAUUGAGAAGGGUCAGCCAAGAGGGAACCUUUAGAGGCAGAUAAAGUGUGAGAGGUAGUCAUUGGUGUAUCAAUAGGUUUAAAAUAUGGAAGACCAGCACGAGUUAACAAGUCCUGAAUAUAUUUGGUUUGGGAAAGAUGAAGAGAAGAUCCUUGCCAACAUACUUCUACACCCAAGAAGUAAUUCAGAAUACCAAGGUCCUUGAGAGCAAACUGAAAGUGUAAAGACGAAACCAUUUGGUGGACUAGCACGGUAUUAAGACCACUAACAAUAAUGUCAUCAACAUAGAUGAGAAUAAUGAUCAUGUCAGUCCCUUUCCGAAGAGGAGCUUGCUUCAGACCCUACAAGGCUUUGCGAAGUUUACAGAAAAAACCGGGUUUAGAAUGAUCAACAAAGCCUGGAGGUUGAACCAUGUAAACCUCUUCUUCUAACUCACCAUUGAGAAAGGCAUUAUUAACAUCUAAUUGUUCCACUAACCAACCAUGAGAAAUAGCAAGAGAAAGAACAAUUCAUAUAGUAGUUGGUUUAACAACAAGGCAAAAGGUUUCAAAAUAAUCAAUACCAUAUGUUUGAUUAAAACCCUUUGCAACUAAGUAGGCUUUAAAACGAUCAAUUGAGCCAUUAGCUUUGAGUUUCAGCUUGUAUAUCCAUUUACAACUAAUAAUGCGUGUAUUAACAGGUUUAGGAACCAAUGUCCAUGUGGAAUUGGUGAGAAGAGCAUCAUACUCAGUCUUCAUAGCAGCUUGCCAAUUAGGAUGCAAUAUUGCUUCUUUGAAAGAGGAGGGUUCGACAACAGUAGUUUGGAUAGCAAGGCUAAAUAUUUUUUUGGGUUUAAAAAUACCAUUUUGGCUACGAGUAACAAUAGUUCGGUUUGGAAGUGAAAGAGGAUCAGUGGAGGAGGCUGGAACAAGGGAUUGUGGUAAAGUAGGAAAGGAAGGUGGAUGAGAUGGAACAAAAUCAGUAGGGACAAUAAUGGGAGAAGAAAAAUUAGGUGGAGAAUGAUGAGGAUUCCUUGAAGAUGGUGUAGGAAUAGAGAGAAUACCAGAAUCAAGAAGUGUUAAAGAAGAGUUGGAUGAUGAUACUGGUUGACAGGAUAAAGACUUUGUUAAAAAUGGAAAUCGAGUUUCAUCAAAUACAACAUGACGAGAAGCAUAUAUCCGAGAGGAAGCCAUAUCCAAACAGAGGAAUCCCUUGUGUUUAGCACUAUAACCCAAAAAACAGCAAACAACAAAUAUAUUUGCUAGCUUGUGAGAAGCAUAAGGGCGAAGAUAAGGAAAACACAAGCAUCCAAAACUUCAAAGAGAUGUAUAAUAAGGUAAACGAUUAUAAAGAACUCCAUAAGGAGAAUUUUGUGAAAGAACAGCAGAGGGAAGGCAAUUUAUGAGAAAAAUGGCAGUUUGAAAUGCAAAUGACCAAUAUUUGAGAGGGUAUACCAGCUUGUAUUAACAAAGAAAGACCAACUUCCACAACAUGACGAUUCUUUCUUUCAACUCUUCAAUUUUGCUAAGGAGUAUAAUGACAAGAGACUUGAUGAAGAAGACCAUUUGUAGCCAAAUAAUUCUGAAAAGCUGAAACUGAAACUCAUCAAAUUGAUUUUUAGUAUCAAAUUUUCUUCAGACUGAACACAUUGAUUUUUAGUAUCAAAUUUUCUUUCAACCAUGGCUUGAAAAUGUUGGAACAUAAGUAAAGCUUCAUCUUUAGUUUCCAAAAGGUACAACCAUGAGAAUAUGCUAAAAUCAUCAAUUAGCAAGAGGAAAUAUUGAGCAUUACCAUUGACAGAAACUAUAGGAGUUGCACCCCAAAGAUCAACAUGGAUGAGACCGAAUGGUUUUAUUGCUCUAGAAGUGGAUAUUUCAAAUGGAAAACGAUGGCUUUUAGCCAACUGACAAGACUCACAUACAGAGUUAUUAUUGUCAUGUUUCAAAGGUAUUUUAUAAAGAGAUAAGAUUUUGGAAACUACAUUAAUAGAGGGAUGACCAAGUCUAUUAUGCCAAAGCCUCAAAGAACCAACGGCUAAAGUACUACUAGUAGAGUAAAAUACUAGUGGAUGACCAACAACUCUUGGUGUAGCAAGAAGUUUAUAGAGACCCUUCUCAAUUUUUCCUUGAAGAAGAGCAAGUCUCGUUUCCUGAUCCUUUACCACAAAAUGAGAAGAACGAAAUUCAAUAAAGGUGCCAUUGUUUGAGUAAAAUCGUUGCACGCUAACUAAGUUGGUGGUAAUAGAAGGAACAUGUAAGACAUCAUUGAAAAACAAAGAACCACUUGAAGAGGCAAGAGAAAAUUUACCAAUAUUUGCAAUGGAUAAACCCUUACCAUCUCCAACAAUUACUUUGUCACCACUGGUAAAUGGAUUAUGGAUUGUUAAAUUGUUAAGAUCAGAUGUGAGAUGAUGGGUAGCCUUUGUAUCAAGAAACCAAUAAGUGUCUCCCAUUGUUGCAGAAGUUGUAGUCAUAGCCUCAGGAUUGUUAGAGGUGGAAUGUUUAGAAUCUUUUGGCUGAUAAUCAGAGUUAAACCGAUACCAGCAUUGUAAAGCGGUGUGUCCGAACUUACAACCGAGAGAAAUAAUCUUUACUUAUUCUCUAAAAACUGUUCUUUAUUCCACACAUUAUUUCUAAAAACUGUUUCUAGAUAACAAUGACAAAAUAGUAUUAGGAAUUUUUAAAAAUAAAAAUUGUUUUUAAAUUACAUGAUCUAUAUCAUUCACAUUUGACCAUUAUAGCUUUGUUCAGGAAAACACUUGAAAGUAACCUUAUCGUGAUAAGAGAUAUAAGUUGGCUGUAGUUUCAAACUGAAAACAGAGGAUGGCAAUAGAAAGCAAAGCAUUAGUUAUCUGCAAUCAGUGGUGAUCAUGCCCCAUGUCAAUUUCGGACCCAUAUCUUAAAACCGUAUAAUUUGCAUUUCAACAUUUCUGAUUUCUCAGAUGUUUCAUACUCCACAGAAGAACAUUGUUUGUGAAAGCAUGCAUUUAUGCUGGAUUUUGGAUGAUGUGGGAACUGGGGCAAGGAUCAUAUGGAAGAGUGGUCGAUUUUUUCUGUACUUUAACAUUUGAAAUAGGAGCAGCACGGGCAUUUGUGGGGCUUAAUUGAUUUUGAAGCCUGAAAUUGCGUUUCUGUCAUUUUGUAAAAAAUAUGGCAGAUUCCAUGCUCUCAUAUGUUUGGUCUGUGGCCAUGUAUAGAUGCCACUUAGUGACCAGUUUGUAACUGUCAAUCAUAGUGUUUUGACUCUGGCUCAACAACAUCAGCCAUUGACGGAUUUUCAUACAUGCAAAUCAAAUAGUCUUCUUCCUCCCUUAGGAAUUUCGGUUUAAAUGUUAUUAAGCAUACAUUUGGCUGACAAUUAUUAACCACUUCAUGAUAUGGUUUCUUACCCUUAAUCAAUGGUUUCUAAGUGAAUAUAUGCAGAAGGAAAUCUGAACUGUAGACAGCAGUAUUGAUAAUUAUCAAUAUUCUUUAUAUAAGAGAAUAAACAACGUCAUAGUGAUCGUCGCCUACAAGAAAGGUACAUUUCCCAACAAGAUGUAGUUGUGACUGGUACAUGGACGUAAUUAACUCGUAGAAAAGGAUAAGACCAGUGCACGGCAGCUCUUAUUUUACAUGCUAAUUAUGCUAACCAAAGUCACUCAGUUGGGAUGGGAGGGAGAUGGAGGUUUGUGCGGUGGCUUGUGGGGCGGAGUUGGUGGCUUCUUUUCAGGAGCUUGUGGCUUUUUCGGAGCUGAAGGAGGCUCAAUCUUAUGAGGCGGCUUGUACGAGUCUUCUUUACUCUCGACAGGAGGGUGGCCAGGGUUGUGACCAUAAUGUGGUGGCUUCUCUCCCUUAGGUGGCUUGCCAACUGGGGUUGGUGGCUUGUGUUCAGGAAGUGGUUUCUCUCCCUUGGGAGGUUUACCAAUUGGGGUUGGUGGCUUGUGUUCUGGGAGUGGUUUCUCUCCCUUGGGAGGUUUAGUGGGUGACUUGUGUUCUGGAGGUGGCUUCUCCACCGGAGGCUUGUGCUCCGGUGGUGGCUUCUUGGUUGGAGGGGGCUUGGGGUAAUCAGCAAGAGAUGGGGGGGUGAGAACCACCACUCCAAGGAACAACACUAGCAAGUAUGUGGGAGACAUUUCUGAGUUUGAGCUGAUCAGAUGAUGCAAAACUAGAAGAAUUACGUGACCUUUUAUAGCAAGUAGCUCCCAAUACCCACAUGACACGUGUUACUGUGACCAUAAAUAUUAUAGGGUCCAUUUGUGCCCUACCGGGUUGAAAACUUGGACGCUUGGCCGAGGACACACCGAACUAUGGAGGACUAUUGACGUGUGAUCACAGCUUUUGGAUUUUUCUUCCUGUGCAGCUGUCUAGCGGUUGGCAUUAUUUUUUUAAUCUUAAAUAAAGGCAUAGUUAUAGAGUACAUUUAUAUAUCUUCAGAUAGCCAUUAAUAUAUUUGAUGAAGAAAGACAAGUGCAUACAACAUGUAUACGGCUUGCUUCAAUCGAGUACAUUUAUGAUCAGUUUUCCAGUGCAAGUAAACCAGUUUUUUGUUCCACAACUAUUUUGGAAUCUUGUUUAUCAGUUUCUAUCAUUAUAAUGUCACAUAGGCUGCAAACUUGGGCACCCAAAGAUCUAGUUGGGCAAAUUUGUUUCAGAAUUUCAAUGGUGGAUUCAGUAAUUGUUAAAAGGUGUUUCUUCAUUAAGGAAAGAGUCCUGUAAAAAUAUUGUUAAAAGGUGUCAUAGAAACUAUAAUAAUUAAAUAACUUCUUUUCCCCGUGGGUGGUGUUUCUUCUGGGGAUACCCAAAAUGAGUUCAGAUUAAAAUUGGUUCGAGUCAAAGCUGUCUCUUUUGUCCAGAAAUCAACUAUUUUGCGCAUUGCAUGAAUCGAUAAAGAAAAAAUGAAAGCCAAAUCACACCUCCCCUGCAAAACCUAAACCCCGGUUGCUAACUUUCUAUGUUUCAGUCCUAUUCAUACAGGAAUAUUGGUUCAAGUUUGAGAAAAAUGGCAACUUACCUAGGGAUUACUUGGUUGUGGUUUGCGACGACUAUUUACGCAACCAACCAUGAGUUUGACUUUAACGUCAUGGGUUGAAGCCUCCUACAAUCGUGUAUGAUAGUUCAAAGCUCGUAGUAGAAAUUAUACAGGAAGGAAGAAACCUCCAAAGCUAGCUCCAAAAGAGAAUUAUCACAUCGAUAGCUCCAGAGAUUCCCAAGGGGACUGAAUCAAAGACAAGUUCCUCACUUUUUCUUCUUUUGAGGCCAAAUAUGAACCAAGGAUCACACGACCUCAUUCAACUUCAUAAGUUUGAUUUCAUGCAGUUGAACACUGGGUGAAGGCCAUGACAAGAAUUGAUUAAAAAAUUCUACCACUGUUUUAAGUAAUGGAAGAUUAUUAUCUCUGAUUGGCACCACAACAGCACAUGCUGCUAGAUCUUUCUAGACACUCCAUGCAAUGAAAGUACAAUGGAUCUUGUAACGAUAGAAACUAAGCCAUGCUACAGUACUAGAUGACGAGGUAAAACUAUUAGACAUGGGUGGCAGCCUAUAUGGGAGGGACACAAGUCUAAUUGAUUUGCAUUUCAGCGUUCUAGAUGGGUAUGUUUUGGAAGAUUUGUUCUGGAAAUACCGCACCAAGUAGGAUUCUUUUUUCUCUUGAGUGGGUCCACUUGCAUGCCAAUUAUCGAGUUGAAAAGUAGAGCACCUACCUCGUGCUCGUGGAACCGAAGGUCAGUGAAGUGGGGCUCCUUUUGGCCUCUUGUGUUUCUGUUCCAACCAAGGCGGCGGAGGGAAAAACAGCAAUAUGUCUCCGCUAAAUAUCAACGCAUGAUAGCGAAUGAGGGAGAAAAAAAGUAAUUGGCAUCUCAAUCUCACAAACUUGGUACAGUAGUGACAUUAAUAGUCUUCCACAUGGUUUUUAUUUUAUUUUAUUUUAUAUUUUAUAUUUUCCAUUUUUUUAUUUUUUUGUAUGUCAAGGCUAAUGAAUAAAAUGCGUUAGCUUGUUUUGUGAUUGGAACUGCAAAUGUCCAAAUUGGAGUUUCUCCAUUUCUCAGUUCGGAUGGUUAACUUUAUAAACAAGAUAUAGGAAACAUGUGAACGUCUUGAGGAACAAUUCGAAUUAUUGAUUAGAACUCCUAGGUUGAGUUCCAAGAUUUAAAUCAGACCCCUCUAGCAGCUUCAGGGGUACCUAGCAAUUAGAACAUAUUAAUGAAGAUUUAGGAUUUAGACUCCGGAAUACAAAUUAAUAUGUAUCUUAUGCUCUGACUAGCUUCCCUGCAUAUGCACAAAAUGGAGAUGACCCAAAAAAUAGCAGAAUCGCCUUAGUUUAUGUGGUUAAGGUGAUUCUCCGGUUAAUAUCCACAUUGGCUCAUUAUGCAAAUCAACUGAGCUAUUUUUUUUUUAAUGUCAAAUAGGAACUCCUAAUUAACCUAACCAUUGGCCUGUGUAAAUUGAUUUCACAUGCACAAUGUUGUAGUAGAAGUCCACAUUUUGAAUUUUAUUUUUGGAAAGGUAAGGAAAAUGAAGCAUUGUGUAAUUAUAAAAAUAACUUCAUUGGAAUUCACAAGGUUCACCCAAAAUGGAGCUACAUCCGUAUUCUAUCUUACAGUAGACUAUAUAGAUUGUACAAUAGUAAAUUGCAAAUACAAUUAAUAAGUCUUGUGUUUCCUUACUAAUAAUCCUUUGACAUAAACAUUGCAGCACUAAGGUCCUCUUGGGCAGACACCUUGCACCCAUGAGAGCACUAAGAGGAAGCAAGGCGGAGUCAUGGGUGCAAUGUCAUGACUUGUUGCACUAAGAGAGGCUUGGUGAUGGCAUAGUGCUGCAGUAGCAAGAAUGUUGCCUUGGCAGGGACACGAUCUAGGGACAGAUGCCAAGAAAGGCUUAGCACUCACAUGAGUUGCACAAAGAUGAAUGAAAUAGAACAUCAAAGAGACAUCUUGGCAAGCUCAAGAAAGACAUGUGGGUUGGUAAAUGAAUGGAUGCAAGAGGCAACAACAUGAGGAGUUUCAAAUGGAUAGGGAAUGAGUCAAAGACAUUUGAAAGCUACAAGUUGGAUUCUAAUUACGAUUGCAAUUUGAGUUUGAGUAGGAGUUUAUAUUAUGAUUGUAAUUGUAGUAUGAGUUGGACUAGGAUUGCUUAUCCCUAGUCAAAAUAGGAGUUGUUCAUGCCACACCCUAUGAAAAGAGUUUGAGUAGGGACUAGGAUUGCUUGCUCCUAGUCAAAUAUGGAGUAGGUGGUGCCACACCUAUAAAAAAAAAAGGGACAACAUGAGAGAGAGAGAGAAUGAAUUCACCAAAGAUAUUGUGGGAGUUUUGCUUUGUUACAUCUUGUAUUAUUAUUUAGAAUAGUAAUAAAAUACAAGUUGGGGCUAGAGCCCCAUAAUCUCGUGUGCCUUUGUGGGUUAUUCUUUAUUUGCCAUCUCGUGUGGAUUGGAUUAGAUUGAUGAGGCGAAAUAUUAUGUGGGAAAUUUAUGUUGGGACACUUACCAUAACCAGGUAAAAUCUACCAAGUCUUUUGUAAUAUCUUCUACAAAUAUUUUAGACCAGUUCUUCACAAAACAUCAUAAUAUGUUUUGUGUUUCUCUUGGAUUUUGAGUUGAAUUGUCUUAGAUCAAUUGAAUGCAUCUCAAUAUUAUUAUCUUGUUUGAAGGCUUGAUGAUUUUCCAUUUAACUUUACUUUCUUUAGGUUAUGCUUGAUUCCUUAAAAGUACUAAGGAAAACAAAAAAUAAAAAAAAAUAAAAAAUGCAGAGGGUUAGGACAUGUGUUAUCUAAUUGUCCUAUCCAAAGAUAUUAAGAAAGUCAUGUAGGAAAGUAAUUGAAAACUAGGUCAAGAAAGGAGCAAAAGGGAAUUGUUUUGGUAUUUUCUUUUUUAUUCUUGAAGGUGGCAGAGCUAAAAUUUGAGAAAUCAAGCAAAACAUACUGAAAUUACAUUGAAAGAAAGAAAAUGGUAGUUAAUGUCUUGCAGUACAUGAUAAGGACUUCAUGCAUGUAGUGUGACGACCCAUGUCUUGGACUGAUGCCACACUCACGGUUACACUUAUACCCUUGGUUCUCUCUUUACUACCUUGGCUAACCUAGAUCAGGCUAUGAGAUAGGCUCCUCACCACACCAUCACUUGCCCAGUAAUUAGUGACAUUUUCAAGCAAUGAGGUAACAUGGUGACACCAAGAGGGUUUAUCCCUCGCCCCAACAAGUCUAGACUCGGUCUCAAAAAAAUGGAGAAAAAUGAGGUGUCGUUAUGCAGAAAUACAACAACCAUGCCUUCCUUAUUACUUAGAUUCAGAAUGUGAAGGUGAAAUUGAGAAACAGAAACUCUUGAAACCAGAAUGAAAAUUGAUACUUUUACGAAGAAUUACAACAUUAGAGGAAGACUACAUUCUUCCUCUAUAUUCCUACGUUUCUACACUACUUCUACUCCACUCCAUAUUUCUACAUACAUCUUUAAUCAGUUUUCCCUCCUUUAUAUAGAGCCAUCUUCACACAAAUUCCGCAAGGUAGAAAAGAGGAAUGAAACUUGGAGCAAGGUUCGACUACUGGUUGUCGCUUGUCAAGGCUGGAAUUGAACUUUUUUUCUUGGCUUUUCUGGGCAUAGGUAGUAACUUGUGGUUCCUUUUUGGAAUGAAAAUGGUACAGCUAGAACAUGUGGCACUCUCUUGUUGGAUUAUGUGUCAAACAUGUGGCAGCCAUCUAGUGGAGAUUAUUUCAAUUUUGGGAUGGAGAGUUGGCAUCCAAUUGCAAAGAAAUAUGACAUCUACCAACAUGCAAUGUAAACCUAUAUAGAUCAUAUGGAGAUAGAGAGGAAACAUAUAGAAAUGGAUAUAUACCUAGAACUAGCUUUUUAUUAAAUGAGACGGAGAGCCAACAAUGAAGGAAAAUCAAAAUUUUUGGCUCAUAUCAAAGAAUUCACAUUGUGUUACCCUAGGUUUUCUUAAAGCUUGCACAAAGCCAAAAAGCACACAAAAAAUUAUAUUUUCUAGCUCUCUACCUUGGAUGGUCUCUUGAUCCUACUUGGAGAUGUGCAUAAAUAAAAGGAUUUGAAAAUGACAAUUGACUAAGUAUGUAGUCAAUCAAUUACUCAUUAAUUGACUAGUUGAUCAAUUAACUUUGCAACAUCAUAUGCAAUCCUAAUAGCUAGUCAUCUAAUCAACUAGGUAGUAAAUCAAUAGGCCAAAAAUAUGUUUAUAAUGACUAUUUUGUACAAAAACCACCUAUAUGGUUAAAUAUAAUGCAUUUCAUUUAUAAAUCUUCUAAUUCUUGAAUAACGAUCCUAUCAUCCUUUGAAAGUUUUUAUUACACCUUUUAUACUUUUGUUCUAAAACUUACACAUGUACAUCACCCUUAAUUGUACCAUGAGAACCUAGCUUUUUUUUUUUUUUUUUUUGUAAUUCAUCAAAGUUAGCUUUUGUAUUCAUUACUGUACUAUUUUUAUUGUAACUUAGAAAGCGAGUGUUUUCAAGUGAGUGAAAUUGACUUAUAAAUAUUGUAAAGAUUCAUUGAUGUGUAUCUUAAACUAAGUGUACAAGUUGAAACAUUUGCUAGUAGAUUUUCUCAAGAUUUAGAAUAGAGCUUGAGGCUAUUGAAAUAGGUGGGGUUGCACCAAACCACAUCACAUUGUUGUUUGCACCUUUUUUUCACUCUCUUUUACUUAGUUGCUCUAUAUUUGUUGUCUAGUAAUAUCCUAUAGGCUUGAUGGGUUAGGGAGCAUCCCUUUGUGAAAAAUUUUCAUUCAAUCCUUAGUUGUAUCACGCAUAUAUAAAAUGCCUCAUUGUUUUAAUGGUAUUCAGUCGUGGCAUCACAGAUAUGGGCAUCUAAAUUUUAAAAGUUUGAAACUUUUAUCUAAAGAAAAUAUGGUGCUUUGCCUUUUUGUAAAGCAUGUUGAUGAAAUCCAUGAGAAUUGUGUACUUGGGAAGCAACAUCGAGAUGACUUUUUUUUUUUUCAUUUUUUAUAAUGCGACACCUAAGUCCGGUUUCUAAAUGCUGAAGUGAAAGGGUAGGUAUGGACCAUUGAAAUCUGAUCACAACUUUUGGCCUUUUCCUUUCUCUGCAGCCAUGUUGUCUCUUUUUUCUUUUGCAUGAUUUUCUUACCUAAACAGAAUCAUAGACUUGUUUAAUCUCUAAAUGGUAUUUCAUCCAGCUUUAAGCUACUGUAUUAUAUCUUGGUGGAGGACUUUUAAGAGUGAAACCGACAUAGAGCACAUGCAAGUGGGUAUAUGGGACAUGAAAUUUCUUCUUAUAAAGACUGCAUGGUUUUUAUAUUAGAGUUGUUGAGGCGCAAUGUAUUUAGCUUGUUUUGCAGUUAAAUUAAUUGGAUAAGUAGACAUUGUCGUUUCUAAAUUUCCCACCUAAGAUAGUGACCUUAUCCUUGACUGCUUGAUGAGAUACACAAACAAUUAUACCUUCAAAAUCUACUGUGAAGUGCUUCAUGUAUGUGUGAAGUAUUAGAAAUUUCUUUCUUGGCAACUUGUUUUUUCUUUGCCCUCUACUGAUAGGUUUGACUCAAAUUAAAUUCCCUGUCAUGCUAAUUAAUUUUCACGUGCAUGCUCAAAAGGAUCACGUCAACUCUGGUUUCUACUAUUCAGGUCCAUUCCCAGAUAAACUGGUUCAAAUUUGAGAAAAUGGCAACAGCCCUUUAGUGAUGUUGGUUUGGAGCCAGUAGCCAAACCCGCCCUGAGCUUUACCACUAAUGUCAAGGGACAAAGCCAUUUGAACAAAAACAAUAGCUUCAAGAGACUGAAUCGUGGAUGAAAUCUGAUCCACAUUUCUUCUCAUUUUGGGAACAAAUGAGAACUUAACUACAAAGAUUCUACUGCCUCAUAGUGCUUUUCCUGAUCUAAGGUUGGUUCGUUUCCCAAAUUGUGAGGUACGUGCCAUUCUCACGCUCAGGAGUGUAUCCACGUGGUGGACAUAAGAUGGUGGCUUAAUAUCUGGUGUCGGUGGCUUUACUUUACUAGGAGAGUAGUGUGUCUUCAUCUCAUUCACUGCCGGAGGGUGGCGUAAGCAGUGACGCUAAGGUGGGGCACAGUCAAUAUCAUUUGCAUUUGACCAUUAUAGUUUUCUCCCGGCUUGAAAGUAACCUUAUCGUGAUAAAGGAUUACUAGCACUAGUUCAGAUGACAGUCAUGUUAAAUUCGGACCAUGUUUGUGUCACAUUAUCAGCAACCAUGUGUUUAUGGUUCAUGCUAUCUGCAACUAAACUUGAUAUAUAACCACGUGAACUUCAAUCUAAAUUCUGGAAGUACUCUUGUGAUAGAUGGUGCCUGUCUGCAGAGUCCAUCAAUUGAAAAAUGGAGUGAGUGUAUCUAUAAGAGGGAAGGCUUGGCAAAUGUUCAGUUUUCUGGGAACUCAACAAGGAUCUAAAAUAGAUUGUUUUCUUUGCUGAUUUCAAUGGUUGAAAUUUGAGAAGAUUGUGUCCACAUAACACAACUAUUACUGGUCCUUCUGUUGCAAUUUAUCCUCUAAGGCUCUAACAUGUCUUCCAAUUCCCACUUCCCUGUUACUCCAGGAAAGCUAUUUCUGUCAUUGUGAAGAAGAAAAGAGAAUGUACAUAUCGAUGGUUUUAAGUGACUGGGGCAUUCAUAUCAGGUGGUCUGCAGCCAUAUAUGCCACUUUGUGAAGGUUGGAACAGUCAAUCACCAGGCUAUAUUAGUGUGGCCCAGCCACUUCAAUCAAGGACAAGUCUUCAUACUUAAAGUCAAAUUCUGCCUUUAGUCUCAUUAUAAAUUGCUGUUUAAAUAUUAAGCAAACAUUUGUUUAAUGCGAUUAAGACAGUACUAACUCAAUACUUGUUCUAUUUUUGGAUGCAAAUGCUUGAUGGUUUCAUCAUUGGAUGGGAUAAAGGUGCAUUCAUGAUUAUGAAUACUUGUAGUUAUAUUUUCAUUCUCUUUUUUCUCAAUGAGACUUGUUGGCACAAUUUUGCUGUUCAGAAACCUACCUCUCCAUCGAAAAUCAGUUGUGAUUGAUAGUACUGGAUAUAUUCAAGAAAGCUAAAUAUAGAUAGCACCAAAUAUUAUCGAUAUAAAUAGCAUUAACAGCGUACGUAUGUCUCAAUGCUCAUCAGCUAUAAGCAACGGGCAAACACUUACUAUGAGCAACUUGCGUCAAAAUUCCAGAAUAGGACAUAGAAGUGACAGAUCUAUAUAUAUAUAGAACACUGCAUAUGAGUCACAAGAAAGGAAAUUACGGGUGCAUAGCAGCUCUUAUUUUACAUCCUACUCAUACUGAUCAAAGUCACUCAGUUGGGAUGGGUGGGAGUAGGAGGUUUGUGGGGUGGCUUGUGCGGAGGAGUUGGCAGCUUCUUUCCAGGACCUGGUUGCUUCUCUGCUGGAGUUGAAGGAGGCUUAAUCUUCCGAGGUGGCUUGUAUGAGUCUUCAGCAUUCUCAGCAGGAGGGUGACCAGGGUUGUGACCAUAAUGUGGUGGCUUCUCUCCCUUAGGUGGUUUGCCAACUGGGGUUGGUGGCUUGUAUGAGUCUUCAGCAUUCUCAGCAGGAGGGUGACCAGGGUUGCGACCAUAAUGUGGUGGCUUCUCUCCCUUAGGUGGUUUGCCAACUGGGGUUGGUGGCUUGUGUUCUGGGAGUGGCUUCUCCCCCUUGGGAGGUUUUUCCAAUGGGGUUGGUUUGUGUUCAGGAGGUGGCUUCUCCACUGGAGGCUUGUGUUCAGGAGGUGGCUUCUCCACCGGAGGCUUGUGUUCAGGAGGUGGCUUCUCCACCGGAGGCUUGUGUUCAGGAGGUGGCUUCUCGAAUGGGGGAUGCUCAGGGUAAUCAGCAAGUGAGGGGUUGGUGAGAACCACCAUGCCAAGCAACAGGACUAGCAAGUAUGUAGGAGACAUCUUUGGGUUUGGACUUAAGACAGUGGAAAACUGCGAGAAUUCUCUAGCCUUUUAUAGCGGGUCGACCCAGUACUCACAUGACACGUGUCAUUAUGACACAUGUGCCAUGGGGUCGAUUUGGGUCCUACAGUGUUGAAAAGUUGGGCAUUUGAGGUGUGAGCACAACUUUUGGCCUUUGCUUUCUCUACAGCCGCCAUGCUUUUCCCUUUUUUCCUUUUCCUUUUGUUUUCCUCCUGCCUCGUGUUCUCAACUAAACACAAUUAGGUUGUUUAAUUGUUAAAUGAGAUUUUUGUCUGUCAAUCAUAUUAUAUCCUAUCAAGAGAGAACAGAGUGUAAUGUAGUACACAUAACACGAGGCAGUAGUAAUUUUAUCAUUUAUUUUUAUAGCUUGGACCACCGCAUUUUUUCUUCUAAAAUAUUCUGUCUUGUUAAGAGACGCAAUAAUACACAAUUUUAUCUGCCAUUCAACAUUUACUGUAAAGUUCUUUUAUCUCUUUGUAGUUCUAGAAAAGUACAAAAUGGAACAUCAUGUAUAUGGUGCCUUCUGUCCUAAAAAAGAAACUGGACAAAUUAUGAACUGCAUGCUAAAAAGAGGCAAAGGAGCUUAAUUCGCAGCAUAAUUAUUUUGGUUUCUAGAGAGCCCGGGGCCUUUUGGUUGGUUUGGGGUCAGAAAAUGAACAUCAUAGGGAUUGUGCCCUUAACUGGCCUUGUUACUACAAAGAAAUUGCCAUAGAAAUUUAUUCCAGGCUGAGUAUCUCCGGAUAGACCCCAGAAAAGAAGAGUCAUAAUGAGAAUCAACCUUUGUUGAGUUUGAUUCCAUGCCUCCAUUGUGUUCAUUUCAUGAAUCUGAUUUGCAUUUAACAUUACAGUUUUGUUCUGGAAACAAUCAAAGGAGCAUCGUUUGCUUCUUGGGUGACCCAUAGUGGUGGGUGGGUCGAUUUGCUUAGUUGAAAAUUGGACAAUUGGCUCCAUCGCCUACCUCUUGGAUUCCAUGCUCGGAUAAAACGACAACAAAUAAAUAUUUAUAACUUACAACUGGGGAAAGGAAAAAAUAGUACUAAAUUCAUGGUACAUGAUAGUGAGAGAAGGGGGUGUUACACUCAGCUAAAGUUCUUUUCUAAAUAUUGCAUGGUGUUUAAUUUUAUGUGUCGGCGCGCGUGUGAAUGGAACCUGCAAAAGUCCAAAUUGGCGUUUCUCCAUUUUCCACAUAGGAUGGUGACGUUAAUAGACAAAGAUACAAUAUCUGUAGACAUUGCUUAAAAAUCGAUGUGAAGUAUUAGAAAUUACAGGCCACUGUACUGGGGGAGCGGCUGCCCCGCCAAAGGAAGAAUGUAGCAAUUUCUUCUGUUAGCCAGGCCUUAGGAUUUAUGCAUGGGAUGCCUAAUAACAAACAGAGAAAAUAUGCUUUUGGGGAAGGUAUCCAACAACAGACACCAUCAUUCAGAUGGUGGGAAGGUAUCCAACAGAUGCCAUCAUUCAGAUGGUAACAUAUAUAUACAUUUAUUAGUGAGUUUUUUUAAUACCUAUAAAAAAAAUAUACACUUUGAUAUUGUGGCUGAAUCCAUUACAUACUCAACUAACCUUGCUCAUUAGGGAUUUGACGUAACAAGGGCAACGUUGCAGUAAAAGCUCGAAACUUUAUGCAGGUGACAUUACAUUUGGUAAAGAAGAGGAAAAUAAGGAAAGCCAUCCAUAAAAGCAAAAUUCCUCAUGGGAUGAAAUUCACAAACUUCAUUUACGUUAGAGUCGCAUCCAGGCAAUUAAUUCCACAUUAGACCGCCUUUUGACAUGUGUACGGAUCUUUUUUCAAAAAUUAUUUAUAAAUAAUUGAUACUUACAAAAAUAAUUUAAGAUUUAUAAAGGAUAAAAAAAUAUUUUCAAAUCUAUGACAAUUUAUAAAAUAUUAAUAAAAAAUUAUCUCUUAAACUUAGUAUAGUUUUAUCGUAUUAAACUUUUAUUUUGAACAAAUAAUUUUAAUCUAAGUUUUAAAUUCUAAAAUUAUUUCCUUAAAAUAAAAUUUUAAAAUUCAACACUUCAAUUGAAAUUGUCUUUUAAAAAAAAUAUCUUCUUAUUUUAAUCCUUAUAAACUAUAGUUGAUUGAAAAUACUAUUGAAGUUCUCUCUUCAAAAAAAGUCUUAUUUUAAUCUUCAUAAAUUGCCCUUGAUUUGAAAAUAAACUUUGGGUUAUCAUAUUUUAAAUAAUAUAUAUAUAUAUAUAUAUAUAUAUAUAUAUAUAUAACAAAUACUCUAUUUUUUUUUUAAAUGAACUAAUUUUAAUUAUAUUUUAUUUUAUUUUUUUAUAUAUUUUUAAUGAUAAACCAAACAUAGAAAAUCAUUUUUCUAAAUAUUUUAAAAUUUCUAAGCAACCAAACAUAAUCUUCAAAAUAAAAGGAGAAUAAGGAGGGACAAGUGAGAAAUGGCGAUUAAAAAAAAGUGUACAAAAGCUCAAUUAAUUUUCUUCUAGUCUUUUAUAUAAAAAAGUAUUGGUAUGUAAAUUAAUAUUUGGAUUUUAAUAGUAUUUUAUUUGUCUUUCUCUAUCUCAUGUAAAAGAGAAUUUAAGAUAUUUCCUAAAGCAAAGCAUUAGUUAUCUGCAAUCAGUGGUGAUCAUGGUCCAUGUCAAUUUCGGACCCAUAUCUUAAAACCGUAUAAUUUGCGUUUCAACAUUACUGAUUUCUCAGAUGUUUCAUACUCCACAGAAGAGUAUUGUUAGUGAAAGCAUUUUGUAACUGUUACUCAUAGUGUUUUGACUCUGGCUCAACAACAUCAGCCAUUGACGGAUUUUCAUACAUGCAAAUCAAAUAGUCUUCUUCCUCCCUUAGGAAUUUCGGUUUAAAUGUUAUUAAGCAUACAUUUGGCUGACAAUUAUUAACCACUUCAUGAUAUGGUUUCUUACCCUUAAUCAAUGGUUUCUAAGUGAAUAUAUGCAGAAGGAAAUCUGAACUGUAGACAGCAGUAUUGAUAACUCUCAAUAUUCUUUAUAUAAGAGAAUAAACAACGUCAUAGUGAUCGUCGCCUACAAGAAAGGUACAUUUCCCAACAAGAUGUAGUGGUGACUGCUACAUGGACGCAAUUAACUCGUAGAAAAGGAUAAGACCAGUGCACGGCAGCUCUUAUUUUACAUGCUAAUUAUGCUAACCAAAGUCACUCAGUUGGGAUGGGAGGGAGAUGGAGGUUUGUGCGGUGGCUUGUGGGGCGGAGUUGGUGGCUUCUUUUCAGGAGCUUGUGGCUUUUUCGGAGCUGAAGGAGGCUCAAUCUUAUGAGGCGGCUUGUACGAGUCUUCUUUACUCUCGACAGGAGGGUGACCAGGGUUGUGACCAUAAUGUGGUGGCUUCUCUCCCUUAGGUGGCUUGCCAACUGGGGUUGGUGGCUUGUGUUCAGGAAGUUGUUUCUCUCCCUUGGGAGGUUUACCAAUUGGGGUUGGUGGCUUGUGUUCUAGGAGUGGUUUCUCUCCCUUGGGAGGUUUAGUGGGUGACUUGUGUUCUGGAGGUGGCUUCUCCACCGGAGACUUGUGUUCUGGAAUUGAUUAAAAAAAUUCUACCACUCUUUUAAGUAAUGGAAGAUUAUUAUCUCUGAUUGGCACCACAACAGCACAUGCUGCUAGAUCUUUCUAGACACUCCAUGCAAUGAAAGCACAAUGGAUCUUGUAACGAUAGAAACUAAGCCAUGCUACAGUACUAGAUGACGAGGUAAAACUAGUAGACAUGGGUGGUAGUUGAUUACUACUCAAAAAGUACUCUUUUAUAGUUUGAAACUAACUGUUUUAAACACUUUUGAGUAGUAGUUAAUAAAUUUUAACUCAAUUGGCACAUUAAGGAACCUAGCAAGGGUUACUAAUAAACUUUUGGCAAGUUUUGGUGUUUUUGGUAGUUAUUCGAUCAUUGAAACAAGCCAAGAAUGAGGGAGAAUUUUGUGAAGUCCAUGGCAAUGCAAGUUAAAGCUCAAAUACACGAAGAAUCCAAGCUUUGGAGCACUACAUAGCCCUUUGCCAAGCCAAUUAGAGAUGCAAGGAACAAAACCAAAGGAAGAAAUCCAACAACCAACAUUUUCGCAUGGUUGUGUGAAAUUUCGCACACCAUGCGAAACCACAAGAGGUAGCCAAAGAAUUUCACAUGGUAUGCGAAAUCUUCUCAUGCACCGACUCCGUUAGAUUUUUAUCUUCAGAUAUUUUGUGUAAUUUCCUAGUUUCUCCUUGUAACCAACCUAGAUAUUUUCUUUUAUAUCUUUUUUUAUAUUUUUUAGGUAACAUCAUAUAUAAGGGGAGAGACAUAAGGAGGAUAUGGAUGUUUUUCAUAGAACACUUGUAAAUUUUCAGUAGUAAGAAAUAUACAAAGCUUUUUGCUAUGCCUUACCUUCUCAUUUUGUUUUCACCUGUCUUUCUAGCCAAACAACCUCUAAGGAUGAUUUCUCAGGGGAUGAGUGGCUAGGUUUUACGUUUCUUGGAGUGAGGGAAGCUAGGUGAAGGACCUGAAUGCAAAGAUGAGAGUUUUCCUUGCUUUAAAUGAAAGUAGUUGUUAAACAUUAAUGGUUUUUAUUUUAAGGUUUAGCUUUAAAUCCCUUAAAAACACCUUGAAUGACCAAUACUUGGUAAGCUUUUCGGAUUCUAUGGAUGCUUAUUGCUAGAUCCAUGGAUGUCUAUUAGUUAUCAUUUACGAGCCUUUGGAAGGUGAUUCAAGGUGAGGGUCUUUAGUGUUUGAAGCCAUUAAUGGGAAGCAAUUACCAUUUUUUCAUGAAUCCUUUGGAUCAAAUCUUAAUUGCUAAAUAUAAAACCGAUUUGGGAAAUAACCAUCCUUUAUGUUAUUAUCCCCAACGCAAGGAGAAGAUCCGGAAUCUUCCCUUUUGUCUAAGGAACCCGAUCCUAGUGACCUAAAGCUCCAAGAGACCUUUUCUUUGUAGUUAACUUCAUUUAUUGUUUUUGCUUAACUUAAAAUCAAUCUUUGCAACCACAAUUCCAUUUUCUUUAAAAGCUAAUUUUUAUAAGGAAAAACACCAUUUUAUUUCCUUCACUAAGUCAACUGUACGAUGAAAACCCAUCCCUGUGGACGAUCCUAGAGCCAUUAUACUAUGUUAGCUAUGCUACCCUAGUGUGAGGUGAUUUAGGUUUUAUAAAUUUUGUUGAUAACACCCAUCUGAGCCAGAAUCAAAUGGCACAACUGAACCAGGGACGAAUCAAAUGGCGCCGCUAUCGAGGAUGGUGCCAAAGUACAUUGACAUGACUUUUGGUGAACACUUGUGAUCUUCAUCACAAGUUUGGUGAUUUUUCUAUUACUAAUUUUUUUCUUUGUUUUUAUUUUAGCUUAUCUUUUAUUUAGUUUUUAGCUAACCUUAACUUUUUCUUAGAAUUGUAUUUCUUCUAUUUUCUUUGUUUUUGUUUCAGUGAUCUUUAGUUGUGCAUGCCCUAUUGGAUAAGAAAUAUUGAGGGAAUACUUGUGAAGAUUGAAAAUCCUCGAGAAACUGAGUUGGAAGUGUGAUUGAACAUCAUGGAUGUUCCACCUGAAGACCAGAAUAGCCAACAUGGUUAAGAGGAUAAUUUCAAAGCAUACCGAUCCAUGAGGGACUGCAUGCAUCCACCUCGUAUGAGUGCACCGUCAUGCAUAGUGCCUCCCACUGAGCAACUAGUAAUCUGACCUCACAUUGUGCCACUCCUACCUACUUUCCAUGGGAUGGAGAGUGAGAAUCUCUACUCGCAUAUUAAGAAAUUCGAGGAGGUUUGUAAUACAUUCCAAGAAGGAGGAGCUUCAAUUGACUUGAUGAGGCUCAAGCUAUUUCCUUUCACUUUGAAGGAUAAGGCUAAGAUUUGGCUUAAUUCUUUAAGGCCAAGGAGUAUCCGAACUUGGACUAAUUUGCAAGCCGAUUUUCUUAAGAAGUUCUUCCUUACCCAUAGGACCAAUGGUUUGAAAAGGCAAAUUUCGAACUUCUCAGCUAAAGAGAAUGAGAAAUUCUAUGAGUGAUGGGAGAGGUACAUGGAAGCUAUUAAUGCUUGUCCUCACCAUGGCUUUGACACAUGGCUCUUAGUGAGUUAUUUUUACGAUGGUAUGUCUUCUUCAAUGAAGCAACUCCUAGAAACUAUGUGUGGAGGAUACUUCAUGAGUAAGAAUCCGAAGGAAGCCAUGGACUUUUUGAGUUAUGUGGCUGAAGUUUUAAGAGGAUGGGAUGAACCAAAUGCUAGAGAGGUGGAAAGAAUGAAGUCUCAACCUAAUGCUAAGGGUGGGAUGUAUGUUUUGAAUGAAGACAUUGACAUGAAAGCAAAGGUUGUAGCUAUGGCAAGGAGAUUGGAAGAGCUAGAAAUGAAGAAGGCACAAAAAGUGGAAGCCAUUUCUGAGACAUCAGUGCAAGCUAUGCCUUGUUCCAUUUGUCAACCUAAUGCUAAGGGUGGGAUGUAUGUUUUGAAUGAAGACAUUGACAUGAAAGCAAAGGUUGUAGCUAUGGCAAGGAGAUUGGAAGAGCUAGAAAUGAAGAAGGCACAAAAAGUGGAAGCCAUUUCUGAGACAUCAGUGCAAGCUAUGCCUUGUUCCAUUUGUCAAUCUUAUGAGUACCUAGUGGAGGAGUGUCCUACAAUUCCAGUAGUGAGAGAGAUGUCUGGUGAUCAAGCAAAUGUUAUUGAUCAAUUCAAGCCUAAUAAAAAUGCUUCAUAUGGCAACACCUACAAUUCAAAUUGGAUGAACCAUCCAAAUUUCUCUUGGAAACCAAAGCUACCUCAAUACACACAACCUGCUCAAGCACCUUAGCAAUCCUCGAAUCUUGAACAAGCUAUUGUGAACCUUAGUAAGGUUGUGGGAGAUUAAAAGUCCAUCAAUGCUCAACUGAAUCAGAGAAUUGACAGUGUAGAGAGUACAUUGAACAAAAGGAUGGAUGAGAUGCAAAAUGAUCUGUCUCAAAAGAUAGACAAUGUCCAAUAUGCAAUCUCAAGGCUUACCAACCUCAACACAGUGCAAGAGAAAGGAAAGUUUAUUUCUCAACCUCAUCAAAAUCCCAAGGGUAUCCAUGAAGUGGAGGCUCAAGAGAGAGAAUCUUCAAAGGUGAGGGAAGUCAAAGCAGUUAUCACCUUGAGGAGUGGUAAAGAGGUUGAUCAACCCACAUCCAAGCCAAAGCAUAAUGAAGAGAGUUUUGUAGAAAAAGAAAAGAGAGGAAAAUAAAGGAAAGAGAAUAGAGAAAAGUACAAAGAAAGAUGACCAUGAGUCUAGUGUGGAUGAAGAGCCCAAGAGGAUAGUGAUCAAGGAAAAUAUGAUGAAGAAACACAUGCCUCCACCUUUCCCCUAAGCUUUGCAUGACAAAAAAGGAACCAAUAAUACAUCGGAAAUUUUUGAAGUAUUGAGGCAAGUGAAGGUCAAUAUCCCUUUGCUAGAGAUGAUCAAACAAGUGCCGACAUAUGCAAAAUUCUUGAAGGACUUGUGCACUGUAAAGAGAGGGUUGAAUGUGAACAAGAAAGCUUUCUUGACCGAGCAAGUGAGUUCCAUCAUACAGUGCAAGUCUCCAGUGAAGUACAAAUAUCCGGGCUACCCUACCAUCUCAGUGAGUAUUGGAGGUACUUGUGUGGAAAAAGCUUUGUUGGACUUGGGAGCAAGUGUGAAUUUGCUACCCUACUCUGUCUAUAAGUAGUUGGGACUUGGAGAGUUGAAGUCAACAUCCAUCACCCUAUCUCUGGCAGAUAGAUCAGUGAAGAUUCCAAGAGAGAUGAUAGAAGAUGUCUUGGUUCAAGUUGACAAAUUCUACUAUCCAGUGGAUUUUGUUGUUCUUGAUACGGAUCCGAUUGUCAAAGGAACUAAUUAUGUUCCUAUCAUACGAAGACCCUUCCUAGCUACAUCAAAUGCAAUCAUCAAUUGUAGGAAUGGAGUCAUGAAACUCACGUUUGUCAACAUGACAUUAGAGCUCAACAUCUUCCAUUUGUACAAGAAGCAUAUCCAUUCAGAAGAAAAAGAAGGUCUAGAGGAAGUGUGCAUGAUUGACACUUUAGUGGAGGAGCAUUGUGAUCGACAAUGCAAGAAGAUUUAGUUGAGAGUUUUGGGGAUCUUGAUGAAGGGUUACUUGAACCCUCAGAUUUGCUUGCUACCCUACUCCAUUGGAGGAAGAGAGAAGAAAUUCUACCCUUAUUCAAUGAGGAGGAGACACAAAGAGCUGCUAAAGAUAAGCCCCCAAAGCUUAUUCUUAAGCCACUACCCACAGAGUUGAAGUAUGCAUACUUGGAAGAAGACAAGAAGUGCACUGUUGUUAUAUCUUUAGCUCUUACCAUUCAUCAGGAGGAUUGUCUACUUGAAGUCCUUAGAAGAAGUAAGAAGGUAAUAGGGUGGCAAAUUUCUGAUUUGAAAGGGAUCAGCCCUUUUGUCUGCACCCAUCAUAUUUACAUGGAGGAUGAAGCUAAGCCAAUUCAUCAACCUCAGAGAAGGUUGAACCCUCACAUGCAAGAAGUGGUGAGAGUUGAAGUUCUUAAGCUACUUUAGGCUGGUAUUAUUUACCCCAUAUCAGAUAGCCCAUGGGUGAGUCCUACUCAAGUUGUGCCAAAGAAGUCGGGGAUCACGGUGGUGCAAAAUGAUAAGGGAAAAGAUGUCUCUACAUGUCUCACUAUAGGUUGGAGGGUGCGUAUCAAUUACAGGAGGUUGAAUGUAGUGACAAGGAAUGACCAUUUCUCGUUGCCCUUUAUUGAUCAAGUGCUUGAGAGGGUCUCUGGGCAUCCUUUUUAUUGUUUCUUGGAUGGCUACUCGAGGUAAUUUAAGAUAGAAAUUGAUGUUGAAGACCAGGAGAAGACCAUUUUCACAUGCCCAUUUAGAACCUAUGCAUAUAGGAGAAUGUCUUUCGGCUUAUGCAAUGCACCCACAACUUUCCAAAGAUGCAUGUUAAGCAUUUUCAAUGAUAUGGUGGAGCAUAUUAUGGAAGUCUUUAUGGAUGAUAUCACCAUAUAUGGAAGUGCAUUUGAUGAAUGCUUGGUCAACUUAGAAGUUGUUCUGAACCGAUGCAUUGAGAAAGACUUAGUGCUUAAUUGGGAGAAGUGCCAUUUCAUGGUACACCAAGGGAUUGUCCUUGGGCACAUCAUCUCCAAGCAAAGCAUUGAAGUUGACAAAGCAAAGGUUGAACUCAUUGUUAAGUUGCCAUUCCCAACAAAUGUCAAAGGAGUAAGGCAAUUCCUUGGCCAUGCCGGGUUCUAUAGGAGGUUUAUCAAGGAUUUCUCUAAGCUUGCAAGGCCUCUUUGUGAAAUAUUGGUGAAGGAUGUUAAAUUCAUAUGGGAUGAUAGAUGCCAAAGGAGUUUUGAAGAAUUGAAGCUAUUUUUGACAACCUCACCAAUAGUGAGGGCUCCCAACUAGCAACUGCCCUUUGAGGUAAAGUGUGAUGUCAAUGACUUUGCUAUAGGAGCUGUUCUUGGGCAAAGAGAAGAUGGAAAACCUUAUGUGAUCUACUAUGCGAGCAAGACAUUGAAUGAGGUGCAAAGAAACUACAUAACCACCGAGAAAGAAUUGUUAGCUGUAGUUUUUGCCUUGGAUAAGUUUCGUGCUUACUUGGUGGGAUCCUUCAUCGUGGUUUUUAUUGAUCACUUUGCUUUGAAGUAUCUAUUGACUAAGCAAGAUGCUAAAGCAAAACUGAUUAGAUGGAUUUUCUUGCUUCAAGAGUUCAAUCUCCAGAUCAAAGACAAGAAAAAAAUGGAGAAUGUGGUAGUAGACCACAUUUCAAGGCUAGCUAUCGCACAUAAUUCCCAUGCUUUGCCCAUUAAUGACGAUUUUCUAGAGGGGUCUCUCAUGUUGGUGGAAGUUGUCCCUUGGUACGCUCACAUUGCUAACUACCUGGUCACAAGAGAAGUUCCAAGUGAGUGGAAAGCACAAGAUAAGAAGCACUUCUUUGCAAAAAUUCAUGCCUACUAUUGGGAAAAGCCAUUUCUAUUCAAGUAUUGUGCGGAUCAGAUAAUAAGGAAGUGAGUUCCUGAAGAAGAGCAACAGGGGAUCCUCAGUCAUUGCCAUAAAAAUGCAUGUGGAUGCCACUUUGCUUAUCAGAAGACAACCAUGAGGGUGCUGCAAUCGGGUUUCUGUUGGCCAUCACUUUUCAAAGAUGCCCACACCAUGUGCAAGAGUUGUGAUCGAUGCCAGAGGCUUGGGAAGUUAUCAUGUAGGAACAUGAUGCCUUUGAACCCCAUUUUAAUAGUUGAUCUUUUUUAUGUUUGGGGCAUUGACUUCAUGGGACUUUUCCCUAUAUCUUUUGGCUACUCUUACAUCUUGGUGGGAAUAGAUUAUGUUUCUAAGUGGGUUGAGGCAGUCCCAUGCAAACACAAUGACCAUAGAGUGGUUCUCAAGUUUCUUAAGGAGAACAUCUUCUCAAGAUUUGGGGUGCCCAAAGCCAUAAUUAGUGAUGGGGGUACUCAUUUUUGCAACAAGCCUUUUGAAACUCUCCUAGCCAAGUAUGGGGUGAAGCAUAAGGUAGCUACACCUUACCACCCUCAAACUAAUGGGCAAGUUGAGUUAGCAAACAAGGAGAUUAAAAACAUAUUGAUGAAGGUGGUGAACACAAACAGAAAAGAUUGGUCAGUCAAGCUCUUCGAUUCACUAUGGUCAUGUAGAACAGCUUACAAGACCAUUAUCGGGAUGUCUCUUUAUCACCUAGUCUAUGGAAAAAAUGCCAUCUCCUUGUGAAAUUGGAAUACAAAGCUUGGUGGUCAAUCAAGAAGCUCAACAUGGAUUUGAGCAGAGCUGGGUUGAAGAGGUUCUUAGACCACAAUGAGAUGGAGGAAUUGAGAAAUGAUGCCUACAUCAAUUCAAAAAUUGUAAAAGAAAAAUUGAAGAGGUGGCAUGAUCAGUUGAUUUCCCGCAAGAAUUUUCAAAAUGGAUAAAGAGUCUUGCUCUAUGACUCUAAACUCCACAUCUUUCCGAGCAAGCUGAAAUCAAGGUGGAUAGGUCCUUUUACCAUUCACCAAGUGCAUUCAAAUAGAGUAGUGGAACUACUCAACUCCAACAACAUCGGGAGCUUCAAAGUGAAUGACCAUUGUCUCAAGCCCUUUGUAGAGUCUUUUUUCUCGCGACAAGGAGGAAUUCAUCCUCCUUGAUCCACAUCAAGCUUGACAAGACCAGUUUUUUUUUAUGGACUUAGUCUUUCUAAAGACUAUCGAGUCCAUAACUUUUUAUUUUAUUUUUUAUUUGAGAGUUUUUCGGUAUUAUUACUUGUUUUGUUUUUUAUUUUUCGUUUUACUUUUAUUUGGUUUGAUUUAACUUAGAUUUUUUAUGAUCAAUUGCAGGGGGGAUUUCAAAUAGAGGAAAAACCAAGAUAAUUCGCACACCCUGCGAAAAUUUCGCAAGGCAUGCGAAAUUUAUGGCUCAUUUCGCAUGGGAUGCGAAAUUUCGCACACCCUACGAACCAAUUUCGCACACUUUGUGAAAAUAAACCAACCCUACGAAAUCAUUUCAAAUACUCUACGAAAUUUUCGCAGAGCAUGUAAAAAAUUUCGCAGACCAAACACCAUUUCGCAUACUAUGCGAAAAUGUAAGGGGUCUACAAAACCAUUUCGCACCUCCAAAGCCAUUUCGCACAUUGUGCAAAAAUGAAAAGUCGCCCUAUCAUCCAUUUUUAAACCCCUUGAGCCCUGAAAUCCCCAUUUCGCAAGCACCCCUGUCCUUGCGAAUCCCUCAUUUUCCUCUGCCACCUUGCGACCUUGUCCCUCUCCAUUUGAUAUCGUGCCCUGCGCACAUCUCAUUUCAAAGACUCGCACUCUGCGCCCUCUCAAAGCACGAACCCAAGGCUCACAUUCCAUUUCCGACAUGGCACAGACCCGAGGAGCCCUUCCCGCCCCUUCAUCGAGACGCACACCAAGGUAGAGAGCCUCUUUUGCUCAGAUGCCAAGUGAUUCUCCAUUUCAGGCCACGGAGGCCCUGCGGAUUCCACAUUCCAAGGGUAGAACAGCCACUGGUCCUUCCUCUUCUAUUCCUCAGCGUAGAUAUGAGACGAGGAGACCACCUACUACACAAAGGGCGACUACUUCGCGCCAUGAGAAUUCGGUACGACACCCUCCUGCCAAGAGGGCCAGGACUUCAGGCCCAGGCGAGUCAUCCAAAGCUUCACAGCCUGAGCCUCCUGCAGAUUCCGAGGUUCCUACUGACAUAUCAUCGGAGUCUAUUAUCAAACGCCCGAUGCUCACAGCACCGCCCAUUGAGGGCAACUCUGAUUGUAGAGCGAGACCUUUCCACUUGGAGCUAUAUUUUAAUUAAGAGGCCAUGCCACAGCAGCCUGAGCUCCAAGACUCUUAUGGCUUACUACAGAGGUACCAUCUUGAGGACCUUAUGACUCCUCGUGAGUUCUUUUAUCCCAGAGUAGCACUAGACUUUUACCAGUCCAUGACUACUCGUGGCGUCCCGAGUCCUACCGCGAUGCACUUCACCAUUAAUGGACGUCAUGGUAUCCUCGAGGCCAGACAUAUUGGAGAGGCUCUACAGAUUCCUUUCGAGCUAGAGGACCCAUCUGUUUUCUGCCAAUGGUCCCCAAUAUCUCAGAGGGACAUGGUCCAUAUUUUAUCCAGGGGGACAUCUACAUAUUCGAUCCUUCUACGGAAGGAGCUUCGACCUGGGAUACUCCUCGUAGAUGUGGUGCUACUUUCCAACCUCUUUCCCUUUUAGCAUUCGAUACAUAGGCGAGGAGCUAUUUUGGACGCUUUAUUCUGUAUAUCAGAGGGCUUCUACUUUGGCCCGCACCACUUGAUCAUGGUUUCCCUCAUCCAUUUUGAGGAGAAGGUCCAUAGAAAGAAGCUUCAGAGGGCGAACACCAUUCCAUUACUAUUCCCGAGGUUGCUCUACUAGAUCUUGGAGUACAUGGGCUUUCCUACUGAGCCUCGGCUUGUGUGCCGCCGCCUUUGUCAAGAGCGAUCCACUCUCGACAAAUGGAAUCAGUUGGCGGGCUAUUCUACACCUCCAGGAGCCCCUCCCAUGGUAGCACCUCUAGUGUCCCCACAGGCAGAGUAGGGCAAGCUCCCGGUAGAGACUGCACCCCUAGUGCCCACACCUGAGGCUACUUCUGCUGUUCCGCCUACGACUCCUACUGUUCCACCAGUUGGUCCUUUUACAUCUGAGUCUUCCAUCAACAUCUCGACUUCGGAGUUUCGCGCCCUUGUGCAUACCUUUCAGACACUCACCACCACACAUACUGCUCUCUUCUAGAAAAUGGCUGAGAUGCGUGCCCAUCAGGACCAGCAGACUACUAUACUCCGCCAAAUUCAACAGCACCUGGGACUUCUGCCUCUGCCUCAGCUUGACCUUCCCACAUCAUCAGAGCCUCUAGCUCCAGUUGAGGAUACUAUUCCACCUGAGGACACUACCACAGUAGAGGUUCAGAUUCCACCACCUCAGGAGGCCACCACAGCUACAUUAGAGGAUGCAUCAUCUCCACCUGAGGCUCCCACUACUUGAUCAUAGGACAUCUCUUUAUCUUAUUGUAUUUACAUAUUAUAUUACUGGAGAUUUGUCUUUGUUUUGAUACUUUAUAUUCUGGCAUUGAAUGUAUUGCCUAAUGAUAUCUCAAUUGUACUUUCUCAUAUUAAUAUAUAGACAUCAAUUUUUUUUAGUAUACUUAGGAUUUUUCUAUUUACUCUACUCAUUACUCUUUUGUUUUUUUUUUUUUACUCAUGUGGUUUCUCCUAUACGACUCAGACUCCAUUUCACUCAGGAGGUACCACUUCUUCCCUUUAUUUUCAAUUGCUCUUGAAACAUUGAGGGCAAUGUUGAUCUUGGUUGGAGGGAGAGUUGAGGAAGGAAGUGAUUACUACUCAAAAAGUGCUAUUUCAUAGCUUGUAAUUAACUCUUUUAAAACACUUUUGAGUAGUAGUUAUCACCUUUUAACCCAAUUAACAUAUUAAGGACCCUUGCAAUCAAUUCUAAUCAAAUUGUGUUAAGUUUUGGUAUUUUGAUAGCUUUUUUAUCACCAAAGCAAUCCGAGAUUGAGGAUAUUUAUUUGGAAUCCAUGGCAAAAGAUGUUUGGACAGGACGUCCGGACACACCAUCGGAGGGCGGCGGAACGUGGGCUGUGGCAGGCUGUCGGAAUGACGUAGCAAGGCUUGUGCACUUUAGCCAAUGAUCGGGAUAACAUAUCCGAAAUUCUGCUCCGCCGACAUUCCACCCGGAUGUCUCACAUCCGGAAUUCUGCUCCGCCGACAUUACACCCAGAUGUCUCACAUCCAAAAUUCUUCUCCGUCGACAUUCCAUCCGAAUAUUUCACAUCCGACGCUUGACGCCGGAUGGGAGAGGAGGGCGUUUCAACUUCCCCGGUCAGACAUAUCCGAAUCCUUUGAUAACGCUUACCCGGAGAGUUUCGCAGCCAUUUUGCACAGUGCCGCGGUGUUCUCUUGAAGCUUCCCGAUAUGUGCGACCGACAUUUUGAGAUAUUUUGCUUUAGAUAUUUGAUGUCUAAAUCCCCAAACUCUCCUUGUAACCCACCAAUUAUAGGAUUCCUUAGUUAUUAAGUUUGGAAAAAUGGUGAAUAACCCCUUAUAUAUAGUUUGCAAUUUUCAUAAAAAAGAUAUGUAGAAUCUCGGGAGCUUGUUCCCAGAGAGACGCAUCCUUUGUACAGUUUUGGAAGGAAGUAAAAUACAGAGCACUUGCUCUGCUUUUCAUAUAUAUUUUUGUUUUCUCGUUCUUUUUAUUUCUAGCCAAUCAAAGUCUGAGGAUUUUUCCUCAGAGGAUGAGAGGCUAGGCUCUUCGUCUCUUGGAGUGAAGAAAACUAGGUAAGUUUCCACAUGCAUAAAUUGAAAGUUUUGUUGUUUUAGUUUUUAAUGAAGAGAAAGUGUGACCCGUUAAUGGUUUUUAUCUUUUUAGUUAACUUAAAACGCCUUUAAAUCACCCGGGCCAACACUUGAUAAGGCAAGUGGUCUCCAUCCAUUGAGAUGCACUAGUUUAUCUCUUGCGAGCCUUUGGGAGGUGGUUUGAAGGUAGGAUUUUCUAGAAUAACCAACACUUGAUAAGCUUUUGGACUCUAAGGAGACAUCCAUUAGUUAUCUCUUGCGAGCUUUUGACGGGUAAUCCAAGGUUAAAGAUCACCUUGAAUGGCAAGUACUAGGUGAGAGGUAUGAGCCAUUGCAAGAUGCAUUAGUGAGAGGGAUUUAGUGUUUGAACCCAUUAAAGGGAAGCAUCUGUACCACACCGGUUCGGGAAAUAACUAUAUGUUAAAUCCCCAAUGAGAGGAAAAGAAACAAGUGACCGGAACUCCCUUUUUGUAUAAGGAACCUGAGCCUAGUGAUCUAAACUCCAAGAAACACUUUUCUUUGUAAGUAAAAUCAGUUACUAUUUUUGGUUAGUUUAAAACCAAACCUUUUUCAUUCAAACAUCUUUAUGUUUUCUUUUAAAGCUAACCUUGAAAUGAAAAGGCACCAAUUCAUAUUUGAAUUAAUAUCAAUUGUGAAGUGAAAACCCAUCCCAGUGAACGAUCCUAGAGCCACUAUGCUAUAGUAGCUUUGUCUUUGCUACCCUAGUUCAUGGUUUAAUAGGUUAUAAAUUUUGUUGAUUACUCCCACAAUCAAAGGAGCACCAGUUGGACAUGAAUCAACUGAGACACUAAUUGGGCACAAAUCAGGAAGUUUUGUUAAUAAUGCUAGGUUAAUUUGUUAAUUUAGUUACUUUCUGCUUAAUUUUAAAAGUUUUCACUUUACUUUCCAUAGUUAUUAAGGAAAAAUUCUCAAAAUGAAAUGGGAGAAAUUGAAUUCUUACAUUUUUACUUGAAUUUUAGAAUUUGUAUUAUGCUUAUUGAAGCUGAUGAAUUAUUGAAACUCCUAUUGAAUUCAACCUUAUUUCUUCCACUUUAAUCUUACCACACACGGUGCACAUUAGGUUCCGAUUAUAAGAGGUGCGUUCUUAGCCUAUUGGAGGUUGGUCAAUUUGUUAAAGUUUGAGAAAGAUCUAGGUUAGGGGAGAGAGAAUAGUCUGACAUACUAUAAUCGAAAACUAAUAAACUUAACACUUAGAUCUUUGUGGAAGAGUAAGGAUUGGACCUUUGGGAGUGGAAAUUCGUUUGAUGCUUAAAUUUGCAUAAUGCUUACACUUUAUAAAUUGUGAUUAGGCAAGAGAUUUGAUGACUCUUGUUCAAGGUUGGGUUUUGCCUCUUUGAUGUUCCAUGAGAGAGUAUAAUCCUCAUCAUGCCACUUGAAAUUUUUUUUGGAGUGAUUAACAUGAUUUUGUAAAUUACUUUACUGUCUAUUUUUUUUUUAUCUCUCCUUCAUUGCUAAUGGACUAGCAAUAUGUCAGUUGAGGGGAGUGAUUACUACUCAAAAAGUACUCUUUUAUAGCUUGAAACUAACUGUUUUGAACACUUUUGAGUAGUAGUUAAUACCUUUUAACUCAAUUGGCACAUUAAAGAACCUAGCAAGGGUUACUAAUUAGUUUUUGGCAAGUUUUGGUGUUUUUGGUAGCUAUUUGAUCAUUGAAACAAGCCAAGAAUGAGGGAGAAUUUUGUGAAGUCCAUGGCAAUGCAAGUUAAAGCUCAAAUACAUGAAGAAUCCAAGCUUUGGAGCACUUCAUAGCCCUUUCCAAAGCCAAUCAGAGAUGCAAGGAAGAAAACCAGAGGAAGAAAUCCAACAAUUAGCAUUUUCGCAUGGCUGUGCGAAAUUUCGCACACCAUGCGAAACCACAAGAGGCAGCCAAAGAAUUUUGCACACUAUGCGAAAUUUCGCAUGGUAUGCAAAAUCUUCUUGUGCACCAACUCCGUUAUAUUUUUAUCUCAAAUAUUUUGUGUAAUUUCCUAGUUUCUCCUUGUAACCAACCUAGAUAUUUUCUUUUAUAUAUUUUUUAGGUAACAUCAUCUAUAGGGGGAGAGACAUAAGGAGGAUAUGGAUGUUUUUCAUAGAACACUUGUAAAUUUCCGGUAGUAAGAAAUAUACAGAGCUUUUUGCUCUACCUUACCUUCUCAUUUUGUUUUCACUUGUCUUUCUAGCCAAACAACCUCUGAGGAUGAUUUCUUAGGGAAUGAGUGGCUAGGUUUUACGUUUCUUGGAGUGAGGGAAGCUAGGUGAAAGACCCGAAUGCUAAGGUGGGAGUUGUCCUUGCUUUAAAUGAAAGUAGUUGUUAAACAUUAAUGGUUUUUAUUUUAAGGUUUAGCUUUAAAUCCCUUAAAAACAUCUUGAAUGGUCAAUACUUGGUAGGCUUUUUGGAUUCUAUGGAUGCUUAUUGCUAGAUCCCUGGAUGUCUAUUAGUUAUCAUUUAUGAGCCAUUGGAAGGUGGUUCAAGAUGAGGGUCUUUAAUGUUUGAAGCCAUUAAUAGGAAACAAUUACCAUUCUUUCAUGAAUCCUUUGGAUCAAAUCUUAAUUGCUAAAUAUAAAACUAGUUCGGGAGAUAACCAUCCUUUAUGUUAUUAUGCCCAACGCGAGGAGAAGAUUCGGAAUCUUCCCCUUUGUCUAAGGAACCCGAUCCUAGUGACCUAAAGCUCUAAGAGACCUUUUCUUUAUAGUUAACUUCACUUAUUGUUUUUUCUUAACUUAAAAUCAAUCUUUGCAACCACAAUUCCAUUUUCUUUGAAAGCUAAUUUUCAUAAGGAAAAUCACCAUUUUAUUUUCUUCCCUAAGUCAACUGUACGAUGAAAACCCAUUCCCAUGGACGAUCCUAGAGCCACUAUACUAUGUUAGCUAUGCUACCCUAAUGUGAGGUGAUUUAGGUUUUAUAAAUUUUGUUGAUAACACCUGUUUGAGCCAGAAUCAAAUGGCGCAACUGAACCAGGGACGAAUCAACAACUUAUAUGGGAGGGACACAAGUUUAAUUGAUUUGCAUUUCAACGUUAUAUAUAGGUAUGUUUUGGAAGAUUUGUUCUGGAAAUACUGCACCAAGUACGAUUCUUUUUGUCUUGAGUGGGUCUACUUGCAUGCCAAUUAACGAGUGGAAAAGUAGGAGCACCUACCUCAUGCUCGCGGAACCGAAGGUCAGUGAAGUGGGGCUCCUUUUGGCCUCUUGUGUUUCUAUUCCAACCAAGGCGGCGUAAGGAAAAACAACAAUAUGUUUGUGCUAAAUAUCAACGCAUGAUAGAUGUUUUUGUUUUUUGGUAUGUCAAGGCUAAUGAAUGAAAUGCUUUAGCUUGUUUUGUGACUGGAACUGCAAAUGUCCAAAUUGGAGUAUCUCCAUUUCUCACUUCGGAUGGUUAACUUAUAAACAAGAUAUAGGAAACAUGUGAACAUCUUGAGGAACAAUUUGAAUUAUUCAUUAGAAGUCCUGGGUUGAGUUCCAAGAUUUAAAUUAGACCCCUCUAGCAGCUUCAGGGGUACCUAGCAACCUAUAGCAUAUUAAUGAAGAUUUAGGAUUUAGACUCUAGAAUACAAAUUAAUAUGUAUCUCAUGCUUUGACUAGCUUCCCUACAUAUGCACAAAAUGGAGAUGACCUAAAAAAAUAGCAGAAUCUAGCUUCCCUACAUAUGCACAAAAUGGAGAUGACCCAAAAAAUAGCAGAAUUUCCUUAGUUUCUGUGGUUAAGGUGAUUCUCCGCUUAAUAUCACAUUGACUCAUUAUGCAAAAUCAACUGAGCUAAUUUUGUUUAUUUAUUUAAUGUCAAAUAGGAACUCCUAAUUAACCUAACCCUUGGCCUGUGUAAAUUGAUUUCACAUGCCCAAUGUUGAAGUAGAAGUCCAUAUUUUGAAUUUUAUUUUUGUAAAGGUAAGGAAAAUGAAGCAUUGUGUAAUUAUAAAAAUAACUUCAUUGGAAUUCACAAGGUUCACCCAAAAUGGAGCUACAUCCGUAUUCUAUCCUGCAGUAGACUAUAUAGAUUGUACAAUAGUAAAUUGCAAAUACAAUUAAUAAGUCUUGUGCUUCCUUACUAAUAAUCCUUUGACAUGAACAUUGCAGCACUAAGGUCCUCUUGGGAAGACACCUUGCACCCAUGAGAGCACGAAGAGGAAGCAAGGCAGAGUCAUGGGUGCAAUGUCAUGACUUGUUGUUGCACCAAGAGAGGCUUGGUGAUGGCAUGGUGUUGCAGUAGCAAGAAUGUUGCCUUGGUAGGGACAUAAUCUAGGGAUAGAUGCCAAGAAAGGCUUAGCACUCACAUGAGUUGCACAAAGAUGAAUGUAAUAGAGCAUCAGAGAGACGUCUUGGCAAGUAAAUGAAUGGAUCCAAGAGGCAACAACAUGAGGAGUUUCAAAUGGAUAAGGAAUGAGUCAAAGACAUUUGAAAGCUACAAGUUGGAUUCUAAUUACGAUUGCAAUUUGAGUUUGAGUAGGAGUUUAGAUUCUGAUUGUAAUUGUAGUAUGAGUUGGACUAGGAUUGCUUAUCCCUAGUCAAAAUAGGAGUGGUUCGUGUCACACCCUAUGAAAAGAGUUUGAGUAGGGACUAGGAUUGCUUACUCCUAGUCAAAUAUGGAGUAGGUGGUGCCACACCUAUAAAAAAAAAGGGACAACAUGAGAGAGAGAGAGAGAGAGAGAGAGAGAGAGAGAGAGAGAGAGAGAGAGAGAAAGAGAUAAUGAAUUCACUAAAGAUAUUGUGGGAGUUUUUCUUUGUUACGUCUUGUAUUAUUACUUAGAAUAGGAAUAAAAUACAAGUUUGGGCUAGAGCCCCAUAAUUAAUCUCGUGUGCCUUUGUGGUUAUUCUUUAUUUGUCAUCUCGUGUGGAUUGGAUUACAUUGACUUAGAGGGCUUCUAAGCACCACCUUUGUGGGUUAUUAUUUAUUUUCCAUUUCUUGUGGAUUAGAUUAGGUUGACUUUGAGGGCUUUUAAGCACCACCUUUGUGGGUUAUUCUUUAUUUUCCAUAUCGUGGGGAUUGGAUUAGGUUGACGAUGAGAAAAAUUAUGUGGGAAAUUUGUGUUGGGACACUUAUCAUAACCAGGUAAAAUCUGCCAAGUCCUUUGUAAUAUCUUCAACAAAUAUUUCAGACUAGUUCUUCACCAUAAACAUCAUAUUGUGUUUUGUUUUUCUCCUGGAUUCUGAGUUGAAUUGUUUCAAGUCAAUUGAAUGCAUCUGAAUAUUAUUAGCUUGUUUGAAGGCCUGGUGAUUUUCCAUUUAACUUUACUUUCUUUAGGUUAUGCUCACUAUAAGAAAAAUGAGAAAUAAUGACGCUUUUUACGCGUUAAGAAAGGCAACAGAUGAUGCUUCUCUAAAGCGUCCUCUUCGGCUCUGUCAUUAUAUGUGUUAGCCAAUAAUGACGCUUCUAGGAAGUGCCAUCUUUGAAUAAUGUUAAUAACGACACUCGUAAAAAGUGUCAUCUUUAAACAUAUUCUGGUCAAAUAAUUUUUACAAAAUUAGUAAUCUUCAAGCCGUUUCUGAAUCAUAUCUGAGCCUAUUUCUGGGGACCAGAAAACCAUCUUUUUUCCAUUCGCCUGAGAGGUCUGAUUAGCAUUUCUGGAAUCAAUCUCUAAACCCAAGCUUCCCUCAUCUACCCAUUUAACCCUCAUGCCCUCCUGUUUGAACAACUUUCCCACUAUAUACACAAAUUUUUUACCUUCUGUUGUUGGUAUUCGACCUCUUCCCAUUCCCAGCACAGAAUCCACCAUUAGUGCCACUUUGUGAAUAAAAUCAUCGAACCAGAUCUUUCGGGCGGAAGAUGAGCUCCAGAGAAAUAAAAUUUUUGGGGUCUUCCCAGCAUGAAAGUCAUAGGUAGCAUUAAUGACAUCAAGAAAUGGGGCACUGUUGAGAAAAAACAUGUUCCCAUCAACCACCCAAGAAUUGUACCAGACUCCAAACACUUCUGGAUUACAUAUGCCUUUACUAAGAUAUAUUUCUUGAUCUCCAUAUCAGAAUCUUGGAGACUCUUCAUUUUAUGAGCUCUGACACUACUGUGAAAUUGGUCCACAUCAAUCACAGGAUGACCCCUUCUAGCAAGAUCAAGCAGGAAGUCUGAAUUCGGGCCCAUAAAAAUGUAGUUCUGAAUAUUGAAACUCUCAAAGUGGCACAACAAAUUCCUUAUGACUCUUUCAGAUGCUCCAAACAGGCUCACAAGUAUAAUGGUAUCCUGUUUUUGCACAGAGUAAAGAAAAUAUCCGAGUUCUUCAAAACUCCUUACAACUAUUCCAGGAUGUACUUCUUUGAAACAGAAAUCGUACCACUUUAGCUUAGUCAGAGGUUGAAUCUAAAAUAACAAAACCCAAACUGAAAUCAAAAUCGAAAUCAACCCUAAUAGAUUUCAGAAACAACAAAUUAAAAGAGUAAAGCACAAAAGGGGGAAAACACAUAUGAAGCAAUCUCCAUACAAGCCCUAACCUUAGAUAAACCCAAAAAAAAAAAUCAAAGCAGAGAGUUACCAUAGAGCAUCUCUGUUUCAAGCUUAGAAAAUGUUUAAUGCCAUUGAUAACUAGUUGGCUAGUGGUGGACUUCAAGCUUCUCUAUUUCGGUGUUAGUAGCUCUCAAUGGCUAUGGUGAGAACAAAGAAAUGAGAGGCUUAGGGUUUGGGAUGUGAGGUUAUUGAUGAUGAUGAGGAUAAAGUUAUGGGCUCUUGGAGGGGUUAGGGAAAUUGAAGAUGGCUGAGAGUAAAGGCUAGGGUUUUUGAGAUAGUUAAUAGCUUUUUAGGGUGUGACUGUCCAUAGAUAGAAGAUAAAUGAGGGUGUGAGAAUUUAUAGAUCUCUAGGUGAUAUGGCGGGUGUGAGAAUGAAAUUUUAGAGGGAAUUGUGUGUUUGGUAGAAAUUUCACACAUGCAUAUAUAAUGUUUCAGAACAUGGCACUUUAAAAAUACGACAAGGAAGAAAUUAUUUAUUGACGCUUAAAUAAAGCGCCAAGGUCUCCAACAUUUUUGCAAUCAAUGACGUUUGUAAAAGGUGCCAUUGAAUAGGAGUGCCAUUGCUUUCCCACAAAGCAUCAUUGUUAAUCAAGCCUUUAAAAAACGCCAAGAUAUGUUGCCACUUAGGUUAAAUAUUGACGCUUUUAAAAAACGCCAAGGAAAAAAACGUCAUUAUUCAUGUUUUUUGUAGUAGUGGCUUGAUUCCUAAAAAGUAAAGGAAAGCAAAAAGUAAAAAAAUAAAAAUGUGGAGAGUUAGGACAUGCGUUAUCUAAUUGUCCUAGUCCCAAAUAUAUUAAGAAAGUCAUGUAGGUUACUUGGAGUAACGAGUCAAGUAAAGCAAGCCUUCUAGUGUUUAAGACAUUAGAUAUUACCGAACUGAUUAUGUCAUUAAUGUAUUGCAUUUGUUGUUUCUAAUAUAUAGAAGAAGAUGAAAUUAUUGGAAUAAGUGGGAAAUAGGAAUAAAUCCAAGGUACCAAAAAGUCACUUUAUCUUAGAUGUUGUUGGAAACAUAAGUGAUUUCACAAUAACGACUAUGAGACAAUCAAGGAUUAAUAAGAUAGACUUUAUAUGAUAUACCUCCCAAUUAGAGCCUAAAAAUAUGGAUGAAGCACUUAGAGAUGAAUCUUCAAUUUUUGUACUAUAGGAAGAAUUAAAUCAAUUUGUUAGCUAUUCUUUGGAUAUUUGAUUCAUCACAAGCUACAAAUCACUUUUGAUGACCAAACACGAAACUAAGAGGAUUGGGCCCAAUUCGAUGCCUAUCAACAAUGAUUUGUAUUCCACCUCAUUAAUUAUUCAAAGUUGGGAAGCUAGGUCUAACCACUUUCUCUACCUGUUCACCCUUAGAGGAGCAGAAGAAAAUUCUAACUUUGGUGCCUAAUGCCUUUGACAAUCUUUCGACAAAGAGAGUUCACUAAUUACUUUGAUUAUUUCUCUGUUGGUCACUGGGGGACAAGACUUUUGUAAUGAAGUCAACUAGAACUUGCCCUUUGAGGGCCAUUCAUGGACGAUAUUACACCAUGAAUUCCCUUAGGUCAUGUUUGGUAUGUGAGAAUGAGGAGUGGAAUGGACAUCUUAUUCAUUUUUUCAUCUAUUCAAAUGUUGGGAUAACUCAAGUGACCAUGAGAAUGAAAUCAAGAAUGAUUCAAGGGAAAUGAAAUCUUACUUAUAAGUGUGAUUUCAAUUAAUCUCUAAUAGAAAUUAUUUUGAAUCAAUAGUGCAAGUUAUUUUUAAAAACAUUUUUCCAAAAUUAAAAAAAUCAAUUUUUUUUUUUUCGAUAAGUUGUUUUUAAAAGGAUUUUUUUUAUUUUGUAAAAAGAAAAUUGUAAUUCAAUUUAUAUAAUAUAAACUAAAUUUUAUUUUAUUCAAAAAGAAAUAAUUUUUUAAUUAUAAAUAAAUUAAAAAUAAAUACUUUUAAUAAAAUAUAAAUAGUAUUAUUAUAAUAAAAUCAUAAAUAAAUUUAAUUUUUUUUAUAAAUAUUAUAAAAAUAUGGAUAUUAACAUUGGAUAAUUGAUUUAUUUUGUUAAAAUAAAAAAUAAUAAUUUUUAAUAUUAUUUUAUGUUAAAUGAAUUUUAAAAUAAAGAAAGUUUAAUUAUUUUAAGGUAUAGAAGAGCCAAAUUUUGCAUUACAUACAUAACAAACAAUAUUUAUUAGAAACAUUUCUCAAGGAGAAUCUUAUUCCAUCUCACAAAGAUACUCGUUUAUUCGAUGUUUGACCAUCCGUAACAAUCAUGUCAAUUCUACUGAUUUAAUAAUUCCUUUACAUUUAUUACUCACUUAUGAACAUGGUAUUGUGAUUUAUUUAUUUAUUUGAUGUAUAAUUAAUUAAUCAAUUUUUUAAAUUUCAAAUUAUUUUUAAAAACUAUUCAUUAAGGAAUUUAAAGCAUUAAUUAUGUCUAUUAUUUUUUAUAGUCAUUAUAUAUAUAUUGAGUUUUAAUUUAUUUUUAAAAAUUAUUAAACUUAUUAAUAAAUUCAAUAUAAAGUCUCGUUUCAUUUGAAAUUCAUUUCUUUAGUGAAAAUUUUGAAAAAAAAAUUGUUAUUUAUUUUACUUUGUUUUAAAAAAAUUGUUUCUAGAGAACAAUAAUCAAAUAAUGGUAUGAAUUUUUAAAAACAAUUUUGUUUUUAAAUCAUAUGCCCAAAUAAUUUUUUUUUAUUUAGCAAAAAACUUUGUUGUAGUAUGUGGCUCAUAUUGAGGGAAAGACAUAUAUGGAGAAAAAUGUGCAAAUGUUGGAGUGGAGCGGAGUGGAAUGACGACAUUUGUCAUUCAAACUUGUAUUUUUAUUGUUAAGGGUGACCGAUAGGUUGGUACGGUUUAGGGGUAUUUUUGGAAUUUCAUUACCUGAGGGUUAGUAUAAAUACCAUUUUAUGUAACCCUAAUUUUACAUAUAAUGUAAGUUUUCUUCCUUGUUCUUGUGGACAUAGGCAAUCCGUCGAACCACGUUAAAUCUGUGUGUUUUUUUUUCUUUUUUCUUUUUCUCUAAUUUCUUCACCAGGAAUCGUUACACUAAGAUCAACAAACUCUCAAAGAUGAUUUUUAAAAUGAAAAAAAUAAUGUAUAGUGUGAGAAUUUUUUAUUUUUUAUUUUUUUAAAAUGAAAAUAAAAAAUUGCUUUAAGGUAAAAGUGUGGAUAUUAUUGUUAAUUUAUUUCAUUUUUCAUUUUCAUUUCCAUUGUUACCUACAAUUGAAAUGGAAACAACUAAUCAUUACAACCUUACAUUCUUAUAUGCAUCCAAAUACAAAAAUUGAAAUCACCAAAUUCAUAUUCAAGGCAAAAUAGGAAUGAAAACAAAUAUUCAUUCUCAUUCUUUAUUCCCACGUGUCAAACAUGACCUCAAAGUUAUAAACAUGAACAAGAAGUCCUUGAAACACCAAUGAUCUCUUCUGGUAUAUAUAUGAGCUUGAUUGACAACUGUUUUAAAUACAGUUUUUUUUUUUUUUGUUUUCAAAAUCAAAACAAAUUUAUUUUUAUUUUUUAUAAAUAGUAGUUUUUUAAUAUUUUUUUUAAACCUUAUUAUGAAAAUAGGAUGUUUUCUAAUAUCAUAUUUUAAUUAUUUUCAAUUAUUUUCCCUUCUUUUAAGGAGGGCUAUUUUAAAAAUAUGAAAAAUGAUACAAAAUAAAGCAUUACAAAUAAAAAUCAUUUUUAAGAAAUAUAUGAAAAUAAUUUGAGAACAUUUGAAGUUCCUUAAUUAAACUUUUGUUCUAGAAAAUGCAAGAAAACUGUUUUUGAAAAUUGUUUUCAUAAUGAUAUGCAUUGAUCGUUUAAAAUUUAAUUACAUGAUAAAAAGACCUAUGUAAAAACCAGAGUUAUAUAAUCAGUCAUAGAUCAAAUCUACUAAAUAUGAAAAGUAAGUACAUAGUUGUAUAUGACUUAGAUGGAGCCUUCUCCGAAUGACAUUCUUUAGUCGGUACUCAUAUUUUUUUGUUUCGUGUCUUCAACAUAACACCUCAUGAUCCUUAAUAAAUCACCUGAAAACUAUAUUAGCACCUUAUUGUUUAAUAUUUCUCUAAAUUUUUUUAUUAAGCAAAUAAAUUCCAAAUUUAAAAUGACAAAUAAAAUUUAUUAAUUUUUAAAAAUAAUUUAAAACUCAAAAACCAAUUUAAUUGAUAUUAAAAGUCAUGAAACUUAAUAAUAUUAGAAAGUCAUGUAUCCAAAUUUAUUUUAAAUGACUUGUUUAAUUUCUUGUUUAUAUAUAUUAUAUUUUUAUAAUUUUUUUUACUAUACAAAUAAAUUUUAAAUUAAACAAAACUUAAUGCGUUGAAUUCAUUAACGAGUCUAAUAAUUUUUAAAAGUUACUUAAAAUUUAAAUACUAAAUCAAUUAGUACCACAAAUUCAUGGAAAAAAAUUGAUUUAUUACUACUAUAUUGUUUCUCUAUUGCAUAGAACCAUUAUUUUUCAAUUUUUUCAUUUGGCAAAUGAACAUCAAAUUAAACAAGACUAAGUGUAUUAAAUUCAUUAAUGGGUCUAGUAAUUUUUUAAAAUAAUUUAAAAUUCAAAUAUUGAUACUCCAAAUUAAACAAGACUUAGGUGGUGUUUGUUUUUUGGUUGAAUAGAAAAAGGUAAAAUAUUUGACUUUUUCUAUUUAGUUAAAAGUAACUUGUUGACAUCGUCCAAUAUAAUUAAAGUAAACCUAUUGAGGGCAAGUUCACUUUAAUUAUGUUGGACGAUGUCAACAGGUUACUUUUAACUCAAUAGAAAAAAUCAAAUAUUUUGACUUUUUUUUUAACUCAAAUAAUAAAUCCAUUAAUACAAAAAAAUUAUGGAUAAUUUGAAACUUUCUUUCUUUUUUUUUUUUUUUUUGCUACACAUAGCUAUAUUUUUAUAAAUUUUAUCAUUAGAGAAAUGGAUUUCAAAUCAAGUGAAACUUUGUAUUGAAUUAAUGGAUUUAACAUUUUUUAAAAAUAAUUUGGAACUAAAAAAAAAAGAUUUAAUUACUAAGAAAAUCAUAGAUCAAAACUAAUAUAUUCUGAUCCAUGAUUUUAUUAUUUUUCCUAUACAUACAAUUAUAUUUUUAUAAUUUUCUCACUAGGUAAAGAUAUUAUAAAUUAAGUGACACAUAAUUAAUAAUUUAAAUUUUUGAAUGAAUCUUUUAAUUUUAGGAAUAAUUUGAAAUUUAAAAAGUUGAUCCAAUUAAUUGUAAAUUAACUUAAAAUAUUAUAAAAUAUUAUGUUCAUAAUUAAGUACUAAAUGUAUAUAUGUAAUGAAAACUUAACUAGUUACAUGUUACAAAAGCCAAAAUUUAUUCAUUCUUUAUUUUAAAUAAAAUAUUAUUAAUAAUUAUUUUUUUUAAAAUAAUAUUUAGUAAUUAUUGUUUUUAAAUUAUUAUUAUUAAUUUUUAAUAAAAAAAUUGCAAAGUUAUUAAUAUCAUUAUAUUUCUAACAUAAAUUUAAAUAGUAUAUUUUUUAAUAUAUAUAUAUAUAUAUAUAUAUAUAUAUAUAUAUAUAUAUAUAUAUAUAUAUAAUUUAUGAUUUCAUUAUAAUAUUUUUAUUCAUGAUUGACGAAAAAUUAUUUAUUGUUUAAUUUAUUUGAAUUGCAAAACUAUUUUUCAAAAUUCAAGCGAGAAAAUAGGCCUGGAUUUGAAUUUCCUGUAGAAGAGAAGGAUGUGGAGAAUAUGUUGGGAGUAUUUGUGGAUAAAGAAAAGGCCAGGGUACUGAGAAAGGAGAGAGAACUUGCUCUUGCCAAAAGAGCCCUGCACAGGUAUUCUACUGAUUCUAAUUAUCGGUUCUUACAUGAUCAGAUUUCAGAUUUAUUUGCUGAGCUUCUGAAAUCUGAUACAGUAUUUAAACUCCGGUGAGCUUUACAAGAUUAGUCUCGCAUCCAAUUCCAAAUGGUGUCCCACAAUUGAUUCUUCUUAUGAUAAAUCCACCUUGAUAUGUGAAAAUAUUGCUCGAAAGGUUUAUCCUCGCGAGGAAUAUCCAGAAUACUAAGGAAUUGAGGAGGCUCACUAUGUUUAUAGAGUCAGGGAUAGGUUGAGAAAACAAGUAGUUGUUCCAUUACAUAAGGCCCUGGAGUUGCCAGAGGUUUUCAUGUGUUCGAACAAGUGGGGAUCACUUCCCUACAACCCUGUGGCUUCAGUGGCCAUGAAAUCAUACAAGAGCCUCUUCUCAAACCAUGAUACAGAGCGGUUUGGUGAGUAUCUUGAGAAAGUGCAAACUGGGAAGGCUAAGAUUGCAGCUGGUGCAUUACUUCCCCAUGAGAUUAUAGCUUCAUUGAAUGAGGAGGAUGCCGAGAGAGUUGCCGAGCUUCAGUGGGCAAGAAUGCUGGAAGAUUGAUCAAAGAAAGGGAGGCUCACAAAUUGCAUUGCAGUAUGUGACGUAUCAGGAAGUAUGAGUGGAACUCCAAUUGAGGUGUGUGUGGCUCUGGGGCAGUUAGUUUCAGAGCUCAGUGAAGAUCCAUGGAAAUUAAGGUAAUGUAAUUACUUUCAGUGCAAAUCCUGAGCUUCACAAGAUCCAAGGAGACAGCCUUGUAUCCAAGACUGAAUUUGUGAGGAUGAUGGAAUGGGGUGCCAACACUGACUUUCAGAAAGUUUUGACAGAAUCUUACAAGUAGCAGUGGAGGGAAAUAUGAGUGAAGAUCAAAUGAUAAAGAGGGUUUUCGUUUUCAGUGAUAUGGAGUUCGAUGAAGCUUGUGGGAGGUAUAACUAUUGUGACUAUGACUAUGAUAUGGAGGAAAUUGACGAGAGUCAGAAGGCAUCUCAGAAGUGGGAGACAGAUUAUGAAGUGAUACAGAGGAAAUUCCAGGAGAAAGGAUACAGAAAAGUUCCAGAGAUAGUGUUUUGGAACCUUAGAAACUCAUCAGCGACUCCAGUGACGGCCACAGAGAACGGGGUGGCCUUAGUAAGCGGGUUUUCAAAGAAUCUGUUGACCUUGUUUUUGGAAGGAGGUGGAAUUCUGAUCCCUCAGGAUGUGAUGGAAUUCGCCAUCUCUGAUGAAGAUUACAAGAAACUUGUUCUAUUUGAUUAAGAUAUCAAGAGAUUUAUCAAUAAUAAUAUAUUUUUUUUCUAUGUGAAAUACAUAUAAUAUUAACUGUGGAGUUAUCAAAGUUCUGGAGGUUUAAUUAUUUCUUCUUUUCAAGUUUUGUUUAUUUAAGGUUUUCUUUGUCUUUGUUAGGAAUUCCCCUUGGGUGGACCCAGCUGGGGAGUUGGAUUGAGGAAGUAAGCAGGCGAACUUGUGUUCUUCUAUGGACAGAGAAAAAAAAUAAAAUAAAAAAAUAAAAAAGGAGGUUAUUUGCAUUUGGAUGUCGUGGUUUGAGGGUACAACUACAAGCUCGAAAUUGUACAUAAUGUGAAAACUCCUGUGUCCAUUGCUGAGAACAGCAUAAAUGAUGGUGAUUUUCAAGUUGUGCCUGGUAUUCUACAGGAUGAAACAAGAAAGGAUCCAGGUGGUAUAUUGAACAAUAUCCCAAUCAUGUUGGUGGCAUCUUUAUUUAGUUAAUGGUAUUCAUUUGGUGGAAGCUGGUUGUUUAUGAUGUUUUUAAUUUUUUUUAACAUGAAGUUCGAUCAAAUACGUAUCUUAGUAUGUUUUGUUUGAGCUAAUUGGCAAAUGCGCUUUAAACAUGGUCACAUGGAUGCAGUUUUAUUUGUGAAAUGAUAAUAGUCGAUUACUUGGUCAGUAAGGUUUAUAUCUCUAACUUCAACAUCUUAUUGUAGUCUUUUAAAAUGUCAAAAGUUUAAUGCUUGAGAAAUUUUGGAAUGGAGACAUUCUAAACAAAGUUAAUAAUCCACAAGACUUGGUAAAACCGAUCAGAUGAUGCUUACGUACAUCAAUGCCUUCUUUAAGCCAUAUCCUAUUUUCAUUGAACGGGAUGUGCCAUCUAGUUUGGUUCUUUAAGCCUCCAAAUCCUAAACCUAGUCUCAAUUUAGAGCAAAUUUAGGGUGCAGGGCCUGCAUGCCUCCCCCUCCCCCUUCCACAAAUAGUAGUGACCUUGCUAUGCCUAUGCAUUGUCAAUGCCUCAUUUUCUAUGGUCUCCAAUGUAAUAUCUUAGUUUCAAUGUCUCUUUCCUUACUAUCUCCAAUGCAAUAGAUUGAUUUCAAUACCUCUUUACAACUAAGACCUCCAAAUUUUCUUGGUUCAAACCUACCAGAAUUUUUCUUCUCCUUUGCUUUCUAUCAAUAUUAGUUCCCCUAAUUUAAUAUAUACUUCUUUAUUACCUUCAACUCUACCUCUCUUUCUUUCUCUAAAAGCUUCCUCAAAGAUUUAAUUGCUUUCUUGCAUGUUUUAAGAAAACAAACAUGCUCAUAUUACAUUACCUCUACUUGAGAUCUACCUUAUACUCUACCUUCUUUCUUUACCUCCUAUAUCAUCUACUACAUUAGCUUCAAAAAUAUUAUUUAGUUUGAUACUAAAUAAGGCUCCUAAUCCUACUCUUCCUUCAACAAACUUUCUUUUUACAAGUUCCUUAAACUUUAUUUUUUAUUUUUUAUUUUUUGGAAAUUCGGGUUAGAAAGAUUCCAUUACUCUUACCUAAUAUUUCAACCAUCAAGUUGAAUCCACUUAUUGCCUAAAUCCAAGGAGUCUGCCCUCCACAAAAACAAGGAAAUUGAUCCCACAAUAACAAGGAGAUUGCCUUCCACAGAAACAAAGAGAUCUCCCUUCACAGAAGCCGAAUACAUUGCAAUCUAUUUUCUUUCUUGUAAGAUCAAAUCUUCAAUCGAGCUCCAUCUUAUGGGGGCAUAUUAGAGAAAUUUAAUAUUAUCCUUAAUUUACAUAUUAAUAUUUAUCUAUUUAUUAUAUAUUGAAUUAAAAUAGAAUAUAGAAUUUGAAUCAUAGUAGAAGUUUACUAUAAGAUUGAAUUACAAUAGUUAAUAGAGUUUAAAUUAUAAUAACUCAAAUACAUUUAUAUAUAUUUGACCUUACGAGAUUUUCUAUUUAUGUAUUUGAACUACAAUCCUUAUGAUCCUUAGGUCUCUAUACCUUCGUGAUGGGCUCCUUGACAUUUCAUAGGUUGUGCUACACAUGCAUUUGAAAUUUAGAGUGCAUUUGACAGUGAUUCUGGGAAGUGUUUUUGGCAUUUCUAACACUUAAAAUUUUUUAUUUUUCAAGUAUUAGAAAUGCUACAAACACUUUUGAAAAUUACUGUCAAACACACUCUUAGGAGCGCAUAUAGUAGAAAACUAGAAAUUGUGGUUUUUUUAGGAUUUACUGUAAUGUCAUUAGGAGGGUAGUAAGUUGAAACUGAGUAUGAAUAAAUAUUUCUUUCUUUGGGAUGUUCUUCUGGUAGGUGCUGAUGAAACUGUUCUUUUUACUGCCAAUGUCACAUAUCAGCCAGAAAUUGAAAAUUUCAGUCAAGGUGUCCUCGGUUUUAGUGGUGAGGAAAGCUAGAAAUUUUAAGGUGAAGUUCUGUUAAAAACCUUAAGUAGCUGGGAUAUCAGGCCUGUUUUGCUUGAAAAAAAAAGUUGCAAGAUAACUCAUAUGCCAAACAGGUUCUGAUAUUGUGAAUCUAUCGGCAGACAUCAGUAAUCUCAUCUUCUGAGAUGGAUGUUGGGGGUGCAUGUGGUGGUGGAGGGGCAAGGUUUCAUUUGGUUUAUUUUGUUGAUGGAUAUUGUCUAGCCCCCUGCGCCAAGUUUGAGGGGUGGUGGGUUGUGAUGGCCCUACAAUUACUAUUAAUUUCUUCCUCUUUUACCGAUUAAAGUGUCCGAACAGUCGAAGUUACCCUUAUGCAUGUCAACUUGAUCACUUACCUCUUCAAUGGAGUUUAUGCUGGUUCAUUUAGGAACUGAUUUUUAUUGUUAUGCAUUCUAUGCUGAUGUUUAGGCCUCUCCAUCAUCACUAUAUACAAAAAUUCUAGGUUGAUACUAUAGGUUGAGAUUUAUUUUUUAAAUAAAAAAUAAUAAAAAUAAAAAUUAUGGUGAUGUUUAGUUGUUUUAUGGAAAAUUUUAACAAGUUAUUUUUGGGCAAGUUUUCAAACAAAAAGAAAAGUAAAAGUUGUUUUGACAAAAACAUAUAGAAAAAAAAAAUCAUAGAAAAGAAAUAAUUUCCCCAUAUUCUAACUUUUUUUAAUUUUUCUCAAUGGGCAAAGGAAUAUCAAAUCAAGUUUGAGUAGGAUUUCUUAAUUUUUAAAAUAACUUACAAUUAAAAAAUUUUGGUGUUUUCAUUUUUGGACAAUUUUUUAUUAAGCAAAUGGACUCUGAGUCAUGCAAGAGAUAUGGUUGAUUAAUGGGUCAAACAAUUUUUUUAAAAUAAUUUAAAACUCAAAUACAUAAUCAAUGUCACAAAAUUUAUAAACAAAAAUAGGUUUAGAGAAGAUCUACACAUAAUUUUACUUUUCUAAUUUUAUUUUAUUUUAUUUUUUUGUUGGAAAAUAGUCUUCAAAUCAUGUAAGAUUUAAUAGGUUAAAUUUGUUAACAAUAAAUUUUAAAUUAUAAAAUAUAAUCUGGAACUUAAAAAUCAAUUCAAGUAAUGCUAAAAAAAAUCAAAUUUGGUAUAGAAUGACUACGUAAAAUUUUUUACAAAACAAAUGAAUUUUAAAUCAAGUGAGAUUUAAUGCAUUAGAUUUUUAUCAAAUAUAGUAAUUUUAAAAUUUAAUUUGGAACUCAACAAUAGACACAAUAAAUACCAAAAAAUAAUGAACCAAAAUUGGUUUGGAAUAACUCCACAACCUCUUUUUUUUUUUUUUGGUGCACACGAAUUUUCUUACUAGGUAUAUUGCUUUCAAAUUGAGAAAGAUUUACUAUUUAGAUUUUUUUUUUUAAUGAGUUUAAUGGUAUUUUAAAAUAAUUCAAAAUUUCAAAAAUUGACUAAUUACUAUUAUAAAUUCAUAAACCAAGACUAAUUCAAAAUGCAUUGGGGGCUAAGGGGGUUGAAAAUAGGGACAAUGGGAUGGGUUUGGGACAUGACACUCAUAUCUCAUUUCCAUUCCAAUUACAUAGUUAUCUCCCAUCCUUAUCCCAAACUUGUGUUGGAGCAAGUUGAUUUGUUCCCAUCUUUGUUGAUGAAAUGACUAAUAACCUCAUCCCCUCCUUAUCUUAGAUGUACAUUUUGUCAAAUUUGAUCAGGUAUGAUUGAUCCAAGCCCUAACCCUAAUUGGUAAUGACUGGAUACUACACCUAAUUGCAUUCUUCUUUCGUCGCAAAAUAAUGAGAUUAUAAUAAUCUAGCAAAUAAGAAAAAAUAGUAUGGAAGUUCAAUUUAACACCAUAACUAUCAAUAAUUUUAAGCUUAUAGAUGACUUAAAUGAUUAAAAACUAAUGCAAAAUACCAAAAAAAAAAGUUCAUAUAAAGAAUUCACAAGAGAACAAAAUGAACAAAAACCAAAUAUGAACAUGGGUCAACAUUAGUUAUGGAUUUGGAUUCCUUUCAAGGCCAAUCUUUGAACCAAGACUUCAUCAAAUCUACUACUUCAAAGGCUUUUGUGUUCUUCUUGGGUUGUGCUCUCAAACAAAGACUUCAAGGUGAUGCUCUAGAUGAUUGCAUUACACAUAUUUAGGGUGGAGAGAUUGGAGAAGCUUGAAGAUGCCAACGAUGGGUACAAUUGAGUGGUCAAUAAGAACAAUGUAGCCUAUGACUAGUUUGAUGUCGUGGUACAAGAGUUUUAGGCAUUGAGGUUAAAGCAAGAGCAACAUGGAAUUGAUUUUGGAGUCUUUCAAUUAGUGUAAAGGAGGAAGAAGUGGUAUUGAUUCUAGAAAUAGGGUUUUAGGUGGUGCGUUAGAGGAUGAAGAAGAAGAAAAAGAAGGAUCUGUUGGAAUUAGUGUGAGUGUGAAGAGAGAAGUAUAUAAAUAAGGGGAAGUAAAAGCAAAGUUCUAAAAGCUAUAUUUUUUUUUAUUGUUGGUGUAUGGUUGCAUGAUUAUCCCUAUAAAUAAUAGGAGUUUUUUUGGUAUUCUACUAGUAGUUGAAGGAUAAUUUCAUAAAUUUAUAUUUAGAGUGGGGUGGGGUGAGUUGUGACAAAAUUCAUACCCGUCCUAAACCUUGGUUCAGAUUUUUAAAAUAUCCUCAAACUUAUCAUAUACCCAACUUUUAUAUUUCAUACUUGUCUUGAUAGAGGCAGGUUAGGCCGGGUUACUUGAGUAACCUACAUAAUUGUCAUCCCUAGUUGAAAUACACUUUUUUGGCAGUGGCCACCAACUGAGCUAGAAGCUUGAUCGAUUGACCUACAAGAUUAGUUCUCAUCAUUUUAAAAAAAGUUUUGGCCUUGGUUGUGAGUGCAAUUGAAUCUAAACUGGCAUUUCCUUAAUGCAUCUACUUCAAUCCUAAAUUUCUUACUUCCUAAGCCUCAAUUGUUGUUAGGAUUUUGGAAAGCCCAUUUCCUUAAAUUGUAAAUUUAAGAAAAAAUAAAAUAAAAGUGAGACAUUUCUUGAUUGAAUAUUGUUAAAGGUCCCUUGGCAUUAAGACUUGGUUGAAGCCUUGGAAGAUUAGUGGAACUCUCAACUUGUGUUUGAAUCUUGAGGAGAGUGGACGUAAGCCAAAAUUUUGUCAAACCAUUAAACAAAUUGAGUUUGAAUCCUCAUUUCUUGAUUUCUUAUUUAUUUGCUUUUUCUUAUUAUUACUUGAAUUGUCAUUUGCAUUCAUUAAUGUUAAAAUUGGUUAUAAUUAACCAACACUAAUUCUCUUUCCCCUUCCCUUUCUUGGGUGUAAACCUAGGUUGGAUUAACUAGAUUAAUUUAUAAAAUCUAUUAAGAUGGUAAAAGAAUAAUUAUUCUUAACACACAUAAGAUCAUCUUCAAUCAAAUGACUCAUUGGCUAAUAUGUUGAAUUUGCUUAUUACUUGCAACUCAAAAUUGUGUUCUAGUUGAUAUGUCAAGUCCCCAGUGUAUGGACAUUAAAUUUGUAGUACGUGAUGGUAAUUAGAUGGUCCAACUCCAAGAAAGUGAUUGAAAACUAGUUCAAGAAAGGUGCAAAAGGGAAUUGUUUUGGUAUUUUCGUUUUUAUUCUUGAAGGUGGCAGAGCUAAAAUUUGUGAAAUCAAGCAAAACAUACUGAAAUUACAUUGAAAGAAAGAAAAUGGGAGUUAAUGUCUUGCAGUAGAUGAUAAGGACUUCAUGCAUGUAGUAUGACCCAUGUCUUGGACUGAUGCCAACUCACGGUUACACUUAUACCCUUGGUUCUCUCUUUACUACCUUGGCUAACCUAGAUCAGGCUAUGAGAUAGGCUCCUCACCACACCAUUACUUGCCCAUUAAUUAGAGACAUUUUCAAGCACUGAGGUAACAUGGUGACACCAAGAGGGUUUAUUCCUCGCCCUCCUCGCCCUCAACAAGUCUAGACUUGGUCUCAAAAAAAUGGAGAAAAAUGAGGUGUCGUUAUGUAGAAAUACAACAACCAUGCCUUCCUCAUUACUUUGAUUCAGAAUGUGAAGGUGAAAUUGAGAAACAGAAACUCUUGAAACCAAAAUGAAAAUUGAUACUUUUACGAAGAAUUACAACAACAUUGGAGGAAGACUACAUUCUUCCUCUUUAUUCCUACAUUUCUACACUACUUCUACUCCACUCCAUAUUUCUACAUACAUCUUUAAUCAGUCUUCCCUCCUUUAUAUAGAGCCAUCUUCACACAAAUUCCGCAAGGUAGAAAAGAGGAAUGAAACUUGGAGCAAGGUUCGACUACUGGCUGUAGCUUGUCAAGGCUGGAAGUGAACCUUUUUUCUUGGCUUUUCUGGGCAUGGGUAGUAACUUGUGGGUUCCUUUUUGGGAUACAAAUGGCUAGAACAUGUGGCACUAUCUUGUUGGAUGAUGUGUCAAGCAUGUGGCAGCCAUCUAGUGGCGAUUAUGUCAAUUUUGGGAUGGAGAGUUGGCAUCCAAUUGCAAAGAAAUAUGACGUCUACCAACAGGCAAUGUAAACCUAUGUAGAUCAUAUGAAGAUAGAGAGGAAAAAUAUAGAAAUGGAUAUAUACCUAGAACUAGCUUUUUAUUAAAUGAAACGGAGAGCCAACAAUGAAGGAAAAUAAAUUUUUUUGGCUUAUAUCAAAGAGUUCACAUUGUGCUACCCUAGGUUUUCUUAAAACUUACUUUUAUGAUAACAAAAAAAAAAAAAAACAUUAUUGUUUAAUCCUUUGUUUUAAACGCAUGUUUAGCAAGUUAUAAAAUGUAAAAAUCUUUCUAAGUUCAAAUAUGAAGAUAUGACAUCAUUUCAAGCAAGAUAGUCUCUAGGAAUUAAUGUAAAGCUAAAUUAAGGUGAAAUUAAAUUAGUUCAAUGCAUUAAUUUAAGAAACUUGACCUAUCAAAAGUACAAAAUUAGAUGAAAUCCAUUUCAAUGGUUAAAAUGAUCAAAAUCAAACUUUUUCUAAGUAUUUUUUAAAAGUAUCAAUAUUGAAAGACAAUUUUAUAUUUAGUCAGAGUUUGGACAAAACCAAAAAGCACACAAAAUCCAAGCGACCAUCUCUAGCUUGGAUGGUCGCUUGAUCUCUAGCUUGUGUACUUGGAAAGCAACAUCGAGAUGAUAUAUAUAUAUAUAUAUAUUUUAUAUAAUAUUGUUUGUCCAAAUUCCCUAAAAAUUAGGCCACCACAUGUUCAUAAUUCUCCCUUCUUGAAUUUGAAAACUCGGACAAUUGGACAAUGCGACACCUAAGUCCGGUUUCUAAAUGCUAAAGUGAAAGGGUAGGUAUGGACCAUUGAAAUGUGAUCACAACUUUUCUCUGUAGCCAUGUUGUCUCUUUUUUCUUUUGCAUGAUUUUCUCACCUUAACAGAAUCAUAGACUUGUUUAAUCUCUAAAUGGGAUUAAUUUCAUCCAGCUUUAAGCUACUAUAUUAUAUCUAGGUGGAGGACUUUUAAGAGUGCAACCGACAUAGAGCACAUGCAAGUGGGUAUAUGGGACAUGAAAUUUCUUCUUAUAAAGAUUGCAUGAUUUUUAUAUUAGAGUUGUUGGGGCGCAAUGUAUGUAGCUUGUUUUGCAGUUAAAUUAAUUGGAUAAGUAGACAUUGGCGUUUCUAAAUCUACUGUGAAGUGCUUCAUGUACGUGUGAAGUAUUAGAAAUUUCUUUCUUGGCAACUUGUUUUUUCUUUGCGGUCUACUGAUAGGUUUGACUAAAAUUAUAUUCCCUGUCAUGCUAAUUAAUUUUCACGUGCAUGCUCAAAAGAAGAGUAUGACCUUAGUGCACCAAAAUCACUUUGAUUAAUUUGUGAUAGGUUUUUGUGCAUCAUGACAUUAGCCUUAUUCAUUUAGAUAAUGUUUAGUUUUUAGAAAGUAUUAAGAAAAGGAAAAUAAAUAUUAAGAAAAAUAUUCUUAUAUUUGAUUGUAUUAUGAAAAAUGUCAUAAAAAAAUCAAAUAUAAUUUAAAUUAAUUAAUAAUUUAUACAUUUUCAAAUUAUUUAAUCUUUAUAUUGAAGAUAUAAUAUAAAUGAAAUGAGUUUUAAGUAUUAUAUAAAAGUGAUUUAUUGAUCUUGCAUAUAUGUAUUUCUUUUUUUUUUCUUCUAUUUUUUUUCUUUAUUUUAUUUUCCUUAUGUUUUCCUCAACAUUUUCCGGAACCAAACAUAGCCUUAGGAAAUCCACAAUUACCUUCAACUGAGUAUAUUCGGUUGUUUUAGCAAUGUUAGGCUGCUAACUUGUGUUGGUACGAACCUGUUAAGCCUAAAGAUGUAAUUAGUUAGGAUAUUCUUUUCCCUCUAGUCUUGUAGCUCCACGUGUAUAGUUGGUUAGGACCUCAUUGUAUAUAAUGCCUGCCCUGUUAUUGUUGAAGACAACAGAGAUAAAUAAUAUUAACAUUUUUCCUCUCAUCUCUCUUUGUUUCCCUCUGUUUUCAUCUCCUCUCUCAUCUUGGUAUCAGAGCCUCCAUGGAUUCUUUCAAAGAAACCUCCGAAUCACCUUCUGCUAGCAUUGUUAAUGUGCAAAACCCAUUAUCUCAGUCAAACAACCUUCCUUCACCAGCAGCCACACCCUCUUUUUCUUUCUUGUCUAUGAAUCAACCUCUCACAGUGAAGCUGGAUAAUGGAAACUACCUCAUCUGGAAGAAUUAGCUUCUGAAUGUCAUCAUUGCGAACAGACUCGAUGAUUUCAUUUAUGGAACUCGACCCUGCCCUCCUUGAUUUCUCAAUCUGCAACAACAAACCCUCACUCCAGAGUACUCGGUCUAGCAGAGAUACAAUCGACUUCUAAUGAGUUGGCUGUACGCAUCCUUGUCCGAAGAUAUAAUGACUCAGAUUGUUGGGUAUUCAACAACUGUGGAGAUUUGGAACGUCCUUAAUCAGAUUUACUCUGCCUCUUCAAUGGCGUGGGUUACCGAGCUUCACACCAAGCUUCAAACGCUCAAGAAAGAUGGACUCUCAGUUGGUGAAUAUAUUCAAAGGCUCAAAUCCAUUUGCAAUAGUCUUGCAGCAAUAGGAGAACUAGUUUCUGAGAAAGACCAGCUUAUCUAUUUGUUCAAUGGAUUAUAUUGUGAGUAUAAUUCUUUUGUUACCUCCAUUCAAAAUCGAUCUGACCAACCAACUAUUGAGCAAAUCCAUAGCCUAUUGCUUAGCUAUGACUUUCGGCUUGAACAACAAAACUCUGUUUCUCUCCAUUAUGCCCAAGUCCGUAUGGCUCAUCUGAACAAGAAACCUUAUAAAUCAACUCCUCAACCUACAUUCAAUCAUAUUCACAUUCAACCUAGAUACUCUUCUCCACCUUUUAAGCCAACCACUAGUCAAUAUCAACCCAGGAUUUUGGGCAAACCACAACCACAACCAUGACAGCCUCAACCUCAAUGGAAACCACAUUUUUCAAUCCAGAAUCAAAAGCCUCAGUGCCAAAUUUGUGGUAAAUUUGGACACACUGCUCUUAUUUGCUUCCAUUGCACAAAUUUGAACUAUUCACCCCAACCUUCUCCUAAAUCUUUCAAUACUGUUCUCACCACAAAUUCCCAGCUCCCUAAUCCUCCAAAAUUUUCUUACCCUACAAUGGCUCAUCCUGCUGCUACGCAUAACACGAUUCCUGAUACAAAUUGGUACAUGGACUCAGGUGCUACACAUCACUUUACUCCGGACAUCAACAUGCUUGACACUGUGACACCAUUUAGUGGUUUAGAACAGGUGACAGUUGGGAAUGGUAAGCAACUCUGUAUCUCACAUCUUGGUACUGCAAAACUACCAUCCUCGUAUUCUCCUCUUGUUCUACAUCAGGUAUAUCACACUCCAAAAAUUUCAAAUAAUCUUAUUAGUGUUAGAAAAUUGUGUUCUGAUAAUAAAGUUUUUGUUGAAUUUUAUGCCACUCAUUUUCUUAUCAAAGAUCAAGUUUCGAAGAGAGUUCUCUUUCAAGGUCAACUUGAUAAUGGCUUAUACAAAGUUCAGUCGUCAUGCUCUCCUUCUACUAUUUCCUUUCAUCCUCAAGUUUUCAUAGCCAACAUCAAGGAUCAAAAUUUGUGGCACAAGAGACUAGGCCACCCAGCUUUAUCUGUUAUUAAUCAAAUCUUGGAUUCUUGUAACAUUGCUCGAACACAGAAAAUUGGUUUUAAUUUUUGUAGUUCUUGUCAAUUAGCAAAAAGCCACAGGCUUCCUUUUUCUCUGUCUCCAUCCAUUGCAGAAAAACCUUUUGAGUUAAUUCAUACAGACCUAUGGGGUCUUUCUCCUGUUCGCUCUAUUUCUGGUGCUCGUUAUUUUUUACUUUUCAUUGAUGAUCAUACUCGUUUUACUUGGUUUUAUUUGCUCAAAACAAAAGAUGAAGCAUAUCCUACUUUUCUCAAGUUUCAAGCUCUCAUUGAAAAUCAAUUUAAUACCAAGAUUAAGGUUGUCCAAUCUGAUUGGGGAGGUGAGUUUCGAUCUCUCUCCAUACUGUUUUCAAAUAUGGGCAUUGUCUAUCGUUUAUCAUGUCCAUACACCUCACAACAGAAUGAGUGGGUUGAGCGAAAAAAUCACCAUGCGGUUGAAAUGGGAUUGUCCUUUCUUGCUCGCUCGGGUAUGCCCUUAUCUUAUUGGCCUUAUGCCUUUCAAACUGCCACUUACCUUAUUAAUCGUCUCUCUACCCCUGUGCUGCACCAUCAAUCCCCUUACUUCGCACUCUAUCACAAAUUCCCAGCUUAUACUCAUCUUAAGGUCUUUGUUCCUCUUGUUUUCCAUAUUUACGCCCUUAUAAUACCCAUAAACUCCAAUACAGGUCACUGGAGUGUGCUUUUCUUGGUUGCAGUUCACACCACAAAGGUUAUCUAUGUCUUGACAUUCAUUCUAGCAGGGUGUAUAUUUCUCGCCAUGUGAUUUUUAAUGAAGAUUCUUUUACAUUCAAGAAUUUGAAAUCUUCUCUCUCUUAGUCUAUUUCUUCUUCCUCUUCUUUAUUAGUUCCUCUGUUCAUUUCCUUGCCUCCCCUCUCCCCAUAUCCUCCUAUUUCUCCAUCUAUAUCUCAUUCUUUUCUCUCUUCUUCUUCUACCUCUAGUACUUGUUCCCCUCUCGUUGCUCCUACCUCUCUUCCUCCCUCUUCACACUUUGUGUCCCAUCUAUUCCACCUCCUUCUCCACCUUCUUCGAGUGUGGACCUGCUUGUACCUUGUGUGAAUACAAAUUUACUUACUUUUUCUCGCACUCACAAUAUUCAUCCUAUGGUGACCAGAUCUAAGGGUUUGUAUCUAUAAACCUAAGUUGCUAUUGAGUGUCUCCAUAGGUUCUCUCACUAAGCCUACUUCCUUUCUUCAAGCUAUUAAAGAUCCUUCAUGGAAGCAAGCCAUGGAAUUGGAGUUUGCUGCCCUUCAACACAACAAGACCUGGCAUCUAGUUCAUUCACCUUCCUCAGGCAAAGUAAUUGGUUGUAAAUGGGUCUAUAAGAUAAAGCUUUAGCCUGAUGGCUAAUUGAGAGAUACAAGGCCCGCUUAGUAGCUUAGGGUUAUCAUCAAACUGAAGGUAUUGACUACUUCGAAACAUUCAGCCUGGUUGUCAAGCCUUCUACUACCGUAUUGUGCUCAGUCUUACUUUUUCCCAGAAUUGGUGUAUUAGACAGCUGGAUGUUCAUAAUGCCUUCUUACAUGGUGACUUAGCUGAAGACGUUUUCAUGGAACAACCACCUGGAUUUGUUGAUCCUCUCUAUCCUACUCAUGUCUGCAAGUUGGAUAAGUCUCUCUACGGUCUUAAUAGUCACCUCGGGCUUGGUAUACUAAGCUGAGUACUUCUCUACUACACUUGGGAUUUGUUACUUCUAAGAAUGACUCUUCCUUAUUUAUUUGUCAUUCGUCUCAUGGGUUACUUCUUGUUCUUGUCUAUGUGGAUGAUAUAAUCGUCACUGGGAGCCACUCUCCUCAAGUUACUCACCUUAUCCAAUAGUUGCAUCAUCAGUUUUCUUUAAAGGAUCUUGGUCAUUUACACUAUUUUCUGGGCUUGGAGGUUCAUCACACCCCUACUGGUAUUCACCUCAGCCAAGCAAAGUAUAUCACUGAUCUCCUUACCCGGGCGGCUAUGUUGGAUGCCAAGCCAUGUCCCACUCCUAUGUCCUCCAACACAUAUCUUUCUCUUCAUGAUGGAGUGGCUCUUGAAAAUGGUUCAGAUUAUUGAAGUUUUGUUGGUGCCCUUUAGUAUUGUACCAUGACACGCCCAGAUAUAGCUUUUGCAGUAAAUAAAGUGUGUCAAUUCAUGCACCAUCCCUCUGAUGUUCACUGGCAGGCUAUAAAACGUAUUCUCCAGUACUUAAAGGGCACAUCUCAUUUUGGUCUCUUCCUACAGCCUUCCUAUGACUUCAACAUCACUUGCUAUACAGAUGCCGACUGGGCUUCCUGCCUUGAUGACAAGUGUAGCACCAGUGGCUACUGCCUCUUUCUUGCCUCUAAUCUGGUUUCUUGGUCAUCUUCCAAACAAAAAGUGGUCUCCCGCUCCAGCGCCAAAUCAGAGUACCGAGGGGUAGCAAAUGGGGCUGCUGAAAUUGCUUGGACUGAAUCUCUUCUUUGUGAACUUUCCACCCACUCGACCUCCCCUCAUUGUCUGUGACAAUAUCAGUGCCACAUACUUAGCUGUCAAUCCUAUUUUGCAUGCCCGCACCAAAACAUGUGGAAAUCGACUAUCACUUUGUCUCGGAACGUGUUCUUCAACGCUCUCUCUCUCUCCAGUUUACACCUUCGGAUGAUCAACUUGCUGAUUGCAUGACCAAGCCUCUCUCCACCCAACGUUUCAUCACUCUACGCUCCAAGCUCACUGUUCUCACUAGACCAAUGAGCUUGAGGGGGGAUGUUAAGCCUAAAGAUGUAAUUAGUUAGGAUAUUCUUUUCCCUCUAGUCUUGUAGCUCCACGUGUACAGUUGGUUAGGACCUCAUUGUAUAUAAUGCCUGCCCUGUUAUUGUAGAAGACAACAGAGAUAAAUAAUAUUAACAUUUUUCCUCUCAUCUCUCUCUCUGUUUCCCUCUGUUUUCAUCUCCUCUCUCAUCUGAACCAAAUGAUCCAUGUUAACCUUGGCUUGGUUUGAUUUGGCUCUAUCUUAGAGAGCUCAAGGAUCACGUCAACUCUGGUUUCUACUAUUCAGGUCCAUUCCCAUAUGAACUGGUUCAAAUUUGAGAAAAUGGUAACAGACCUUUAGUGAUGUUGGUUUGGAGCCAGUUGCCAAACCCGCCCUGAGCUUUACCACUAAUGUCAAGGGAGAAAGCCUUUUGAACAAAAACAAUAGCUUCAAGAGACUGAAUCGUGGAUGAAAUCUGAUCCACAUUUCUUCUCAUUUUGGAAACAAAUGAGAACUUAACUAAGAAGAUUCUACGGCCUCAUAGUGCUUUUCCUGAUCUAAGGUUGGUUCGUUUCCCAAAUUGUGAGAUGCACGGGCCAGACUUCAGAACUCUCACGCUCAGGAGUGUAUCCACGUGGUGGACAUAAGAUGGUGGCUUAAGAUCUGGUGUCGGUGGCUUUACUUUACUAGGAGAGUAGUGUGUCUUCAUCUCAUUCACUGCCGGAGGGUGGCGUAAGCAGUGACGCUAAGGUGGGGCAUAGUCAAUAUCAUUUGCAUUUGACCAUUAUAGUUUUCUCCCGGCUUGAAAGUAACCUUAUCGUGAUAAAGGAUUACUAGCACUAGUUCAGAUGACAGUCAUGUUAAAUUCGGACCAUGUUUGUGUCACAUUAUCAGCAACCAUGUGUUUAUGGUUCAUGCUUUCUGCAACUGAAAUUGAAAUUGAUAUAUAACCAGGUGAACUUCAAUCUAAAUUCUGGAAGUACUCAUGUGAGCGAUGGUGCCCAUCUGCAGAGUCCAUCAAUUGAAAAAUGGAGUGAGUGUAUCUAUAAGAGGGAAGGCUUGGCAAAUGUCCAGUUUUCUGGGAAUUCAACAAGGAUCUAAAAUAGAUUGUUUUCUUUGCUGAUUUCAAUGGUUGAAAUUUGAGAAGAUUGUGUCCCACAUAACACAACUAUUACUGGUCCUUCUGUUGCAAUUUAUCCUCUAAGGCUCUAGCAUGUCUUCCAAUUCCCACUUCCCUGUUACUCCAGGAAAGCUAUUUCUGUCAUUGUGAAGAAGAAAAGAGAAUGUAGAUAUCGAUGCUUUUAAGUGACUGGAGCAUUCAUAUCAGGUGGUCUGCAGCCAUAUAUGCCACUUUGUGAAGAUUGGAACAGUCAAUCACUAGGCUAUAUAUUAGUGUGGCCCAGCCACUUUAAUCAAGGACAAUUCUUCAUACUUAAAAGUCAAAUUCUGCCUUUAGUCUCAUUAUAAAUUGCUGUUUAAAUAUUAAGCAAACAUUUGUUUAAUGCGAUUAAGACAGUACUAACUCAAUACUUGUUCUAUUUUUGGAUGGAAAUGCUUGAUGGUUUCAUCAUUGGAUGGGAUAAAGGUGCAUUCAUGAUUAUGAAUACUUGUAGUUAUAUUUUCAUUCUCUUUUUUCUCAAUGAGACUUGUUGGCACAAUUUUUCUGUUCAGAAACCUACCUCUCCAUGGAAAAUAAGUUGUGAUUGAUAGUACUGGAUAUAUUCAAGAAAGCUAAAUAUAGAUAGCACAAAAUAUUAUCGACAUAAAUAGCAUUAACAGCGUACGUAUGUCUCAGUGCUCAUCAGCCAUAAGCAUGGGGCAAACACUUACGAUGAGCAACUUACGUCAAAAUUCCAGAAUAGGACAUAGAAGUGACAGAUCUAUAUAUAUAGAACACUGCAUAAGAGUCACAAGAAAGGAAAUUACGGGUGCAUAGCAGCUCUUAUUUCACAUACUACUCAUACUGAUCAAAGUCACUCAGUUGGGAUGGGUGGGAGUAGGAGGUUUGUGGGGUGGCUUGUGCGGAGGAGUUGGCAGCUUCUUUCCAGGACCUGGUGGCUUCUCUCCCUUAGGUGGUUUGCCAACUGGGGUUGGUGGCUUGUAUGAGUCUUCAGCAUUCUCUGCAGGAGGGUGACCAGGGUUGUGACCAUAAUGUGGUGGCUUCUCUCCCUUAGGUGGUUUGCCAACUGGGGUUGGUGGCUUGUGUUCUGGGAGUGGCUUCUCCCCCUUGGGAGGUUUUUCCAAUGGGGUUGGUUUGUGUUCAGGAGGUGGCUUCUCCACUGGAGGCUUGUGUUCAGGAGGUGGCUUCUCCACCGGAGGCUUGUGUUCAGGAGGUGGCUUCUCCACCGGAGGCUUAUGCUCUGGUGGUGGCUUCUCCACCGGAGGCUUAUGCUCUGGUGGUGGCUUCUCGAAUGGGGGAUGCUUAGGGUAAUCAGCAAGUGAGGGGGCGGUGAGAACCACCAGGCCAAGCAAGACCACUAGCAAGUAUGUAGGAGACAUCUUUGGGUUUAGACUCAGAUGGUGCAAAACUAGGAGAAUUGUCUUUUAUAGCGGAUCGCACCCAAUAAUGAAAUGACACGUGUCUUUAUGACCCAUGUGUAAUGGGGUCGAUUUGGGUCCUACAGUGUUGAAAACUUCGACAUCCACUUUUGGCCUUUUGCUUUCUCUACAGCCGCCUUGCUUUUUCCCUCUUUCCUUUUGUUUUCCUCCUGCCCCAUUCUAUCAACUAAACACAAUUAUGUAGUUGUUUAAUUCUUAAAUGAGAUAUUAUCCGUCAAUCGUAUCAUAUUUUAUCAACAGAGAACGGAGUGCAAUGUGGCAAUCCAAAGAAAGAAGAUCCAUAAUGCAGCUGUAAUUUUAUCGUUUACUUUUAUCUCUUGGACCACUGCAUUUUUGUUAAGAGGUGCAAUAAUACACGUCUUUAUCUGCCAUUCAAUGUUUACAGUAAAGAGAGGGCACAAAACUCUUCACUGCUCUGCAUGUGUCCCAAAAAUGCAAUUGGACAAAUUAUGAUUUGCAUGCUAAAAAGAGGCAAAUGAGGUUAAUUCGCACCAUAAUUAUUUUGUUUUCUGGACCCCGGGGCCCUUUGGUUGGUUUGGGGGUCAGAAAAUGAACAUCAUAGGGGGUUUUUCCCUUAUGUGCAUUUGUAUCUGAUGGCUUUAACUCGCCUUGUUACUACAAAGAAAUUGUCACAUAUAGGAACUUAUUCCAGGCUGAGUAUCUCCGCAUAGACCCUAUAAAAGAAGACAAGUCAUAAUGAACAUCUAACCUUUGUUCAAUUUGAUUCAAUGCCCCAUUGUGUCCACCUCACAAAUCUGAAUUAUUAUAUCCAUUGAAUACAUAAAUUAAUGAAGAAAAUAUGAAACCCAAGAUACAUCUCUGCACAACCUCAACCCUGGUUGCUAUGUUUCCCUUCUAUUCACAUGAGGAUAUUGAUUACGGAAUAGGGAAACCUAGCAAGGGUUUACUCGGCUCUGGUUUGAUGCUAAUUGCCAAACUUGCAACAAGCCCUGAGUUUGAAGCUCACAGAAGAUGUUAUACAGGCAGGGAAAAACCUUCAGAGUUCGCUGCCAAAGAUAAUUAUUAAGGAGAUAUCACCAAGAGAAUUCCAAGGAGUCUGAAUCAAAGACAAAUUGGUCGUUCGUGGAGGUUCUUACUUUCUUUUGGGUAUAACUCACUGAGGGCACUGUCUUUUUUAUUUUCAUUUCACAUUUAGAGUUCUGUUCUGGAAACAUAUAAAAGGAGCAUCAGUUUGUUCUUGGGUAACCCAUAGUCGUGAGUGGGUCCAUUUGCAUGCUACUUAGUUGAAAAGUUGGACCAUUUGCUCCGACGCCUACCUCCUGGAUUCCAUGCUCGGAUAAAACAAGAAUAAAAAAAUAUUUAUAAUUUACAAAUGGGGGAAAGAAAAAAAUGUCAACAACAAACUAGGAAAAAAGAGUAGUAAAAUUCAUGUCACAUGCUAGUGAGAGAAGGGGUUGUUACACUCACUCGAAGUUCUUUUCAAAAUAUCGCAUGGUAUUUUAUUUUAUGUGUGAGCGCAGUUGUGAAUGGAACGUGCAAAAGUCCAAAUUGGUGACCUUUAAUAAAUAUUUAAAACAAAAAACGAAAAAAAGGAGGGAAAAGGGAUCAGAAAAGAUAAAACAAUGUGUACAAAAGCUCAAUUAGUUUGCAAAUUACUGUUUGGAUUUUGAUAGUAUUUUAUUUGAUGUAAAAGAGAAUUUAAGAUAUUUCCGAAACAAAAGCAUUAGUUUGCUCCAUGUCAAUUUCGGCAUUUCUCAUAUGUUUCACACAUACACAGAAGAGCAUCGUUUUUUAAAGCAUGCAUUUAUGUUGGAUUAAUUUGGAUUUUGUGGGAACUGGGGCAAGGAUCACAUGGAAGAGAGGUUGACUUUUUUCAGUACUUCAAUGGUUGAGACAGGUGAAGGCCUGAUUGAUACUGAAGCCUGAAAUUGCGACUCCGUCAUUUGUCAAAACAUAUGACAGCUUCCAUGCUCUCGUUUGGUUGCAUUGUUCUGUGGUCAUGCAUACAUGCCACUUAGUGAUCAGUCUGUAACUGUCAAUCAUUGGGCUUUGACUGAACAACAUCAGCCAUGUAUAAAUACUUGCAAAUCAAACGGUCUUCUUCCUCCCAUAAGGAAUUUCGGUUUAAUUAUGAAGCAUGCAUUUGGCUGACCAUCAUAAACCACUUCUUUAAAUUGAUGAAUGAUAGUUUUUCAUUCAUUCUUUCAUUCGUUCAUAUACAGAGUAUAUAUAGAGGGUAAUCAUCAUUCUAAGAAUGGGAAAGAAUGAUACAAGGAAAUAAUGAUAUAAAGAAAUAACAACUAAUAUUCUAAUAUCUCAACUUUCCUAAUAUCUAAACAUUCCUAAUAUCUCAACACUAAAUGAUAUAAAGAAAGAAUGAUAUAAGGAAAGCAUUCCUAAUAUCUCAACACUCCUCCUCAAGUUGGUGCAUAGAUGUCAAACAUGUCCAACUUGUCUAAAAAUUUUGAGAACAGUUGACUUGAGACAUCUUUGGUGAGGAUAUCGGUCAAUUGAUCUUCUGAUCGAAUCUUAGGCAAUUCCACAAUCUUAUCAUCCAACUUUUCCUUAAUGAAAAAUCUAUCCAUCUCGACAUGCUUUGUACGAUCAUGUUGUACUAGAUUAUGAGCAAUGUCACAUGCUGCUUUAUUGUCACAAAACAAUCGGAUUGGUUGCCUAGAUAGGUAACCUAAAUCCUAUAAGAGGAGUCUUAGCCAUAAUGCCUCACAAAGUCCUAAAGUCAUACCUCUAAAUUCCGCUUCUGCACUUGAACGAGCGACGACAUUUUGCUUCUUACUUUUCCAUGUCACAAGAUUACCACCUACAAAGGUAAAGUAACCAGAUGUAGAUCGCCUAUCAUCCACUGCACCGACCCAAACAGCAUUAUACUUCUAUACUCUGAUGAUCAACAUUUUUAGCGAACAAAAUUCCCUUCCUAGGAGCAUUCUUCAAAUACCUCAAAAUACGCAUGACUACAUUCAUAUGUUGCUCUCCAGGAUUAUGCAUGUAUUGACUCACUACACUCAAUGUAUAAGCAAGAUCUAGUCUUGUAUGAGCUAAGUACAUUAAUCUCCCCACAAGUCUCUGGUAUCUUCCCUUAUCGAUUGAUACUUGAUUAGGCUCAACACACAAUUUCAGACCUUCUUCUAUUGGUGUAUUAAUAGGUUGACAUCCCGACAUUCCAGUUUCCUGUAGAAGAUCUAAGGCAUACUUUCUUUGAGACAGAAAAAUUCCUUCACUUGAUCGAGAAACUUCAAUCCCAAGAAAGUAUUUCAGACGACCAAGAUCUUUCAUUUCAAAUUCUCUAGAUAGAUACUUUUGCAAAGCUUUUCUUUCUUCAGGAUCAUUUCCUGUAACUACAUGUCAUCCACAUAUAUCAUAAGUGUCGUAAUCUUACCAUGUUGCUUUUUCAAGAACAAAGUGUGAUUUGAAUUACUUUGAUGAUAGCCAAAAGCUCUCAUUGAUUUUGUGAACCUUCCAAACCAUGCUCUCGGGGAUUGCUUCAACCCAUACAAUGACUUCUUCAAUUCGCACACCUUCUGACAUUGCUUUUCUGACACCAUGCAUCCUGGUGGAAGAUCCAUAUAUACUUCUUCAGAUAAAUCGCCAUGCAGAAAGACAUUUUUUACAUCGAACUAUUGUAAUGGCCAAUCUAGGUUUGCAGCUAAAGACAAUAAUACUCGAACUGUGUUGAUCUUAGCUACAGGUGCAAAUGUCUCUGUGUAGUCAAUUCCAUAAGUUUGAAUGUACCCACUAGUCUUGCUUUAAAUCGUUCAAUACUACCAUCUGCCUUGUACUUCACAGUAUAGAUCCAACGACACCCAACUAGCUUCUUUCCUGGUGGACAUUCUACGAGUUCCCAUGUUUCAUUUUUCUGCAAUGAUUUCAUCUCUUCAUUCAUGGUUGCUUUCCACUUUGGAUCAGCUAAAGCUUCCUGCACACUAUUAGGAAUAGCUACAGUAGAUAAUUGAUUUACAAAUGACUUAUUUGAUUCAGACAAACCAUGGUGUGGACCCGCAUUUUUCACGUGCGCCUCUACUCGAUCGGCGAGACUCGCUUUCUAUUUGUGAAAAAUUAAUUUUAGAAAAGUUGGAGUCGCCACCUAUUUUAUUUUUAUUUUGAAGGGAAAAUAAAACAAGAAAGAAAAACCCUAAAAAGUGACUCCAUAGUUUUGGAAAAAGCAUGUCUUUGGGAAACCUGAGUCUAGGUCCGGGGAUCAUGUUACUUAUUGGGAAGGUACCUCUAGGAGGUAGCACCCCUCUAAGCCUUAUGAAGGUCUCUACUAACUAAAUUAAGGGAAGUGUGGCAAUAAAUCGAUUGAUCAUAGAUACCUAAGUAGACUAGGUGAUUUUAAAGUGUGGCAUGUCAAACACAAUCAAAUUGCAAUAAAGGAGAGUUAGGGCGCGUACCUGAACCGCUUCUCAAGCGCUAUCAUAAAACAUCAAUGGUUAAUUUAAAUAAUAUAUCAUCCAGCAUGUAUUUUAUUAGAAAUAAUCAAACAAUGAAACAUGUAUAUCAGAACACUCAAGCAUUAUUAGACAUAAGCAUUAUUUCACUAUUCACAGAAUUCAGAAAGUAGGUGAUAGAGGACAUACCUGGAUAGCAUAGAUAAUUUGUAAUGUGCUUCCUCAAGUUGUAAGGGGUUAGAUAACAAAUAAUAAAAUAUAGAAAUCCUAGCAUGCUCGUUAUCUAAUUAGCAUAGCAAAAGUGAUCACAGUAUACAGAAUCAUCAAUUAUCACAUACAUCUUGUAUAUAAUUCCUAAAAAAAAUAGAUAGACAUGAUUUCAACAAGUGUCAAAUGUGGCAACAAAAAUAAAUUUUGAAAAGAUUUUCUUAUGUAGGGGUUUCACCAAUUCCCCAAAUUAAUAUACACGAAUUUAGCUUAGAAUUAUCCCAUUUAUUUGGGACUACAAGCUUUGAUUCGUGUUUUUGUUCAAAACCAAAAAUUUUUGUUGAAAAUCAAGAAGGAUGCGAACCGAACAAGAUAUGGUUGCAUAUUAUUUUUAAAUAAAUAAAUAAAUAAAUAAAGGAGAUUUUGAUCCUGAGGACUUUAAUGAGUUUUUUUUUUUAAAAUAGAUUUUUAAAAUGAUUUUUUUGAGAAAAGUAUUUUAUUUUAAAAUAAAAGGGAUUAAUUUGGGAAAAAAAUAAAAUAUAAGAAAUAAAAUACCAAACAAAACAAAAAUGAAACCUCAAAGUAAAAUUUUUUUAGUAAUUAACAAAAAUGAUAAUGGUGAUGGUAGAGGGCAAUCUUCAUGAUUUUCCAAUGGCCUCAGAAAGAAAAUCAAAUUAAAUGAAGGAUCACUAACAGGCAAGACAUUCUAAAUUAGACAAACUAACAAAGUAUCAAUUCAUGAACUAACCGCUAGGAUUUUGAAAGCAUAUAAGCUAAGAUAAGGGUGAUCAGGAACUAAUAUUAAUGAUUUUGAAAUAAAAACUAAAAAAAAGGAUCAAUUCGGGUAAGGAACUAAAAUUAUAAAAGUACCUAAACUAAUUAUGACGAGUUUGACUAAAUUAAACUAAAAACAUGAACUUUCAAACAUAGAAUUAAUUUUACUAAUGAACCAAAGCAAACUAAAAAUAUGUACUUUCAAGCAUAGAAUUAAUUUUAUUGAUGAACUAAACUAUAACAAAUAUCUAAACUAAAUAUAAUGAAUCAAAUUAAAUUAAAGCAACUUAAAAACGCAAACUUUCAAACAUAGAAUCAAUUUUAUCAAUGAAUUAAAACUAUAAAUGUAUUUGAACUAAAUAGAUGAAUCAAACUAAAUCAGAGCAAAAUUAAAAAAAAAAAAGAACUUUCUAACAUGAAAUCAAUUUUAUCAACAAAUAAAUGAAUGAAUAACAAGUAAUUAAAAGAAUAGCUACUACAUGAAUAACUGAAUGAAUAAAAUUCAAAUGUUUUCAAUCUGAAGCAAUCAAUCAAAAUUAAAUAGGGAUCAAAUCAAAAUAAUCGAAAUCGGAAAAACAAUAUGCAAUCUUUCUAAAGGUUUAACCAGACAAUUGAAUUAAAAUUAUGAAUAGAAUAAAUUAAUAAACCAAAUCGAAACCUAAAUUGUACCUAAAAAGAUUAAUUAAUUAAACUAAGAAAUCAAAAUCAAUAACAAAACUAAACUAAGGAGUAAAUUAAGACAAGACUAAUUAAAUUAAACUCACAAACACGUUUUAACUAUCAUAUGGAUUAAAACAAAAUUAGCAUGGACUUAUGAAUUACGAACAAAAAUAAUCAAAACUAUUUUAAAAAACUCACCUCUAUUAUAAGAAAAAAUCUGCCUUUGAUGCGUUGAGGUGGCUCCCCUCUCUGUGUGGAUCUCUCUGCUCCCCAGAAAAAAAAUGUCUCUUCCUCCGUUCUCUUUUGUUUCAGCAAAAUAAUAUAUCCCCUGCUGUGGAUCUCUCUACUCCCAGAAAAUAAUAUAUUCUCUCCGUGUCCUAAAGUGGACCUAGGGUGCCUAAGUGGACCUAGGGUGCCUAAAUGGGCCUAGGGUGCCUAAAUGGGCCAAGUGUAUCUAAAUAGGCUUAGGGUGCCUAAGUGGGCCUAAGUCUAAGUGAGCCUAAGUCUAAAUCAAGACUACCAAGGAUCAUAAUAAGGGGUUAGGCAAUCCCUUAACCAAAGUCUCCAAGGUGGCUAAAAAAAAGUAAGUAGUAUGAGUAGCUAUGGGUCACCAAGGAACUACUGUGGAGCAUUGAAAACGAAUUUAAAGACAUGUGCCAAAGGGACAAAAUUGAGGGUCUACAGAUGGUUAGACACAUAGUUGCUCAUGGGAUAUUUGACUUUGGUAAACAAUUCAGAUUCAUAUGUGGGUUUAGGAAUACCUUUAUUAUGACGGUGUGGUAAUCGUUUCAUGAAUGGAUCAGGUUGCAAAUUAAGAACACCCUCAGCAAACAACGAUUGGUUUGGUAUUUCAGUGAAGACAUCUUCGAACCCAAAUUGUUGACCACUCAUAUCCAACUCACCCGCUUCCUGGUUCACUAGUUCAGAUUGUCCAAAUUCAUCAUUCUCAUAGAUAUGAUAAUCAUAAUCGAGAGUCUGAAUUUCCUUAUGGUACUCCCCCUGAAGUUCAGACUUAGAUGAAAAAUACAUCGAAUAUUCAUGAAACAGCNNNNNNNNNNNNNNNNNNNNNNNNNNNNNNNNNNNNNNNNNNNNNNNNNNNNNNNNNNNNNNNNNNNNNNNNNNNNNNNNNNNNNNNNNNNNNNNNNNNNNNNNNNNNNNNNNNNNNNNNNNNNNNNNNNNNNNNNNNNNNNNNNNNNNNNNNNNNNNNNNNNNNNNNNNNNNNNNNNNNNNNNNNNNNNNNNNNNNNNNNNNNNNNNNNNNNNNNNNNNNNNNNNNNNNNNNNNNNNNNNNNNNNNNNNNNNNNNNNNNNNNNNNNNNNNNNNNNNNNNNNNNNNNNNNNNNNNNNNNNNNNNNNNNNNNNNNNNNNNNNNNNNNNNNNNNNNNNNNNNNNNNNNNNNNNNNNNNNNNNNNNNNNNNNNNNNNNNNNNNNNNNNNNNNNNNNNNNNNNNNNNNNNNNNNNNNNNNNNNNNNNNNNNNNNNNNNNNNNNNNNNNNNNNNNNNNNNNNNNNNNNNNNNNNNNNNNNNNNNNNNNNNNNNNNNNNNNNNNNNNNNNNNNNNNNNNNNNNNNNNNNNNNNNNNNNNNNNNNNNNNNNNNNNNNNNNNNNNNNNNNNNNNNNNNNNNNNNNNNNNNNNNNNNNNNNNNNNNNNNNNNNNNNNNNNNNNNNNNNNNNNNNNNNNNNNNNNNNNNNNNNNNNNNNNNNNNNNNNNNNNNNNNNNNNNNNNNNNNNNNNNNNNNNNNNNNNNNNNNNNNNNNNNNNNNNNNNNNNNNNNNNNNNNNNNNNNNNNNNNNNNNNNNNNNNNNNNNNNNNNNNNNNNNNNNNNNNNNNNNNNNNNNNNNNNNNNNNNNNNNNNNNNNNNNNNNNNNNNNNNNNNNNNNNNNNNNNNNNNNNNNNNNNNNNNNNNNNNNNNNNNNNNNNNNNNNNNNNNNNNNNNNNNNNNNNNNNNNNNNNNNNNNNNNNNNNNNNNNNNNNNNNNNNNNNNNNNNNNNNNNNNNNNNNNNNNNNNNNNNNNNNNNNNNNNNNNNNNNNNNNNNNNNNNNNNNNNNNNNNNNNNNNNNNNNNNNNNNNNNNNNNNNNNNNNNNNNNNNNNNNNNNNNNNNNNNNNNNNNNNNNNNNNNNNNNNNNNNNNNNNNNNNNNNNNNNNNNNNNNNNNNNNNNNNNNNNNNNNNNNNNNNNNNNNNNNNNNNNNNNNNNNNNNNNNNNNNNNNNNNNNNNNNNNNNNNNNNNNNNNNNNNNNNNNNNNNNNNNNNNNNNNNNNNNNNNNNNNNNNNNNNNNNNNNNNNNNNNNNNNNNNNNNNNNNNNNNNNNNNNNNNNNNNNNNNNNNNNNNNNNNNNNNNNNNNNNNNNNNNNNNNNNNNNNNNNNNNNNNNNNNNNNNNNNNNNNNNNNNNNNNNNNNNNNNNNNNNNNNNNNNNNNNNNNNNNNNNNNNNNNNNNNNNNNNNNNNNNNNNNNNNNNNNNNNNNNNNNNNNNNNNNNNNNNNNNNNNNNNNNNNNNNNNNNNNNNNNNNNNNNNNNNNNNNNNNNNNNNNNNNNNNNNNNNNNNNNNNNNNNNNNNNNNNNNNNNNNNAACCAAAGGAAGCAUGUUCCAGACGUCGAUGCCACAACCAAAUUUCAGACUUUUUCUUCUCCUCCUUAGAUCCAUCUGCCAUCAAGGCUUGUUGCAACUUAUUUGAAUCCUUUGAUUGCAAGUCCAAGUAUAGAGUUUCCCCCGCUUAAUACGACAACCAAUCGUCUGUCUUGUUUGAAUGUCCUUAAUCACACAAAAUUCAGGCCAAAAAAUGACAAUACAAGAUAAGGCUGCAGUGAUUUGAGAAACUAACAAAAGAUUGUAAUCUAAAGAUGGAACAACUAAAACAGAAUCCAAAUUCAAAGUAUCAGUAAGAGUUAAGGAUCCUUCCCCAAUGACUGGGGUUGUGUUACCAUUGGCUGUGGAAACAAUUUUUUGUGAGGAAGGUCUAAGGGGUGAAACCUGUCUAGAAUCAAAAGUCAUAUGAUCUGUAGCACCAGAAUCAAUUAUCCAUGCACUAUUAAUAACAGGUGUAAAAGUAUUUAAAAACUUACCACAAUGAUCUGUAGCGGCUACUAAUGCAGAGACUUUCUCAACAACAUUAGUCUUUGUUUUUAUUUCGGUAACAGUUGCAAUCAAGGUUUUCUUGGAAUUCUUCUUCCGUUGAUCACGAUUAUUAUCAUUAAUAACAAAGUGUUGAUAGCCUAAACAUGAUCUAAAGGUCCAUGGUGCAAACCCUCGGUUCCUCAUUGUUUUCCUGGUCAUACCAAGAGUUGUUGCUUUGAAAUUGUGGGAUAUCCAGACUGGUGGGAUCAGUUUUAUUGCAGUGAGUGCAUUUGAAUGUUGACUUAUCAAUAUUAGGGCUUGUCUUCGGAUGGUUGAUUGCUGUUGGACUACCAUAGCGACAAAAUAUCCAGGAUUUCAAUUCCAGGGCUCUGAUACCAUCUUCAAAUUGAUGAAUGAUAGUUUUUCAUUCAUUCUUUCAUGUACAGAGUAUAUAUAGAGGGUAAUCACCAUUCUAAGAAUGGGAAAGAAUGAUACGAGGAAAUAAUGAUAUAAGGAAAUAAUAACUAAUAUCCUAAUAUCUCAACUUUCCUAAUAUCUCAAUAUUCCUAAUAUCUCAACUUUCCUAAUAUCUAAACAUUCAUAAUAUCUCAACACUAAAUGAUACAAGGAAAGAAUGAUAUAAGGAAAACAUUCCUAAUAUCUCAACACCACUUCAUGAUAUAUAUAGUUUCUUACCCUUAAUCAAUGGUUUCUAAGUGAAUUUAUAUAGAAAGAAAUCCAAACUGUAGACAGCAGUAUUGGUAACACUCAAUAUUCUGUAUAUAAUAGAAUAAAUAGCGUCACAGUGAUCGUCGCCUACAAGCAAGGUACAAAUACCACAAAGAGUGACCCACAUAGACAUUCCCCAACAAGAUGUAGUAGUGACUGACACAUAGCCACAAUUAACACGUAGAAAAGGAUAAGACCGGUGCACAGUAGCUCUUAUUUUACAUACUACUUAUGCCAACCAAAGUCACUCAGUUGGGAUGGGAGGGAGAUGGAGGUUUGUGCGGUGGCUUGUGGGGCGGAGUUGAUGGCUUCUUUCCAGGAGCUUCUGGCUUUUUCAUCGGAGCUGAAGGAGGCUCAAUCUUAUGAGGCGGCUUGUACGAGUCUUCUUUGCUCUCGAAAGGAGGGUGGCCAGGGUUGUGACCAUAAUGUGGUGGUUUCUCUCCCUUGGGAGGUUUACCAAUUGGGGUUGGUGGCUUGUGUUCUGGGAGUGGUUUCUCUCCCUUGGGAGGUUUAGUGGGUGACUUGUGUUCUGGAGGUGGCUUCUCCACCGAAGGCUUGUGCUCCGGUGGUGGCUUUUUGGUUGGAGGGGGCUUGGGGUAAUCAGCAAGAGAUGGGGUGGUGAGAACCACCAGUCCAAGGAACAACACUAGCAAGUAUGUGGGAGACAUUUUUGAGUUUGGGCUGAUCAGAUGAUGCAAAACUAAAGCAUUACGUGACCUUUUAUAGCAAGUAGCUCCCAAUACCUACUUGACACGUGUUACUGUGACCCAUAAAUAUUAUGGGGUCUAUUUGUGCCCUACCGGGUUGAAAACUUGGACAAUUGGGCAAGGACCCGCCUGACUAUGGAGGACUACUGAGGUGUGAUCACAGCUUUAGGAUUUUUCUUCCUCUGCAGCCGUCUUGCCGUUGGCAUGAUUUUCUUAAUCUCAAAUAAAGGCAUAGUUAUAGAGUUGUUUAAUCUCUAAAUGGGAUUUUAUAUAUCUUCAGAUAGCCAUUAAUACAUUUGAUGAAGAAAGAAAGACAAGUGCAUACAACAUGUAUACGACUAGCUUUCAUGGAGUUCAUUUAUGAUCAGUUUUCCUGUACAUGUAAACCAAGAUCAUAUAUGUUUUUGUUCCACAACAAUUUUGGAAUCUUGUUUAUCCGUUUUUAUCAUUAUAAUGUCACAUAGGCUGCCAACUUGGGCGCUAAAUUAAAGAUCCAGUUGGGCAAGUUCGUUUCAGAAUUUCAAUGGUGGAUUCAGGAAUUGUUUUAUAAGAUAUGCAAAAUAGUAGAGGGAUGAAUAGUGUUUCAUUAAGAAAAGAGCCCUGUAAAAAUAUUGUUUAAAGGUGCCAUAGAAACUAUAAUCAAUAAAUAACUUUUUUUCCCCAUGGGUGGUGUUUCUUGUGGGGAUCAGUGACUGGUUUGAGUCAACGCCGUGUCUCUUUAGUCCAGAAAUCAACUAUUUUAUGCAUUGAAUACAUCAACAAAGAAAAUAUGAAAGCCAAAUGACACCUCCCCCGCAAAAACUAAACCCUGGUUGCUAACUUUCUAUGUUUCAGUUCCAUUCACACAAGAAUAUUAGUUCAAGUUUGAGAAAAAUGGCGACUUACCUAGUGAUAACUCGGUCUUGGUUUGCGAUUUGACUUUAACGUCAUGGGUUGAAGCCUCCUACAAUCAUCGUGUAUGCUAGUUCAAAGCUCGUGGAAGAAGUUAUACAGGGAGGGAGAAACCUCCACAGCAAGCUCCAAAAGAGAAUUAUCACAUUGAAAGCUCCAGUUGAACACUGGGUGAAAGCCAUAACAAGAUUGGUUUUCUAUCGCUCUUUUAAGUAAUGGAAGAUUAUUAUCUCUGCUUGUCACUACAACCGUGCAUGCUGCUAGAUCUUUCUAGACACUUCAAACAGUGAAACCAAGUAUGAUUCUUUUUCUCUUGAGUGGGUCCACUUGCAUGCCAAUGAACGAGUUGAAAAGUUGGACAAUUGGCCACAGCGCGCACUUACCUUCUGGAACCGAAGGUCAGUGAAGUGGGGUUCCUUUUGGCCCCUUGUGUUUCUGUUCCAACCUACUCCAGGAACCGAAGUUCAGUGAAGUGGGGCUACUUUUGGCCUCUUGUGUUUCUGUUCCAACCAAACAAAAAUGGGAGGGAAAAAUAGCAUUAUGCUUGUGCUAAAGAUCAACGCAUGAUAGCUGAAUAAGGGAGAAAAAGGCAUUGCUAUCUCAAUUUCAUAAACUUGAUAAGUAGUGACAUUAAUAGUCUUCCUCAUAGAUGGAUACAUGGUUUUAUUUUAUUUAUUUAUUUUUAUUUUUUUGUUUUAUGUCAAUGCUAAUGAAUGAAGUGCAUUAGCUUGUUUUGUGACUAGAACUACAAAUGUCCAAAUUGGAGCUUCUCCAAUAUAUUUCUCAGUGAGUUAUUGAUUAGAACUCUUGGAUUGAGUUCCAAGAUUUGAAUCAGACCCCUCUAGCAGCUUCAGGGGUACGUAGCAACCUAUAGCAUAUUAAUGAAGACUUAGGAUUUAGACUUAGGAAUACAAAUUAAUAUGUACCUCAUGCUCUGACUAGCUUCCCUGCGUAUGCACAAAAUGGAGAUGACUCCCAAAAAAAUAGCAGAAUCGCCUUAGUAUGUUUUUGUGGUUAAGAUGAUUCUCCACUUUAUAUAUCCACAUUGGUUCAUUAUGCAAAUUAAUCAACUAAGCUAUUUUUAUUUUUUCUUAAAUGUGAAAUAGGAGCUCCAAAUUAACCUAACCAUUGGCCUGAUUGAAUUGAUUUCACUUGCAUAAUGUUAUAGUAGAAGUCCGUAAUUUGAAUUUUAUUUUUGCAAAAGGUAACGUAAAUGAAGCAUUGUAAUUAAAUUUAUUUGUAAUUACAAACUAAUUUUAUUUUAUUAAGAAUUAAUUUAAUUACUCAUUUAAAAUAAAAAUCAGUUAUACUUUUACCAAGAUGAUAAUAUUCAUAUUUUUCUAGUUAACAUAUAUAAAAUAGUACACUUUUUCAUAUAAAAAAAUAAUUUAUGAUUUAUUAUAAUGUUACUAUUCACAUUUUACUAAAUUGAUGGUACAUGAUAGUGAGAGAAGGGGGUGUCACACUCAGCUAAAGUUCUUUUCAAAAUAUUGCAUGGUGUUUAAUUUUAUGUGUCGGCGCGCGUGUGAAUGGAACCUGCAAAAGUCCAAAUUGGCGUUUCUCCAUUUUCCACAUAGGAUGGUGACGUUAAUAGACAAAGAUACAAUAUCUGUAGACAUUGCUUAAAAAUCGAUGUGAAGUAUUAGAAAUUACAGGGCACUGUACUGGGGGAGCGGCUGCCCCGCCAAAGGAGGAAGAAUGUAGCAAUUUCUUCUGUUAGCCAGGCCUUAGGAUUUAUGCAUGGGAUGCCUAAUAACAAACAGAGAAAAUAUACUUUUGGGGAAGGUAUCCAACAACAGACACCAUCAUUCAGAUGGUGGGAAGGUAUCCAACAGAUGCCAUCAUUCAGAUGGUAACAUAUAUAUACAUUUAUUAGUGAGUUUUUUUAAUACCUAUAAAAAAAAAUAUACACUUUGAUAUUGUGGCUGAAUCCAUUACAUACUCAACUAACCUUGCUCAUUAGGGAUUUGACUUAACAAGGGCAACGUUGCAGUACAAGCUCAAAACUUUAUGCAGGUGACAUUACAUUUGGUAAAGAAGAGGAAAAUAACGAAAGCCAUCCAUAAAAGCAAAAUUCCACAUGGGAUGAAAUUCACAAGCUUCAUUUACGAUAGAGUCGCAUCCAGGCAAUUAAUUCCACAUUAGACCGCCUGUUGACAUGUGUACCAAUCUUUUUUCAAAAAAUAUUUAUAAAUAAUUGAUACUCACAAAAAUAAUUUAAUAUUUAUAAAGGAUAAAAAAAUAUUUUCAAAUCUAUAACAAUUUAUAAAAUAUUAAUAAAAAAUUAUCUCUUAAACUUAGUAUAGUUUUAUCAGAUUAAACUUUUAUUUUGAACAAAUAAUUUUAAUCUAAGUUUUAAAUUCUAAAAUUAUUUCCUUAAAAUAAAAUUUUAAAAUUCAACACUUCAAUUGAAAUUGUCUUUUUAAAAAAUAUCUUCUUAUUUUAAUCCUUAUAAACUAUAGUUGAUUGAAAAUACUAUUGAAGUUCUCUCUUAAAAAAAAGUCUUAUUUUAAUCUUCAUAAAUUGCCCUUGAUUUGAAAAUAAAUUUUCAGUUAUCAUAUUUUAAAUAAUAUCUAUAUUUAAAAUACUCUAUUUAAAAAAAAAUGAACUAAUUUUAAUUAUAUUAUAUUUUAUUUUUUUAUAUAUUUUUAAUGAUAAACCAAACAUAGAAAAUCAUUUUUCUAAAUAUUUUAAAAUUUCUAAGCAACCAAACAUAAUCUUCAAAAUAAAAGGAAAAUAAGGAGGGACAUUUGAGAAAUGGCGAUUAAAAAAAAGUGUACAAAAGCUCAAUUAAUUUUCUUCUAGUCUUUUAUAUAAAAAAGUAAAGGAAUUGAAAAGUAUUGAUAUGUAAAUUAAUAUUUGGAUUUUAAUAGUAUUUUAUUUGUCUUUCUCUAUCUCAUGUAAAAGAGAAUUUAAGAUAUUUCCUAAAGCAAAGCAUUAGUUAUCUGCAAUCAGUGGUGAUCAUGCCCCAUGUCAAUUUCGGACCCAUAUCUUAAAACUGUAUAAUUUGCAUUCAAACAUUACUGAUUUCUCAGAUGUUUCAUACUCCACAGAAGAGCAUUGUUUGUGAAAGCAUGCAUUUAUGUUGGAUUUUGGAUGAUGUGGGAACUGGGGCAAGGAUCAUAUGGAAGAGUGGUCGAUUUUGUUCUGUACUUUAACAUUUGAAAUAGGAGAAGCUCGGGCAUUUGUGGGGCUUAAUUGAUUUUGAAGCCUGAAAUUGCGUUUCUGUCAUUUUGUAAAAAAUAUGGCAGAUUCCAUGCUCUCAUAUGUUUGGUCUGUGGCCAUGUAUAGAUGCCCCUUAGUGACCAGUUUGUAACUGUCAAUCAUAGUGUUUUGACUCUGGCUCAACAACAUCAGCCAUUGACGGAUUUUCAUACUUGCAAAUCAAAUAGUCUUCUUCCUCCCUUAGGAAUUUCGGUUUAAAUGUUAUUAAGCAUACAUUUGGCUGACAAUUAUUAACCACUUCAUGAUAUGGUUUCUUACCCUUAAUCAAUGGUUUCUAAGUGAAUAUAUGCAGAAGGAAAUCUGAACUGUAGACAGCAGUAUUGAUAACUCUCAAUAUUCUUUAUAUAAGAGAAUAAACAACGUCAUAGUGAUCGUCGCCUACAAGAAAGGUACAUUUCCCAACAAGAUGUAGUUGUGACUGGUACAUGGACGCAAUUAACUCGUACAAAAGAAUAAGACCAGUGCACGGCAGCUCUUAUUUUACAUGCUAAUUAUGCUAACCAAAGUCACUCAGUUGGGAUGGGAGGGAGAUGGAGGUUUGUGCGGUGGCUUGUGGGGCGGAGUUGGUGGCUUCUUUUCAGGAGCUUGUGGCUUUUUCGGAGCUGAAGGAGGCUCAAUCUUAUGAGGCGGCUUGUACGAGUCUUCUUUACUCUCGACAGGAGGGUGGCCAGGGUUGUGACCAUAAUGUGGUGGCUUCUCUCCCUUAGGUGGCUUGCCAACUGGGGUUGGUGGCUUGUGUUCAGGAAGUGGUUUCUCUCCCUUGGGAGGUUUACCAAUUGGGGUUGGUGGCUUGUGUUCUGGGAGUGGUUUCUCUCCCUUGGGAGGUUUAGUGGGUGACUUGUGUUCUGGAGGUGGCUUCUCCACCGGAGGCUUGUGCUCCGGUGGUGGCUUCUCCACCGGAGGCUUGUGCUCCGGUGGUGGCUUCUUGAUUGGAGGGGGCUUGGGGUAAUCAGCAAGAGAUGGGAUGGUGAGAACCACCACUCCAAGGAACAACACUAGCAAGUAUGUGGGAGACAUUUCUGAGUUUGAGCUGAUCAGAUGAUGCAAAACUAGAAGAAUUACGGGACCUUUUAUAGCAAGUAUCUCCCAAUACCCACAUGACACGUGUUACUAUGACCAUAAAUAUUAUAGGGUCCAUUUGUGCCCUACCGGGUUGAAAACUUGGACGCUUGGCCGAGGACACACCUGACUAUGGAGGACUAUUGACGUGUGAUCACAGCUUUUGGAUUUUUCUUCCUGUGCAGCUGUCUAGCGGUUGGCAUUAUUUUCUUAAUCUUAAAUAAAGGCAUAGUUAUAGAGUUGUUUAAUCUCUAAAUGGGAUUUUAUAUAUCUUCAGAUAGCCAUUAAUAUAUUUGAUGAAGAAAGACAAGUGCAUACAACAUGUAUACGGCUUGCUUCAAUCGAGUACAUUUAUGAUCAGUUUUCCUGUGCAAGUAAACCAGUUUUUUGUUCCACAACUAUUUUGGAAUCUUGUUUAUCAGUUUCUAUCAUUAUAAUGUCACAUAGGCUGCAAACUUGGGCACCCAAAGAUCUAGGUGGGCAAAUUUGUUUCAGACUUUCAAUGGUGGAUUCAGUAAUUGUUAAAAGGUGUUUCUUCAUUAAGGAAAGAGUCCGGUAAAAAUAUUGUUAAAAGGUGUCAUAGAAACUAUAAUAAAUAAAUAACUUCUUUUCCCCAUGGGUGGUGUUUCUUCUGGGGAUCAGUGACUGGUUAGGGUCACCCAAAAUGAGUCCAGAUUAAAAUUGGUUCGAGUCAAAGCAGUCUCUUUUGUCCAGAAAUCAACUAUUUUGCGCAUUGAAUGAAUCGAUAAAGAAAAAAUGAAAGCCAAAUCACACCUCCCCUGCAAAACCUAAACCCCGGUUGCUAACUUUCUAUGUUUCAGUCCUAUUCAUAUAGGAAUAUUGGUUCAAGUUUGAGAAAAAUGGCAACUUACCUAGGGUUUACUUGGUUUUGGUUUGCGACUAUUUACGCAACCAACCAUGAGUUUGACUUUAACGUCAUGGGUUGAAGCCUCCUACAAUCAUGUAUGAUAGUUCAAAGCUCGUGGAAGAAAUUAUACAGGAAGGAAGAAACCUCCAAAGCUAGCUCCAAAAGAGAAUUAUCACAUCGAUAGCUCCAGAGAUUCCCAAGGGAACUGAAUCAAAGACAAGUUCCUCACUUUUUCUUCUUUUGAGGCCAAAUAUGAACCAAGGAUCACACGACCUCAUUCAACUUCAUAAGUUUGAUUUCAUGCAGUUGAACACUGGGUGAAGGCCAUGACAAGAAUUGAUUAAAAAAUUCUACCACUCUUUUAAGUAAUGGAAGAUUAUUAUCUCUGAUUGGCACCACAACAGCACAUGCUGCUAGAUCUUUCUAGACACUCCAUGCAAUGAAAGCACAAUGGAUCUUGUAAUGAUAGAAACUAAGCCAUGCUACAGUACUAGAUGAGGGGGUAAAACUAGUAGACAUCUUUCUAGACACUCCAUGCAAUGAAAGCACAAUGGAUCUUGUAAUGAUAGAAACUAAGCCAUGCUACAGUACUAGAUGAGGUGGUAAAACUAGUAGACAUGGCUGGCAGUUGAUUACUACUCAAAAAGUACUCUUUUAUAGCUUGAAACUAACUGUUUUAAACACUUUUGAGUAGUAGUUAAUACCUUUUAACUUAAUUGGCACAUUAAGGAACCUAGCAAGGGUUACUAAUCAACAUUUGGCAAGUUUUGAUGUUUUUGGUAGCUAUUUGAUCAUUGAAACAAGCCAAGAAUGAGGGGGAAUUUUGUGAAGUCCAUGGCAAUGCAAGUUAAAGCUCAAAUACAUGAAGAAUCCAAGCUUUGGAGCACUUCAUAGCCCUUUGCCAAGCCAAUCAAAGAUGCAAGGAAGAAAACCAAAGGAAGAAAUCCAACAAUCAGCAUUUUGGCAUGGCUAUGUGAAAUUUCGCACACCAUGCGAAACCACAAGAGGCAGCCAAAGAAUUUCGCAUGGUAUGCGAAAUCUUCUUGUGCACUGACUCUGUUAGAUUUUUAUCUUCAGAUAUUUUGUGUAAUUUCCUAGUUUCUCCUUGUAACCAACUUAGAUAUUUUCUUUUAUAUCUUUUUUUAUAUUUUUUAGGUAACAUCAUAUAUAAGAGGAGAGACAUAAGGAGGAUAUGGAUGUUUUUCAUAGAACACUUGUAAAUUUUUGGUAGUAAGAAAUAUACAAAGCUUUUUGCUCUGCCUUACCUUCUCAAGGGAUGAGUGGCUAGGUUUUCUUGGAGUGAGGGAAGCUAGGUGAAGGACCUGAAUGCAAAGGUGGGAGUUUUCCUUACUUUAAAUGAAAGUAGUUGUUAAACAUUAAUGGUUUUUAUUUUAAGGUUUAGCUUUAAAUCCCUGAAAAACACCUUGAAUGGCCAAUACUUGGUAAGCUUUUUAGAUUCUAUGGAUGCUUAUUGCUAGAUCCAUGGAUGUCUAUUAGUUAUCAUUUACGAGCCAUUGGAAGGUGAUUCAAGGUGAGGGUCUUUAGUGUUUGAAGCCAUUAAUGGGAAGCAAUUACCAUUUUUUCAUGAAUCCUUUGGAUCAAAUCUUAAUUGCUAAAUAUAAAACCGGUUUCGAGAGAUAACCACCAUCCUUUAUGUUAUUAUCCCCAACGCGAGGAGAAGAUCCGAAAUCUUCCUUUUUAUCUAAGGAACCCGAUCCUAGUGACCUAAAGCUCCAAGAUACCUUUUCUUUGUAGUUAACUUCAUUUAUUGUUUUUGCUUAACUUAAAAUCAAUCUUUGCAACCACAAUUCCAUUUUCUUUAAAAGCUAAUUUUUAUAAGGAAAAACACCAUUUUAUUUCCUUCACUAAGUCAACUGUACGAUGAAAACCCAUCCCUGUGGACGAUCCUAGAGCCACUAUACUAUGUUAGCUAUGCUACCCUAGUGUGAGGUGAUUUAGGUUUUAUAAAUUUUUUUGAUAACACCCAUCUGAGCCAGAAUCAAAUGGCACGACUGAACCAGGGACGAAUCAAAUGACGCCGCUACCAAGGAUGGUGCCAAAGUACAUUGACAUGACUUUUGGUGAACACUUGUGAUCUUCACCACAAGUUUGGUGAUUUUUCUUUUACUAAUUUUUUUUAUUUUAGCUUAUCUUUUAUUUAGUUUUUAGUUAACCUUAAAUUUUUCCUAGAAUUGUAUUUCUUUUGUUUUCUUUGUUUUUGUUUCAGUGAUCUUUAGUUGUGCAUGCCCUAUUGGAUAAGAGAUAUUGAGGGAAUACUUGUGAAGAUUGAAACUCCUCGAGAAACUGAGUUAGAAGUGUGCUUGAACAUCAUGGAUGUUCCACCUGAAGACCAGAAUAGCCAACAUGGUUAAGAGGAUAAUUUCAACACAUACCGAUCCAUGAGGAACCGCAUACAUCCACCUUGUAUGAGUGCACCGUCAGGCAUAAUGCCUCCCACUGAGCAGCUAGUAAUCUGACCUCACAUUGUGCCACUCCUACCUACUUUCCAUGGGAUGGAGAGUGAGAAUCCCUACUCGCAUAUUAAGGAAUUCGAGGAGGUUUGUAAUACAUUCCAAGAAGGAGGAGCUUCAAUUGACUUGAUGAGGCUCAAGCUAUUUCCUUUCACUUUGAAGGAUAAGGCCAAGAUUUGGCUUAAUUCUUUAAGGCCAAGAAGUAUCCAAACUUGGAUUGAUUUGUAAGCCGAGUUUCUUAAGAAGUUCUUCCCUACCCAUAGGACCAAUGGUUUGAAAAGGCAAAAUUUGAACUUCUCAGUUAAAGAGAAUGAGAAAUUCUAUGAGUGUUGGGAGAGCUACAUGGAAGCUAUUAACGUUUGUCCUCACCAUGGCUUUGACACAUGGCUCUUAGUGAGCUAUUUUUACAAUGGUAUGUCUUCUUCAAUGAAGCAACUCCUAGAAACUAUGUGUGGAGGAGACUUCAUGAGUAAGAAUCCGGAGGAAGCCAUGGACUUUUUGAGUUAUGUGGCUGAAGUUUCAAGAGGAUGGGAUGAACCAAAUGCUAGAGAGGUGGGAAGAAUGAAGUCUCAACCUAAUGCUAAGGGUGAGAUGUAUGUUUUGAAUGAAGACAUUGACAUGAAAGCAAAGGUUGCAGCUAUGGCAAGGAGAUUGGAAGAGCUAGAAAUGAAGAACAUACAAAAAGUGCAAGCCAUUUCUGAGACAUCAAUGAAAGCUAUGCCUUGUUCCAUUUGUCAAUCUUAUAAGCACCUAGUGGAGGAGUGUCCUACAAUUCCAGCAGUGAGAGAGAUGUUUGGUGAUCAAGCAAAUGUUAUUGAUCAAUUCAAGCCUAAUAACAAUGCUUCAUAUGGCAACACCUACAAUUCAAAUUGGAGGAACCAUUCAAAUUUCUCUUGGAAACGAAAGCCACCUCAAUACACACAACCUACUCAAGCACCUUAGCAAUCCUCGAAUCUUGAACAAGCUAUUGUGAACCUUAGCAAGGUUGUGGGAGACUUUGUGGGAGAUCAGAAGUCCAUCAAUGCUCAACUGAAUCGGAGAAUUGACAGUGUGGAGAGUACAUUGAACAAAAGGAUGGAUGAGAUGUAAAAUGAUCUGUCUCAAAAGAUAGACAAUGUCCAAUACGUAAUCUCAAGGCUUACCAACCUCAACACAGUGUAAGAGAAAGGAAAGUUUCCUUCUCAACCUCAUCAAAAUCCUAAGGGUAUCCAUGAAGUAGAGGCUCAAGAGGGAGAAUCUUCAAAGGUGAGGGAAGUCAAAGUAGUUAUCACCUUGAAGAGUGGUAAAGAGGUUGAUCAACCCACAUCCAAGCCAAAGCAUAAUGAAGAGAGUGUAGCAGAAAAAGAAAAGAGAGGAAAAUAAAGGAAUUAGAAUAGAGAAAAAUACAAAGAAAGAUGACCAUGAGUCUAGUGUGGAUGAAGAGCCCGAGAGGAUGGUGAUCAAGGAAGAUAUGAUGAAGAAACACAUGCCUCCACCUUUCCCCUAAGCUUUGCAUGACAAAAAAAGAACCAAUAAUACAUCAGAAAAUUUUGAAGUAUUGAGGCAAGUGAAGGUCAAUAUCCCUUUGCUAGACAUGAUCAAACAAGUGUCGACAUAUGAAAAAUUCUUGAAGGACUUGUGCACUGUAAAGAGAGGGUUGAAUGUGAACAAGAAAGCUUUAUUGACCGAGCAAGUGAGUUCCAUCAUACAGUGCAAGUCCUAGUGAAGUACAAAGAUCCGGGUUGCCGUACCAUCUCAGUGAGUAUUGGAAGGACUUGUGUGGAGAAAGCUUUGUUGGACUUGGGAGCAAGUGUGAAUUUGCUAUCCUACUCUGUCUAUAAGCAGUUGGGAUUUGGAGAGUUGAAGCCAAUAUCCAUCACUCUAUCUCUAGCGGAUAGAUCAAUGAAGAUUCCAAGAGGGAUGAUCGAAGAUGUCCUGGUUCAAGUUAACAAAUUCUACUAUCCAGUAGAUUUUGUUGUUCUUGAUAUGGAUCCGGUUGUCAAAUGAACUAAUUAUGUUCCUAUCAUACUUGGAAGACCCUUCCUAGCUACAUCAAAUGCAAUCAUCAAUUGUAGGAAUGGAGUCAUGCAACUCACAUUUGUCAACAUGACAUUAGAGCUCAACAUCUUCCAUUUGUACAAGAAGCAUAUCCAUCAGGAGGAAAAAGAAGGUCUAGAGGAAGUGUGAAUGAUUGACACUUUAGUGGAAGAGCAUUGUGAUCGAGAAUGCAAAAAGAUUUAGUUGAGAAUUUUGGGGAUCUUGAUGAAAGGUUACUUGAACCCUCAGAUUUGCUUGCUACCCUACUCCAUUGGAAGAGAAGAGAAGAAAUUCUACCCUUAUUCAAUGAGGAGGAGACGCAAAGAGCUGCAAAGGAGAAACCCCCAAAACUUAUUCUUAAGCCACUACCCACAGAGUUGAAGUAUGUAUACUUGGAAGAAGACAAGAAGUGCCCUAUUGUUAUAUCUUCAACUCUUACCAUUCAUCAGGAGGAUUGUCUACUUGAAGUCCUUAGAAGAUGUAAGAAGACAAUAAGGUGGCUAAUUUCUUAUUUGAAAGGGAUCAGCCCUUUAGUCUGCACCCAUCAUAUUUACAUGGAGGAUGAAGCUAAGCUAAUUCAUCAACCUCAGAGAAGGUUGAACCCUCACAUGCAAGAGGUGGUUCGAGCUGAAGUUCUGAAGCUACUUCAGACCAGUAUUAUUUACCCCAUAUCAAAUAGCCCAUGGGUGAGUCCUACUCAAGUUGCGCCAAAGAAGUCUGGGAUCAUGGUGGUGCAAAAUGAUAAGGGAGAAGAUGUCUCUACACGCCUCACUACAGGUUGGAGGGUGUGUAUCAAUUACAGGAGGUUGAAUGCAGUGAUAAGAAAGGACCAUUUCUCAUUGCCCUUUAUUGAUCAGGUGCUUGAGAGGGUCUCUGGGCUUUUUUUUUUAUUGUUUCUUGGAUGGCUACUCCGGGUACUUUCAGAUAGAAAUUGAUGUUGAAAACCAAGAUAAGACCAUUUUCACAUGCCCAUUUGGAACCUAUGCAUAAAGGAGAAUGCCUUUCGGCUUAUGCAAUGCACCCGCAACUUUCCAAAGAUGCAUGUUAAGCAUUUUCAGUGAUAUGGUGGAGCGUAUUAUGGAAGUCUUUAUGGAUGAUAUCACCAUUUAUGGAAGUGCAUUUGAUGAAUGCUUGGUCAACUUAGAAGCUGUUCUGAACCGAUACAUUGAGAAAGACUUAGUGCUUAACUGGGAGAAGUGCCAUUUCAUGGUACACCAAGGGAUUGUCCUUGGGCACAUUAUCUCCAAGCAAGGCAUUGAAGUUGACAAAGCAAAGGUUGAACUCAUUGUUAAGUUGCCAUCCUCAACAAAUGUCAAAGGAGUAAGGCAAUUCUUUGGCCAUGUCGGGUUCUAUAGGAGGUUUAUCAAGGAUUUCUCUAAGCUUGCAAGGCCUCUUUGUGAAAUAUUGGUGAAUGAUGUUAAAUUCAUAUGGGAUGAUGGAUUUGAAAGGAGUUUUGAAGAAUUGAAGCUAUUUUUGACAACCGUACCAAUAGUGAGGGCUCCCAACUGGCAACUGCCCUUUGAAGUAAUGUGUGAUGUCAAUGAUUUUGCUAUAGGAUUUUUUCUUGGGCAAAGAGAAAAUGGAAAACCUUAUGUGAUCUACUAUGCGAGGAAGGCAUUGAAUGAGGCACAAAGAAACUACACAACCACCGAGAAAGAAUUGUUAGCUGUAGUUUUUGCCUUGGAUAAGUUUCGCGCUUACUUGGUGGGGUCCUUCAUCAUGGUUUUUACUGAUCACUUUGCUUUGAAGUAUCUGUUGACUAAGCAAGAUGCUAAAGCAAGGCUGAUUAGAUGGAUUCUCUUACUUCAAGAGUUCAAUCUCCAUAUCAAAGAUAAGAAAGGAGUGGAGAAUGUGGUAGCAGACCACAUUUCAAGGCUAGCUAUCGCACAUAAUUCCCAUGCUUUGCCCAUUAAUGACGAUUUUCUAGAGGGGUCUCUCAUGUUGGUGGAAGUUGUCCCUUGGUACGCUCACAUUGCUAACUACCUGGUCACGGGAAAAGUUCCAAGUGAGUGGAAAGCACAAGAUAAGAAGCACUUCUUUGCAAAAAUUCAUGCCUACUAUUGGGAAGAGCCAUUUCUAUUCAAGUAUUGUAUGGAUCAGAUAAUAAGGAAGUGCGUUCCUGAAGAAGAGCAACAGGGGAUCCUUAGUCAUUACCAUGAAAAUGCAUGUGGAGGCCACUUUGCUUAUCAAAAGACAGCCAUGAGGGUGUUGCAAUCGGGUUUCUGUUGGCCAUCACUUUUCAAAGAUGCCCACACCAUGUGCAAGAGUUGUGAUCGAUGCCAGAGGCUUGGGAAGUUGACACGCAGGAACAUGAUGCCUUUGAACCCCACUUUAAUAGUUGAUAUUUUUUAUGUUUGGGGCACUAACUUCAUGGGACCUUUCCCUAUGUCUUUUGGCUACUCUUACAUCUUGGUAGGAGUAGAUUAUGUUUCUAAGUGGGUUGAGGCAGUCCCAUGCAAACACAAUGACCAUAGAGUGGUUCUCAAGUUUCUUAAAGAGAAUAUCUUCUCAAGAUUUGGGGUGCCCAAAGCCAUAAUUAGUGAUGGGGGUACUCAUUUUUGCAACAAGCCUUUUGAAACUCUCCUAGCCAAGUAUGGGGUGAAGCAUAAGGUAGCUACACCUUACCACCCUCAAACUCAUGGACAAGUUGAGUUAGCAAACAGGGAGAUUAAAAACAUAUUGAUGAAGGUGGUGAACACAAACAGAAAAGAUUGGUCAGUCAAGCUUCUUAAUUCACUAUGGGCAUAUAGAACAACUUACAAGACCAUUCUCGGGAUGUCUCCUUAUCGCCUAGUUUAUGGCAAAGCAUGCCAUCUCCCUGUGGAAUUGGAAUACAAAGCUUGGUGGGCAAUCAAGAAGCUCAACAUGGAUUUGAGCAGAGCUGGGUUGAAGAGGUUCUUAGACCUUAAUGAGAUGGAGAAAUUGAGAAAUGAUGCCUACAUCAAUUCAAAAAUUGCAAAAGAAAAAUUGAAGAGGUGGCAUGAUCAGUUGAUUUCCCGCAAGGAUUUUCAAAAUGGACAAAGAGUCUUACUUUAUGACUCUAAACUCCACAUCUUUCCGGGCAAGCUGAAAUCAAGGUGGAUAGGUCAUUUUACCAUUCACCAAGUGCAUUCAAAUGGAGUAGUGGAACUACUCAACUCCAACAAUAUCGAGAACUUCAAAGUGAAUGGCCACCGUCUCAAGCCCUUUGUGGAGUCUUUUUCUCACAACAAGGAGAAAUUCAUCCUCCUUGAUCCACAUCAAGCUUAACAAGACCAAUUUUCUUGAUGGACUUAGUCUUUCUAAAGACUAUCGAGUCCAUAACUUUUUGUUUUAUUUUUUAUUUGAGAUUUUUUCGGUAUUGUUACUUGUUUUGUUUUUUAUUUUUCGUUUUAAUUUUAUUUGGUUUGAUUUAACUUAGGUUUUUGAUGAUCAAUUACAGGGGGGAUUUCAAAUAGAGGAAAAACCAAGAUAAUUCGCACACCCUACGAAAAUUUCGCAAGGCAUGCGAAAUUUAUGGCUUAUUUUGCAUGGGGUGAAAAUUUUCGUACAUCUUACGAACCAAUUUCGAACACUUUGCGAAAAUAAACCAACCCUGCGAAAUCAUUUCGAUUACUCUACGAAAUUUUCGUAGAGCAUGCGAAAAAUUUAGCACACCAAACACCAUUUCGCAUACUAUGCAAAAACCUAAGGGGUCUGCGAAACCAUUUCGCACCUCCAAAUCCAUUUCGCACAUUGUGCGAAAACCAAGAGGCGCUGUGCGAAAAUGAAAAGUCGCCCUGUCAUCCCUUUUUAAACCCCUCGAGCCCUAAAAUCUCCAUUUCGCAAGCACCCCUGUCCUUGCGAAUCCCUCAUUUUCCUCUACUACCUUGCAACCUCGUCCCUUUCCAUUUGAUAUUGUGCCCCGCGCACAUCUCAUUUCAGAGACUCGCACUCCGCGCCCCCUCAAAGCAUGGACUCGAGACCCACCUUCCAUUUCCGACGUGGCACGGACCCAAGGAGCCCUUUCUGCCCCUUCACUAAGACACACACCAAGGCAGAAAGCCUCCUUUGCUCAAGUGCCUAGUGAUUCUCCAUCUUAGGCCUCAGAGGCCUCGGAGGCCCCGUGGAUUCCACCUUCCGAGGGUAGAGCAGCCAUUGGUCCUUCCUCUUCUACUCCUUAGCGUAGAUACGAGACGAGGAGACCACCUACUACACAAGGGGCGACUACUUCGAGCCUUGAGAAUUCAGUACGAUGCCUUCCUGCCAAGAGGGUCAAGACUUCAGGUCCAAGUGAGUCAUCCAGAGCUUCAUAGCCUAAGCCUCCUGUAGAUUCCAAGGUUCCUACUGACAUAUCACCGGAGUCUAUUAUCAGAAGCCCGAUGCUCAUAGCACCGCCCAUUGAGGGCAACUCAGAUUAUAGAGCGAGAUCUUUCCACUUGGAGCUAUAUUUUGAUCAGGAGGCCAUACGACAGCAGCCUGAGCUCCGAGACUCUUAUGGCUUACUGCAGAGGUACCAUCUUGAGGAACUUAUGACUCCUCGUGAGUUUUUUUAUCCCAGAGUAGCACUAAACUUUUACCAGUCCAUGACUACUCGUGGCGUCCCGAGUCCUACCACGAUUCACUUCACCAUUGAUAGACGUCAUGGUAUCCUCAAGGCCAGACAUAUUACAGAGGCUCUACAAAUUCCUUUCGAGCUAGAGGAUCCAUCUGUUUUUCGCUAAUGGUCCCCAGUAUCUCAGAGGGACAUGGUCCGUAUUUUAUCUAGGGGAACAUCUACAGAUUCGAUCUUUCUACGGAAGGAGCUUCGACCUGGGAUGCUCCUCUUAGAUGUGGUGCUAUGCUCCAACCUCUUUCCCUUACAACAUUCGGUACAUAGGUGAUGAGCUAUUUUGGACGCUUUAUUCCGUAUAUCAGAGGGCUUCUACUUUGGCCCGCACCACUUGAUCAUGGUCUCCCUCAUCCACUUUGAGGAGAAGGUUCAUAGGAAGAAGCUUCAGAGGGUGGACACCAUUCCAUUACUAUUCCUGAGGUUACUUUGCCAGGUCUUGGAGUACAUGGGCUUUCCUACUGAGCCUCGGCUCGAGCUUUGCCGCCUUUGUCGAGAGUGAUCCACUCUCGACAAAUGGAAUUAGUUGGCGGGCUAUUCUGCACCUCCAGGAGCCCCUCCCAUGGUAGCACCUCCAAUGUCCCCACAGGCAAAGUAGGGCGAGCUCCCGGCAAAGACUGUACCACCAAUGCCCACACUUGAGGCUAUUUCUGCUGCUCUGCCUAUGACUCCUACUGUUCCACCAGUUGGUCCUUUUACAUCCGAGCCUUCCAUCACCAUCUCGGCUUCGGAGUUUCGCGCCCUUGUGCAUACCUUUCAGACACUCACCACCACACAUACUCCUCUCUUCUAGCAAAUGGUUGAGAUGUGUGCCCAUCAGGACCGGAAGACUACUAUACUCUGCCAAAUUCAGCAGCACCUAAGACUUUUGCCUCAACCUCAACCUAACCAUCCCAUAUCAUCAGAGCCUCUAGCUCCAACUGAGGAUACUAUUCCACCUGAGAACACUACCACAGUAGAGGUCCGGUUUCCACCACCUUAAGAGGCCACCACAGCUACAUCAGAGGAUGUGUCAUCUCCACUUGAGGCUCCCACUACUUGAUCAUAGGACAUAUCUUUAUCUUAUUGUAUUUACAUAUUAUAUUACUAGAGAUUUGUCCUUGUUUUGAUACUUUAUAUUCUGGGAUUGGAUGUAUUGCCUGAUGAUAUCUCAAUUGUACUUUCUCAUAUUAAUAUAUAGACAUCAAUUUUUUUUAGUAUACUUAGCAUUUUUCUAUUUCCUCUACUCAUUACUCUUUUGUUUUUUUUUACUCAUGUGGUUUCUCUUAUACAACUCAGACUCCAUUUCACUCAGGAGGUACCACUUCCUCCCUUUAUUUUCAAUUGCUCUUGAAAUAUUGAGUGCAAUGUUGAUCUUGGUUGGGGGGAGAGUUGAGGAAGGAAGUUUUGUUAAUAAUGCUAGGUUAAUUUGUUAAUUUAGUUACUUUCUGCUUAAUUUUAAAAGUUUUCACUCUACUUUCCAUGGUUAUUAAGGAAAAAUUCUCAAAAUGAAAUGGGAGAAAUCGAAUUCUUGCAUUUUUACUUGAAUCUUAGAAUUUGUAUCAUGCUUAUUAAAGUUGAUGAAUUAUUGAAACUCCUAUUGAAUUCAACCUUAUUUUUUCCACUUUAAUCUUACCACACACGGUGCACAUUAGGUUCCAGUUAUAAGAUAAAAAACUAUCUCACCCCCUAAACUUAGAAAAAUUUACACUUGGUACCUUUGACAUCGUUUUAAUAGUGUUGGGACACCUUAUAAAAGGCCAAUGAGCCUUUAAAAAAAAAAAAAAAAAAAAAAAGAGAAAGAACAAAGUAUUGCACUUGCCUUGAAACCUGAGCAAGAUCCGAGGGGUAUACAGUGAAAGUCUUUAAAACCUGGUGCCCUAAGCCUUGAUUGGUUGGGAGUCACCGACCUCAAUGCUCGUUAUAAGGGUGAAUAGGUGGAGUUUAACAUAUUGUAGGUGCUUGGGUAUUGAAUUUCAAUCUCAAAAGUCCGGGAAAAAAUCUAAGGAGUUAGUGGUCAAAAGAUCCUUAAAGCUUGAUGCCCUAAACCUUGAUUGGUUGAGAGUCAUUGAUGGAUCCCCGCUACAUGGACAUUUUAGAAAACAAUACCUUUAGCAUUGCACGCCUACAAUGAAAAAAAAAUGUGAAAUAAAAGAGGUGCGUUCUUAGCCUAUUGGAGGUUGGUCAGUUUGCUAAAGUUUGAGAAAUCUAGGUUGGGGGGAGAGAAUAGUCCGACAUACUAUAAUAAAAAACUAAUAACCUUAACACUUAGAUUUUUGUGGAAGAGUAAGGAUUGGACCUUUAGGGGUGGAAAUUCUUUUGAUGCUUAAAUUUGCAUAAUGCCUACUCUUUAUAAAUUAUGAUUAGGCAAGAGAUUUGAUGACUCUUGUUCAAAGUUGGGUUUUUCCUCUUUGAUGUUCCAUGAGAGAGUAUAAUCCUCAUCAUGCCACUUGAAAUCUUUUUGGAGUGAUUAACAUGAUUUUGUAAAUUAUUUUACUGUCUAUUUUUCUUUAUCUCUCUUUUAUUGCUAAUGGACUAGCAAUAUGUCAGUUGGGGGGAGUGAUUACUACUCAAAAAGUACUCUUUUAUAGCUUGAAACUAACUGUUUUAAACACUUUUGAGUAGGUGUUAAUACAUUUUAACUCAAUUGGCACAUUAAGGAACCUAACAAGGGUUACUAAUAAGUUUUUGGCAAGUUUUGGUGUUUUUGGUAGCUAUUUGAUCAUUGAAACAAGCCAAGAAUGAGGGAGAAUUUUGUGAAGUCCAUAGCAAUGCAAGUUAAAGCUCAAAUACAUGAAGAAUCCAAGCUUUGAAGCACUUCAUAGCCCUUUGCGAAGCCAAUCAGAGAUGCAAGGAAGAAAACCAGAGGAAAAAAUCCAACAACCAGCAUUUUCGCAUGGCUGUGCGAAAUUUUGCACACCAUGCGAAACCACAAGAAGUAGCCAAAGAAUUUUGCACACCAUGCGAAAUUUCGCAUGGUAUACGAAAUCUUCCUAUGCACCAACUCCGUUAUAUUUUUAUCUUCAGAUAUUUUGUGUAAUUUCCUAGUUUCUCCUUGUAACCAACCUAGAUAUUUUCUUUUAUAUCUUUUUUUUAUAUUUUUUAGGUAACAUCAUAUAUAGGGGGAGAGACAUAAGGAGGAUAUGGAUGUUUUUCAUAAAACACUUUUAAUUUUCUGGUAGUAAGAAAUAUACAAAGUUUUUUGCUCUGCCUUACCUUCUCAUUUUGUUUUCACCUAUCUUUCUAGCCAAACAACCUCUGAGAAUGAUUUCUCAGGGGAUGAGUAGUUAGGUUUUACGUUUCUUGGAGUGAGAGAAGCUAGGUGAAAGACCCAAAUGCUAAGGUGGGAGUUGUCCUUGCUUUAAAUGAAAGUAGUUGUUAAAUAUUAAUGGUUUUUAUUUUAAGGUUUAGCUUUAAAUCCCUUAAAAACACCUUGAAUGGCCAAUACUUGGUAAGCUUUUCGGAUUCUAUGGAUGCUUAUUGCUAGAUCCAUGGAUGUCAUUAGUUAUCAUUUAUGAGCCAUUGGAAGGUGGUUCAAGAUGAGAGUCUUUAGUGUUUGAAGCCAUUAAUGGGAAACAAUUACCAUUUUUUCAUGAAUCCUUUGGAUAAAAUCUUAAUUGCUAAAUAUAAAACUGGUUCGGGAGAUAACCAUCCUUUAUGUUAUUAUGCCCAAUGCAAGGAGAAGAUUUCGAAUCUUCUCAUUUGUCUAAGGAACCCGAUCCUAGUGACCUAAAGCUCCUAGAGACCUUUUCUUUGUAGUUAACUUCAUUUAUUGUUUUUGCUUAACUUAAAAUCAAUCUUUGCAACCACAAUUCCAUUUUCUUUAAAAGCUAAUUUUUAUAAGGAAAAGCACCAUUUUAUUUCCUUCACUAAGUCAACUGUAUGAUGAAAACCCAUCCCUGUGGACGAUCUUAGAGCCACUAUACUAUGUUAUCUAUGCUAUCCUAGUGUGAGGUGAUUUAGGUUUUAUAAAUUUUGUUGAUAACACCCGUCUGAGCCAGAAUCAAAUGGAACCACUGAACCAGGGACAAAUCAACAGCCUAUAUGGGAGGGACACAAGUUUAAUUGAUUUGCAUUUCAGCGUUAUAGAUAAGUAUGUUUUGGAAGAUUUGUUCUGGAAAUACUGCACCAAGUACGAUUCUUUUUCUCUUGAGUGAGUCCAUUUGCAUGCCAAUUAACGAGUUGAAAAGUAGGAGCACCUACCUCGUGCUCAUGGAACCGAAUGUCAGUGAAGUGGGGCUCCUUUUAGCCUCUUGUGUUUCUGUUCCAACCAAGGCGGCGUAGGGAAAAACAACAAUAUGUCUGUGCUAAAUAUCAACGCAUGAUAGAUGUUUUUUUUUUUUUUUUUGGUAUGUCAAGGCUAACGAAUGAAAUGCAUUAGCUUGUUUUGUGACUAUAACUGCAAAUGUCCAAAUUGGAGUAUCUCCAUUUCUCACUUCGGAUGGUUAACUUUAUAAACAAGAUAUAGGAAACAUGUGAACAUCUUGAGGAACAAUUCAAAUUAUUCAUUAGAAGUCCUGGGUUAAGUUCCAAGAUUUAAAUCAGACCCUUCUAGCAGCUUCAAGGGUACUUAGCAACCUAUAACAUAUUAAUGAAGAUUUAGGAUUUAGACUCCGGAAUACAAAUAAAUAUGUAUCUCAUGCUUUGACUAGCUUCCCUACAUAUGCAUAAAAUGGAGAUGACCCAAAAAAAAUAGCAGAAUCUAGCUUCCCUACAUAUGCACAAAAUGGAGAUGACCCAAAAAAUAGCAUAAUCGCCUUAGUUUCUGUGGUUAAGGUGAUUCUCCGCUUAAUAUCCACAUUGACUCAUUAUGCAAAAUCAACUGAGCUAAUUUUAUUUAUUUAUUUAAUGUCAAAUAGGAACUCCUAAUUAACUGAUUACUGUCGAAAAGUGCUAUUUUGUAGACCUAAUUAUAAGGGUUUUAAGCACCUUUGAGUAGUAAUCAUAUUCAUUUAACCUAAUUAAUUCAUUAAGCUCCUUAGUAAUUAGUUCUAACCAUUUUUAGUGGCAAGUUUACAUGUUUUUCAUCAGCUUAUGAACCAAUUCAAGCAUGCCAAUUGAUGGAGGAGCUACUUGGGCGAGUUAAGCAAGGAUUUUGGACGUUUACAGGCUUGAAUUUCAAGUGGAAACACGAGCACAAGCAAUGGGAACACCAUUUCGCAAGGGGAGGCAAUUCACCUUGCCAAAUGACCAAUUUCGCAAGGGGAUUUUCCUCAUGGUGCAAAAUUUGGUCAUUUCGCACCAUGAAGAAACCACCUUGCAAAAUUUCGCAAGGUGGAUUUAGGCACCUUGCGAAAUGCCAAAUUUCACAAGGUGGCUUUUCACCUUGCGAAAUUUGGACCUUUCAUCUUCCCCCCUUGCGAAAUGCCUUUGAAAUCCCCUGUUUUGAGACGCUGUUGAUGAUAUUCCACUGCCGGUUCUCCAAGAUAUUUUGCUUGACUUUUAGCUUUAUAAAUACCUAUUUUACCCUUGUAAUCAACCAAUGAAAAGGUUGCUUUUGUAAUAGCUCUUGUAAUUUAGCUUUUUAUUGUCUUUAAAUAGAGGUGAAGAGCCUCAGACACGAUCAUCUUGUAACCUGUAACUUUAUAAGUUAUAAGAGCACUUUUGUUCAUACGCUUCUUUUCUCUUUUCUUUCUCAUUUUCUUAGUAGCCAAACAUCCUUGGAGGAUGAAAUCCCCAAGGAUGAGAGGCUAAAACCUUUUAGUUUCUUGAAGUAAUGGAUGCCAUGUGAAGCUCCCGUGUCAGGAUGGAGAUUUCCAAGCCAUAAAUGUAAGUAGCUGAGCGUCAUAAAUGUUUUCAUUCAAAGUAAAGCUUUUAAUCCCUCUGACUUGCUUUGAAUGGCCAAUACUUGAUAACCUUUUGGUCUCAAUGGAUUCUUAUUGUUAGAUCCACUGACGUUCAUUAGUUAUCUCCUACGAGCCAUUGUAUUGCAAGUCGAGGAGAUGACCUAUACCAAUAAAAGAGCAUUUAUGAGGUUCAACUACCCUUUUUGUAAGUUUUCAAGGACUAAAACUCAGUUGUUAAACUCAUACCGGUUCGAGAAGUAAGCAUCACCUUAGUUGCUUCCCCAACUCGAGGUGAAAAGUCCCAAAAUCUCCAUUUUUACACAGUGAGUUAAGCAUGGCUAUCCAAAGCUUUAAGAAACUUCUUUUUCCAUCUUUUAACCUAUUUUCAUGUUAGUUUAGUUUACAACACCUUCAUCUUUUUAUGUUUUCAUCUUAACCUAAUUUUUAUUAAGAAAAGUUCACUCCAUCCUCCGAACUUCACCAGUUAAAGUAAAAACCCUUCCCAGUGUUCGAUCCUAGAGCCACUAUGCUAUAGUAGCUUUGCUACUUUAGUGUAAGGACCUUAGGUAUAAAUUUUGUUGAUACCCUUACAUGCCAAGCUACCAAGAGUCGGGUUAUCAUUAACCUAACCAUUGGCCUGUGUAAAUUGAUUUCACAUGCACAAUGUUGUAGUAGAAGUCCAUAUUUUGAAUUUUAUUUUUGUAAAGGUAAGGAAAAUGAAGCAUUGUGUAAUUAUAAAAAUAACUUCAUUGGAAUUCACAAGGUUCACCCAAAAUGGAGCUACAUCUGUAUUCUAUCCUACAGUAGACUAUAUAGAUUGUACAAUAGUAAAUUGCAAAUACAAUUAAUAAGUCUUGUGCUUCCUUACUAAUAAUCCUUUGACAUGAACAUUGCAGCACUAAGGUCCUCUUGGGAAGACACCUUGCACCCAUGAGAGCACUAAGAGGAAGCAAGGCAGAGUCAUGGGUGCAAUGUCAUGACUUGUUGUUGCACCAAGAGAGGCUUGGUGAUGCCAUGGUGUUGCAGUAGCAAGAAUGUUGCCUUGGCAGGGACACGAUCUAGGGAUAGAUGCCAAGAAAGGCUUAGCACUCACAUGAGUUGCACAAAGAUGAAUGUAAUAGAGCAUCAGAGAGACGUCUUGGCAAGUAAAUGAAUGGAUCCAAGAGACAACAACAUGAGGAGUUUCAAAUGGAUAAGGAAUGACUCAAAGACAUUUGAAAGCUACAAGUUGGAUUCUAAUUACGAUUGCAAUUUGAGUUUGAGUAGGAGUUUAGAUUUUGAUUGUAAUUGUAGUAUGAGUUGGACUAGGAUUGCUUAUCCUUAGUCAAUAUAGGAGCGGUUCGUGUCACCCUAUGAAAAGAGUUUGAGUAGGGACUAGGAUUGCUUACUCCUAGUCAAAUAUGGAGUAGGUGGUGCCACACCUAUAAAAAAAAGGGACAACAUGAGAGAGAGAGAGAGAGAGAAAGAGAGAGUGAAUUCACUAAAGAUAUUGUGGGAGUUUUGCUUUGUUACGUCUUGUAUUAUUACUUAGAAUAGGAAUAAAAUACAAGUUGGGGCUAGAGCCCCAUAAUUAAUCUCGUGUGCCUUUGUGGUUAUUCUUUAUUUGUCAUCUCGUGUGGAUUGGAUUAGGUUGACUUAGAGGGCUUCUAAGCACCACCUUUGUGGGUUAUUAUUUAUUUUCCAUCUCUUGUGGAUUAGAUUAGGUUGACUUAGAGGGCUUCUGAGCACCACCUUUGUGGGUUAUUAUUUAUUUUCCAUCUAUUGUGGAUUAGAUUAGGUUGACUUAGAGGGCUUUUAAGCACCACAUUUGUGGGUUAUUCUUUAUUUUCCAUAUCGUGUGGGUUGGAUUAGGUUGACAAGGAGAAAAAUUAUGUGGGAAAUUUGUGUUGGGACACUUACCAUAACCAAGUAAAAUCUACCAAGUCCUUUGUAAUAUCUUCAACAAAUAUUUUAGACUAGUUCUUUCAGUUAGUGUAAAGGAGGAAGAAGUGGUAUUGAUUCUAGAAAUAGGGUGUGUGUAUUUGAACUACAAUCCUUAUGAUCCUUAGGUCUCUAAACCUUCGUGAUGGGCUCCCUGACAUUUCAUAGGUUGUGCUACACAUGCGUUUGAAAUUUAGAGUGCGUUUGACAGUGAUUCCGGGAAGUGUUUUUGGCCUUUCUUACACUUGAAAAUUUUUAUUUUUCAAGUAUUAGAAAUGCUACAAACACUUUUGAAAAUUACUGUCAAACACACUCUUAGGAGCGCACAUAUAUAGUAGAAAACUAGAAAUUGUGGUUUUUUUAGGAUUUACUGUAAUGUCAUUAGGAGGGUAGUAAGUUGAAAUUGAGUAUGAACAAAUAUUUCUUUCUUUGGGAUGUUCUUCUAGUAGGUGCUGAUGAAACUGUUCUUUCUACUGCCAAUGUCACAUAUCAGCCAGAAAUUGAAAAUUUCAGUCAAGGUGUCCUCUGUUUUAGUGGUGAGGAAAGCUAGAAAUUUUAAGGUGAAGUUUUGUUAAAAACCUUAAGUAGCUGGGAUAUCAGGCCUGUUUUGCUUGAAAAAAAAAGUUGCAAGAUAACUCAUAUGCCAAACAGGUUCUGAUAUUGUGAAUCUAUCGGCAGACAUCAGUAAUCUCAUCUUCUGAGAUGGAUGUUGGGGGUGCAUGUGGUGGUGGAGGGGCAAGGUUUCAUUUGGUUUAUUUUGUUGAUGGAUAUUGUCUAGCCACCUGCGCCAAGUUUGAGGGGUGGUGGGUUGUGAUGACCCUACAAUUACUAUUAAUUUCUUCAUCUUUUACCGAUUAAAGUGUCCGAACAGUCGAAGUUACCCUUAUGCAUGUCAACUUGAUCACUUACCUCUUCAAUGGAGUUUAUGCUGGUUCAUUUAGGAACUGAUUUUUAUUGUUAUGUAUUAUAUGCUGAUGUUUAGGUCUCUCCAUCAUCACUAUAUACAAAAAUUCUAGGUUGAUACUAUAGGUUGAGAUUUAUUUUUUAAAUAAAAAAUAAUAAAAAUAAAAAUUAUGGUGAUGUUUAGUUGUUUUAUGGAAAAUUUUAACAAGUAAAAGUUAUUUUUGGGCAAGUUUUCAAACAAAAAGAAAAGUAAAAGUUGUUUUGACAAAAACAUAUAGAAAAAAAAAUCAUAGAAAAUAAAUAAUUUCCCCAUAUUCUAACUUUUUUGAAUUUUUCUCAAUGGGCAAAGGAAUAUCAAAUCAAGUUUGAGUAGGAUUUCUUAAUUUUUAAAAUAACUUACAAUUAAAAAAUUUUGGUGUUUUCAUUUUUGGACAAUUUUUUAUUAAGCAAAUGGACUCUGAGUCAUGCAAGAGAUAUGGUUCAUUAACCGGUCGAACAAUUUUUUUAAAUUAAUUUAAAAGUCAAAUACAUAAUCAAUUUCACAAAAUUUAUAAACAAAAAUAGGUUUAGAGAAGAUCUACACAUAAUUUUACUUUUCUAAUUUUAUUUUAUUUUAUUUUUUGUUGGAAAAUAGUCUUCAAAUCAUGUAAGAUUUAAUAGGUUAAAUUUGUUAACAAUAAAUUUUAAAUUAUAAAAUAUAAUCUGGAACUCAAAAAUCAAUUCAAGUAAUGCUAAAAAAAAAUCAAAUUUGGUAUAGAAUGACUUUGUAAAUUUUUUUACAAAACAAAUGAAUUUUAAAUCAAGUGAGAUUUAAUGCAUUAGAUUUUUAUCAAAUAUAGUAAUUUUAAAAAUAAAUUUGGAACUCAACAAUAGACACAAUAAAUACCAAAAAAUAAUGAACCAAAAUUGGUUUGGAAUAACUCCACAACCUUUUUUUUUUUUUUUUGGUGCACACGAAUUUUCUUACUAGGUAUAUUGCUUUCAAAUUGAGAAAGAUUUACCAUUUAGAUUUUUUUUUAAUGAGUUUAAUGGUAUUUUAAAAUAAUUCAAAAUUUAAAAAAUUGACUAAUUAAUAUUAUAAAUUGAUAAACCAAGACUAUUUCAAAAUGCAUUGGGGGCUAAGGGGGUUGAAAAUAGGGACAAUGGGAUGGGUUUGGGACAUGACACUCAUAUCUCAUUUCCAUUCCAAUUACACAGUUAUCUCCCAUCCUUAUCCCAAACUUGUGUUGGAGCAAGUUGAUUUGUUCCCAUCUUUGUUGACGAAAUGACUAAUAACCUCAUCCCCUCCUUAUCUUAGAUGUACAUUUUGUCAAAUUUGAUCAGGUAUGAUUGAUCCAAGCCCUAACCCUAAUUGGUAAUGAGUGAAUACUACACCUAAUUGCAUUCUUCUUUCAUUGCAAAAUAAUGAGAUUAUAAUAAUCUAGCAAAUAAGAAAAAAUAGUAUGGAAGUUCAAAUUAACACCAUAACUAUCAAUAAUUUUAAGCUUAUAGAUGACUUAAAUGAUUAAAAACUAAUGCAAAAUCCUAAAAAAAAUAAAAAUCAUAUAAAGAAUUCACAAGAGAACAGAAUGAACAAAAACCAAAUAUGAACAUGGGUCAACAUUAGUUAUGGAUUUGGAUUCCUUUCAAGGCCAAUCUUUGAACCAAGACUUCAUCAAAUCAACUACUUCAAAGGCUUUUGUGUUCUUCUUGGGUUGUGCUCUCAAACAAAGACUUCGAGGUGAUGUUCUAGAUGAUUGAAUUACACAUAUUUAGGGUGGAGAGAUUGGAGAAGCUUGAAGAUGCCAACGAUGGGUACAAUUGAGUGGUCAAUAAGAACAAUGUAGCCUAUGACUAGUUUGAUGUCAUGGUACAAGAGUUUUAGGCAUUGAGGUUAAAGCAAGAGCAACAUGGAAUUGAUUUCGGAGUCUUUCAGUUAGUGUAAAGGAGGAAGAAGUGGUGUUGAUUCUAGAAAUAGGGUUUUAAGUGGUGCGUGAUUACUACUCAAAAAGUGCUAUUUGAUAGCCUUUAAUUAAUCCUUUUUAACACUUUUGAGUAGUAGUUUAGGCCUUUUAACUCAAUUGGCAUGUUAAGGAUCCUUUAAAGCAAUUUUGAUCACUUUGUGCAAGUUUUGGUGUUUUUGUUAGUAUUUUGAUCACCAAAGCAAGUCAAGAAUGAGGAGAACUAUGAGGAAUCAUGGGCAAAGCUUAGAAUUCAAUUGCCAAGAGUGAAUCCGGAUUGCAAGGAGAAAAAGCAAAGAGAAUCUGUCAUGAAGCCUAUUCUUGAUGACAGUCGUAGCAGCCACUUUUGGAGCACUUUCUGAAGUCCAAAUGAUGCAAGCUAUAUACCAUUUCAAAGAUCAGGAAGUCAACAAUCCAAUGCUUCAAACGGUGCGCGAUUCGGAGUUGAAACGAAGAAGUUGCAGCCAUUACAAGCCAGUCACUCUAAAGUGUUGCGGAAUCAGCCUUUUGUUGCGAGAAUUUCGCAGCACUUUUGUACAGUAAGGUGUUUCUCCUUCUGACGAUGCACGAACCAUGCCGCGAGAGGGAAGCUAGGAACUUCAAGAUGGAAGCCAACUUUGCAGCCUGGUGAAGAUAGCUUGGUCUUGCGAAAUAAUUUCGCAGCCCUCUUGGGUGUCUGCGAAAUUUCGCAGGCACCACUUUUUUCCUGCGAAAUGGCUCCGGAAGCCUCCCGAAGCUUGCUACCGACAUUGGGAGAUAUUUUCCAUUAGAUUUUUGUUGUCUAAAUUCCAAAAUACUCCUUGUAAACCACCAAUUACAUGAUUCCUUAGUUUUUAAGUUAGUAAAAAGACCAAAUAUCUAUGUAAUAAUUAGUUUUAUAUUAGUUUGCUAUAAAUACCUCUCGGGAGCAUGUUCUCAGAGAGGAGUUCCUUCUGUAACCAUUUUGGUAAGCAAGUAAAGUCUUUUCUUUCUACUGCCUUACCUUCUCACUUUGUAUUUUCAUUUUAUUUCUAAGUUAUGAAUUCUCUGAGGAGCUUUCCCCAGAGAAUGAGUAACUAAACCUCCAAUUCCUUGGAGCUAAGGUUGCCGGGGAAGGUUCCAAGUGCAAGAAUGCAAAGCUCUGUGGUUUUAGCUAGUAAUGAAGAGGAAGUGAAAUCCUUUAGUGAUUUCAAUGUUUUUAGUUAACUUAAAACACCUUGGAGUCACCUGGGCCAACACUUGGUAAGGCAAGUGAUUUCCAACCGUGGAAAUGCACUAGUUUACCCCUUGCGAGCCUCUGGUAGGUGACUUCAAGGUAGGAUUUUCUGGAAUUACCAACACUUGGUAAGCUUUUGGACUCCUAGGAGACAUCCAUUAGUUAUCUCUUGCGAGUUUGUGAAGGGGAAUCCAAGGUUAAAGAUCACCUUGAAUGGUAAGUGCUCGUGAGAGGCAUGAACCAUUGCAAGUUGUAUCAGUGAGAGAAUUAAAGUGAAAUCUAAUUGAAGGAGUCUCUGUACAUCACCGGUUAGAGAAUUGACUAUAAGUUGAAUCUCUAAUGCGAGGAAAUGAACCAUCUGACCGGAGCUAUGUCUUUUGCAUGAGGAACCACCCCAGUGAACCUAAAUCUCCAAGGAAUGCUUUUCUUCCUAAAUUAUUCCAAACUUCUGUUAAGUUAGUUAGUUUAAGUCUAAACCUUUACCAAUCAAACUUUGUGUUUUAUUUCUUAAGCUAACCGUGAAAUGAAACAAAACCAAUUCACUUGGAAUUGGUAUCCUUGAUUGCUUGCAAAUCAUUCCCAGUGAACGAUCCUUAGAGCCACUAUACUAUAGUAGCUUUGUAUUUGCUACCCUAGUGUAUGGUGUUAUAGGUAUAAAUUUUGUUGAUCACUUCCUCAAUCAAGGAACACCAGCUGAACACAAAUCAGCUGAGACACCAAUUGGGCAUGAGUCAAAUGGCGCCGUUGCCGGGGAAUGAGUGUCAAGAUCAUUGUGAUACCAUUUUUGAGCACUUGUGAUUUUCAUCACAAGUUGGUAAAGUUUCUUUCACUUUACUAAUUUUCAUUCUCUCUUUGUUUAUUUACAAUCUAAGUUUAUCUUUUUAAAAUUUAGUCUAGUUUAAUUUUGCUAUUGUAGCCUUGUUUCUCUUGUUGUCCUCUGUUCUUGUUGUCCUCUGUUUUCAUUUUAGUUGCAGCUGAAUACUAGUUGUGUAUGCCAAAGUGGAUACGAGACAUUGGAGGUAGGCUUAUUAAGUGUGAUACACCUCAGAGAGGAGAAUUGGAAGUAAUCUUGAAUAUCAUGGAGGCUGCACCUGAAGAUCAGCAUAGUCACCAAGGUCGUCAAGACAAUCUCAAUGAAUUCAGAUCAAUGAGGGACCGUAUGCAUCCACCUCGUAUGAGUGCACCAUCAUGUAUAGUGCCCCCUACAGAGCAACUAGUGAUCAGACCAUAUCUUGUUCCACUUCUACCAACUUUCCAUGGGAUGGAAAGUGAGAAUCCGUAUGCACACAUCAAGGAAUUUGAAGAUGUUUGUAAUACAUUCCAAGAGGGAGGAGCUUCAAUUGAUUUGAUGAGGCUUAAGUUAUUUCCUUUUAAUUUAAAGGAUAAGGCCAAAAUUUGGCUUAAUUCUUUAAGGCCAAGGAGUAUCCGCUCUUGGACUGAUUUACAAGCUGAAUUCCUCAAGAAAUUUUUUCCUACUCAUAGAACAAAUGGCUUGAAAAGGCAAAUUUCAAACUUCUCAGCUAAAGAGAAUGAGAAAUUCUAUGAGUGUUGGGAAAGAUACAUGGAAGCUAUAAAUGCUUGUCCUCACCAUGGCUUUGAUACUUGGCUACUGGUGAGUUAUUUUUAUGAUGGUAUGUCCUCCUCAAUGAAGCAACUCCUCGAGAAAAUGUGUGGAGAAGAUUUCAUGAGCAAAAAUCCAGAGGAAGCUAUGGAUUUCUUGAGCUAUGUAGCUGAUGUUUCAAGGGGAUGGGAUGAACCAACUAAAGGAGAAGUGGGAAAGAUGAAGUCUCAGUUGAAUGCUUACAAUGCAAAGGCUGGGAUGUAUACUUUAAAAGAGGAUGAUGACAUGAAAGCAAAGUUGGCAGCUAUGACAAGAAGAUUGGAGGAGCUGGAGCUGAAAAGAAUGCAUGAAGUGCAAGCUGUUGCUGAAGCACCAGUGCAAGUGAAGUUGUGUCCCAAUUGUCAAUCGUUUGAACAUUUGGUAGAGGAAUGCCCUGCAAUUUCAGCUGAAAGGGAAAUGUAUAGAGAUCAAGCAAAUGUUGUUGGACAAUUCAGGCCCAAUAACAAUGCUCCUUAUGGAAAUACCUACAAUUCAAGUUGGAGGAAUCAUCCAAAUUUUUCAUGGAAGGCCAGAGCAACUCAAUACCAACAGCCGGAUCCACCAUCUCAACAAUCUUCAAGUAUUGAACAAAUAAUAGCUAAUCUCAGCAAGGUAGUGGGAGAUUUUGUGGGAAAGCAAGAAGCCACCAAUGCUCGAGUGGAUCAAAGAAUGGACAGAGUGGAUCAAAGAAUGGACAGAAUGGAGAGUAUGUUGAACAAAAGAAUGGAUGGAAUGCAAAAUGAUAUGAAUCAAAAAUUUGAUAACAUCCAAUAUUCAAUUUCAAGGCUUACAAAUUUGAAUACACUGCAAGAAAAGGGAAGAUUUCCUUCUCAACCUAACCAAAAUCCCAAAGGUGUCCAUGAAGUGGAAAGCCAUGAGGGAGAAUCAUCACAGGUGAAAGAUGUGAAAGCUUUGAUCACUCUAAGGAGUGGUAAGAAAAUUGAGCAGCCAACACCCAAGCCACAUGUUGAGAAAGAAGAAGAGAUGAAGAAAGGGAAGGAAAUGGAAGAUAAAGGCAGUGAGAUCAGUGAAGAAAAGAAGGACUCUGAUGCAACAAUGAAAGUAAUUCCAGAGAAGGAGCUUCUGAAGGAAGAAAUGCUGAAGAAAUCAACUUUUCCACCUUUUCCUCAAGCAUUACAGGGGAAAAAGGGGGUUAGAAAUGCAGCUGAAAUCCUAGAAGUAUUGAGGCAAGUGAAAGUUAAUAUUCCACUGCUGGAUAUGAUCAAACAAGUUCCAACGUAUGCAAAAUUCCUAAAGGACUUGUGUACUAUCAAAAGAGGGUUGACUGUAAACAAGAAAGCCUUCUUGACUGAGCAAGUAAGUGCAAUCUUACAGUGUAAGUCUCCUUUGAAGUACAAAGACCCUGGAAGUCCUACCAUUUCAGUCAUGAUUGGAGGAAAGGUAGUGGAGAAAGCCUUGCUAGACUUGGGAGCAAGUGUGAAUUUGCUUCCAUAUUCUGUCUACAAGCAACUGGGACUUGGAGAGUUGAAGCCAACAGCAAUCACUUUGUCUCUGGCAGAUAGAUCAGUGAAAAUUCCAAGAGGGGUAAUUGAGGAUGUAUUGGUUCAAGUAGAUAAUUUCUACUAUCCUGUAGAUUUUGUUGUUCUUGAUACAGAUCCUACUGUAAAGGAAGCUAAUUUAGUUCCUAUCAUCCUUGGAAGGCCAUUUCUUGCAACUUCAAAUGCAAUCAUCAACUGUAGAAAUGGGCUUAUGCAACUCACUUUUGGUAACAUGACACUGGAUCUAAAUAUUUUCUAUAUGUCUAAAAAGCAAAUCACUCCAGAAGAAGAAGAGGGUCCAGAAGAGCUAUGUAUUAUUGAUACUUUGGUGGAGGAGCACUGCAAUCAACAUAUGCAAGAUAAGUUGAAUGAAAGUUUUGUGGAUAUUGAGGAAGGUUUUUCUGAAUCUCCUAAUGGGCUUGCUACUCUACAAAGUUGGAGAAAGAUAGAAGGAAUUCUACCUUUGUUCAAUGAAGAAGAGGAGGCAGCUGUUGAAAAAGAAAUUCCAAAACUCAAUCUGAAGCCUUUACCUAUGGAGCUGAAAUAUACAUAUCUUGAAGAAAAUAAUCAAUGUCCUGUCGUAAUAUCUUCAUCUCAAACCAAGUCUCAAGUGAAGGAUGCAAGCUUCAAAUGGGAUCCGGGCAAACUGAAUCAGGAAGGGCAAAAAGUUUUGAUGUAUGACACAAGACUCCAUAUCUUUCCUGGGAAGCUCAAGUCAAGGUGGAUUGGUCCAUUUGUUAUUCACCGAGUAUAUUCCAAUGGAGUGGUGGACUUAUUGAAUUCCAAUGGCAAGGACAGCUUUAGAGUCAAUGGAUAUCGUCUUAAGCCGUUCAUGGAGUCAUUCAAAUCAGAAAAGGAGGCAAUCAACCUCCUUGAACCUCAAAAAGCCUAAGUGAAAUGGGUUUGCUGGACGUGGUUUUACCACAGUCCAAAAAUUUUUGUAAAUUUUGUAAAUUUUCAAGUUGUUUCCAUGCUUUUAAUCUUAGUUUUUGAUUUUAAAUCAUGUUUUUAGGUGUGUUUUAAUCGUUUUAUAUGAUCCCAGGCGGAAGAAAUUUCAAGGGGAUUGAAAAGAAAAAAAUCGGGUCGAAAUUGGAGCCGAAACAGAGCAAAAACAGGGGAAAAACAGAGCUCUGCGAAAUUUCGCAGGGUGAAGGAAACUUCUGCGAAAUUGGCAUUUUGCUGCCAAACCAUUCCGCAGCACUGUAGAAGCCUCUGCGAGUGUAUUUCGCAAUUGCGAAAGUGGAUUUGGCACACGAGUGCCACUUCGCAGCACAGUGACAUCAAUUUCGCAGCUGCGAAACUCACUGCGAAGUUGCUGCGAAAAUGGCAAGUUGCUGCGAAAUUGGCGUUUUGUUGCGAAACGUAAUCUGACCCCUGGGCUUCCGUUUUUCCUAUUUAUACCUGUCAAAAGUGCUGCGAAAAAGGUUUCAAAAAUUAGAGCACCAUUCUCGCAGCCCUUUCAUCUUCUUCGCCAAGCCACGCCGUCCGUUUCUCCGGUCGUCUUCUCCGUUUAGCAGCGCCGGCCAAAGAUCGAUAGCCCAAAAAUGGCACGAACGCGAGGGGCAAAGUCUUCAUCCCCUUCGAACCGCAAAAGGAGUCUGCGAAAGGAGCCAAGUUCAGGCUCUGUUCCAGAACCUGCUCCAAAGCCUUCGCCGUCGAGACCACAACCUUCUCCAGUGAAGCCGGCGCCACCAAAGCCGCCGGCAAGGCGAUAUUUAACCAGGUCAGGUGGUCAGCCAUUGAAGAAGAAAGCCAGAGUUGAGAGCUCUGAACCAAUCGAUUUGACUGAGCAAUCCCCUGAGAAAUCACCAAAUCCUUCACCGGUACAAAUUCCAGUGCCAUCACCGGUUCCCUCGCCAAUUCCCUCACCAGAAGCAACUCCAAUUCCAUCGCCGGUACCAUCUCCGGCACCCCAAGAAAAAGCUCAGGAGCCUCAAGCGCCAAUUCCAGAGCCCCAAAUUGCAGCUGAAGCACCUCUGGAAGAAGUGAUCCGAAGGCCAAUGCUGCCUCAGCCCCCAAUCGAAGGAAACCUGGAUUGCCGAACUCGGGCAUUCCAUUCUGAGCUUUGCUUCGAUUUAACAGCAUUCAGAGUGAGGCCAGAGCUUGCCCAAUCCUUCCAACUGCUGAGGAGAUAUCAUAUGGAGCAUCUGCUAGCUCCAAGGGAUUUUUUCUAUCCCCGGGUAGUCACGGAUUUCUACCAAACCAUGACAACCAAAGAAGUAAGAAAUCCAACUCUGAUUCAUUUCAUAAUUGAUGGAAGGCAUGGUAUUUUGGGAGCAAGACAUAUUGCUGAAGCCCUGCAAAUUCCUUUUGAGCCAACUCAAUUCGACAAUUUUAAAGCUUGGACAAAUCCUACUGAGUUAGAGAUGGUUAGCACACUAACCAGAGGAGCUGCAAAUCGAUCGCAUUUGUUGAGGGGGGAGCUACCUCCAGUUAUGUUUUUGAUUGAUGCCUUUUUGAGGCAUAAUAUCUAUCCCCUGCAGCAUUGGACCCAAAGAAGGGGAAUUCUCCUAGAAGCCUUGUACAAAAUGUCUGAAGGAUUCUUCUUUGGGCCUCAUCAUCUGAUCAUGGCAGCCCUUCUAUACUUUGAGGAGAAGGUUCACAAGAAGAAGCUUCAAAGAGCAGAUUGCAUUCCACUCCUCUUCCCAAGGCUGCUAUGCCAAGUUUUGGAGCAUCUCGGAUACCCCUCUGAGCCUCAGCAGGAAAGAAAGAGAAUAUGCCGUGAGCCUUUUACCCUUGAUAAAUGGAAUAAUAUGACGGCCUACAAAAUUGAUCAGCCUGGGCAGCCUCAGCCAGCAGCAAGGAGAGUCUCCCCAAGACAUAUACCUGAAGGUAUAACACUUGCUACUCCUGCCAUCCCUCGAGCUCCACCAGCUGCACCUGCUCCAUCACAGCCAUCCACAUCAGCUGAGCCGAGGAUGGCCAUCCCUAUAUCCGAAUAUCGAGAGCUGUGCCGUGCAUUGGAGACUCUUACAGCUUCUCAGAGCAAUCUUGCUCAGGAGUUGGCAGCCAUUAAAGCAUGCCAGGAGCAGAUGUUAGCCUCUCAGACUCAACAAGCUGCCAUCCUAAGGCAGCUUCAAGUCCAUUUCGAUCUGCCACAAGCUGUAGAGCCCUCUAUUCCUACUCCACCAGAGCCACACUCUCAGCCUUCAGAGUCUCAUCCUCCAGAACCCGAAGCACCAGCUGAUCCACCUACUGAGGAGGCAGAUCCUUCUGCCUAGCACCAUCACCCCCCUCAUCAGACAUUAUAUAUAUAUUUGCUGUUUAUGUUUUUAUGCAUGUUUGUUUUGUUUUAGUUGAAAAGAAAUCCCAGUAUUUUGGUACUAUAUAUGGGAUUCCUUGUGUUACUUGUCUUUAGUAUUGUAAUCACAUGAACUCAAAGUAAUACAAGUUGACUAUUUCUUGUUAAAAGUUAGCAUUAAAGUUUCCUUAUUUCCUUUUCUCACAUAUUCUAUUCUUUUUGAAACAUGUGGUUUUCCCCAAUCAAUAUUCGAAUUUGAUAUCAGCAUGGAGGUACCACUUCCUCCCUUUUAUUACAGUCACUCAAAUCACAUUGAGGACAAUGCUCAGUUCGGUUGGGGGGUAUGAGGAAGGAAGUAUUCUAAACCUUUUUGGUAUUGCAAUUAUAUUGGUUAAUUAGUUGUAGAUUUUACUUUUUACUAGUGUUACUCUAUUCUCCAUGAAUUUUGAGGAAAAAUUUUCAAAUUAAACCAAGAGAAAUUGAACUGUUGUUUUUCACUUGACUUAGAGUAUGGAUUAUGCUUACUAAAGUGGUUCAAUUGUUGAAACUUCUACUGAAAUUGAAUUGAGUUCUUCCACUUUAAGCUAUCCACACACUGUGCACAUUAGUUUCCGAUUAUAAGAUGAAAAGCUAUUUCCCUCUUGACUUAGUAUAUUUUUGGGACUUGGUAUAUUUGACCUCAUUUGAUAAAAAUUGAAACACCCUGCAAAAGGCCAAUGAGCCUUUGAAAUAAAGAAAGUUGUUUGCUUGCCUUGAAACCCGAGCAAGGUCUGAGGGGUAUAUGGUGAAAAUCUUUAAAGCCUGGUGCCCUAAGCCUUAAUUGGUUGGGAGUCACCGACCUCAAUGCUCGUUACAAGGGUGAAUAGGUAGAGUUAGCAUAUGGUAGAUGCUUGGGUAUUAGAAAUUCAUUCUUAAAAGUCCGGGGAAAAAUCCGAGGAGUUAGUGGUUGAAAGAUCCUUAAAACUUGGUGCCCUAAACCUUAAUUGGUUGGGAGUCAUCGAUGGACCCCCAUUACAUGGACAAGUCAGAAAGAGUACCCCAUAAAGCUACCUUAAAAAAAAAAAAAAAAAAAAAAAAAAAAAAAAAGAUGAAAGUGUGUUCUUUUCUUAUUGAUUUUGGUCAGUUUGCUAAAGUGUUGAAAAGAGAUAGGUUGGGGGGUGAGAUUAGUAGCAUAUUAUUCUCGGAACCUAAGGAACCAAUACACAUAGAUUUUUGUGGAAGAUUGAAGUUUAGUUCUUAGAAAAUGAAAUGAUUUUAAAACUUCAGUUUGCAUAAUGCACUCCCUUGAUUGACAGUGUUUAGCAUAGGUGUUAUGACUCUUGUUGAGAUUUGGGUUUGUAUUUCUUUAAUGAUUCAUGUGAGAAAUAGAUCAUCAUGCCACUUGAGAAUUAUUUUCCUUUUAGCAUGAUGUUGUAAAUUUUAGAUUAGUUUGCUAUUUAUUUUUUAUUUUCUCUCCUAUAUUGCUAAGGGACUAGCAAUAUGUCGGUUGGGGGGAGUGAUUACUACUCAAAAAGUGCUAUUUGAUAGCCUUUAAUUAAUCCUUUUUAACACUUUUGAGUAGUAGUUUAGGCCUUUUAACUCAAUUGGCAUGUUAAGGAUCCUUUAAAGCAAUUUUGAUCACUUUGUGCAAGUUUUGGUGUUUUUGUUAGUAUUUUGAUCACCAAAGCAAGUCAAGAAUGAGGAGAACUAUGAGGAAUCAUGGGCAAAGCUUAGAAUUCAAUUGCCAAGAGUGAAUCCGGAUUGCAAGGAGAAAAAGCAAAGAGAAUCUGUCAUGAAGCCUAUUCUUGAUGACAGUCGUAGCAGCCACUUUUGGAGCACUUUCUGAAGUCCAAAUGAUGCAAGCUAUAUACCAUUUCAAAGCUCAGGAAGUCAACAAUCCAAUGCUUCAAACGGUGCGCGAUUCGGAGUUGAAACGAAGAAGUUGCAGCCAUUACAAGCCAGUCACUCUAAAGUGUUGCGGAAUCAGCCUUUUGUUGCGAGAAUUUCGCAGCACUUUUGUACAGUAAGGUGUUUCUCCUUCUGACGAUGCACGAACCAUGCCGCGAGAGGGAAGCUAGGAACUUCAAGAUGGAAGCCAACUUUGCAGCCUGGUGAAGAUAGCUUGGUCUUGCGAAAUAAUUUCGCAGCCCUCUUGGGUGUCUGCGAAAUUUCGCAGGCACCACUUUUUUCCUGCGAAAUGGCUCCGGAAGCCUCCCGAAGCUUGCUACCGACAUUGGGAGAUAUUUUCCAUUAGAUUUUUGUUGUCUAAAUUCCAAAAUACUCCUUGUAAACCACCAAUUACAUGAUUCCUUAGUUUUUAAGUUAGUAAAAAGACCAAAUAUCUAUGUAAUAAUUAGUUUUAUAUUAGUUUGCUAUAAAUACCUCUCGGGAGCAUGUUCUCAGAGAGGAGUUCCUUCUGUAACCAUUUUGGUAAGCAAGUAAAGUCUUUUCUUUCUACUGCCUUACCUUCUCACUUUGUAUUUUCAUUUUAUUUCUAAGUUAUGAAUUCUCUGAGGAGCUUUCCCCAGAGAAUGAGUAACUAAACCUCCAAUUCCUUGGAGCUAAGGUUGCCGGGGAAGGUUCCAAGUGCAAGAAUGCAAAGCUCUGUGGUUUUAGCUAGUAAUGAAGAGGAAGUGAAAUCCUUUAGUGAUUUCAAUGUUUUUAGUUAACUUAAAACACCUUGGAGUCACCUGGGCCAACACUUGGUAAGGCAAGUGAUUUCCAACCGUGGAAAUGCACUAGUUUACCCCUUGCGAGCCUCUGGUAGGUGACUUCAAGGUAGGAUUUUCUGGAAUUACCAACACUUGGUAAGCUUUUGGACUCCUAGGAGACAUCCAUUAGUUAUCUCUUGCGAGUUUGUGAAGGGGAAUCCAAGGUUAAAGAUCACCUUGAAUGGUAAGUGCUCGUGAGAGGCAUGAACCAUUGCAAGUUGUAUCAGUGAGAGAAUUAAAGUGAAAUCUAAUUGAAGGAGUCUCUGUACAUCACCGGUUAGAGAAUUGACUAUAAGUUGAAUCUCUAAUGCGAGGAAAUGAACCAUCUGACCGGAGCUAUGUCUUUUGCAUGAGGAACCACCCCAGUGAACCUAAAUCUCCAAGGAAUGCUUUUCUUCCUAAAUUAUUCCAAACUUCUGUUAAGUUAGUUAGUUUAAGUCUAAACCUUUACCAAUCAAACUUUGUGUUUUAUUCCUUAAGCUAACCGUGAAAUGAAACAAAACCAAUUCACUUGGAAUUGGUAUCCUUGAUUGCUUGCAAAUCAUUCCCAGUGAACGAUCCUUAGAGCCACUAUACUAUAGUAGCUUUGUAUUUGCUACCCUAGUGUAUGGUGUUAUAGGUAUAAAUUUUGUUGAUCACUUCCUCAAUCAAGGAACACCAGCUGAACACAAAUCAGCUGAGACACCAAUUGGGCAUGAGUCAGUGCGUUAGAGGAUCAAGAAGAAGAAAAAGAAGGAACUGUUGGAAUUAGUAUGAGUGUGAAGAGAAAAGUAUAUAAAUAAGGGGAAGUAAAAGCAAAGUUCAAAAAGCUAUAUUUUUUUAUUGUUGGUGUAUGGUUGCAUGAUUAUCCCUAUAAAUAAUAGGAGUUUUUUGGUAUUCUACUAGUAGUUGAAGCAUAAUUUCAUAAAUUAAUAUUUAGAGCGGGGUGGGGUGAGUUGUGACAAAAUUCAUACCCGUCCCAAACCUUGGUUCAGAUUUUUAAAAUAUUCUCAAACUUAUCAUAUACCCAACUUUUAUAUUUCAUACUUGUCCUAAUAGAGGCACGUUAGGCCGGGUUACUUGAGUAACCUACAUAAUUGUCAUCCCUAGUUGAAAUACACUUUUUGGCAGUGGCCACCAACUGAGCUAGAAGCUUGAUUGAUUGACCUACAAGAUUAGUUCUCAUCAUUUUAAAAAAAGUUCUGGCUUUGGUUGUGAGUGCAAUUGAAUCUAAACUGGCAUUUGCUUAAUGCAUCUACUUCAAUCCUAAACUUCUUACUUCUUAAGCCUCAAUUGUUGUUAGGAUUUUGGAAAACCCAUUUCCUUAAAUUGUAAAUUUAAGAUAAAAUAAAAUAAAAGUGAGACAUUUCUUGAUUGAAUAUUGUUAAAGGUCCCUUGGCAUUAAGACUUGGUUGAAGCCUUGGAAGAUUAGUGGAACUCUCAACAUGUGUUUGAAUCUUGAGGAGAGUGGAUGUAAGCCAAAAUUUUGUCAAACCAUUAUACAAAUUGAGUUUGAAUCCUCAUUUCUUGAUUUCUUAUUUAUUUGCUUUUUCUUAUUAUUACUUGAAUUGUCAUUUGCAUUCAUUAAUGUUAAAAUUGGUUAUAAUUAACCAACACUAAUUCUCUUUCCCCUUCCCUUUCUUGGGUGUAAACCUAGGUUGGAUUAACUAGAUAAAUCUAUUAAGAUGGUAAAAGAAUAAUUAUUCUUAACAUACAUAAGAUCAUCUUCAAUCAAAUGACUCAUUGGCUAAUAUGUUGAAUUUGCUUAUUACUUGCAACUCAAAAUUGUGUUCUAGUUGUGUCAAGUCCCCAGUGUAUGGACAUUAAAUUUGUAGUACGUGAUGAGUAAUUAGAUGGUCCAACUCCAAGAAAGUGAUUGAAAAGUAGUUCAAGAAAGGUGCAAAAGGGAAUUGUUUUGGUAUUUUCGUUUUUAUUCUUGAAGGUGGCAGAGCUAAAAUUUGAGAAAUCAAGCAAAACAUACUGAAAUUACAUUGAAAGAAAGAAGAUGGGAGUUAAUGUCUUGCAGUACAUGAUAAGGACUUCAUGCAUGUAGUGUGACCCAUGUCUUGGACUGAUGCCAACUCACGGUUACACUUAUACCCUUGGUUCUCUCUUUACUACCUUGGCUAACCUAGAUCAGGCUAUGAGAUAGGCUCCUCACCACACCAUUACUUGCCCAUUAAUUAGAGACAUUUUCAAGCAAUGAGGUAACAUGGUGACACCAAGAGGGUCUAUUCCUCGCCCGGAACAAGUCUAGACUUGGUCUCAAAAAAAUGGAGAAAAAUGAGGUGUCGUUAUGUAGAAAUACAACAACCAUGCCUUCCUCAUUACUUAGAUUCAGAAUGUGAAGGUGAAAUUGAGAAACAGAAACUCUUGAAACCAAAAUGAAAAUUGAUACUUUUACGAAGAAUUACAACAACAUUAGAGGAAGACUACAUUCUUCCUCUUUAUUCCUACAUUUCUACACUACUUCUACUCCACUCCAUAUUUCUACAUACAUCUUUAAUCAGUCUUCCCUCCUUUAUAUAGAGCCAUCUUCACACAAAUUUCGCAAGGUAGAAAAGAGGAAUGAAACUUGGAGCAAGGUUCGACUACUGGUUGUAGCUUGUCAAGGCUGGAAGUGAACUUUUCUUGGCUUUCUGGGCAUGGGUAGUAACUUGUGGGUUCCUGUUUGGCAUAAAAAUGGCUAGAACAUGUGGCACUAUCUUGUUGGAUGAUGUGUCAAGCAUGUGGCAGCCAUCUAGUGGCGAUUAUGUCAAUUUUGGGAUGGAGAGUUGGCAUCCAAUUGCAAAGAAAUAUGACGUCUACCAACAUGCAAUGUAAACCUAUGUAGAUCAUAUGAAGAUAGAGAGGAAAAAUAUAGAAAUGGAUAUAUACCUAGAACUAGCUUUUUAUUAAAUGAAACGGAGAGACAACAAUGAAGGAAAAUAAAAUUUUUUGGCUUAUAUCAAAGAGUUCACAUUGUGUUACCCUAGGUUUUCUUAAAACUUACUUUUAUGAUAACAAAAAAGAAAAAACCAUUAUUGUUUAAUCCUUUGUUUUAAACGCAUGUAAGGUGUAAUUAAGUUAGUUCAAUGCAUUAAUUUAAGAAACUUGACCUAUCAAAAGUACAAAAUUAGAUGAAAUCCAUUUCAAUGGUUAAAAUGAUCAAAAUCAAACUUUUUCUAAGUAUUUUUUAAAAGCAUCAAUAGUGAAAGACAAUUUUAUAUUUAGUCGGAGUUUGGACAAAACUGAAAAACACACAAAAUCCAAGCGACCAUCUCUAGCUUGGAUGGUCGCUUGAUCCCACCUAGAGAUGUGCAUGAGUAAAAGGAUUUGAAAAUGGAAAUUGACUAUGUAGUCGAUCAAUUAACUUUGCAACAUCAUAUGCAAUCCUAAUUGCUAGUCAUCUAAUCAAUUAGGUAGUCAAUCAACAGGCCAAAAAUAUGUUUAUAAUGACUAUUUUGUACAAAAACCACCUGUAUAGUUAAAUAUAAUGCAUUUCAUUUAUAAAUCUUCUAAUUCUUGAAUAACGAUCCUAUCAUCCUUUGAAAGUUUUUAUUACACUUUUUUUACUUUUGUUCUAAAACUUACACAUCACCCUUAAUUGUACCAUGAGAACCUAGCUAUUUUUUAUUUUUUUUUUUGUAAUUCAUCAAAGUUAGCUUUUGUAUUCAUUGUUGUAUUAUUUUUAGUAUAACUUAGAAAGCUAGUGUUUUCAAGUGAGUAAAAUUAACUUGUAAAUAUUGUAAAGAUUCAUCGACAUGUAUCUUAAACUAAGUGUACAAGUUAAAACAUUUGCUAGUAGAUUUUCUCAAAAUUUAGAAUAGAGCUUGAGACUAUUGAAAUAGGUGGGGUUGCACCAAACCACAUCACAUCGUUGUUUGCACCUUUUUUCACUCUCUUUUACUUAGUUGCUCUAUAUUUGUUGUCUAGUAAUAUCCUAUAGGCUUGAUGGGUUAGGGAGCAUCCCUUUGUGAAAAAAUUUUAUUCAAUCCUUAGUUGUAUCACGCAUAUAUAAAAUGCCUCAUUGUUUUAAUGGUAUUCAGUCGUGGCAUCACAGAUAUGGGCAUCUAAAUUUUAAAAGUUUGAAACUUUUAUCUAAAGAAAAUAUGGUGCUUUGCCUUUUUGUAAAGCAUGUUGAUGAAAUCCAUGAGAAUUGUGUACUUGGGAAGCAACACCGAGAUGACUUUUUUUUUUUUUUUAUAAUAUUGUUUGUCCAAAUUCCCUACAAAUUAGGCCACCAGAUGUUCAUAAUUCUCCCUUCUUGAAUUUGAAAACUCGGACAAUUGGACAAUGCGACACCUAAGUCCGGUUUCUAAAUGCUAAAGUGAAAGGGUAGGUAUGGACCAUUGAAAUGUGAUCACAACUUUUCUCUGUAGCCAUGUUGUCUCUUUUUUCUUUUGCAUGAUUUUCUUACCUUAACAGAAUCAUAGACUUGUUUAGUCUCUAAAUGGGAUUAAUUUCAUCCAGCUUUAAGCUACUAUAUUAUAUCUAGGUGGAGGACUUUUAAGAGUGCAACCGACAUAGAGCACAUGGAAGUGGGUAUAUGGGACAUGAAAUUUCUUCUUAUAAAGAUUGCAUGAUUUUUAUAUUAGAGUUGUUGAGGCGCUAUGUAUUUAGCUUGUUUUGCAGUUAAAUUAAUUGGAUAAGUAGACAUUGGCGUUUCUAAAUCUACUGUGAAGUGCUUCAUGUACGUGUGAAGUAUUAGAAAUUUCUUUCUUGGCAACUUGUUUUUCUUUGCGGUCUACUGAUAGGUUUGACUAAAAUUAUAUUCCCUGUCAUGCUAAUUAAUUUUCACGUGCAUGCUCAAAAGAAAAGUAUGACCUUAGUGCACCAAAAUCACUUUGAUUAAUUUGUGAUAGGUUUUUGUGCAUCAUGACAUUAGCCUUAUUCAUUUAGAUAAUGUUUAGUUUUUAGAAAGUAUUAAGAAAAGGAAAAUAAAUAUUAAGAAAAAUAUUCUUAUAUUUGAUUGUAUUAUGAAAAAUAUCAUAAAAAAAUCAAAUAUAAUUUAAAUUAAUUAAUAAUUUAUACAUUUUCAAAUUAUUUAAUCUUUAUAUUGAAGAUAUAAUAUAAAUGAAAUGAGUUUUAAGUAUUAUAUAAAAGUGAUUUAUUGAUCUUACAUAUAUAUAUUUCUUUUUUUUUUCCUUCUAUUUUUUCUCUUUAUUUUAUUUUCCUUAUGUUUUCCUCAACAUUUUCCGGAACCAAACAUAGCCUUAGGAAAUCCACAAUUACCUUCAACUGAGUAGAUUCUGUUGUUUUAGCAAUGUUAGGCUGCUAACUUGUGUUGGUACGAACCUAUUAAGCCUAAAGAUGUAAUUAGUUAGGAUAUUCUUUUCCCUCUAGUCUUGUAGCUCCACGUGUACAGUUGGUUAGGACCUCAUUGUAUAUAAUGCUUGCCCUGUUAUUGUAGAAGACAACAAAGAUAAAUAAUAUUAACAUUUUUCCUCUCAUCUCUCUCUGUUUCCCUCUGUUUUCAUCUCCUCUCUCAUCUUGGUAUCAGAGCCUCCAUGGCUUCUUUCAAAGAAACCUCCGAAUCACCUUCUGCUAGCAUUGUUAAUGUGCAAAACCCAUUAUCUCAAUCAAACAACCUUCCUUCACCAGUAGCCACACCCUCUUUUUCUUUCUCGUCUAUGAAUCAACCUCUCACAGUGAAGCUGGAUAAUGGGAACUACCUCAUAUGGAAGAAUUAGCUUCUAAAUGUCAUCAUUGCUAACGGACUCGAUGAUUUCAUUGACGGAUCUCGACCCUGCCCUCCUCGAUUUCUCGAUCUGCAACAACAAACCCUCAAUCCAGAGUACUCAGCUUGGCAGAGAUACAAUCGACUUCUGAUGAGUUGGCUGUACGCAUCCUUGUCCAAAGAUAUAAUGGCUCAGAUUGUUGGGUAUUCAACAGCUAUGGAGAUUUGGAAUGCCCUUAAUCAGAUUUACUCUGCCUCUUCUAUGGCGCGGUUUACUGAGCUUCGCACCAAGCUUCAAACGCUCAAGAAAGAUGGACUCUCAGUUGGUGAAUAUAUUCAAAGGCUCAAAUCCAUUUGCAAUAGUCUUGCAGCAAUAGGAGAACCAGUUUCUGAGAAAGACCAUCUUAUCUAUUUGUUCAAUGGAUUAGAUUGUGAGUAUUAUUCUUUUGUUACCUCCAUUCAAAAUCGAUCUGACCAACCAACUAUUGACAAAAUCCAUAGCCUAUUGCUUAGCUAUGACUUCCGGCUUGAACAACAAAACUCUGUUUCUCUCCAUUCUGCCCAAGUCCAUAUGGCUCAUCUGAACAAGAAACCUUAUAAAUCAACUCCUCAACCUACAUUCAAUCAUAUUCACAUUCAACCUAGAUACUCUUCUCCACCUUUUAAGCCAACCACUAGUCAAUAUCAACCCAACAUUUUGGGCAAACCACAACCACAACCAUGACAGCCUCAACCUCAAUGGAAACCACAUUUUUCAAUCUAAAAUCAAAAGCCUCAGCGCCAAAUUUGUGGUAAAUUUGGACACACUGCUCUUAUUUGCUUCCAUCACACAAAUUUGAACUAUUCACCCCAACCUUCUCCUAAAUCUUUCAAUACUGUUCUCACCACAAAUUCCCAGCUCCCUAAUCCUCCAAAAUUUUCUUACCCUACAAUGGCUCAUCCUGCUGCUACGCAUAACACGGUUCCCGAUACAAAUUGGUACAUGGACUCAGGUGCUACACAUCACUUUACUCUGGACAUCAACGUGCUUGACACUGUGACACCAUUUAGUGGUUCAGAACAGGUGACAGUUGGGAAUGGUAAGCAACUCUGUAUCUCACAUCUUGGUACUGCAAAACUACCAUCUUCGUAUUCUCCUCCUGUUCUACAUCAGGUAUAUCACACUCCAAAAAUUUCAAAUAAUCUUAUUAGUGUUAAAAAAUUGUGUUCUGAUAAUAAAGUUUUUGUUGAAUUUUAUGCCACUCAUUUUCUUGUCAAGGAUCAGGUUUCGAAGAGAGUUCUCCUUUAGGGUCAACUUGAUAAUGGCUUAUACAAAGUUCAGUCGUCAUGCUCUCCUUCUGCUGUUUCCUUUCCUCCUCAAGUUUUCAUAGCCAACAUCAAGUAUCCAAAUCUGUGGCACAAGAGACUAGGCCACCCAGCUUUAUCUGUUGUUAAUCAAAUCUUGGAUUCUUGUAACAUUGCUCGAACACAGAAAAUUUGUUUUAAUUUUUUAAAUUCUUGUCAAUUAGCAAAGAGCCACAGGCUUCCUUUUUCUCUGUCUCCAUCCAUUGCAGAAAAACCUUUUGAGUUAAUUCAUACAGACCUAUGGGGUCUUUCGCUCGUUCGCUCUAUUUCUGGUGCUCUUUAUUUUUUACUUUUCAUUGAUGAUCAUACUCGUUUUACUUGGUUUUAUUUGCUCAAAACAAAAGAUGAAGCAUAUCCUACUUUUCUCAAGUUUCAAGCUCUCAUUGAAAAUCAAUUUAAUACCAAGAUUAAGGCUGUCCAAUCUGAUUGGGGAGGUGAGUUUCGAUCUCUCUCCAUACCGUUUUCAAAUAUGGGCAUUGUCUAUUGUUUAUCGUGUCCAUACACCUCACAACAGAAUGGGCGAGUUGAGCGAAAAAAUCGCCAUGCGAUUGUCCUUUCUUGCUUGCUCUAUGCCCUUAUCUUAUUGGCCUUAUGCCUUUCAAACUGCCACUUACCUUAUUAAUCGUCUCUCUACCCCUGUGCUGCAUCAUCAAUCCUCUUACUUCGCACUCUAUCACAAACUCCCAACUUAUACUCAUCUUAAGGUCUUUGGUUCCUCUUGUUUUCCGUAUUUGCACCCUUAUAAUACCCAUAAACUCCAAUACAGGUCACUAGAGUGUGCUUUUCUUGGUUACAGUUCACACCACAAAGGUUAUCUAUGUCUUGACAUUCAUUCUAGCAGGGUGUAUAUUUCUCGCCAUGUGAUUUUUAAUGAAGAUUCUUUUCCAUUCAAGAAUUUGAAAUCUUCUCUCUCUCAGUCUAUUUCUUCUUCCUCUUCUUUAUAAGUUCCUCUGUUCAUUCUCUUGCCUCCCCUUUCCCCAUCUCCUCUUAUUUCUUCAUCUAUACCUCAUUCUUUUCCCUCUUCUUCUUCUACCUCUAGUACUUGUUCCCCUCUCGUUGCUCCUACCUCUCUUCCUUCCUCUUCACACUCUGUGUCUCCAUCUAUUCCACCUCCUUCUCCACCUUCUCCGAGUGUGGACCUGCUUGCACCUUGUGUGAAUACAAAUUUACAUACUUCUUCUCGCACUCACAAUAUUCAUCCUAUGGUGACUAGAUCUAAGGUUUGUAUCUAUAAACCUAAGUUGUUGUUGAGUGUCUCCAUAGGUUCUCUCACUAAGCCUACUUCCUUUCUUCAAGCUAUUAAAGAUCCUUCAUGGAAGCAAUCCAUGGAAUUCGAGUUUGCUACCCUUCAACACAACAAGACCUGGCAUUUGGUUCCUUCACCUUCCUCAGGCGAAGUAAUCGGUUGUAAAUGGGUCUAUAAGCUAAAGCUUCAGCCUGAUGGCUAAAUUGAGAGAUACAGCCUGCUUAGUAGCUAAGGGUAUCAUCAAAUUGAAGUAUGGACUACUUCGAAACAUUCAGCCUGAUNNNNNNNNNNNNNNNNNNNNNNNNNNNNNNNNNNNNNNNNNNNNNNNNNNNNNNNNNNNNNNNNNNNNNNNNNNNNNNNNNNNNNNNNNNNNNNNNNNNNAGCUUCAGCCUGAUGGCUAAAUUGAGAGAUACAAGGCCUGCUUAGUAGCUAAGGGUUAUCAUCAAAUUGAAGGUAUUGACUACUUCGAAACAUUCAGCCUGAUUGUCAAGCUUUCUACUAUCUGUAUUGUGCUCAGUCUUACUUUUUCCCAGAAUUGGUGUAUUAGACAGCUGGAUGUUCAUAAUGCCUUCUUACAUGGUGACUUAGCUAAAGACGUUUUCAUGGAACAACUGCCUGGAUUUGUUGAUCCUCUCUAUCCUACUCAUGUCUGCAAGUUGGAUAAGUCUCUCUACUGUCUUAAAUAGUCACCUCGGGCUUGGUAUACUAAGCUGAGUACUUCUCGCUACACUUGGGAUUUGUUACUUCUAAGAAUGACUCUUCCUUAUUUAUUUGUCAUUCGUCUCAUGGGUUACUUCUUGUUCUUGUCUAUGUGGAUGAUAUAAUCGUCAUUGGGAGCCACUCUCCUCAGGUUACUCACCUUAUCCAACAGUUGCAUCAUUAGCUUUCUUUAAAGGAUCUUGGUCCUUUACAUUAUUUUCUGGGCUUGGAGGUUCAUCACACCCCUACUGGUAUUCACCUCAGCCAAGCAAAGUAUAUCACUGAUCUCCUUACCCGGGCGGCUAUGUUGGAUGCCAAGCCAUGUCCCACUCCUAUGUCCUCCAACACAUAUCUCUCUUUUCAUGAUGGAGUGGCUCUUGAAAAUGGUUCAGAUUAUCGAAGUUUUGUUGGUGCCCUUUAGUAUUGUACCAUGACACGCCCAGAUAUAGCUUUUGCAAUAAAUAAAGUGUGUCAAUUCAUGCACCAUCCCUCUAAUGUUCACUGGCAGGCUAUAAAACGUAUUCUCCGGUACUUAAAGGGCACAUCUCAUUUUGGUCUCUUCCUACAGCCUUCCUAUGACUUCAACAUCACUUGCUAUACAAAUGCCGACUGGGCUUCCUGUCCUGAUGACAAGUGUAGCACCAGUGGCUACUGCCUCUUUCUUGCCUCUAAUCUGGUUUCUUGGUCAUCUUCCAAACAAAAAGUGGUCUCCCGCUCCAGCGCCGAAUCAGAGUACCGAGGGGUAGCAAAUGGGGCUGCUGAAAUUGCUUGGACUGAAUCUCUUCUUUGUGAACUUUCCAUUACUCCCCCUCCCCUCAUUCUCUGUGACAAUAUCAGUGCCACGUACUUAGCUGCCAAUCCUAUUUUGCAUGCCCGCACCAAACAUGUGGAAAUCGACUAUCACUUUGUCACGGAACGUGUUCUUCAAUGCUCUCUUUUUGUCCAGUUUACACCUUCUGAUGAUCAACUUGCUGAUUGCAUGACCAAGCCUCUCUCCACCCAACGUUUCAUCACUCUACGCUCCAAGCUCACUGUUCUCACUAGACCAAUGAGCUUGAGGGGGGAUGUUAAGCCUAAAGAUGUAAUUAGUUAGGAUAUUCUUUUCCCUCUAGUCUUGUAGCUCCACGUGUACAGUUGGUUAGGACCUCAUUGUAUAUAAUGCCUGCCCUGUUAUUGUAGAAGACAACAGAGAUAAAUAAUAUUAACAUUUUUCCUCUCAUCUCUCUCUCUGUUUCCCUCUGUUUUCAUCUCCUCUCUCAUCUGAACCAAAUGAUCCAUGUUAACCUUGGCUUGGUUUGAUUUGGCUCUAUCUUAGAGAGCUCAAGGAUCACGUCAACUCUGGUUUCUACUAUUCAGGUCCAUUCCCAUAUGAACUGGUUCAAAUUUGAGAAAAUGGUAACAGACCUUUAGUGAUGUUGGUUUGGAGCCAGUUGCCAAACCCGCCCUGAGCUUUACCACUAAUGUCAAGGGAGAAAGCCAUUUGAACAAAAACAAUAGCUUCAAGGGACUGAAUCGUGGAUGAAAUCUGAUCCACAUUUCUUCUCAUUUUGGAAACAAAUGAGAACUUAACUAAGAAGAUUCUACGGCCUCAUAGUGCUUUUCCUGAUCUAAGGUUGGUUCGUUUCCCAAACUGUGAGAUGCACGUGCCAGACUUCAGAACUCUCACGCUCAGGAGUGUAUCCACGUGGUGGACAUAAGAUGGUGGCUUAAGAUCUGGUGUCGGUGGCUUUACUUUACUAGGAGAGUAGUGUGUCUUCAUCUCAUUCACUGCCGGAGGGUGGCGUAAGCAGUGACGCUAAGGUGGGGCACAGUCAAUAUCAUUUGCAUUUGACCAUUAUAGUUUUCUCCCGGCUUUAAAGUAACCUUAUCGUGAUAAAGGAUUACUAGCACUAGUUCAGAUGAUAGUCAUGUUAAAUUCGGACCAUGUUUGUGUCACAUUAUCAGCAACCAUGUGUUUAUGGUUCAUGCUUUCUGCAACUAAAAUUGAUAUAUAACCAGGUGAACUUCAAUCUAAAUUCUGAAAGUACUCAUGUGAUAGAUGGUGCCCGUCUGCAGAGUCCAUCAAUUGAAAAAUGGAGUGAGUGUAUCUAUAAGAGGGAAGGCUUGGAAAAUGUUCAGUUUUCUGGGAAUUCAACAAGGAUCUAAAAUAGAUUGUUUUCUUUGCUGAUUUCAAUGGUUGAAAUUUGAGAAGAUUGUGUCCACAUAACACAACUAUUACUGGUCCUUCUGUUGCAAUUUAUCCUCUAAAGCUCUAGCAUGUCUUCCAAUUCCCACUUCCCUGUUACUCCAGGAAAGCUAUUUCUGUCAUUGUGAAGAAGAAAAGAGAAUGUACAUAUCGAUGCUUUUAAGUGACUGGAGCAUUUAUAUCAGGUGGUCUGCAGCCAUAUAUGCCACUUUGUGAAGAUUGGAACAGUCAAUCACUAGGCUAUAUAUUAGUGUGGCCCAGCCACUUUAAUCAAGGACAAGUCUUCAUACUUAAAGUCAAAUUCUGCCUUUAGUCUCAUUAUAAAUUUCUGUUUAAAUAUUAAGCAAACAUUUGUUUAAUGCGAUUAAGACAGUACUAACUCAAUACCUGUUCUAUUUUUGGAUGCAAAUGCUUGAUGGUUUCAUCAUUGGAUGGGAUAAAGGUGCAUUCAUGAUUAGGAAUACUAGUAGUUAUAUUUUAAUUCUCUUUUUUCUCAAUGAGACUUGUUGGCACAAUUUUGCUGUUGAGAAACCUACCUCUCCAUGGAAAAUAAGUUGUGAUUGAUAGUACUGGAUAUAUUCAAGAAAUCUAAAUAUAGAUAGCACAAAAUAUUAUCGACAUAAAUAGCAUUAACAGCGUACGUAUGUCUCAGUGCUCAUCAGCUAUAAGCAUGGGGCAAACACUUACUAUGAGCAACUUACGUCAAAAUUCCAGAAUAGGACAUAGAAGUGACAGAUAUAGAACAUUGCAUAUGAGUCACAAGAAAGGAAAUUACGGGUGCAUAGCAGCUCUUAUUUUACAUACUACUACUCAUACUGAUCAAAGUCACUCAGUUGGGAUGGGUGGGAGUAGGAGGUUUGUGGGGUGGCUUGUGCGGAGGAGUUGGCAGCUUCUUUCCAGGACCUGGUUGCUUCUCUGCUGGAGUUGAAGGAGGCUUAAUCUUCCGAGGUGGCUUGUAUGAGUCUUCAGCAUUCUCAGCUGGAGGGUGACCAGGGUUGUGACCAUAAUGUGGUGGCUUCUCUCCCUUAGGUGGUUUGCCAACUGGGGUUGGUGGCUUGUAUGAGUCUUCAGCAUUCUCAGCAGGAGGGUGACCAGGGUUGUGACCAUAAUGUGGUGGCUUCUCUCCCUUAGGUGGUUUGCCAACUGGGGUUGGUGGCUUGUGUUCUGGGAGUGGCUUCUCCCCCUUGGGAGGUUUUUCCAAUGGGGUUGGUUUGUGUUCAGGAGGUGGCUUCUCCACUGGAGGCUUGUGUUCAGGAGGUGGCUUCUCCACCGGAGGCUUGUGUUCAGGUGGUGGCUUCUCCACCGGAGGCUUAUGCUCUGGUGGUGGCUUCUCGAAUGGGGGAUGCUUAGGAUAAUCAGCAAGUGAGGGGGCGGUGAGAACCACCAGGCCAAGCAACACCACUAGCAAAUAUGUAGGAGACAUCUUUGGGUUUGGGCUCAGAUGGUGCAAAACUAGGAGAAUUGGCUAGCCUUUUAUAGCGGAUCGUACCCAAUAAUGAAAUGACACGUGUCAUUAUGACCCAUGUGUAAUGGGGUCGAUUUGGGUCCUACAGUGUUGAAAACUUCGACAUCCACUUUUGGCCUUUUGCUUUCUCUACAGCCGCCUUGCUUUUUCCCUCUUUCCUUUUGUUUUCCUCCUGCCCCAUUCUAUCAACUAAACACAAUUAUGUAGUUGUUUAAUUCUUAAAUGAGAUAUUAUCCGUCAAUCGUAUUAUAUUUUAUCAAGAGAGAACGGAGUGCAAUGUGGCUGUAAUUUUAUCGUUUAGUUUUAUCUCUUGGACCACUGCAUUUUUGUUAAGAGGUGCAAUAAUACACGUCUUUAUCUGCCAUUCAAUAUUUACAGUAAAGAGAGGGCACAAAACUCUUCACUUCGCACCAUAAUUAUUUUGUUUUCUGGACACCCCGGGGCCCUUUGGUUGGUUUGGGGGUCAGAAAGUGAACAUCAUAGGGGGUUUUUCCCUUAUGUGCAUUUGUAUCUGAUGGCUUUAACUCGCCUUGUUACUACAAAGAAACUGUCACAGAUAGGAACUUAUUCCAGGCUGAGUAUCUCCUCAUAGACCCUAUAAAAGAAGACAAGUCAUAAUGAACAUCUAACCUUUGUUCAAUUUGAUUCAAUGCCCCCAUUGUGUCCAUCUCACAAAUCUGAAUUAUUAUAUCCAUUGAAUACAUAAAUUAAUGAAGAAAAUAUGAAACCCAAGAUACAUCUCUGCACAACCUCAACCCUGGUUGCUAUGUUUCCCUUCUAUUCACAUGAUUUGAUGCUAAUUGCCAAACUUGCAACAAGCCCUGAGUUUGACACCUAGUAUCGAUGGGCGAAUUUAAAGUCUCCUCCAAACAUAUAUUCCACAGCUUGAAGCUCACAGAAGAUGUUACAGGCAGGGAAAAACCUUCAGAGUUCGCUACCAAAGAUAAUUAUUAAGGAGAUAUCACAAAGAGAAUUCCAAGGGGUCUGAAUCAAAGACAAAUUGGUCGUUCGUGGGGGUUCUUACUUUCUUUUGGGUAUAACUCACUGAGGGCACUGUCUUUGUUAUUUGCAUUUCACAUUUAGAGUUCUGUUCUGGAAACAUAUAAAAGGAGCAUCAUUUUGUUCUUGGGUAACCCAUAGUCGUGAGUGGGUCCAUUUGCAUGCUACUUAGUUGAAAAGUUGGACCAUUUGCUCCGACGCCUACCUCCCGGAUUCCAUGCUCGGAUAAAACAAGAAUAAAAAAAAUAUUUAUAAUUUACAAAUGGGGGAAAGAAAAAAAUGUCAACAACAAACCAGGAAAAAAGAGUAGUAAAAUUCAUGUCACAUGCUAGUGAGAGAAGGGGUUGUUACACUCACUCGAAGUUCUUUCCAAAAUAUCGCAUGGUAUUUUAUUUUAUGUGUCAGCGCAGUUGUGAAUGGAACGUGCAAAAGUCCAAAUUGGCGUUUUUCCUUUUCCCGUGUAGGAUGGCGACCUUUAAUAAAUAUUUAAAACAAAAAACGAAAAAAAGGAGGGAAAAGGGAUCAGAAAAGAUAAAACAAUGUGUACAAGAGCUCAAUUAGUUUGCAAAUUACUGUUUGGAUUUUGAUAGUAUUUUAUUUGUCCAUCUAUAUUUGAUGGAAAAGAGAAUUUAAGAUAUUUCUGAAACAAAAGCAUUAGUGUAAAACUAAAUUAAGGUAUAAUUAAGUUAGUUCAAUGCAUUAAUUUAAGAAACUUGAUCUAUCCAAAGUACAAAAUUAGAUGAAAUCCAUUUCAAUGGUUAAAAUGAUCAAAAUCAAACUUUUUCUAAGUAUUUUUUAAAAGCAUCAAUAUUAAAAGACAAUUUUAUAUUUAGUCGGAGUUUGGACAAAACCAAAAAGCACACAAAAUCCAAGCGACCAUCUCUAGCUUGGAUAGUCACUUGAUCCCACCUAGAGAUGUGCAUGAGUAAAAGGAUUUGAAAAUGGAAAUUGACUAAAUAUUUAGUUGAUCAAUUAAAUUUGCAAUGUCAUAUGCAAUCCUAAUAGCUAGUCAUCUAAUCAAUUAGGUAGUCAAUCAAGUGUUUGUAAUGACUAUUUUGUACAAAAAACCACAUGUAUAGUUAAAUAUAAUGCAUUUCAUUUAUAAAUCUUCUAAUUCUUGAAUAACGAUCCUAUCAUCCUUUGAAAAUUUUUAUUACACCUUUUUUACUUUUGUUCUAAAACUUACAUAUCACCCUUAAUUGUACCAUGAGAACCUAGCUAUUUUUUUUUUUUUUGUAAUUCAUCAAAGUUAGCUUUUGUAUUCAUUGUUGUAUUAUUUUUAGUAUAACUUAGAAAGCUAGUGUUUUCAAGUGAGUAAAAUUAACUUGUAAAUAUUGUAAAGAUUCAUUGAUAUGUAUCUUAAACUAAGUGUACAAAUUAAAACAUUUGCUAGUAGAUUUUCUCAAAAUUUAGAAUAGAGCUUGAGGCUAUUGAAAUAGGUGGGGUUACACCAAACCACAUCACAUCGUUGUUUGCACCUUUUUUCACUCUCUUUUACUUAGUUUCUCUAUAUUUGUUGUCUAGUAAUAUCCUAUAGGCUUGAUGGGUUAGGGAGCAUCCCUUUGUGAAAAAAUUUCAUUCAAUUCUUAGUUGUAUUACGCAUAUAUAAAAUGCCUCAUUGUUUUAAUGGUAUUCAGUCGUGGCAUCACAGAUAUGGGCAUCUAAAUUUUAAAAGUUUGAAACUUUUGUAAAGCAUGUUGAUAAAAUCCAUGAGAGUUGUGUACUUGGGAAGCAACAUCGAGGUGACUUUAUUUUUUUUUCCUUUUAUAAUGCCACACCUAAGUCCGGUUUCUAAAUGCUAAAGUGAAAGGGUAGGUAUGGACCAUUGAAAUGUGAUCACAACUUUUGGCCUUUUCCUUUCUCUGCAGCCAUGUUGUCUCUUUUUUCUUUUGCAUGAUUUUCUUACCAAAACAGAAUCAUAGACUUGUUUAGUCUCUAAGCUACUAUAUUAUAUCUCGGUGGACUUUUAAGAGUGCAACCGACAUAGAGCACAUGCAAGUGGGCAUAUGGGACAUGAAAUUUCUUCUUACAAAGAUUGCAUGAUUUUUAUAUUAGAGUUGUUCACGUGCAAUGUAUUUAGCUUGUUUUGCAGUUAAAUUAAUUGGAUAAGUAAACAUUGGCAUUUCUAAAUCGACUGUGAAGUGCUUCAUGUACGUGUAAAGUAUUAGAAAUUUCUUUCUUGGCAACUUGUUUUUUCCUUGCCAUCUACUGGUAGGUUUGACUAAAAUUAUAUUCCCUGUCAUGCUAAUUAAUUUUCAUGUGCAUGCUCAAAAGAAGAGUAUGACCUUAGUGCACCAAAAUCACUUUGAUUAAUUUGUGAUAGGUUUUUUUGCAUCAUUUAGAUAAUGUUUAGUUCUAAGAAAAAUUUAUAUAAAAAUGGUUUAUUUAUCUUACAUAUAUAUAUAUAUAUAUAUAUUUUUUUUUUUUUCAUUUUUUUUUCUUCUAUUUUAUUUAUUUAUUUUAUUUUCCUUAUGUUUUCCUCACAUUUUCCGGAACUAAACAUAGUCUUACGAAAUCAACAAUUGCCUUCAACUGAGUAGAUUCUGUUGUUUUAGCAAUGUUAGGCUGCUAACUUGUGGUGGUACGAACCAAAUGACCCAUGUUAAUCUUGGCUUGGUUUGAUUUGGCUCUAUCUCAGAGAGCUAAAGGAUCACGUCAACUCUGGUUUCUACUAUUCAGGUCCAUUCCCAGAUGAACUGGUUCAAAUUUGAGAAAAUGGUAACAGACCUUUAGUGAUGUUGGUUUGGAGCCAGUUGCCAAACCCGCCCUGAGCUUUACCACUAAUGUCAAGGGAGAAAGCCAUUUGAACAAAAACAAUAGCUUCAAGAGACUGAAUCGUGGAUGAAAUCUGAUCCACAUUUCUUCUCAUUUUGGGAAAAAAUGAGAACUUAACUACAAAGAUUCUACUGCCUCAUUCAUAGUGCUUUUCCUGAUCCAAGGUUGGUUCGUUUCCCAAAUUGUGAGGUGCACGUGCCACUCUCACGCUCAGGAGUGUAUCCACGUGGUGGACAUCAGAUGGUGGCUUAAUAUCUGGUGUCGGUGGCUUUACUUUACUAGGAGAGUAGUGUGUCUUCAUCUCAUUCACUGCCGGAGGGUGGCGUAAGCAGUGACGCUAAGGUGGGGCACAGUCAAUAUCAUUUGCAUUUGACCAUUAUAGUUUUCUCCCGGCUUGAAAGUAACCUUAUCGUGAUAAAGGAUUACUAGCACUAGUUCAGAUGACCGUCAUGUUAAUUCGGACCAUGUUUGUGUCACAUUAUCAGCAACCAUGUGUUUAUGGUUCAUGCUAUCUGCAACUAAACUUGAUAUAUAACCAGGUGAACUUCAAUCAAAAUUCUGGAAGUACUCUUGUGAUAGAUGGUGCCUGUCUGCAGAGUCCAUCAAUUGAAAAAUGGAGUGAGUGUAUCUAUAAGAGGGAAGGCUUGGCAAAUGUUCAGUUUUCUGGGAAUUCAACAAGGAUCUAAAAUAGAUUGUUUUCUUUGCCGACUUCAAUGGUUGAAAUUUGAGAAGAUUGUGUCCACAUAUCACAACUAUUACUGGUCCUUCUGUUGCAAUUUAUCCUGUAAGGCUCUAACAUGUCUUCCAAUUCCCACUUCCCUGUUACUCCAGGAAAGCUAUUUCUGUCAUUGUGAAGAAGAAAAGAGAAUGUACAUAUCGAUGCUUUUAAGUGACUGGAGCAUUCAUAUCAGGUGGUCUGCAGCCAUAUAUGCCACUUUGUGAAGGUUGGAACAGUCAAUCACUAGGCUAUAUAUUGGUGUGGCCCAGCCACUUCAAUCAAGGACAAGUCUUCAUACUUAAAGUCAAAUUCUGCCUUUAGUCUCAUUAUAAAUUGCUGUUUAAAUAUUAAGCAAACUUUUGUUUAAUGCGAUUAAGACAGUACUAACUCAAUACUUGUUCUAUUUUUGGAUGCAAAUGCUUGAUGGUUUCAUCAUUGGAUGGGAUAAAGGUGCAUUCAUGAUUAUGAAUACUUGUAGUUAUAUUUUCAUUCUCUUUUUUCUCAAUGAGACUUGUUGGCACAAUGUUGCUGUUCAGAAACCUACCUCUCCAUGGAAAAUAAGUUGCGAUUGAUAGUACUGGAUAUGUUCAAGAAAGCUAAAUAUAGAUAGCACAAAAUAUUAUCGAUAUAAAUAGCAUUAACAGCGUACGUAUGUCUCAAUGCUCAUCAGCUAUAAGCAUGGGACAAACACUUACUAUGAGCAACUUACGUCAAAAUUCCAGAAUAGGACAUAGAAGUGACAGAUCUAUAUAUAUAGAACACUGCAUAUGAGUCACAAGAAAGGAAAUUACGGGUGCAUAGCAGCUCUUAUUUUACAUACUACUACUCAUACUGAUCAAAGUCACUCAGUUGGGAUGGGUGGGAGUAGGAGGUUUGUGGGGUGGCUUGUGCGGAGGAGUUGGCAGCUUCUUUCCAGGACCUGGUUGCUUCUCUGCUGGAGUUGAAGGAGGCUUAAUCUUCCGAGGUGGCUUGUAUGAGUCUUCAGCAUUCUCAGCUGGAGGGUGACCAGGGUUGUGACCAUAAUGUGGUGGCUUCUCUCCCUUAGGUGGUUUGCCAACUGGGGUUGGUGGCUUGUAUGAGUCUUCAGCAUUCUCAGCAGGAGGGUGACCAGGGUUGUGACCAUAAUGUGGUGGCUUCUCUCCCUUAGGUGGUUUGCCAACUGGGGUUGGUGGCUUGUGUUCUGGGAGUGGCUUCUCCCCCUUGGGAGGUUUUUCCAAUGGGGUUGGUUUGUGUUCAGGAGGUGGCUUCUCCACUGGAGGCUUGUGUUCAGGAGGUGGCUUCUCCACCGGUGGCUUGUGUUCAGGAGGUGGCUUCUCCACCGGAGGCUUAUGCUCUGGUGGUGGCUUCUCCACCGGAGGCUUAUGCUCUGGUGGUGGCUUCUUGAAUGGGGGAUGCUGAGGGUAAUCAGCAAGUGAGGGGGCGGUGAGAACCACCAGGCCAAGCAACACCACUAGCAAAUAUGUAGGAGACAUCUUUGGGUUUGGGCUCAGAUGGUGCAAAACUAGGAGAAUUGGCUAGCCUUUUAUAGCGGAUCGUACUCAAUAAUGAAAUGACACGUGUCAUUAUGACCCAUGUGUAAUGGGGUCGAUUUGGGUCCUACAGUGUUGAAAACUUCGACAUCCAGUUUUGGCCUUUUGCUUUCUCUACAGCCGCCUUGCUUUUUCCCUCUUUCCUUUUGUUUUCCUCCUGCCCCAUUCUAUCAACUAAACACAAUUAUGUAGUUGUUUAAUUCUUAAAUGAGAUAUUAUCGGUCAAUCGUAUUAUAUUUUAUCAAGAGAGAACGGAGUGCAAUGCAGCUGUAAUUUUAUCGUUUACUUUUAUCUCUUGGACCACUGCAUUUUUGUUAAGAGGUGCAAUAAUACACGUCUUUAUCUGCCAUUCAAUGUUUACAGUAAAGAGAGGGCACAAAACUCUUCACUGCUCUGCAUGUGUCCCAAAAAUGCGAUUGGACAAAUUAUGAUUUGCAUGCUAAAAAGAGGCAAAUGAGGUUAAUUCGCACCAUAAUUAUUUGGUUUUCUGGACACCAUAAAAAGAUGUUAUACAGGCAGGGAAAAACCUUCAGAGUUAGCUACCAAAGAUAAUUAUCAAGCAGAUAUCACCAAGAGAAUUCCAUAGAGUCUGAAUCAAAGACAGAUUGCUCGCUCGUGGGGGUUCUUACUUUCUUUUGGGUAUAACUCACUGAGGUCACUGUCUUUUUUAUUUGCAUUUCACAGUUAGAGUUCUGCUCUGGAAGGUUUGUUCUGGAAACAUAUAAAAGGAGCAUCAUUUUGUUCUUGGGUAACCCAUAGUCGUGAGUGGGUCCAUUUGCAUGCUACUUAGUUGAAAAGUUGGACAAUUUGCUCCGACGCCUACCUCCUGGAUUCCAUGCUCGGUAAAACAAGAAUAAAAAAAAAUAUAUAAUUUACAAAUGGGGGAAAGAAAAAAUGUCGGAAAAAAUAGUAAAAUUCAUGUCACAUGCUAGUGAGAGAAGGGGUUGUUACACUCACUCGAAGUUCUUUUCAAAAUAUCGAAUGGUAUUUUACUUUAUGUGUCAGCGCAGUUGUGAAUGGAACGUGCAAAAGUCCAAAUUGGCGUUUUUAUUUUUCCCAUGUAGGAUGGUGACCUUUAAUAAAUAUUUAAAACAAAAGACGAAAAAAAAAAGGAGGGAAAAGGGAUCACAAAAGAUAAAAUAAUGUUUACAAAAGCUCAAUUAGUUUGCAAAUUACUGUUUGGAUUUUGAUAGUAUUUUAUUUGUCGUUCUAUAUUUGAUGUAAAAGAGAAUUUAAGAUAUUUCCGAAGCAAAAGCAUUAGUUUGCUCUGUGAUGUCCCACAUCGAAUAGGGGAGAAAGUUUCUGGCGCUAUAUAUGUAGAGGCUCCUCUUAACCAAGUAGAUGCGUUUUAAAACCAUGAGGGCCCCCUUAGGUCCAAAGCGGACAAUAUCUACAUGAUUGGGUGUAAGUCAUUACAAAUGGUAUCAGAGCCGAUCCCCGACCCCGGUGUGGGGGUUUGUUUGGCCCUGUAAGGGGUGUUUGUCUGUUUGACCCCACAAUCCCAUGGGACACAACGAGGACGUUGUGUCUGCAUGGGGGGGCGUUUGUGAUGUCCCACAUCGGAUAGGGGAGAAAGUUCCUAGUGCUAUAUAUGUAGAUGUUUCUCUUAACCAAGUAGAUGCAUUUUAAAAUUGUGAGGGCCUCUUUGGGCCCAAAGCGGACAAUAUCUACAUGGUUGAGUGUAAGUCAUUACAUGCUCCAUGUCAAUUUCAGCAUUUCUCAUAUGUUUCACACAUACACAGAAGAGCAUCGUUUUUUAAAGCAUGCAUUUAUGUUGGAUUAAUUUGGAUUUUGUGGGAACUGGGGCAAGGAUCACAUGGAAGAGAGGUUGACUUUUUUCAGUACUUCAAUGGUUGAAAUAUGUGAAGGCUUGAUUGAUACUAAAGCUUGAAAUUGCGACUCUGUCAUUUGUAAAAAAAUAUGACAGCUUCCAUGCUCUCGUUUGGUUGCAUUGUCCGGUCGAGAGGUGCAAAAAGCAUUCUCUCUCUUCUAAUAGUCUUUUCGUUUAAAUCAAGGGAUUUGCCUUCCCGGUCGAGGUCCAAUAGAGGGUAACGGUCACCUACUAAACAUUAAAUGCUCCAACAACUAGUGAACUGAUCGACCCCAGCUCGACUAGUUGAGGUUACUUUUUGGUUUUCUUGUCUCCCGAGGUUAGAAACCUAUAAAUAGAGAGCUUCACUUCAUUUAUGAGUAAGAGAACACCUAAAUUUAUUUGUUUACCUACUUGUUUUUGCCAUAAAAGCUCUCAUUUCUUUUCUUGGUGUAUUAAAUCUCCAUUUGCAUAUCCUUUAGUGCACCUUUGUGAUUCAUUCUAGCCUUGAGUUGUAUUUAAGCCUUUGUUGAGCUAGGUUGAGAGUUUCAUACUUGUUUAUUGAGUGUUAAAGCCUUCAAGUGAGUUAAAACUUGAAGAGAUUGUGUAAGAGCCCAUUGGAGUCGGAAUCCAAGUGUAAAGGUGAUUAAAAGCUUGGUUGAAGCUUCAAGUUAGUGGAACUCUCACUCGGUUAUGAGCUUGAGAAGAGUGGACAUAGACAAGGCAGUGUCGAACCACUAUAAAAUCUGAGUUUGAUUUCUCUAACCUUAUCUCUUUAUAUUUGCUUCUCUUGUGCUUAAAUUUUUUGUGUUUAAAAAGAAUUUUUAAAAACUCAAUUCACCCCCUUCUUGGGAGUUUUUCUCUUUUAAGAUCAGCUUUUAUUUUCUCAAUUGGUAUCAGAACUAUGCCUCUUGUUUAAGACUUAAUCGUCUAAGAGGAAAUGGCUAAUCCAUCAAGUUCAUCUCACAUUGAAAGUUUUGCAACCAAUAGACUUCUUUUUUUUUUUUUGCGGGAACUGAUUAUCCCUAUUGGAAAACUAAAAUGACUUGGUUUUUACAAUCAAUUGAUUUAGAUGUAUGAGAUGCCAUUGAAGAUGACCUAACUUUUCCUUCAAAACUAGUUGAUGGAGUCAUGGUUCCAAAACCUAAGCAAGAAUGGGAUGAGCGUGAUUGAAGAAAUUUUCAAUUAAAUGCUAAAGUCGUUUAUACUUUGCAAUGCUCUAUGGACAGAAAUGAAUAUAAUAGAAUAUGUCAAUGCAAAUCGGUUAAAGAAAUUUGGAGAUUGCUUGAAAUAACUCAUAAAGGAACAAAUCAAGUUAAAGAGUCAAAAAUCAAUUUACUUGUUCAUAGAUAUGAAUUGUUUUUUAUGAAAGAUAAUGAAACUAUUGUUAAGAUGAUCACUAGGUUCACCAACAUUGUUAAUGGUCUUAAAGCCUUGGGAAAGACCUACAAGGAAUCCGAAAACGUGAUGAAGAUCUUGAGGUCACUUCCAUCAAAGUGGCAUACCAAGGUCACCGCAAUUUAAGAAGCAAAAGACUUGAUCAAGCUACCUUUGGAGGAGUUCAUAGGGUCAUUGAUGACAUAUGAAAUCAAUUUGGCAAAGAAGUAACAAAAAGGUGAAGACAAAAAGAAGAAGAACAUAACUCUCAAAGCUACAACUAAGGAAGAAGAAGUUGAAGAAGAAAAACAAAUUGAAGAAGAUGAAGAUUUAGCCCUCAUCACAAGAAAGUUCAACAAAUUCAUGAGGGGUGAAAGGUUUAGAAGAAGAAGGUUCACUUCUAGAAGAGACUUUUCUAAAAAGGAAUCUUCAUCUAAUGGUGACAAAAAGAGAUGGGAAGAGAAAAGAGACUUGGUGUGUUUCAAGUGCAAGAAACCGGGACACAUUAAAUAUGAUUGUCCUCUCUACAAAAGUGAAGUCAAGAGGAAAAAGAAUAAGGCAAUGAUGGCCACUUAGAGUGAAAGUGAAGAUGAAUCAUCCGAAGAAGAAAAUGAGAAAGAAGUGGCAAACAUGUGUUUCAUGGCAAUAGAUGAACUUGAUGAGGUAAAAUCUAACCUUAGUGAUUAAGAUAUACAUGAUGCAUUUGAAGAAUUGUAUGAGGAUUUUUAAAAACUUAGUUUGAAAAAUAUUUCUCUUAAAAAGAAAGUUCAACAACUUGACAAAGAACUUAGAGAAGUAAAAGAAAAAUUUUCAAAUGUUAAAGUUUCUAAAACUCAUCUUGAAAAAGAAAAUGAGAUUCUAAGAAAGAAAAAUGAAUAGUUGAACUCCUCUCUUUCAAUCUUUUCUUCUAGACAAAAAUCUUUUGAAAUGAUUCUAACUAGCUAAAAAUGUGUUUUUGACAAACAAGGGUUAAGAUUUAAAUCUUCAAAAAAUCAAAAGUAUUUUAAAAACUAUUUUGUAAAGGAAUCCACAAGUGCAAGUCCUUCCACUACUUGCAACUUUUGUGGAAGAGAAUGGCACAUUAGUAGUACGCCCUUUAAGAAAUGGUUCUCAAAAGAAUUUAAAUGCAAAAACUAAAAAAGAUUUGGAUUGAGAAAUCCAAGGUCACUAACCCUCAAGGACCCAAAAAGAUAUAGGUACCUAAAUCAACUUGAGUUUUAUGUUGUAAGGUUCAAAGAAUGAUAAGUGGUUCUUAGAUAAUGGUUGCUCAAGACACAUGACCGGAGAUGAAUCCAAGUUUGCUUUUCUUAAAAAGAAAAAUGGAGGAUAUGUUACCUUUGGAGACAAUGCAAAAGAAAGGAUGAUUGGUCAAGGCAACAUUGGUAAUGGCACAUCCUCUCUCAUUGAAAGUGUUUUAUUAGUAGAUGGUUUCAAACAUAACCUUUUAAGCAUUAGUCAAUUUUGCGACAAAGGUUUUUAAGUGAUUUUUUAAGCAUCUCAUUGCAUCAUCAAGGAUAUUCAAAAUGAUAAAACCAUUUUCAUGGGCCAUAGAUGUGAUAAUGUUUAUGCUAUAAAUAUUUCAAAAUAUGAUGGCCAUGAUAGAUGUUUUUCAAGCAUGCAUGAUCAAAGUUGGUUGUGCCAUAGGAGAUUGAGACAUGCUAACAUAGACCUCAUUUCCCAACUCAACAAAGAUGAACUUGUUAGAGGCCUUCCCAAAAUAAUUUUUUAAAAAGAUAAAGUUUGUGAAGCUUGUCAAGUGGGAAAGUAAAUCAAAAACUCUUUUAAAAACAAAAACUUCAUUUCCACAUCUAGGCCACUUGAGUUGUUGCAUAUGGAUUUAUUUGGUCCCUCUAGGACACCAAGUCUUAGAGGAAAUUCUUAUGCAUAUGCUAUUGUGGACGACUUCUCUAGAUACACAUGAGUCUUGUUUUUUAGUCAAAAGAAUAAAGUUUUUUAUGAGUUUUCAAAGUUUUGCAAUAAGAUUCAAAAUGAAAAAGGUUUUUCAAUUACUUAUAUAAGAAGUGAUCAUGGGAGAGAAUUCGAAAAUAUUGAUUUUGAAGAGUAUUGCAAUGAGCAUGGAAUUGACCACAAUUUUUUGGCUCUUAGAACUCCUCAACAAAAUGGGGUAGUUGAAAGGAAAAAUAGAACUCUUCAAAAAAUGACAAGAACCAUACUAAAUGAAAACAACUUACCAAAAUAUUUUUAGGCCAAAACGGUUAACACUUCUUGUUAUGUUUUAAAUAGAGUAUUAUUGAGGCUCAUACUUAAGAAAACUCCCUAUGAGCUUUGGAAAAACAAAAAACCCAACAUUAGUUAUUCCAAAGUCUUUGGAUGCAAUAUUUUAUAAUAAACACCAAAGACAAUCUUGGAAAAUUUGAUGCAAAAUUGGAUGUUGGAAUUUUCCUUGGUUACUCAACUUCAAGUAAAGCUUUUCGAGUUUUAACAAAAGAACCAUGGUUGUAGAGGAGUCCAUCCAUGUUAUUUUUUAUGAAUCUCCAAGAAAGAGAGAGGAUUGAUGAUGAUUUAGGUUUGAAGACCUCUAUAGGAAGAUUGCAAAUCGAAGAUAGAAGACAACAAGAAGAAAAUGGAGAGAAUCCAAAGAAAGAAGGAUCACCAUUGGCACUACCCCCUCAUCAACAAGCGCAAGGUGAAUCAAGUCAAGAGCUUCCUAAAGAAUGGAAGUUUGUCAUCAAUCACCCACAAGAUCAAAUUAUAGGCAAUCCAUCUAGUGGGGUAAGAACUAGAUCCUCUCUUAGAAAUAUUUGCAAUAAUCUAGCUUUUAUCUCUCAAAUUGAGCCUAAAAAUAUAAAUGAUGUUUUAGAUGAUGAAAAUUGGAUAAUUGCAAUGCAAGAAGAGUUAAAUCCAUUUGAAAGAAGUGGAGUAUGGGAAUUAGUACCAAGACCUUCAAAUCAAAGUGUUAUUGGAACUAGAUGGAUCUUUAGAAAUAAAAUGGAUGAAAAUAGCAUAAUUGUUAGAAAUAAAGCAAGAUUGGUAGCCCAAGGUUUUAAUCAAGAAGAAAUGAUAGAUUAUGAAGAAACCUUUGCCCCCGUAGCUAGGUUGGAAGCCAUUAGGAUGCUACUUGCCUUUGCAUGUUUUAAAGACUUUGUUUUAUAUCAAAUGGAUGUGAAAAGUGCUUUUUUAAAUGGUUUUAUAAAUGAAGAAGUAUAUGUUGAACAACCACCCGGUUUUCAAAGUUUCAACUUUCCUAACCAUGUUUUUAAACUUAAAAAGACACUUUAUGGUUUGAAACAAGCACCUAGAUCAUGGUAUGAAAAAUUGAGUAAAUUUCUUUUGAAAAAAAUGUUUUAAAAUGGGAAAAAUUGACACAACUCUUUUUAUAAAAACCAAAGAAAAUGAUAUGCUCUUAGUUCAAAUAUAUAUUGAUGAUAUCAUUUUUGGUGCUACUAAUGUCUCUCUUUAUGAAGAAUUUUCUAAGUGCAUGCAUAGUGAGUUUGAAAUGAGCAUGAUAGGAGAACUCAACUUCUUCCUUGGACUUCAAAUCAAGCAACUAAAGGAAUGAACCUUCAUCAAUCAAGCAAAGUAUAUAAGAGAUCUUCUCAAAAGGUUCAACAUGGAAGAAGCCAAAACAAUGAAGACUCUAAUGAGCUCAUCCAUUAAGCUUGAUAAGGAUGAGAAAGGUAAAUCCAUUGACUCUAUUAUGUAUAGAGGCAUGAUAGGUUCUUUGCUCUAUUUGACCACUAGUAGACCUUACAUUAUGUAUAGUGUGUGUUUGUGUACUAGAUUUCAAUCUUGUCUUAAAAAAUCUCACUUAAGUGUCGUGAAAAGAAUCCUCAAAUAUUUGAAAGGGACAAUGGACAUAGGCUUAUGGUAUCCUAAGAGUGAUAACUUUGAAUUAAUUGGUUUUUUGGAUGCUGAUUUUGUCAGUUGUAGGGUUGAAAAAUAAAACACUAGUGGCACUUUUCAUUUCUUAAGACACUUACUUGUCUCAUGGCAUAAUAAGAAGCAAAAUUUGGUAGCUUUGUCAACAGCAGAAGCUAAAUACAUAGCAACUGGUUUAUGUUGUGCACAAAUCCUUUGGAUGAAAUAAACACUUAGUGAUUUUGAUUUAUCUUUUGAGCAUAUUCCUAUUAAAUGUGAUAAUAGUAGUGCCAUAAGUAUAUCAAAAAAUCUCGUGCAACACUCUAGGACUAAGCAUAUAGAGAUUAGACAUAAUUUUCUUAGAUAUCAUACACAAAAGGAUGAUAUAACACUUGAAUUUGUAAGCAUAAAAGACCAACUUGCCGAUAUCUUUACAAAACCUCUAAGAACAUUUUGUUGAUAUUAGAGGACAAUUAGGAGUGAUUUCUUUAUGAUCUAAUGUGAUGAAUUCUUGAUGAAUAUACUUUUUGAUUGCAUGAAUUUCAUGUCAUAUAUGCAUCAUAUAGAAAUAUACUUAGAUAAUGGUCAAAUUUCGACCAAAAAUCAAAAUUCCCAUGGCAUUAGGCAUAAAAAUUUUGGAAUUUCAACUGAAAAUGGUAGGAGGAGGAUCACAAAAUGAGAAAGUAUGCAAAAAUUGAAAAAUCAAAACGUUGACCAAGCGGUCAAUCGGACUAGACCGAUCGACUAGUUUGUCGAGAUUUAGGAUUUUUAAGAGACUCCAACGCUUCAAUUUUUGCACCGUUCUCCUCUAUUUCUUCACGGUUUCUCUGAUUUUGUCUUUUAGAGACUAAUUUGAGUGCGUUUUGGAUCAAUUGAAGCAUUUUGGAUUGGAUUUUAGGAAGAUUGAAAGUUAAGGUUUCGGAUUUGGGUCGCCUUCUCUUCCUCUCGCGUGUCACAAUCAGCUUUAGCAUUGUUCUCUUUCCAUUUUCACACACCUAGGGUUUCAGUUGUGAGCAUCUCUCUCUCUUUACCAACCACUACUCCCUUGCUUCUUCCAUAUGGCUCCUAGGCGAGAGUCCGCUACUUCUAGGGCACAAGGCAAGCACCCAACUGAGUCGUCUCAGUCAAAGGCACGUCGAAAAGUGAGAUUUGACAUUGCCUUGUUCAGUUCCAUGGAGGACUACCAACUAUACAAGCAACACUUUGCUUAGAGACGAGUAGUUCCCAAGAGAAAUAUUAAUUUUCCUCAACUUCAGCAUUUCGAAUUUAAGGGUCUAUUUACUAGGAUGGUUGGUUGUCUAUUGUCACAAUUUCGGAGCCGGUUUUCCUGACCUUAGUGCGAGUUUUUUACUCGAGGGCGACUUAUGGCAUGGGUGGCAUGAUCAUUUCUACUGUUGGAGGAGUUGAGAUCUGUCUGGACCCAGAGAGCAUCUGCCAUAUUUUCGAUAUUGCUCUGGUUGGACUCAAAGUAUACAAGUCCAAAAUGUGGCCCAUUGUGCCAGGAUUUGAGCUUAGAGAGGUCAUUCAGAGGAUUUGUGAACUUCCAGACGCCCAGGAGAUGGGCAAACCAUUGCCACACAGUUUGACGGUCAUCAACAGGGUGCUACACCAUAUAUUGUGCUCUAUCUUUCUACCACGAAGUGGACAUUGAGAUGAGGUCUCUUAUUAUGAGGCAUUCCUUAUUGACUCCAUUCUAACGGAGAGACGAAUUCAUCUACUAUGUCAUCAUUCACUAAGCCUCCUCACAGUGACAUACCACCUCAUCAGGCACCUCUUGCUCCUGACCAUGCUCCAUUGAUGGAUUUAUUUACUCAUAUUAGCUCUCUAGGCACUCGCAUGAAGGAGUUUGUUGUAGUUAGUGAUACAUGGUUCUACUCCAUAGAGGAUCGCAUGGAUCAGUAUCAGACUGGCUUCACGUCACAGUUUGAGUAUCUCCAAUAGAGGAUUGAGCAUAUUGAGGAUCACUUGAGCAUGAGAAGAUGAUGGCUUUUCUAUGCUCUGUGUUUCCACCUCCACCUCGUCAACCUUGAUUUCUUAGAGACCCAUUGUUUUCAUUUUGUAAUGUUGCCAAAAGGGGGAGAUAUUUAGGAUCUAGGACUCUAUAGGAGACUUACAUGCAUAUCAUUUUCAUAUCAUUGUUUGGAUCGUACAUAUUGGAUAGUGAUACUUUUUACUUAUAUAUGAUAUGCCUAUAUGUUUCAUGUCUUACAUUGUUUCUUAUUGCAAAUUAUCUCUAACAUGUCUUGAUUAUCUUUUUUUUAACUUCAUAAAUUUUGAUUGUUAACCCAUGAUUGGUUUGAGGGGAAGAUUCUUCUUCUCCUAGAUAACCAAGGUUUGUCAUCAUAAAAAAAUUGGAGAUUGUUAGCCCAAGGGUUCUCCUAAUCAUGUUUUGAUGAUAACAAACCAUGCUUAAGUUACUAAUUGGUUUGAAUUAUAAAGAAUUUCAAGUGUUAAUUUGAAAAUUCAUCAAAGAACCUAAUGGAUGCAAGAUCAAGAUUUUUGGAAGACCUUUAAUCAUAAGAAACAUAUGUAAGAUGAAUGCAUGGGUGCACUUAAGAUUUGCAUAUCAUUUCAUGCAUAUUUGGAAAACACGGUUUAUGCUUUAAAGUUACAUUUCCAUCAAAAUUUGAGAUCCAUCAAAUGAACCUUAGGAAAAAUGUUUUAAAAUUGGCAUAUAAUUUUACCUAAAGACCUUGCCUAAGUGUUAGAAGCAAAAGGACAAAAAAAAUAUAGGUUUUCUGGUCAAAAAUGGUGAACCAGUCAAGGCAUUGUCUAAAUCAGCUCAAUCGGCCAAGGUACCGGUCGAUCGGUUUCCCUUUCCCUGUCGAGAUCUAGUCAAGAGGUACAAAAAUCACAAUCUCUGUCUCUUUCUCUCUUUGUCUAUCUUCCAGUAGUCUUUCCUUCCCGGUCGAGGGAUUUGCCUUCCCGAUUGAGGUCCGAUUGAGAGUAAUAGUCACUUGCCAAAUAUUAAAUGCUCCAACAGUUAGUGAACUGGUCGACCCCCACCUUGCCCAGUUGAGGUUACUUUUUGGUUUUCUUGGCUCCCGAUGUUAGAAACCUAUAAAUAGAGAGUUCCACUUCAUUUAUGAGCAAGAGAACACUUGCAUUUAUUUGUUUACCUACUUGUUCUUGCCUUAAAAGCUCUCAUUUCUUUUCUUGGUGCAUUAAAUCUCCAUUUUGAUAUCCUUUAGUGCACCUUUGUGAUUCAUCUUAGCCUUGAGUUGUAUUUGAGCCCUUUUUUUAGCUAGGUUGAGAGUUUCAUACUUGUUAAUUGAGUGUUAAAGCCUUCAAGUGAGUUGAAACUUGUAGAGAUUAUGUGAGAGUCGAUUGGAGCCGAAAUCCAAGUGUAAAGGUGAUUAGAAGCUUGGUUGAAGCUUCAAGUUAGUGGAAUCCUCACUCAAUUAGGAGCUUGAGGAGAGUGGACGUAGCCAAGGAAGUGUCGAACCACUAUAAAAUUUGAGUUUGAUUUCUCUAACAUUGUCUCUUUAUAUUUGUUUAUCUUGUGCUUAAAUUUAUUGUGUUUAAAAAGAAUUUUUAAAUACCCAAUUCACCCCCCUCUUGGGUGUUUUUCUCUUUUAAAAUUAGCCUUUAUUUUCUCACAAACUAUUGUAGUAUAGUGGUUUUUAGGUGUCAUCCAUUAGGAUGAAUUGUUCUCGGUAAUUAAGGCGUGAAUGAGAGGAGAAUUAAUGAUUGUGAUUAAGUAAAAUUGAUUUGAAAAUUCAUGGUGAAAAAUCAAUUUAACAAUGGUUUCUAAUUGAGAAAAACAAUGAAAUGUGAAAUAAAAUAAAAUUAAUAGGAAAUGAAAUUCUCGAAGUUAGAAUUUUCUAAAAAACAAAUUCCAUGGUGAAUGGAUGUUGAGAUCUAAUUUUCAUCAAGUUAGAUUGAAAACCGAAAUUUUCAUAUAAACUGAUUUUUUAUUUAGUUUUAGGUCUAGAUUUAAUUUCCCUUAAAAUUAGGUUAUUUAAUCCAAGAAAUCAAUUCAAAUCAUAUAUUCAAUUCAUCUUAAAUUAUCUUCCAAUUAUUCACACAAUGCAACUAUUCAAUCUCAUCAAAUCUAGCUUUUAAGAAUUUAAUGAAUCUACCUAGUUUGCAUUGUAAUAGUCAUCCAUGACAAUUUGAAGAGAAAAAUAAUUCAAUUAAUCAAUCACUUGGAUCAAAUUACCUUUGCAAUUAAAGUUCAUUUCUCUAAUUCACCACAGAUUUUGUCUCUAGAUCCUCCUUUCUCAAAGAAAAAUGAGAUUUAGCCACACAUGAUUGGAGAUUUGGUCUCAUAAGGCAUGUUUAGCUAGUGAUAAAAUGAGAGAAAAUAAAGAAAAAUAGAGAAUUCGAUUAAGAAAGAAAAUCUAAAAAAUUCUACAAUUAGAAAUGUCCAAAAAGCUUUUUCAUGAGAAAAUCAAGUUUCUAUUUAUAGGCCAAGGUCAAGUGGACACUUGACAUCAUCUAAGAGGUCUUCCGGAAGCUUCUUCAUCAAGAAAUCUGGAGUUUAAUAAUAAAAUGGUCAUUUCACAAGAGCUCAAACAAUUUCGCAUGAUUAUGUGAAAUAAAAAAUGCAACAACAGCAAUUUACAUCUUCUUGGAGCAUUUCGCAUGACUGUGUGAAAUUUUCACAUGAUCAUGUGGAAUCGACUUGACAACUCUCAUUUAGCCUACAACAUAAUUCCACCUUUUGGUCCAUUUUUCAUAGUCAUGCGAAAUGGAAAUAUUUGAUUUUUAAGUUUUCUUUUGUCAUUUCUUUCAUUUCCUUCUCUUGAUUCCACUUCAACUACCUCCGAAUCCUGGUCCAAACCAAUUGCAUUACUUCUUUCAUUAUGCAUUUGGAUCAUCAUCAACAUUAUUUGUUCUCUUCAAUUUGAUUCAUCUCUUUUGUCACCAAUUUAUCAAAAUCAUACCUUGAAAUGACUCCAAAACUUCAUAAAACUUGUUAGUAACUCUUGCAAGGGCAACAACAUAUUAAUUAAGUGUUUUAGGCAUAGUUACUACUCAAAAGAUGCGAAACUCAUGAUAAUUAUUAUAUAAAAUAUGCUCUUUUUGAGUAGUAAUCAACUUUCUUGCAUAAGCAGACCUUUUAGGGUGGAGUACUAAAGACCAAUAUGCUUGUCCUUGUUGUAAUAAAGAAACUUGCUCUUAUUGAUUGCACCAUGGGAGAAAAUUUUGCUACAUGAGUUAUCAUCAAUUUCUUCCCACCAAUCAUAGAUUUAGACGUGACAAGAGGCCUCUUAAUGGCAAGGAGGAACUGACACUCACACUUAUACAAUUAUCGGGCAUUGAUGUGUUGCAACAAUUAGAAUAACUUACACCAAUUAUGUUGGGGAAGUCACAAAAGGCAAACAUGAAAACUAAAAGGAAAAAAGAAAAAUGUUACAUAUCACCACAACUGGAAAGAAAAAAGUAUUUACUUUCAUUUGCCAUAUUGGAAAGCACUUAUUUUACAUCAUAAUAAUUUAGACAUAAUGCAUAUUGAGAAAAAUGUGUGACAAUAUAAUUGAGACAUUGUUCAGUAUUGACGAAGAAACAAGGACAACCUAAAUAGUCAUCUCGAUUUACAAGCUCUAACUAUUAGAAAUGAGAUUCACCCAAUAGAAAGCAGGACCAAAUUUAUUUUGCUUGCAACAUGCUACUCACUCACCCCAAAUGAGAUUAAGGAAUUUUGCAAGUUUUUGAAAUCAAUAAAGGUCCCCAAUGGCUAUUCUUUCAAUAUCUCUCGUUAUGUGCAACUCAAUGAAAGGAAGAUAUAUGAGCUCAAAUUGUAUGAUUGUCAUGUCCUAAUGCAACAACUUCUCUCACUUGUAGUUCGUGGAGUUCUACAUAAGAAUGUUUGUGGAGUUAUCAUAGAAUUGCGUAAUUUUUUCAAGCAAUUGUGCUCAAAGGUGUUAGAAACAAAUCACUUACACCAACUUGAGAACAAUAUUAUUGUCAUACUAUGUAAAAUGGAGCAAAUAUUUCUUCCAUCAUUCUUUGAUAUUAUGGUGCAUUUACUUGUGCAUCUAGUAAGGCAAAGGUUGCAAGACUUGUGCAAUAUUGUUGGAUGUACCUAAUUGAACGAUAUUGUUAUAAUUUCAUAUGAAUCAUUUAAUUUUAUUUUAUAUUAUGUUCAGUUCAUUAACAUGUACAUUGGUCUACAUAUGGAUGAUGAUAGGUACCUAAGCACUUUAAAGUCAUAUGUGCGUAAUAGAACUUUUCUAGAAGGUUCUAUUGUAGAAAGGUACCUUGCAAAAGAAUGUACAACAUUUUAUUCUAGGUACUUGAAUGAUGUGGAAAUAAAGUAUAAUCACAAUGAUAGAAACUUUGUUGGUUUCAACACUAGAGGAGAUGAAAGGGGUUAUCUUUAAACAUAUUGGACAUGCAUUGGGAAAGCCCAUAUUUCAUUAACUUAGUUCAAAAGAGUGGUCACAAGCACAUUUAUAUGUGUUGACAAAUUGCGAAGAUGUCAUACCAUUCAUUGAGUAAAAAAUUUAUUUGAAUUUUAAUUAAAGCUCUAGUUUAUAUCCUUAAUCAAUGUUUUUUAAAUUCACAAGGAGCACAAGCAAACCAUCAAGGCUAGACCACAUAUACGUGUUUGAGACGUAGAUUUAAUUCAUAACAAGGAAUUUAUCAAGUGGUUUGAAAGACAUGUAAGUAUAUUCCUUAUUAUAAGGGAUUUAUUUCACAUUAUGUUUAUAUUGAAUCCAAACCUAUUAUUGAAUUGUAGGUUGAACAAUUACAUAAUGAAGGUCAUAUAUCUGAACACCUUCUCACAUUAUCAUGUGUUCCAAAUUCAUUAGUUACAUGCUUCAAAUGAUAUAUUGUCAAUGGAUUUAGAUCCCACAUUAAAGAACGUGAUAAAAAAGUUUUUAAAAAAAGACUCAGAAUAAUGGAAUUGUUGUAGUUGCAAAAACGUCAAGCUUUACAAGUGCAUGUGAUAUGAGUCCAAUUAUUAGUGAUGCUCUCUACUAUGGUGUUCUAACUAAAGUUGUUGAGUUACAUUAUCUUGGUGAAAAUAAGGUUGUUUUAUUCGAGUUUGAUUGGUGGGAUGUUACAAAUAUUGGAAAAUUGAUAAAAGAUGAUGAGUACAAUUACACAUUUGUUAACUUUGCAUGAAUUCUAACCACGAACGAACGAUUUGUACUUGCAUCUCCAGCAAAGUAAGUGUUCUAUGUGAAGAAUGCGAAUGAAUCAGAUUGGCAUACUAUCAUGGAGAUGCAACCUCAAGACCUCUAUAAGAUGAACGGGAUAGGAUCCAAUGGUGAUUUUGAACCAUUUCAACAAAGUGAACUACAUGAUCACUAAUAUAUCUCAGAUUUAGUUGAUGAAGAUAUAAUCAAGUGGAACAAAAGUGAUGUUUUAGGACUAAUCAUCCUAAAAAAUAUUGUAGUUUCUUAAAAAAAAAAUGAAAAUGAAGAAGAUAAUUGAACCUUUGUCAUACUUUAAAAAGCAACUAUGCAUUGUUCAUUUUGUAUGUUUUGGUUUUCUUCAUUUAAUUUCCUGAUUUUUGUGAUUCAAUGUCAUAUUAUUGAUCUUGAAAUAUUUUUCUAAUUUUUCAUUCUACGAUGGUUUCAACAAGGAUGACAUCAAGUCAAAAAAGGAAAUGUGGUCCCACACACAAUAUUGCAUUACAGGGAUUAAGGUCAGGGAAGAAGGUAAAAGUUGCAUUUAAUGAGUACAAUCAAUUGGUUAAACAGAAAAAUGGAAAACACUUAUCGAGCUACAUAGGGACACUUGUAUCUAACCAACACAAUGUACCUCUCCAAGCUAGUGAUUGGAAAAAUGUUCCAAAUGAUGCAAAAGAGAAAGUAUGGCCUUUGUUUUGGUAUGUUGUAUUUCUCACUAUAUGAUGUCAUUUCACUGUUAUUCUAUUUUGUGACUAACGUUUGAAUCAUAUGUAAGAAAAAUUUGAAGUAGAUAAAGACUGAAAAGAUUACAUGUUGGGUAUAGCCUCAAAUAAAUAUAGAAGCUAUAAAAAUAUGAUGAAUGCAAAAUACUAUGACCCUUGGCAUAAGGAUGCAUGAGGAGAGGUUAAUACAUAAAUCACCAUUUGUCUCUGAUGUUGAUUGGAAGUGGCUUGUCUCUGAUGCAUAAACCAAAUCCCCCACUGAAUGUUUGAUAUUUGAUAGCAGGAAAAACACACCCGCAGCUAUACACCUCCAUCAUUCAGAUAAUUAUAGUGGGGGAGAUGAUUCAUGGUUGCCCUUAUACCCUUUAUUUGCACCAUCUAUUGAGAUUCUUUAUCAUGGCCAGGUUUUACUGCAGCAAUAAGAUAUGGUGGCAACAAUUUUAUCUAUAGGUGCGGUUCCAGACCGCCUCCAUAGGUGCGGUUCCUGACUGCCUCCAUAGGUGCCUCUUCUUGUAAUGUUUGUUCUGGGAAUUACACUUGAAAGCCUUAUCGUGAUAAGGGAUUACAAACACUAGUUCAGAGGACAGCCAUGUUAAACUUCCACUAUGUUUGUGUCACAUUAUCAGCAGCCUAGUGUUUAUUGGUCAUGCUAUCUGCAACUAAUAUAACCCGGUGAACUUCAAUCUAAAUUCUGAAAGUACUCAUGUGACAGAUGGUGCCUUUCAGCAGAUAUCAUCAAUUUAAAAGUAGUGUGUGUGCCUAUAGGUGGGAAGGCCUUGGCAAAUGUUCAGUAUUCCGGUAAUUCAAGAAGGAUAUAUCUAAAAUAGAUUUUCUUCUUGCCCAUUUCAAUAGUUAAAAUUUGAGAAGAUUGUGUCCACAUCACACAAAUAUUAUUGGUCCUUCUGUUGCAAUUUACCUCUGAACAUGUCUUCCAAUUCCCACGGUCCUGUUACUCCAGGAAAACUAUUUCGGUCAUAUUGAAAAAAAAAAUAUUAAAGAAGGUACACAUGCUUUUAAGUGGACUGGGGCAUUCAUAUCAGGUGGUCUGUAUCCACAUAUGCCACUUCGUGAAAGGUGGAACAGCCUAAUCACUAGGCUAUUUAGUGUGGCCCAGCCACGUUAAUCAAGCACAAGUCUUCAUACUUAAAGUCAAAUGGUGUCUUUAGUCUCAUUACACAUCGCUAUUUGAAGAUUAACUCAUCACUAGUGUAAUGCGAUUAAGACAGUCCUAACUCAAUAUUUGUUCUAGUUUUGGAUGCAAAUGCUUGCUGGUUUCAUCAUUGGAUGGGAUAAAGGUGCAAUCAGGACUAUGAAUACGUGCAGUAAUACUUCAUUCUCUUUUUUCUCAAUGAGACUUCUUGGCACAAUUUUGCUGCUCAGCAACCUACCUUUCCAUGGAAAAUCAGUUGUGACUGAUAGUAAUGGAUAUAUUCUAGAAAGCUAAACAUAGAUAGCAUUCAAUAUUAUCGAUAUAACAUUAACAGCGUAUGUCUCAAUGCUCAUCAGCUACAAGCAAUGGACAAACACUUUGAGUAACUCACAGCAGUCAAAAUUCCUAAACAGGACAGACGUGACAGAUCUAUAUAUAGAACACUGCAUAUGAGUCACAGGAAAAGAUAAUACGGGUACAUAGAAGCUCUUAUUUUACAUAUUACUCAUACUGAUCAAAGUCGCUCAGUUGGGAUGGAUGGGAGAAGGAGGUUUGAGGGGUGGCUUGUGCGGGGAAGUUGGCAGCUUCUUUCCGGGAGCUGGUUGCUUCUUUGCUGGAGUUGAAGGAGGCUUAAUCUUCCGAGGUGGCUUGUAUGAGUCUUCAGCAUUCUCAGCAGGAGGGUGACCAGGGUUGUGACCAUAAUGUGGUGGCUUCUCUCCCUUAGGUGGUUUGCCAACUGGGGUUGGUGGCUUGUUUUCUGGGAGUGGCUUCUCUCCCUUGGGUGGUUUGCCAACUGGGGUUGGUGGCUUGUGUUCUGGGAGUGGCUUCUCCCCCUUGGGAGGUUUUUCGAAUGGGGUGGGUUUGUGUCCUGGUGGUGGCUUCUCUCCCUUGGGAGGUUUACCAAUUGGGGUCGGUGGCUUGUGUUCUGGGAGGGGCUUCUCUCCCUGGGGAGGUUUAGUGGGUGGCUUGUGUUCUGGAGGUGGCUUCUCCACCGGAGGCUUAUGCUCUGGUGGUGGCUUCUCGAAGGGGGGAUGCUCAGGGUAAUCACCAAGUGAGGGGGUGGUGAGAACCACCAUGCCAAGCAACAACACUAGCAAGUAUGUAGUAGACAUCUUUGGGUUUGGACUCAGACAGUGCAAAACUACGAGAAAUCGCUAGCCCUUUAUAGCGGCUCGGACCUAAUACUGACAUAAUAUAAAAUAAAUAUUAUAUUUUAUCAAGAGAGAACAGAGUGUAAUUUUAUCAUUAAUACCGAUCGAGGCCAAAGAAAGAAGACCCAUAAUCCAUUUCCCACAAGCAUACACAAUGCAGCUGUAAUUUUAUCAUUUACUUUUAUCCCUUGGACCACUGCAUUUUUGUUGAGAGACACAAUAACACAUUUUUAUCUGUCAUUCAACAUUUACAGUAAAGAGAGGGCACAAAACGCAAUUAGAUAAAUUAUGUUUUGCCUGCUAAAAAGAGGCAAAUAACUUUAUUUGCAACAUAAUUAUUUUGGUUUCUAGUGACCCCGGGGCCUUUCGGUUGGUUUGGGAUCGGAAAAUGAACAUCAUAGGGGGGGUUGUGCCCUUAUGGGCAUAUAUAUCUGAUAGCUUCAACUGGCCUUGUUCCUAGAAAGAAAUUGCCAAAGAUAUAAACUUAUUCCAGGCUGAAAGUAGAUGAGAGUCAUAAUGAACAUCAACCUUUGUUCAGUUUGAUUCAAUGCCCCCAUAGUGUUCAUUUCACAGAUCUGAAUGAUUAUAUCCGUUGAAUACAUAAAUUAAUGAAGACAAAUAUGAAACCCAAGAUACAUCUCUGCAUAACAACCCCAACCCUGGUUGCUAUGUUUCCCUUCUUCUAUUCACAUGAGGAUACUGGUUAUAAUUGUCAAACUUGCAACAAGCCCUUUGACACCUAACGUCAAUGGACGAAUUAAAAGUCUCCUUCAAACGUCUAUUUCACAGCAUGAAGCUUAUAAAGGAUGCUGACAACCUUCAGAGUUAGCGACAAAAGAUAAUUAUCAAGGAGAGAUAGUUCCAUGAGAAUUCCAAGGAGUCUGAAUCAAAGACAAAUUGCUCACUCAAGGGUUCUUAUUUUCUUUUAGGUACAAAUCUCUUGAGUGUUGUUAAAGAAACACGUCACUGUCAUUUUGAUUUGCAUUUAACAUUUCACUUUUGUUCUGGAAGGUUUGUUCCGGAAACAUAUCAAAUGAGCAUCAUUUUCUUCUUCGGUGACACAUGGUCGCGAGUACGUGGGUCCAUUUUCAUGCCACUUAGUUGAAAAGUUGGAAAGAAAAAACAUGCCAACAAGAAGAUAGUGAGAGAAGGGGCACUUCAAGCCUUUAACAUGAACAAACAGUAAAUAAAAGAUGUUUCUCCACUCAUAAAAGUGUGUUAGAUAGCAAUAUAACGAAUCACAUCCAAAAUCUUUACUAGGCUCAAACAUAAAGAAGACUCAUUUUUAAGAAAAGAUAAAAAUGGCAUUGUCUGAUAGUAUCCAAUACACGAGAUGGCACUUAAUUUGUACAAGAUCUGUCAAUGCUGACGCACAUUUUCUGAUUAAAAAAAAACUGAUCAGUCAAAAGCAAUGAAGAGAAGUGAUGACAAUGAAUGAUGCUUCCAAUAUUUUCACCCCUUAUAGUGUUCUUCAUGAUUCAGAUAUAUAAUUGGAAAUAGAACAACCCUAUGCCAUACAUUCGUCUAAGUAUGGUGUCUAAUUUUUUGUGUCAGCGGUUGCGAAUGGAGCGUGCAAAAGUCCAAAUUGGCGUCUCUCCAUUUCCACAUAGGAAGGUGACCUUUAUUGACAAAUACCCAAUAUUUGUAGACAUUCCUUAAAUAUCAUAACUUCUUGUUGAUUUGAAAAUCAUUUUUCAACUACCAUGUUUUAAUAAAUAUUUUUUAAAAUGUAUUUUUAUCAAAGUCCACCAUGAUGGAUAAUAUUCACCAUGCAAUAAUUAAUAAAGUACAAACUAAGCGAAAUGAAAAGCAUUUUCUUUGCUUUGAGUUGAUUUUGGUUGCAUUGAGUUGAUUUUGGUUUCAUGGUUUUUUCAACUCUUAUUUUGAUUGGAAGAUGUCAAGAAAAGAAAACAUAAAGAAAAAUUAAAAGGGAAAAAAGAAGAAAAAUAAAAAAAAAUAGAUUUAAAAGUUAAUAAAUUAUUUUUUAUAUUUAUUUUAAUUCAUUUCACUUAUUUUUCUUUUACUAUAUAAAAUUUAAAUAAUUUAAAUUUUAUAAUUAAUUUAAUUACAUUUCAUUUUCUUCUAUAUUUAAAUAUUGGAAAAAUAUUUUACUUAAUAUUUUUUUCUUUAAUUUCUUUGGCAUUUUGGGAACCAAACUUAGCCUUUAAAAUAAAAAACAAAAAAAAAAUGAAAAUAAGGAGGGAAAAGUGAGAAAAGAUAAAAACAAUAUGUAAAGGAUUUGAAAAGUAUUAGUUUGUAAUUACUAUUUGGAUUUCAAUAGUAUUUUAUUUGUCUUUCUAUAUUUCAUGUAAGAGAGAAUUUAAGAUAUUCCCCAAGGCAAAGCAUUAGUUACCUGCAAUCAGUGGUGAUAAGGCUCCAAGCCAAUUUUGGGCCCCAUAUCUUAAGACAGUACAAUUUCCAUUUCAACAUUUCUGAUUUCUCAGAUGUUUCACAUACCACAGAAGAACAUUGUUUGUGAAAAUAUGCAUUUAUGUUGGAUUUUGUAUGCUGUGGGGACUGGGGCAAGGAUCAUAUGGAAGAGUGGUUGACUUUUUCUGUACUUUAACGGUUGAAAUAGGAUAAGCACGGGCAUUUGUGAGGCUUAAUUGAUUUUGAAGCCUGAAAUUGCGUUUCUGUCAUUUUGUCAAAAAAAUGGCAGAUUCCAUACUCAUAUGUUUGGCCUGUGGCCAUGUACAGAUGCCAUUUAGUGACCAGUUUGUAACUGUCAAUCGUUGCGUUUUGACUCUGCCUCAACAACAUCUGCCAUUGACGGGUUUUCAUACUUGCAAAUCAAAUAGUCUUUCGUCCCAUCAGGAAUUUCGGUUUAAAUAUUAUUAAGCAUACGUUUGGCUGACAAUCAUUAUCCAGUUCAUGAUUUGGUUUCUUACCCUUAAUCAAUGGUUUCUAAGUGAAUAUAUGUAGAAGGAAAUCCGAAGUGUAGACAGUAGUAUCGAUAACUCUCAAUAUUCUCUAUAUAAUAGAAUAAACAGCGUCAUAGUGAUCGUCGCCUACAAGCAAGGUACAAAUACCAAAACGAGUGACUCACAUAGACAUCUCCCAACAAGAUGUAGUAGUGACUGACACAUGGACACAAUUAACUCGUAGAAAAGGAUAAGACCAUUGCACAGCAGCUCUUAUUUUACAUACUACUUAUGCUAACCAAAGUCAAUUAGUUGGGAUGGGUGGGAGAUGGAGGUUUGUGCGGUGGCUUGUGGGGCGGAGUUGAUGGCUUCUUUCCAGGAGCUUCUGGCUUUUUCAUCGGAGCUGAAGGAGGCUCAAUCUUAUGAGGCGGCUUGUAUGAGUCUUCUUUACUCUCGACAGGAGGGUGGCCAGGGUUGUGAUCAUAAUGUGGUGGCUUCUCUCCCUUAGGUGGCUUGCCAACUGGGGUUGGUGGCUUGUGUUCAGGAAGUGGUUUCUCUCCCAUGGGAGGUUUAGCAAUUGGGGUUGGUGGCUUGUGUUCUGGGAGUGGCUUCUCUCCCUUGGGAGGUUUAGUAGGUGACUUGUGUUCUGGAGGUGGCUUCUCCACCGGAGGCUUGUGCUCCGGUGGUGGCUUCUUGGUUGGAGGGGGCUUGGGGUAAUCAGCAAGAGAUGGGGUGGUGAGAACCACCAGUCCAAGGAACAACACUAGCAAGUAUGUGGGAGACAUUUUUGAGUUUGGGCUGAUCAGAUGAUGCAAAACUAAAGCAUUACGUGACCUUUUAUAGCAUGUAGCUCCCAAUACCCACUAAGUAUUGUGGGGUCCAUUUGUGCCCUACGGGGUUGAAAACUUAGACAAUUGGGCAAGGACCCACCUGACUAUGGAGGACUAGUGAGGUGUGAUCAUAGCUUUAGGAUUUUUCUUCCUCUGCAGCCGUCGUGCCGUUGGCAUGAUUUUCUUAAUCUUAAAUAAAGGCAUAGUUAUAGAGUUGUUUAAUCUCUAAAUGGGAUUUUAUAUAUAUCUUCAGAUAGCCAUUAAUAUAUUUGAUGAAGAAAGAAAGACAAGUGCAUACAACAUGUAUACGACUAGCUUUCAUGGAGUUCAUUUAUGAUCAGUUUUCCUGUACAUGUAAACCAGGAUCAUAUAUAUGUUUCUGUUCCACAACUAUUUUGGAAUCUUGUUUAUCAGUUUUUAUCAUUAUAAUGUCACAUAGGCUGCCAACUUGGGCGCUAAAAGAACCAGUUGGGCUAGUUCGUUUCAGAAUUUCAAUGUGGAUUCAGGAAUUGUUUUGUAAGAUAUGCGAAAUAGUAGAGGGAUGAAUAGUGUUUCAUUAAUAAAAGUGUCCUGUAAAUUAGAAGGUGUCAUAGAAACUAUAAUCAAUAAAUAACUUUUUUUCCCCACGGGUGGUGUUUCUUGUGGGGAUCAGUGACUGGUUUAGGUUCACCCAAAAUGAGUUCAGACUAAAAUUGGUUUGAGUCAAUGCCGUGUCUCUUUUUUCCAGAAAUCAACUAUUUUAUGCAUUGAAUAAAUCAUACAAAGAAAAUAUGAACGCCCGCAAAACCUAAACCCUGGUUGCUAACUUUCUAUGUUUCAGUUCUAUUCACGCAAGAAUAUUAGUUUAAGUUUGGGAAAAAUGGCAACUUACCUAGUGAUUACUUGGUUUUGGUUUGCGACUAUUUACGCAACCAACCAUGAGUUUGACUUUAACGUCAUGGGUUGAAGCCUCCUACAGGAAGGGAGAAAGCUCCACAGCUAGCUCCAAAAGAGAAUUAUCACAUUGAUAGCUCCAGAGAUUCCCAAGGGGACUGAAUCAAAGACAAGUUCCUCACUUUUUCUUCUUUUGAGGCCAAAUAUGAACCAAGGAUCACACAACCUCAUUCAACUUCAUAAGUUUGAUUUCAUGCAGUUGAACACUGGGUGAAGGCCAUGACAAGAAUUGAUUCAAAAAUUCUAUCACUCUUUUAAGUAAUGGAAGAUUAUUAUCUCUGAUUGGCAUCACAACAGCACAUGCUCCUAGAUCUUUCUAGACACUCCAUGCAAUGAAAGCACAAUGGAUCUUGUAACGAUAGAAACUAAGCCAUGCUACAGUACUAGAUGAUGAGGUAAAACUAGUAGACACGGGUGGCAGCCUAUAUGGGAGGGACACAAGUCUAAUUGAUUUGCAUUUCAGCAUUAUAGAUAGGUAUGUUUUGGAAGAUUUGUUCUGGAAAUACCGCACCAAGUAGGAUUCUUUUUCUCUUUAGUGGGUCCACUUGCAUGCCAAUUAACGAGUUGAAAAGUAUGAGCACCUACCUCGUGCUCGUGGAACCGAAGGUCAGUGAAGUGGGGCUCCUUUUGGCCUCGUGUAAACUUGAUUCAGAAGUGAAGUUAAUAGUCUUCCAUUCAGAUGGAUACAUGGGAAUUUUUCUCUUUUAUUUAUUUAUUUAUUUUUUUUUUGUGUGUGUAUGUCAAAGGAUAAUGAAUGAAGCGCGUUAGCUUGUUUUCUGACUGGAACCGCAGAUGUCCAAAUUGGAGUUCCUUCAUUUCUUACUUAGGAUUGUUACAUGUAUAAACAAGGUAUAAGAAAUAUGCCAACGUGUCUUGAGGAGUUAUUGAUUAGAAAUAACAAGUCACCCGACUGUAGAGUUCCAAGAUUUGAAUCUUCAGACCCUAUAGCAGCCUCUGGGGUACGUGGCAUCCUAUAGCAUAUUAAUGAAGGCUUUUUCGAUUUAGACUUCACAAUACCAAUUAAUAUGUAUGCACAAAAUGGAGAUGACCCCAAAAAAAACAGAAUCGCCAUAGUUUAUGAGGUUAAGGUGAUUCUCCACUUAAUAUCUACAUUAGCUAAUUAUGUAAAUCAAAUGAACUUCUAUUUUUCCUUUUUUUUUUUGGUUUAUGUCAAAUAGUAGCCCAUAAUUAACCCAACCAUUAGCCUGUUUGAAUUGAUUUCACAUGCACAAUGUUGUAGUAGUUCAUAUUUUGAAUUUUAUUUUUACAAAGGUAGUUAAGGAAAAUGAAGUAUAAUAAUUAUAAAAGCAGACUAUAUACACUACAAUAAUUGUUAGAAUGGUAUCUCAAAUUCUAAUUUAAAAUAUUAUUUUUUGUAAAAGAAAUAUUAUAUAGAAUAUUUCCUAAUUUUAUAAAUGAUUAUAAUUAGAUCUUUAUAAAAUAAGGAAAGUUGGUAAGAAUAUCUUUAUAAAUAUUUUAGGUCAUGAGAGAAAGAAAUGGGAUAAAAAUGUGAUGAAGAGGUGAAAUAAGAGAGUUGAUUAGGAUAUAGAUGUGAAGAAGAAAGGGAUUCAAUAUAUAUAUAUCUUUCAAUUACCACAUUAAAACCCUGUGAACCUUUUAUAUGGUUUACUUUAUUUUUAUAUUCCUCCUUUAAUAUAUUUACAUUAAUGCUUCCAUUGGCACAACAAUAACGAAUUACAAAUACAAGCAACAAGUCCCAUGUUUUAUUACCAAAAGCAGGUAAAAUCCACCUAAUAUAUUACAAUAUAUUCAUCCAAUAUUUUAGACCAAUUCUUCACCAUAAAUAUCAUAAUGUGGCUUUUGUUCUUUCUUAAAUUUAAAUUGAAUUGUCUUAUAUCAAUUUGUUUGUGAUUUUUUCAUUAACUUCACUUUCAUUUGGUUAUCUUUGGUUUUUGAAAAGUAUUAAGGAAUUAAUUAACAAAAUAAUGUUAAGAAAAAUAAUUUUCUCUCUUUUGAUUUUGAUUUUGUAGUAGAAAAAUAUAAUUAAAAUUAUUUAAAAAGUAUGUAAUUUUAAAUUAUUUAAUAUUUAGAUAAAAAAAAUAAGUCUAAUGAGUUUAAAAUAACAUAUAAAAAUAAUUUAUUUAUUUUAAAUUUAUUUUUUAUUUUCCAUUAUGUUCUCUUUCUCUUUUACUUUUUCAUAUUUUUUCUUACGAAGAAUCAAACACAACCUCAUAUUAUAUGUCAAGUGUUUGUCUAUAUUUGAGCAAUGUUAGAUACGGCCAUGGAUUCAUCAAACUAAACUGAUUUUAAUAGAUACUUCACAAAUUGAUUUAUACACUAAAUCAUUGGAUAGCAAUGAUGCAUUGGAAUUAAACGUAGGAUGAAGCUCGAAGAACACUGUUUGUGUAACAACAUAUUUAUGAAAUUAUGCAAAGGAUGAGCUUCGGGGUAGUAGUACAAGGUCAUUAAUGGAGAGCCGUGUUAAACCUUGAUUGUGAUUGGAUUCCGUUAUCAGCAACAGCAACCUUGUUUGUAACCUUGAAAGUCAUUCUGUCCACAUCGAAACUCCAAUUUGACGUUUGUAAUUACCAUUCCUGGAGUGUUCCUUGAUUGAAAUUUAAAUAAUAAUUGCGGCCCACAAGGAAUAUUUUCGAUUCUGUGGGAAUUUGACAAGGUUUGUUAGAGAAGACUGGUGACAUGUUGACUUCAAUGGUUCAAAUAGGAGACGUAUGUGGAUUUGGGGGGUUUAAUUGAAACUGAGUCCCUAUGGCUUUUUAAUAUUUGCAUUGAGCAGUCUCCAUGUGACUUCCUAAUUCCCACCAACCCUCCUGUCCAUGCUGUGAAACUAAAUUGUAAUUUAUCAGCCUUUGUCAAUGGUUUCUAAAUUAAAGAUAUAGACCAUGCAUGUACUUUAAUAAAAGCAAAUCUAAAGUGUAGAUAGCAGCAAUGGUGACACCCAAUAUUCUCCAUAAAAUAGAAUUAGAAUAAGCAGUGUUACAUUGUUCAUGAUCACCUACAAGCAUACAAGAACUUCCAUGAAUAACUCAUAGCAAUUGCCAACAGGGCGUCGUAGAGACUCAUACAUAGAACACUAUCCACCCAGAGGAAAGGACAAGACCAGUGCGCUGCAGCUCUUAUUUUUCACAUGUAUACCACCACUCGUAAUAACCAAAUUCACUCAGUUGGGAUAGGUGGGAGAUGGUGGUUUGUGGGGUGGCUUGUGGGGAGGAGUUGGAGGAGGCUUUAUUUUCUGAGGCGGCUUGUAUGAGUGUGCAGGAGGAUGCCCGGGAGUGUGACCAUAAUGUGGUGGCUUCUCUCCCGUAGGUGGUUUGCCAAAUGGGCUUGGUGGCUUCUCUCCCUUAGGAGGUUUACCAAUUGGGGUUGGUGGCUUGUGUUCUGGGAGUGGUUUCUCUCCCUUGGUAGGUUUGCCAAUUGGGGUUGGCGGCUUAUGUUCUGGGAGUGGCUUCUCUCCCUUGGGAGGUUUGCUAAUUGGGGUUGGCGGCUUAUGUUCUGGGGGCGGCUUCUCUCCCUUGGGAGGUUUGCCAAUUGGAGUUGGCGGCUUAUGUUCUGGGAGUGGCUUUUCUCCCUUGGGAGGCUUGCCAAUUGGGGUUGGCGGCUUAUGUUCUGGGGGUGGCUUCUCUCCUUUAGGAGGUUUGCCAAUUGGAGUCGGCGGCUUAUGUUCUGGAAGUGGCUUUUUUCCCUUGGGAGGUUUGCCAAUUGGGGUUGGCGGCUUAUGUUCUGGGGGUGGCUUCUCUCCCUUGGGAGGUUUGCCAAUUGGAGUCGGCGGCUUAUGUUCUGGGAGUGGCUUCUCUCCCUUGGGAGGUUUUGUUGGUGGCUUGUGUUCUGGAGAUGGCUUCUCCCCUGGAGGCUUGUGCUCCGGAGGUGGCUUCUGAAAUGGCGGGGGCUUGGGGUAAUGAGCAAGAGAUGGAGUACUGGUGAGAACCACCAUUCCAAGCAACAAUACUAGCAAGCAUGUGGGAGACAUCUUUGAGUAGUUGUAGCUAAGAUGGCGCAACACUGUAGGCAUUGGGUGGCCUUUUAUAAAGGGCUGGACCCAACAGCCAUAUGACACGUGUCAUGAUGACAAAUGAAGUUGAGGGGAUCCAGAUGGGUCCUACUGAGUCGAAAACUUGCACUAAUUGAUCUGGUGAGAUGACUAUUUCUGUCCUUUUGCCCUUCUCGGCCACCCUGUGCUGUUUUCCUUUUGCACGAUUUUCGUUGCCAAACAAGCAAAUAAUAUUUCGCCAAGAAAGAGGAGAGUGAAUGUGGAAUGCAUCAAGUCCCAUCAAGGAUGGCAGAGAAGAAAUAGAAGAUUGCCCAACUGUGAUAAACAUAGCAUACACGUAGCACCAGGAACUUCAUUUACUUCCAUCUAAUGGAACAUAACAAUCUUCUAAAGUUUUUGCAUGAUUUUGUUAUAUGUCUCUUAGCCUAAAGUUGGAAAUGCGCAACAAAUUUUGUCACUUCUCUAUUUCCCACUGAUGAUGUUAAUUAGCCUUCAUAGAUAUCAUCCUUUCUACAAAGUGCUUCAUUUGUGUGUUAUUGUAAAGUGUAAGAAAAGUAAUUGAACAUGUUCUUUUUCCUUUCAUAGAUGACUUUUGAUGUGCAUUUUAAAAGCAGCGCUGUGAGUCGGUGACCUUGAUUCACACGGAAACUAAGGCUCCUAUAGGACCCACUUUUAGCUGGUUAGGGGUGAAGAAAAUAUCAACUUUUCAGAGUGAUUUAAGUCAAGGCCAAGCCUCACUGUGUCAUUACUCGUGUGAAUUUUAUAUGCACAUACAUACAUAAAUAAAGUAUGAGACCCAAAUAACACCUUCCCUUUACAAACUUAACCCCAGCCGCUCUCUUUCAAUUCUUUUCACACAAGGGUAUUGACUCUAUAAAGGUCAAGAAAAUCAUAAUUUCCUAGGGUUUACAAGGUAAUUGGCUUAAUGCUAAUGUGAAAACAUAAAAGAUAAUAGUAUAUUGUAAGCUAACGAAUAUUCUAUAGUUAUAAUUAUUUGUGAUGUGCAUAAAUAAAUCUUCAUAUAUAUAAUGGAACAAUGAAUAAAGAACCAAUGAAAAAAUACUAUAUAUCAUUGCUUGGCAUUUAAACCGUAUAUGCUGCUCUUUCUAGCUACUCCAUCCACUGAAAGACAACAAGGUAAUCCAUGUUAUAAUGAUAGAAGAUACUGUCUCUAGGCUUUUUGUGAUGAAAAAUAUAAGAUAUGGGUAGGGUUGACCCUUGUAUGUUUGUCCUAUAAACACUUCAAAGUAACAUAUUUUUCUUCUUUAGCAACUCAUAAUGAUGGGGUUCAUUUGCAUGUCACUGAGUUGAAAAGUUGGACAAUUGCCCAUGUCGCCUUCCUCCUAGAUUCCGUAGUUCACGGGAAGGUAACUCAAGUUUGACAUAUUUUGAAUUCUUUUCACUCGGACGUCUUCAUAACCUGACAAAACAAAAAUGAAAAACAGAGGAUUGGUAUAUUAUUCAUGGUAAGCCUCAAAUUAUAGUAGUAUGAGAAAGGAGAAAAAGAUUUUGGGAACUCCAAUCUGGAUAAUUCUCGUUUCUUCUCUUGAAUAAAAAUUUCACUUACCUAACUUCGUUUGGAGAAAUGGCAUAUUUUAAUUUUGUACGUCAUUGCUAAUAAAUGGAGCAAUUUAGCAUGUUUUGUGACUGAAACUGCAAAUGUCCAAUUGGCAUUUCUUCAUUUCCCACUUAGGAUCUGAUCUUGUAGACCAUAUAACGAUAUGUAUCUGUGCAAGCAUUGAAAACUAAUGUGAACUAUGAGGAGUUACAAGCCACUGGACUGUAGAGCGAGUGCCAAGAUUUAAAUCUUCAGGCUCUAUCUGGGUAAGGGGAGGAUAGCGACCUAACCUUUUACCAAAGGCUUAGAAUUUAGACUUUUGGAAAAAAAUUUCUCAUGUUUUGGCUGGAUUUCUUGUGCUUGGCGCAAAAAGGAGAUGGCCUCAAGAAAUAGCAGACUCACUUUUGUUUUCAGCCCUUAAUAAUUCUCCACUGCUUUCCAUAACUACAUGGGUUAUACAUGCAGUCUGCUGCAAUAUUCCAGUUAUAUUUAUUAUUUCAAAGAGGGUGAAUGACUUCACAUGCAAUAUGUUGCAGUAACAACCCAAAUUUUGGCACACCAUCUUAAGAAUAGAAAAGUAUAAUAAAAGAAAUCAAUCAGAGAAUCACUUUGCAUGCAGUUCAUAGAGUUCGCCCAAAAUGGAGCCACAUGUACGGACAACCCCACAAUAGACAAUCUUCUCUAUACAGUAAUAAAAUACAGAAAUGGUUAAUGAAGCUCUGUAUUUCCUUAUCAUAUAUGACCGGUUGAAAACUCAGCAAGUCUUCCUCAAUCACAGACAGUUGGAGUUGCUUCAUCAAAAUCAUGCCUUCAUUACUGGCUUCAUUUUGGUUUCAAUGUCUGUUCUACCCUUAAAUUGGGUCUCUGCUUACUACCGGGAUAUCCUUUAGCGUCCUGCAAUUCUACUAGAUUAAAGAGAAUGACUUAAUUCUGCAUUCUGCCGUCCCUAGUCCAAGUGGUACUAGAAUUGAUGUUUCCUUUAGUGUCCUUUCUUCAUACUUUCAGGUUCUUCCCUUGUUUCAAUAAUGCUGUUUUCCUUCAUGUUUAACCUCUGUUGAACCACUUAAAACAACACAAUUUGCACACCAAUGUUUCUUUACAGAAAAGACUGUUUGCAAAAAUGCACAUGUUAUAAGGUUAAUGGAAGAAUUAAUUUGGGGAUAAGGGACUAGGAUUGGGCCAAUGAAGUUUGGUGUUAAAUUUUGAUUAUGAUUGCUUUUCAUUAUCAGGUACCUUAUAUUUGCUGAUGCUAUCUGGAACUAAAUUCAAAUCAGACAUUAUCCGAUUACUAACAGGACAUAUCAUGUCCCUCUGCAGAGUUUCUAAACUAACAUGUAUCGAAAUGUGGCCCCAAAAGGAAGGCUAGGAAGAUGGAGGAUUUUGUAGGAAUCGACCAGAAUCAGAUGGAAGAGAGAUAGUCCUGUUGACUUUAAUGGUUGUGAUAGGAACAUGCAUCAUUAUAUGAGAAGUUGCAUGAAUUUAUGUAUCCUGUUAUCGUUCCUUGACGAUUUCCCAAUGCAAUUUCACUGUCCACAAGACUAACCUCUCCAUGCAGUCAAAUGAAUUGUAAUUUCUCUAUUGGUACCAGUAGUACAUUUCAUACCAAACAUAUAGUAAAUAUAAAAUAUAAAUAGAUCAAGGAAAUCUGAAUUGUAGAUAGCACUGCAAGUAACACUCAAUAUUCUCUAUAUAUAAUAAAAUAAACAGUGUCACAAUACUCAUCACCCAGUGGCAAGGGAGAAAAACCUACAAUGAGUACUCAAAUCACCAUUCUCAAACAGAAACAUAGCAGUGACUGAUACAUAGAACCUAUAUGCUCACAGGGAAAGAAUAAGAUGACCAGUGCACAGCGGGCAGCAGCUCUUAUUUUACGUACAACUCAAAUCCCAAACUAACCAAAGUCGCUCAGUUGGGAUGGGUGGGAGAUGGUGGUUUGUGGGAUGGCUUCUGGGUAGGAGCUGGUGGCUUCUGUCCCUUUGGUGGUUUGCCUAAUGAGCUUGGUGGCUUGUGCUCCGGGAGUUGUUUCUCUCCCUCGAGUAGGUUUCGAGUCUUGUCAGAUGGCUUGUGUUCUGGUGGUGGCUUCUCUCCCUGGGGUGGUUUGCCGAAUGGGCUUGGUGGCUUGUGUUCGGGGAGUGGCUUCUCUCCCUGGAGAAGGUUACGAGUUUUGUCAUAUGGCUUUUGUUCUGGUGGUGGCUUCUCUCCCUGGGGUGGUUUGCCGAAUGGGCUUGGUGGCUUGUGUUCGGGGAGUGGCUUCUCUCCCUGGAGAAGGUUACGAGUUUUGUCAGAUGGCUUGUGUUCUGGUGGUGGCUUCUCUCCCUGGGGUGGUUUGCCGAAUGGGCUUGGUGGCUUGUGUUCGGGGAGUGGCUUCUCUCCCUGGAGAAGGUUACGAGUUUUGUCAGAUGGCUUUUGUUCUGGUGGCGGCUUCUCUCCCUGGGGUGGUUUGCCAAAUGGGCUUGGUGGCUUGUGUUCGGGAACUGGCUUCUCUCCCUUGGGAGGUUCAGUUGGUGGCUGCUGUUCCGUAGGUGGUUUCUUCACCGGCGGCUUGUGCUCCGGAAGCGGCUUCUCUACCU
rnacentral:lncRNA from 1 species